rnacentral:lncRNA from 1 species
AAAAAAAAAAAAAAAAAAAACUAGCAUUGUGGUCCCAACUCCAAACAACAAAGUCAAACAAUAUAAUAUAGGUUGGAAAACAAGGCCGACAAUGCAUCAAACUAUACUAUUCUGUCACGGGACGGCUAUCUGGUUGAAGAAGACAUUCUUCAUAUCAGGCUAUCACACUAGCCACUUGAAUUUAUAUUAAUUAAUUAAUUAAAUUCUCAAACAAUUUUUGCUACAAGUGUAAUUAAAAUCAGACAAUACUACGAUUUUUAGGAAACCAAUUAUGCAUGCAAAGUCUGUUAUAGAGACCAAGCCAAGCCACACCCGUUUCAAAAAUAAGCUGCACUUGGCAAGUUCGUCUCAAAUGUUUGAAGCAACUUCCAAACAUUCAUGAUUUCAAUUCAAGUAUUAAACCAUAUUUGGUUUGUCCAUAUUCACGGCGUAUAUAUAACUUGUGAAGUGUAACAUCAAAACACAAAAAAAAAAAAAAAAAGGCUUAUGGGUUGUGGCAAUCUGAUAAAAACAGAUACGUUUCGUACUAAGCAAUUCCCUUUUAAAUUAAGCAGCUAUACGUUACAGCAAACUUACCACAUAGCCAUAUGAUACAAGAAAGAGUGGACUAAGCCAAAAUAAUUACACACUAUGUAUCACUAGAACACGGCAUUGAUGCAAACUUCAUACUUGUCUUCAUCCUAUAGCUAGCCAAAUGCAGAAAGUUUUGUAUUAUUCAGUCACACUCAGACUUGUCUUUAUUCCUCUUUUGAUCAAAUCAUAUAUUACUUCGCUACAAUCCAUAAUAACACUCCACAUUUAUUACAAAUAUGUGACUAAUUAUCUAAAAGCAUAUUAUUUAUAUCCAUAAAAAAUGAAGAACGAGUAGAAUGUCUGAAGUGUUGAUCUGGGAGCUGUUCUGCCACCAACAAGUAGAAAAGUCCCAUUACUCCAGUGUGCUCCUUGGUGCUGCUGUAGUUAGACACUAGAGUUAAAGUUUCACCAUCAACUAUCUUGACAGAACCUGGUUUAGGAUAACAUGUGGACAUUCCUACAAUGUAGCCUGUCUCAUUCCCAGCUUCAUUUCCAUUUCCGUAACUUGGUAUAGAGGAACAUAUAACUCUGCCAUCCUGAAAACAUGAUCCACAUAUUUCGCAAAACAAGCUAUUAAUCUAUUAUACCAUAUUUAACUUCUUAAACAAGCUACUAUACACCUUUUUCUUGUUAAUAAAAGCAUUUGUUAGCCUCAAUUGAAAACUAUCACAUGAUCAAAUAGAAGUGAUUAUAUUUAAUCACAAAUGUGUCUCGGGUCCAACAUGUGUCAGACACUCGAACACAUCUUUAAUCUUAAGUGUCGGUGCUAUACAUGAUGUAAAUCGGGAGUCUCUCUUAAGGAGCAGAAUCGUUAUCGAUUAGAUCCUUCAAUGAUUUCUUUUUUCAAUAAACUUAUGCCACUAAAAAGUGAUAUCUAUUCAAAUCAAAAUAUUUUUGAGUAUUACUGUAAGUUGUAACUUGUCGCUAACUGUUGCAAUUGAAAAUUGUAAAUUACCUGCCCGUAUAGAGUUGAUCCAAUUCCACCUGAAUGCUGAUGAGCAACACCAUAGAUCACAUAGCCACCAGUUUGUAGUGGGAGACUUGUCCUCUUCACAUCAACACAACCAUUUCUUUCUUUAUGGUCUGUGCCGCAAGAUUCAACUUGAUACUCAGUCUGAAACAAAUAAAUUCAUGUUGCUCACUAUAUACCCAACAAAGUAAUGGACUAGUUUUAUGUUUUAGAGUUAAAUUGAGUUGACAAAAACUACAAGUAAGGAUUCUCUGCAGUCUACAGACUUUACAUACACGCAAUAAGCACAUUAAUGACUGUUGGAUCAAGAUUGAAGGGUCUAGGGAUUCCAAACCCAGUGUCAUUGAUUUUAAAAUAAUCAAAAGCUAAAUAUUCUGUGAACUUUUUGAUCUUGAUCCAUCAUCAACCGAUGAUUUGUCUGCGUGAAUCUAGGGUAGCCCAACUACACGGAAUCUAUUUCUAAAAACUAAUGUUUCUUAAUGAAUUCAUUUACCUUGCAAUCAUGGUUUGAGUUCAAUCCUUUUGAAUCAUCUGAUGGUUUCAAAGUAUCAGUAACAUCAAGUAUAUAUAUCUUAACAGGCACUAUAAAAUCAUCCCAAUCAACCCAUUUUACAGUGUAUCUUAGGUAGAGACUUCUCUUUGGACCCUCAAAACCUUCCUUCAACUUGCAUUGUGUAUGGUCAUAACAACAUAACAAACCUCCUUUAUAAUCUGGCCCAAUAGACCUUCCAUAUUCAUCCACUGUAACAUUAUAAAGGUCGCACUUGCACUCAGUGCACCCUAAUUUAUCCUCUGCGCCUCGCGUAUCAAUGGCAUGAACAUUAAGCAACCAUUUAUCCUCAAACCCUUGUGGAAUCUCUUCAGGAUUACCUAUCUCUAUACCGAAAGGAUCUGGAAUAUCUGUUGUCGUUCCUCGUGUUUCUGACCCAAGUCCAAAGUAUUGUGAAAUAGCAUUUCCCUGGCAUAUGCCACUGUUCCUUACAAGAACAUGAUCAGAGUUUUGAAGCAUCAUGUGGCUAACAUCUUCUGUGUGUGUGACAUAUUUUCUUUGAUAAUGUCUUUGAACAAGCCAAUGAUGGAGAUAGGUUUCAUGGAGAGGUAUAGGAUUACCAGCAUCAUCAACUACUUCAGCAUUGAAACUCUUUAGUGCUAUAUGCCCUCUUGGAAAAUCAAUAUCAUAAUAAUGUUUAUUGAUAACUGAUCCAGGUCCAAGUUCAAACUUAGGGGACAGAAAAACAGCUGAUUUGAUUUUAUCUUCGGCCUUCACAAAGGAACUUGAGCAUGUUGUACCAAACAAUAGUAGAAGUAUUGCCUCUAAAAAUACAAAAUCUCUAGAUACAAAACACAUGCUGAUCUGUCAUGGAGUUUUUUUAUUAGUAAUUCAUAAUUAUUGAUUAAAACAAAACAAAACAUCUUUCCUUUAAAAUAUUAUUAACUACAGUACAAAGUAAACGAGGUCGUGGAUUAAUACUUAAAAAAUAUUUAAAAAUCUUUUUUUUUUUUUUUUUGUGGCCGGGUUUCGAACUCCAUAUCUUGUAUAUUUUAUGUAUUGUCAAUAUCAAUUGAUCUAAACUCACGAGGACAAAUAUUUAAAAAUCUAACGACGAAAUAUGUCGUUUUUUUUUAUUUUUUUAUUUUUUUAUAGUAAAUGUUAAUAAUCUUCAUCAUUUUUAUAAUUGAAAUAAUAUUUCUUUUUAGUAAGUAACAUAAUUGCUAGACUUACACACUAACGGUGUAGAGAAGUGGAAAAUCUUUAGUUUAAACCUUUGCCCCUGUAGUUAAAUGUUCUUAGAACUAUCAAUUAAGCUGCAUUUAUAAGAUUGAAAUAAUAAUUUAACUGAUAUUCAUUUUAUUUAAAACAACGAAAAAUAAAUAUUUAACUUGUAUUCAACCAACAUUAAUCAAGUCACUGUUUUAGCCGUAAAUAAGACAAAUGUCACAAAUUUUUAUUUCUAAAUAGUGUUGUUAAUAAUCGUUAAUAUUUCAGAUAAUCUUAAGCAUCGGUUCAUGAUAUAAAGAAAAAUUUGUCCAUAAAAUUUCCGUGAGCUUAGAUCAGUUGGUAGGGAUAUUGCAUGUUAUAUGUAGGGGCCGGGGUUCGAACUCCGAACACCCCAUUUCUACACAUUUAAUUGUGUGAGCUCUAUCCACUAGGCUACUUGACAUAAAGAAAAAUUUGUCCAUAAAAACACUCGACUGACAUAAACUAAUGAUCAAAACACUAGUAUUUUUUUAUUACUCCCUCUCACCAUUUAUAUGACAUCUUUUCCAUUUCUUUUUAAAAAUAUUUCCACUAUUUCUUUGUCAUGUAAUUUAAGACUUUUUAAAAAAAAUAUUAAGAAUUUUUUUUGAGAAAGGGGAAUCUAUUAUUAAUAAGUGGCACUAAAAUAUUUUUUUAAUGGCAAAAUAUAUUACUCUCUCCCUUUUAUAUCUUAAACACCAUUUUAUUAGAGCUAAAGGUUGCUUACAUAUAAGGGGAUUAAAUCCCAAGUAUUACACCAAAAAGAGAAAAAUAAAAACACCAAAAAAAACUCCAAAGAAAAACAAUCAGCACCCUUAAAAUGUCGGAUCACCUAACAAUAGCUCCUAAAAAACCAACACCACCGACAAUGGACAAUUAAGCAACCGAUAAUGAUUUUGCACUAAAGUAUUUUUACAAUUGUCUUCGAGAAGACUCAAAUUAAUACCUUAAAAUCAUGUACAAUAUCAAACUUUUACCACUAAACUAGCACAUCGAAGUAUUUUUUCACAAAAUUUCAUGUGCAUUGAUAAUUUUUUUUUAUAGAAAUGCUCCCUUUUAAUUUACCAAUAAAAAAAUAGAUACAUAUUGUCUUUUAUGAUAUUAAUAGUUUAUAGGGAAAAAUAUGUAACACGACACACAUUUCAGUCAAACUUACUACUCCAUAUAUAAUUUUUCUUAGGCUUAAAUGCACUUUUGACCCCCUAUGUUUGCUAUGGUAGAAAUUUUAGCCUCCUAUUAAAAAAAAAAAAAAAAUUCAGCCCCCUAACUUCAUCUGCUUUUGCAACCCAUAAGCCCCCUCUGAUUUUGACUUGGUCAAAGGUUACUGUGUAAUUUAAAAUAAAAAUAACAAAAAAAAGAAAUUAAAAAUAAUUAAUAGCCUUAGGAUUAAAAAUCGGUGAUCAAGAUUUAAAGAACUCACAUGCUCCCUCUCUUAACUAAUUUUCCCUUCUCCACUCAUUACUACUUCAUGUUCUCCUUCUGAACAACACAAACCCACCCAGAAAAGUCAAGCUCGAUCAGUCUCCAUAUCAUCAACACAUAACCAGAAACUAGAAAACUCCAUCACCUUCAUAUCCAUCGACACAAAACCAAAAAACCUAGAACAAGGACAAGAACAUCAUCUUCAUAACUCAUCACCCCAAAAAAAUCAAACCCUUCGAUUCUAAAUUCAAAUUCAUCAACUAAUCAAACCCAAAAAAACUCAAAGGUGCGAAUAAAUACUCAUGGUGAGUGGCUUGUGGUAAAUCGUAAAAAGAAGAAAACUCCACCAAUUACAGUGAAGAAAAAAUAGAUGGGACAAUUAAUUAGAAACUCAAAAAACUUGGGUGCAUUCAAGUUGCAAUUAAAGGAGGAAUUAAGUCAAAUGAUAAUUAUGAAGAAGGAAGGGAUAAGGCGCAAAUCAUGUCCGAUGGAGGAAGUGAGAAACCACAAAAAACGUGGUGAUGUGGAACCACAAUAGCAGAAUUUUAUGGAACACCGCGCCGGUGUUCUCAACCUUCCAUUAUUUUUUGUUUGAAAUUGAUUUUUCUAAUCUAGAUCUGGAUGAAAAAUAGAGGAAGAAAGAGAAGCGAUUGAAGAGGUGACGGUGGCCGUGUUUUACAUAAAGGGUGACCCUUUAGUGAAGGGAAGUGGCGGUGGAUAGUCAUGGUGGUGGUGGAAUUUCUCUAUGAAGAUGAUGUGAGAACAAGAGAAUAGAAGAAGAAAUGGGGUUUAUUAGAAAGAAGGGACACAAUAACACUUACAUUGAAUCUUUUAAUGUUGACCAUUGAUUUAAUCCUAAGGCUAUUAAUUAUUCUUAUCAUUCUUUUUCAUUUAAAUUUAAUUUAGUAAUAGCCUUUGAUCAGGUCAAAAUUAGAGGGGGUCAAAGAAGGGUGAAGUUAGGGGGCUGAAAAGUGAUUUUUUUAAUAGGGGACCAAAAUUGUUACCAUGACAAAUAUAGGGGCCAAAAAUGCAUUUAAACCUUUUUGUUAAUAUUCAUAAUUUUAUGUAGAGGUUCCUGCUUCCUAUGAUAAGGGACGAAUGAAGUAUAGACAAAGCCAUGAAUAACAUUAGACGCUGAUUAGAGAAACGUGAGUGAAAAAGGGUGGAGUAUAGUGCAGGUAUAUUGAAGAACAAAUAUAUGAAAAACUAAGGGGGGUGUAUUGAAUUGGGAUUUCAAGGGAUUUUAAAAGACUUUUUUAGAAUGAAAAAGUCUAGUGGUAUUCAAUCAAGACUUUUAUAAAAUUUAAACAAAUCUUGUGGUAUUCAAUCAAGACAAUCAUGACUUUUUUUUUAAGGCAACAAAAUCCGUUGGUAUUCAAUUGAGAUUUCUCAUGACUUAUGAAUUGUCCAUUGGUAUUCAAAAGUCUAUAGAUUUUGAUGGAUUCUUGGAUGGAAUGGAUUUUGUGAGACUUUUUAGUUAAAAAUAUCUCUUCCAACAAUCUCACAGAAACCCUUGAGAUUUUGCCAUUGUCUUGCAAACCUUUCUGCCGUCAUCUUCCAUGCCAGUUUUUUCUUUUCUCUAUCAAAUUCUUCAACUUCCAUUUCUUGUGUCUGAUUCUCUUUUUUUUUUUCCAUUACUUUUUUUUUGUUUCAAUUACUUUUUUUUAUCUGUAUACUCUUUUUGUCCAUAUCAAUUACUAUUAUUUGUUUUUGUCUGAUUCUUGCCAAUGCAAUUUUUUUUGUUCGGUUAAUUUUUUUUGUUCAAUACUAUGCUAUGCUAAUCUUCCCCGUCCCCAUCGUCCCUCAGAUUAUUUUUUCAUUGGCAAAUUCGUCAACGCCGAUUGCUUUUUUCCUUCCCACGUUCAACGGUGUCGAUGGAACGCGAUUAACCAAUCGUCCUUACUUUUUUUUUUUUUUUUUUUUUUUUUUAUCAAAUCAAUGUUUUUUACUCAAAAGCAUAAUUAUUUUUAUAGUUUUUGUCUUCUUUUUGUUCGAUUAAUUUUUUUUGUCUGAUUCUUGUCAAUGCAAUUUUUUUUUGUUUGAUACUUGAUUUUUGUUUAUUAUUAUUAUGAGUGUUAAGUUUAUUAUUGGUAUUUUUUUUCUUGUUAUUCCUAUUGAAUAUAUAUAUUGGUAUAUAGUUACUAUACUUUUGGCAAUUAGGAAAAAAAAACUGUUCUUGUGAAAUAACUAGUUUGUUAUAUAUGUAUAUAUUAGUGAUUAAAUGGGGGAUUCACAACAAGAAAAUAAUAGAGGGAAGGGUAAGGACAAAGAUGGCUAUGUAGCUUGGACCAUGGAGGAAACUAGUGAGUUGUUGUACCUUUUGGUGGAUGCUAUAAAUAGAGGGUUACGUGAUGCCAAUGGGUCCCUUAGUAAACAAAAUGUAGAGCGAGCUAUCCUUCCUCAGCUCAAUGCCAAAACUGAAUCACAUAAAACUUAUAAUCAUUACUUGAGCCGAAUGAAGUGGUUUAGAAAUCAAUACAACAAGAUGUCAACGUUUAUGCGUAACAACUCUGGUUUUGGAUGGGAUUCCGUUGCGAAGACUUACACGGCUACUGAAGAAGUAUGGAAUAAUUACUUAAAGGUGAGCUAAGUUCAAAAUCGUUUAAAAGUAUGAUUGAUUUUUAUUUUUUUUUUGUAAUAUUUAUAGUAUAUUAAUAGUGAAUUUUUUUUGUUUUUUAGUCCCAUCCAUCUCACAAAAAUCUUAAAGGAAAAAGUAUGAUUGAUUAUGAUUAUUUGAAGAUUGUUGUUGGAGGUGGAGUGUCUAGCGGAAAUAAUUCUAUAGCAUUAGACCCUGAGGAUACUGAUGCAACAACUUUUGAGCAAGAAAGUGAAAGUUUUGGAAUGGAAGAUUUUUCAUAUGAUCCCAAUAGUGAUACAUUCAUAGCACCAGAUAACUUUUGGUUGUACUUUUGUUAAAGUAUUUGGUUUGCUUUUUUUUUUUUGUUUAACUAAUGGUUGUAUUUGGAUUGAAGAAUUUAGUUCUGUAUGUUUUGUGAGACUAAUGUGGUUAAAAUUUAAUUAUAUUUUCAUUAUAGUAUUUUAUAUAUUACUUUGCAUUGACUCUUACACUACCUUAAAUAUUGUCUUAUAAUCAUGGCAAUGACAUAGAGGACGAAGAAAUUGAUUAUGAAGGAAUGAGUGAAGAUAUAGAUACUGAAGCUAUAGAUGAUGAUGAUGAUGAUGACGAAGAUGAUGAUGAUACAAAUGAUGAAGAAACAGAUGAAGAAUUGUAUGAAGCCAUAUACAUGUAUAUGAUGGCAAUUCAUGCUUUAAUGCACGUGGUAAAUCAGUUUUUGAAUAUGAUGCGUGGUGAACAUGUUGAACGUCCAUUAACUCGACGACGAAUUACAAGUAAGGGAUAUGACUAUAUACAUAAGUCAUUGAAUGGGGAUUCUGAAAUCUUUCGACAAGUAUAUAGAAUGUAUCCUGAUGUAUUCCGAAAGUUAUGCAUGAUUAUAAGAGAAAAAACACCUUUGGUGGAUACAAGAUUUAUUUGUAUUGAAGAAAUGCUUGCGUCGUUCUUACAGAUUGUCGGUCAGAAUACUCGAUAUUGUAUAAUUAGAAAUACAUUUGGCCGAUCACAAUUUGCUGCAAGUGAAAAUUUUCACAAGAUUUUGAAGGCUUUGAACUCAAUAGCACCUGAUUUGAUGGCUAAACCAACCUCAAGCGUGCCUGCAAAAAUAAGGGAAAGCACAAGAUUUUAUCCUUACUUCAAGGUAUGUGAUCAUUAUCUAAUUAUAAGAGAAUUGUAAAUAUAAUCAUCUUUAUUAUAAUAAUAUUUUUUUUAUGGUUAUAUAUGAAUACACUUUUAGGAUUGCAUUGGAGCUAUUGAUGGUACGCAUAUUCCUGCAUUGGUAAGAGGACGAGAUGUAAGCAGUUAUCGUGAUCGUCAUGGAAGGAUAUCACAAAAUGUAUUAGCUGCUUGUAAUUUUGAUUUGGAGUUCAUGUACGUUCUCAGCGGGUGGGAGGGUUCAGCCCAUGAUUCCAAGUUGCUAAAUGAUGCUUUGAAAAGGAAGAAUGGACUAAAAGUGCCCCACGGUAAGUAAUUAAUUUUUAAAAUAUACUGAUGUUGUUUUUCUUUCACUUUCAUACUUAUUUUAUAUGUAUUUUAAAUUUAAUUAGGUAAAUAUUUUCUGGUGGAUUGCGGAUUUGCUAAUCGACGCAAAUUUUUAGCUCCACAUCGAGGUGUGCGAUAUCAUCUACAAGAUUUUGCAGGUCACGGUAAUGACCCUGAAAAUGAAAAAGAGUUAUUCAAUCUUCGGCAUGCGUCUUUAAGGAAUGUGGUUGAGAGAAUAUUUGGUAUUUUUAAAUCGCGUUUCACAAUUUUUAAGUCAGCACCUCCAUUUUUGUUUAAGACACAAGCAGAACUUGUGUUGGCAUGUGCAGCACUUCAUAACUUUCUUCGCAAAGAAUGUCGUUCCGAUGAAUUUCCAAUUGAACCUUCUAACGAGUCUUCAUCUUCAUCUUCAAUGUUACCUAUUCAUGAAGACAAUAAUGAUGAACUCAAUGUUCAAACACAAGAGCAAGAACGAGAAGAUGCUAAUAUAUGGAGGACUAAUUUAGGUUUAGAUAUGUGGAGAGAUGUACAAGGAAUACCGUGAUACUACUCUAAACGGUGAUUCAGUGAAUCACAUUUCCCUUUUCAUAUUGGGAGAUGCUAAUAUCUAAAGAUAAUCUUGUUUUAAGAAACUUCAUUACCAGCAAGACAUAUUUUGCUUUUUUCCUAGUUUGUUAUUUACGAAAUAUAUUUUGUUUUAUCUUUUUGUUAUGCAGUUAUUUGUUUUUCUCUUUUUGAUGUACCGGUACAAGCUCGAUUUUGAAUCUAGAGAUCACUUUGUUUCGGAAAAAAAAAAUUAUUUGUUUACUAUUUCUAUCAUUCACGGUUGUAAGUUUGUUCUUUUUCCGCUAAAGUUCAUUGAAUCCUUUGAAAUAUUAAAAUCUCAUAAAAUCCUUUGAAAUCCUUAAAAUUCAGUGUGAUAAAUCCCAUAAAAUCCUUUGAAAUCCUUAAAAGUCAGUUUGAUAAAUCCCUUAAAGUCUUUUAAAAUCUUACAGAAUCAAUACAAUCCCACAAAGUCUUUUAAAAUCUUAAAGACUUUUUUUGUUAAAAAAGUCUUUUAAAAUCCUAAUCCAAUACACCCCCCUAAAGUAAAAAAAUGUAACUUCACACCAAAUUAAAUUGAGAUAUGAGUCAUUUGAAACAAACGUGUAAAGUUGUGAGAAAAAAAAUUAAUGAACACAAAAUUAAGAGAAUAGAACCUGGAUACGACAGAGUUUGAGCUUUGUUUGAUGAGAAAAUUAGAGUGUGGUGUUAAACUAGAUUCACUUAUACUUAUAGAUGAAACAAAUUCAAACUAGAAGAGAAGAUGUAUAGGGCUUGAGUUGCGUAUCUCACAUGAGAAAGUUCUUCACAGUCACACUAGUCAUUAUAUGCACGUUUUCUUCAUAAUUUAUUUUGAAAAUUGUUUUUCUCUAUUUUAAAAUUGUUCAUUUUCUAUAGUUAAUUCCGACAUUUUUCAGCUAGACUAAACUCUCAUUCUAUAAUGAGUAAUUUUUUUUUUGACAAUUUAUUCUUAAUUUUGUUGAAGAGUAUAUAUUCAAUAUUUAACUUGCAAUUGAGUUCUUAUUAAUUUUUAGUUAAUUAAUUUAAUGUUUUGAUUUUUUAAAGUCCACUUCGGCUAGAUGACAAUACUUCCAACUUACAAGUCAUCAAAAUUUCCCAACAAGGUGUAUUAUUUGAGGAAAACAAAUUGAGACUAUGGAAUAAAAAACAAGGUACUUAAGGGGUCAAAAUUGCAUAAUUGAAAAAAUGGUAUAUUUUCAAAUUGAACACUUGAAAAACCUAGAGAGAAAAAAUUGCAUCUAAACCUAAUUUUUUUAAUAGUACACUAAUUAUUUAUAGUGUUUUAUAUUUUAGGCUUAACAAUAAUUUUGUCCCCUAUUUUUACUAAACAUACACUAAAACACUUGAGGUUUUAAGGUGAACAGCAAUCUAGGAUGAGUUUUACACUGUGUUUGAUAGAAGAGAAAUAAGAAAGAGAGAAAGAGGGAAGAGAGAAGUUGGAUAGAGAGAAGCAACUUCUCCUGUUUAGUUGAGAAUAGAGAUUAAAGAGAGAGACCAAAUAUGGUGGAACCCAUGCCUGUUUUAUUUCUUUCUUGAAUUGCGAAGAAAUAGAGUAGAGAUGUGAACUUUUUUUGCUCUUUUCCAAAACUAUCCCUGGUAUUGUGGCUAAUAUAAAACUAUUGUCCUUUUUUUUUUUUGUUAACACUGUUGUAUUGUUUUCAUGGUUUUUGUUGUAGCAAGGUAAAAACAAAAACUAAUACGCAACUCUCUUUCCUUUACCUCUUGAUUGGAAUCCUCUUAUAUUAUAAUAAAUAAAUUAAACUAGUAGUUAGUUAACUCUAAUGAAAUAGUUUAACCGAUUAAAUUGUAAAAUUGUAAAUAAAUAAUUAAUUAAGCAAAUAAGUUAUCAAAUUUCUUUGUAAAAAAAUUACUUAGUUUCUUAAUUAAAUUAAUGUAAAAAAUUAUAAGUUAUCAGUUUUUAUAAGAAUUCAUAUAUAAUAAAAUUGUAUAUUAAAGUUUAGUAAGGAUAUUUUGGUCUUUUCAAAAGUUUAACACACUUCUCUCUUCUCUAUUUCUCUCAUUUAUCUCUUAUACUAAACAAUAGGUCAAAUCUACUCUAUUUCUCACCUAUUUCUCUCUUCCUAUACUCUCUCUUCACAACUUCUCUCUUUAUAACUUCUCUCCUAAACCAAACACACCCUUAAAGUUUGGAGAAGGCUAACAACUUUCACUUAAGGCAUUGUUUAGGGCUUGCUGUUAAGGUAUAUACAAAGUUUACAAAAGUAAGUUUAAUUAAAUAUAGUUUUUCAAAAUUAAGUUUGAUUAAAAUGAGUUUGUUCUCGUGUGCUUUUUCUUUGGAUAAGUAAACCAAGGCAUUUCAAUUAUGUUGCCACUUCUUAUUUACUGUUACCUAUCAUAUGCAUUUGGUAUGUUGCGGUUUACUGCUAUUGAUCAUUCUGUUUGUCAAAAAAUCUAUUUGAUAAACAAUAAUGAAGAGGAUGUAAAAUUAGUUGGCUAGAGCUCAGUUAGUUAACUAGCUGGUAGUUUCAGUUACAAUACUGUCUUGGUUACACUACACUGCCUCUCAAUAGUAGCCAUUACAAGUCCAGGGCUCGCGACAUGAAACACGCCUUGGCAUCGUUGCAAUAGCAUGGUUCAAUCGAGGAUUCUUUAAUUCUCUUGCUCCCAAUAUCAAACAAAGUGCGAUUUACAUUACGAUUACAAUGAAGCAACUACAUAGUAGAACAAACUUAUUGCAUAGCCAUACGAUACAAAAAAGAGUGGAAUAAGUACAAAAUACAAACUAUAUAUCACAAAAAUGGCAUCAAGCUUGUCUUUCUCCUAUAGCUAGCAGAAUACAGAUAGAAGUGUAAUUGAUCAGUUACACUUGUCAAACUUAUUCUUCUUUGAUCAAUCAUAUAUUACUUUGACACCAUCCAUGAAACUCCACUUAUAUUAUCAUAUAUGUAACUAAUUAUCUAAAAGUAUAUUAUUUAUAUCCAUAAAAAAUGAAGAACGAGUAGAAUGUCUGAAGUGUUGGUAUGGGAGCUGUUCUGCCACCAAUAGGUAGAAAAGUCCCAUUACUCCGGUGUGCUCCUUGGUGCUGUUGUAGUUAGACUCUAGAGUUAAAGUUUCACCAUCAAUAAUCUUGACAGAACCUGGUUUAGGAUAACAAGUGGACAUUCCUACAAUGUAUCCCGCUUCAUUUCCUGCUUCGCUUCCAUUUCCAUAACUUGGUAUAGAGGAACAUAUAACCCUUCCAUCCUGAAAACAUAAUCCACAAAUUUCACAAAACAAGCCACUACACAAUGUUUAACUUCUUGAUCAAAAGUAAAAUUGUUAGAAUAGCAACUCCGGUUCAAAAGUAAACAGAUAUGAAAAACACAAAAAGAGAACAUACGAAAUUCGAUAAUGGCGUUCGGUCAAUUAUGUCUACCGUUUAGUUUAACAUAUUACAACUCGUGUAUAAAUACUAAGGUCAAGUUUACAAGAUAGCCCUUGAACCAUACCCGUGUUAAUAAACUCAACAAAAAGAAACAUUGACGGUCCUCAAUAGCUAAUAAAUCAAACUAUUUUCUUGUUAGCUAAACAUUUCUUACUAUCAAUUGAAAACAAUCACGUGCUAAGACUAAAAAAAAAGGUGAUAAUUUAUAGUUUAUUUUUAGAGGAAGAAUCAUUAUUAGAAAAUGAUAUAUCAGUUAUACAAUUGUUCUCGAGGGGGUUUGAACUCUGUCUCUUGAAGUCACAAUGUCAAAAUAUUCCCAUUGAGCCGACACCAAGCAUUUAAGAAUGACUUAAGUUACCUGUCCAUAUAGAGUUGAUCCAAUUCCGCCUGAAUGUUGAUGAGCAGCACCAUAGAUCAUAUAGCCACCAGUUUGAAAUGGGAGACUUGUCCUCUUCACAUGAACACAGGAAUUUCCCUCCUUAUGGUCUGUGCUGCAAGAUUCAACUUGAUACUCAUUCUGAAACAAAGAAAACCAUGUUGCUCACUAUAUACCCAAAGUUUUAUGUUUUAGAGUUAAAUUGAGAUUUACACAAACAAAGUACGUGUAUGGAUUCCCUGCAGUCGAGAGACUCUACAUUCAUACAAUCAGUAACACAAUAACUGUUGGAUCAAGAUUGACGAUAAUAAAUUCCAUGCCUGCAGUAUUUUGGAUUUUAGAACAAUCGAAAUCUGUAUAUUUUGUGAAUUGUCUGAUCCUGAUCCAACAGUACACUGAUGGAUUGAUUGCGUGAAUGCAGGGCAUCCCAACUACACGGAACCCAUUUCGACAAACAUGUUUCGUAAUGAAUGCAUUUACCUUGCAGUCAUGAUCUGAGUUCAUUCCUUUUGAAUUAUCUGAUAGUUUCAAAGUAUCAGUAACAUCAAGUAUAUAUAUCUUAACAGGCACUAUAAAAUCAUCCCAAUCAACCCAUUUAACAGUGUAUCUUAAGUAGAGGCUUCUCUUUGGACCCUCAAAACCUUCCUUCAACUUGCACUGUUUAGAAUCAUAACAACAUAACAAACCUCCUUUAUAAUCUGGCCUAAUAGACCUUCCAUAUUCAUCCACUGUAACAUUAUAAAGCUCACACUUACACUCAGUGCACCCUAAUUUAUCCUUUGUGCCUCGCGUAUCGAUGGCAUGAACAUUAAGCAACCAUUUUUCGUGAAACCCUUCUGGAAUCUCUUCAGGAUUGCCUAUCUCUAUACCGAAAGGAUCCGGAAUAUCGGUCGCCGUUCCACGUGUUUCGGAUCCAAGGCCAAAGUAUUGUCCAAGAGUAUUUCCUUGACAUAUGCCACUGUUCCUUAUAAGCACAUUAUCAGAGUUUUGUGUUGCAUGUUUACUUUGAUGAUAUCUUACAACAAGCCAAUGAUGGAGAUAAGUUUCAUGGAGAGGUACAGGAUUCCCUGAUUCGUCAACUACUUCAGCAUUGAAACUCUUGAGUGCUACAUGACCUCUUGGAAAACCAAUAUCAUAAUAAUAUCCAUUGACAACUGAUCCAGGUCCUAGCUCAAAUUUCGGGGACAAAAAUACAGCUGAUUUUAUCUUAGCUUCAGUCUUCAUAGAAGAACCUGAGCAUUGUAUACAUAACAACAGCAGAAACAUUGCCCAUAAUAAUACCAAAUCUCUAGCUACAAAACUCAUGUUGAUCUGUCAGGGAAGAAAUUAUUAGUUAUUAACUAACUAAUUGUUGAUUAAAGACAUACCAAAACAAGAUAAAUAAGCAUGGUUGGAUCUAACACAAAACUGAUUUGUGGAGUGAGGAGUGUCUCUCUUUAUAAACUCUAUUCGUUAGACGUUAUCUUUAGUCUAUCUAUGUGGGACUUGGUUUUUCCAAAACACUGAGUGACCCGAAUCGAUAUGCUCUGAUUUCAUAUUAGAUUUUUAUAUUAGACUUCAUUCAUCCUUACAAAAUCGGUUUAUGAAGUGGGGUGUAAGUCUUUUAUAAACUACUAAAAUCUAAAUUAAUGUUAUGAAUGAAUACAAUUGUGGUGGUCACAGAACAAUUUUAAAACAUUAAUUAUAACAUAAACUUAUGAGCAGACAACUUUUUAUGAUGAAAGUAAAAAGGUUUACCUGGAUAAAUUUAUAGGGAUAUAACAAGCAAUAGGCAGAAACAACAUGUAAGAGAUUGCGUACCUCAAAAAGUUUGACGAAAACUUAGAGUGUGUGUAGGUCGGUAUCAACAUUCAAAGUAUAUUUAUAGAUUAUUAAUGAAUGAAAGUGUACUAAAGAGCCACCUCAUCACGUGAGAACGUUCAACUAAAUCUGUCCUUUCAAACUUGGAGGAGAAGUAAAGUCCAAACGAGGUAUUUGGAUUAAAUUAUUUGUCUGUUUUGUUAUUUCUUCAAUUGGAUAUGCGUUGGAAAAUCUAUGGUCGACAACUUAAGGCAUUCACCACCUAGUCGACACACUUGUUAUGGUUUGGCUAUAGCCGGCCACUCUAGAAUUUAAAAAAAAGAAAAAUGAGAAAUUUCUUUUUUGACGAUUGAAAUUAGUUGUUAAUAUGUUUAGCGAUUGAAAUUGUGAUUGAUAUUUCAAACAUUAAAGUAUAAGAUAUUAAAAAUUGGUCGCUACUUACUGACAAUGUAUACAUUAUACGGUCUAAAAAUUCAAUUUUGAUAUUUUUAUUCAAAAUAGUCUAUCCUAAAAUUAUAAAUUAUACAAUUUAAUUCCAACAAUCACAAUGAUCGCAAAUUUCUAAAAUUAUUAGAAGGGAGUUUUUUUUUUUUAUUUAUUUAAGGACUAGAAGGGAGUUUAUUUCUAGAGUUUAGAGCAUAUAUGAUAUCGAUUAUUAUGAUAAAAUAUAUGUAUUUUAUAUAGCAUUUCCUCUCAAAUGAAAAAACAGAAGAUACAUCAAGAUCACGAAACUUUAAUUCAUCGUUUAAUCUUAAAAUUUAGUAUUUCUACAAGUAUAUUUAAAACAAAAUUUAGAAGAAGAAACUCUAUUAAAAUUUUAGAUAAUUCAACGAGUUUAAAUUAAAGAAUAAGAAUUUAAAUAUGUUGGGUUCAAAUCUGAACAAAAUAAUAAAUAUUAAUAUAACAACUAAUUAUCAAUACAACCUUAACAAAAUAGAAAUUUUUGAGAGAAACUUUAACAAGUUUUUUUUUUUUUUUUUUGACAAAACUUUAACAAUACGGAUUAAACACGGAAACCAAAUACGGAUAAUUAUAGGUAAAUUUAUAAAUGCCCUAUAAAAUAAUUUGAAACAUCCAAAUACGGAUUAAACACGGAAACCAAAUUCUAUGUAUUAUGUUGUCACUUUUAUAUGCUGGGUCAGCCAUGACGUUUUAGAGCGACAACUACAAGGAGGUAGACAAUUUUGUUAGGAAAUAAAAACAAUAUUUUGAAAAGGACAAUAAAUCGAAUCAUCAACAUUUUCCAGGGUACAAAAAUCAAAUAGAAGUGAGAAAGUCAGAGGCACAAUUGGACCAGAGAUGAAUACUAUUGAAAAACAUCAAAACAUACCAAAAGUAUAACAUAACUUAUUUGAAUAAUAUAUCUGUCAAAAGUUCUUUUCAACUUCUAAUUAUAAAAAGUACUAUAUAAGAUAAUUUGGUGAAUGAAAUCCCUCAAAUGAAAAAUAGAGAACAAAAAAAGUAUGUUUGAAGUCAAACUUAAUUUGUUUUACAUUUUUCAUUUUCAAAGACAAAAACAACUUAUAAUUAAAAAAAAGUGUCACGCUAACUUGUGUUUUCAAGAUUACAUUUCUACUUUAAUUUUUUUUUUUUUUUUUUUGACAAAAUGUUUAAUUUUUUAUCAUGUAUCUUUAAGGUACAAGUUAUGCCUUCCGGCACAAGUUACCAUUUACUUUAAAAUAAAUGUCCUCAAAUACAAGAUGCGAGGAAAAUCUAACAGAUUUAAGCUGACUAAGCAAAAAAACAAAUUACGAAAACAAAGCAUCCCAACGAUUACUACGUUCAUUGUAGCACGCAAUCACUUUAACAAAUUGUGCCAUUCUCCAAUCACACAUACAAGACUCAACCUACAUAAUUAUGCAGAUCACUCUAAUGAGAGACCCUGCACAAAUCCUUUCCCAAAAACUUGCAGCCACACUUAAAUAAUUAAACCUUGCACCAAUUACAUAAAUGAAAGUACAUUAGGUUAUGAAAAAGUACUUCUGUUUUAAAUGCAAUUUGUCUACUUCAAACUACACUUAGAAAAUUCACUUUUUCUAAUCUCAUUAGGAUAUGAAAAUUGCAUAAAUUAUGUUGGCUUAAAUGUACUUUUGGUCACCCAAAUUCACUUUUUUUUUUUUUUUUUCUGAAUUUUUCAUCCUCAUAGCAUUUUUGGAUUUAGGUUUGUGGUCUAUCCAUUAAUGACGUGGUAGAGCUUAUAUGGCCCCAUUAAACAUCCAUACUGAUACCAUAAAAAAAGGACCUAAGCAAAAAUAACCUAAAGCAAUGUAUUGUGGCAAAAUUGGUUACUGUUGACGUAUGUUUUCGUAAGCAUAGCUUUCCCUUUCAAGCCAAAUGGAGCUUCUUCAUCAGCUCACAAUUAGGACUCUAAUCAGAUACAUUUCAUACUAAAUGGAAGUCCCUUUUGCAUUACAAUUGCAAUGAAGCAGGUACAUGGUAGAACAAACUUCUCACAUUAUCACAUAGCUAGCUGAAUAGAGAGAAGUGUAAGUAUUCGGUUGCCCUUAACAAUUAAUCACUCAUAUUUUACUUUGAUACCAUCAAUGACACGCCAUUUAUAUUAUGAUUUAAGUAACUAAUUAUCUAAAAGUAUAUUAUUUGUCCAUAAAAAAUGAAGAACGAGUAGAAUGUUCUGCCACCAAUAGGUAGAAAAAUCCCAUUACACCAGUGUGUUCUUGGCUAUUGUUGUAGUUAGACUCUAGAGUUAAAGUUUCACCAUCAAUAAUCUUGAUUGAACCUGGUUUAGGAUAACAUGUGGACAUUCCUACAAUGUAUCCCACUUCAUUUCCUGCUUCGCUUCCAUUUCCAUAACUUGGUUUGGAAGAACAUAUAACCCUCCCAUCCUGAAAACAUAAUCCAUCAAUUUCACAAAACAAGUUAUUGAUCUAUUAUACCAUGUUUAACUUCUUAAACAAACCAGUAUACAAUGAAAACAAGCACCGAUAGUCCUCAACUGCUAAUUAUUCACACCAUUUACUUGUUAAUUAAACAUUUGCUAACCUCAAUCGAAAACUAUUACAUGAACAAAUAGAAGGGAUUAUAUAUAAUCACAAAGUAGUGUUGUCUCGGAGUCCGACUAUACAUCUUUAAUCUCAAGUGUCGGUACUUCCAAGUAUUUAAGAAUUAGUAUAAUCUAUCUUUAACUAUUGGAAAUUACCUGUCCAUAUAGGGUGGAUCCAAUUCCACCUGAAUGCUGAUGUGCAACACCAUAGAUCACAUAUCCACCAGUUUGAAAUGGGAGACUUGUCCUCUUCACAUGAACACACCCAUUUUCCUCCCUAUGGUCUGUGCUGCAAGAUUCAACUUGAUACUCAAUCUGAAACAAAGAAAUCCAUGUUGCUCACUAUGAUACCCAACAAUGGGCUAGUGUUACAUUUAAGAGUUAAAUCGAGAUUGAGACAAAUAAAUUACUAAUUUGGAUUCCUAGCAGCCGAGAGACUCUACAUUCACGCAAUCAGCACAGACUGUUGGACCAAAGAUCAGAAGGUCCUAGAUUUCAAGCUCGGUAUUUUGGAUUUUAAUCAAAAUAAUCAAUAUUCGUAUAUUUUGUGAACUGACUGGUCUUGAUCCAACAUUCAUUGAUGCAUUGACUGUGUGUUUCUUGAUGAAUUCAUUUACCUUGCAAUCAUGAUCAAAGUUCGUUCCUUUUGAGUUAUCUGAUUGUUUCAUACUAUCGGUAACAUCAAUUACAUAUAUCUUAAGAGGCACUAUAAAAUCAUCCCAAUCAACCCAUUUAACAGUGUAUCUUAAGUAGAGGCUUCUCUUUGGACCCUCAAAACCUUCCUUCAACUUGCACUGUGUACAAUCAUAACAACAUAACCAACCUCCUUUAUAAUCUGGCCUUAUAGACCUUCCAUAUUCAUCCACCGUAACAUUAUAAAGCUCGCACUUACACUCAGUGCACCCUAACUUAUCCUCUACGCCACGUGUAUCAAUGGCAUGAACAUUAAGCACCCAUUUAUCCUCGGACCCUUCUGAAACCUCUGCAGGAUUACCUAUCUCUAUACCAAAAGGAUCCGGAAUAUCUGUUGCUGUUCCUCGUGUUUCGGAUCCAAUGCCAAAGUAUUGUCCAAGAGUAUUUCCCUGACAUAUGCCACUGUUCCUCACUUUCACAAUAUUAGAACUUUGAAGCAUCCUUUUGCCAUCAUUUCUUGUGUGUGUGACAUGUUUACUUUGAUGAUAUCUUCCAACACCCCAAUGAUGGAGAUAAGUUUCAUGGAGAGGUAUAGGAUUACCAACUUCAUCAACUACUUCAGCAUUGAAACUCUUGAGUGCAAUAUGACCUCUUGGAAAAUCAAUAUCAUAAUAUUCUUUAUUGAUAACUGAUCCAGGUCCUAACUCGAAUUUUGGGGACAAAAAUACAGCUGAUUUUAUUUUAUUUUCAGCAUUCAAAAAAGAACUUAAGCAUGGUGAGCCAAACAAUAGCAGAAGUAUUGCCACUGAAAAAUGAAACUCUCUAGGUACAAACCACAUGUUGAUCUGCCAGAAAAAUAUUUAUUAGUGAUUCACUAAAUGUUGAUUAAAGAAAUAUUAAAUAGAUACAGAUUGCAACAAUUGUAUUAUUUUCAUAAAAUUUUCUGACAAGAUACUUCAAGAGAAGGCAAUCAGAGAUGAGUAUAAUGAUCAACAGGUAAAUCUAGAGGUAGAAAAUAAAUCACAAAGAGACGUUAAAAAAUUUAAUGUUUUGACUGCUGUUUGCAAAGAAUAUUUUUAAAACCUUAAUUAUGACAUAAACUUAUGACCAAACAUGUUUUGACCAAACAUUUUUUCUUUUUUUUUGAAGGAACCAAACAUGUUUUUUAGAAACAUGAAAUUGGCAGCAGGAGCAUGUAAAAGAAAAGAACAUGAAAUUAAGUUGUGUACCUCAGAAAGAUAAUCUGGAAACGACUCUUAAGUUCUUUGAAGUAUGUUGUAGUCUUUGUGGCUUAAGUUCUAUCUUAAGCAUUUCUUUUUUAUUUUUUUGCUAAUCUAUCUUAAGCAUUUCUUGUUCUUAAUAGAUAGUAUUAAUAUAUUUAUUUCUUUGCCUCUUCAAAAAAAGUAUGCUGUCGUUUUUAUGUGCUGGGUCAGCCAUGAUGUAUUACAGCAACAUUUUUUAGUUUAUCUUGGAGGUAGGUAAGUCAAAGUGAGGUUUAUCUAACUUAACCUUGGUUAUAACCGGUUAUGUCAUUUGUCUUAGAGUUUCAGAGUUGAAUUUUUAAGCAAGGACAAAAGUUAUGGUGCAUAAGCCAUUUCCUUCUGCACAGUUCAUAAACACUUCACAACCAUCAGAUUUCUUUUAUUUUGUGUUUGUCAUUUCUCUCUCUACUCUUUUGAAAAACAAAUUUUCUCUCACUCUCUCUAAGAAACUGAUCUGGGAUGAAGUUUCAUCUUCUACACACCUCCGGCCGCCCUAGGGCAGCGGUGGCGCCGCCGGAGUAUUAGGAAAUGGCUCCGAUUUCAAAAAAAAAUUCACUUUUAAAAAUCAUUUUCCUUCUAUAAUCCAACUUCAGACUCGGUUUUCAGAGAUAAACAACCAAACAGUGUAGAUCUAGGUUUUAACUUUGUUCCCAUUCCUUUCGUUUGCGUUCGAUUUCCUUCUUCUUCUGCUCCUUCGCCGCCGCUUUCUUAUAUGCUUUCUUUGCUUCCCAUCUCUGCUGUCUCGCUAGCUACUUCUUCGUGUUCUUGGGGAGUUCUGAAGUGGGUUGUGAUGGUUCUGGGUUUGGAGGUGGAACUGUGGAUUCGGGUUCGUGAUUUUCACCAUAACUGCACGAAUUUCCGCACCCAUGGGCGGGAUUUACUGCUGGAAACCAUUAAGUACAUCUAAUAGUUUUGGAGUACAACUGCCGGAAACCAUUAAGUAGAUCUAAUGGUUUUCCACGGCAAAAUGGUUUUGGCAUUCCGGUACGGUGAUGCUAACAGUGAUGAUGAUGAACGACGGUGUUGAUGAUGAGAUUUAAGAUUCUGGAAACCAUUUCCACAACAAAAUGGGUUUGUAGUACAACUCACAGAAACCAUUUACACAGCAAAAUGGUUUUGGCAUUCCGGUACGGUGAUGAUGAUCAAUGACGGUGUUGAUGAUGAGAUUGAAGAUUCCAGUGGUGAUGAUGAUGAACGACGGUGAUAAUUCAGUUUGUUUUCACGUUUUGUUUGUUUUGUUUUGUUUGGUUUUCUUUGGGGGUGUAGGAAACAAUUAUGUUGGGAUUUAUGCACCAUAACCGAUCUCAUUUUUAAGUGGUGAUGGAAAACGUUAUAUUUAUCUUUUUUUUUUUAAAGAAACAAACUCAAUUCAUUUCAUUAUAAAUCAUGGACCAGAUACAUGACAGUACAUCAUUGUAGAGGUGGGAGCUAGCAUUACAUAUGCUAUCUUUGAUAGUUCAUGAGCGACCCUGUUAGCUUGCCUCUGCCUAAACUUGACAUGAGAAUUUAGAAAAUUGUUUUGAAACAAUUGCUUACAGACAUAUAUAAUACAACCGAACUCAGUGACAUCAUUUAUACAUGUUCUAAAGGAAUCAACAACCUUCUUAGAAUCUAACACAAAGUCUACAUUAUCAAACUGAAGGUUUGCCACCCAAUCAAGUGUCGUACAUAAACUCAUUGCUUCACCCGCAUUGACGUCACAAAGCGGGGAGAACCAGGUACUUUUUGCAAGCAUAAAAUUACCCUCUUCGCCUCUAAGACAUUCCAAGUCCUACCUUAUUAAGCGACGAGGAGAACGAGGCAUCUAUUUUUCAUUUAUACCUUCUAGGGGCCGGUUUUACCCAUUGUUACCAAGCUAUAAGAGUCGGCCCAUGUGGAUCAGAACUAGAGGGAGUUACACUACCUAAACGAAUGACUUGUGCAUGUCUCCAUUCAUCCAUCAACUACUUUGCACGCUCUAUAACCUGCACAUUAGUCUCGUUAGUUUGUUGCCAAAGUUUCAGGUUUCUGUGUUCCCAUAGGCUCCAUAGUAUUGCUGCAAAAUUUUCACUCUGUAUUGGAGUAAGUUGUUGCUACAAAGUAAAAAUAACAGAAUUCAUAUUAUAAUCCUGACGAAGCACACGAUCAAUCUUAUCCCAUAAAUUCACGGCAUGCCAAACUUGCACAGCACUCAAGCAUUCCAAUAAAACAUGAAUGAUGUCCUCGUAAUUAUUUCUACAAAUUACACAUUCGGUUGGACAAGACACACCUCUACUACUACGUUGUGCUCGAGUGGGGAAACGAAACAGCCCAGACACACGCCACAAGAGAUUUUUUAUCUUGGGGGGAGAUUUAAUGUUCCAAAUUAAGUCCCAACGACCAGAUUUAUGCAAAUGAAUAUUGUCAACAAUUUCAUUCAUACAUAUUCUGUAAGCACUGCGAACGAAAUACCUACCAUUUUUUCAGCCUUUCCAAACCAAUUUUUCACAGUCAAAUGGGCAGUAUGUUGAUCAAAUAAGUUAUAAAUUAAAAGAGCAUUUCAUACUCUUUGCUGCUCUCUUUCACAUCGUUCACAUUCAAUGGGAAACAUGGUUACUUAUCUAAACAUUUCUCUCUCAAGUUUACUUUACUAUUAUGGUUUUUUGGGAGUUUCUUCGCUGCUCUCUUUCACAAUGCCUCCAGUUCUUCUUCUUUCACUAAUUUUUUCCUUCCCACAGUUGUUACAUGGUAGAACAGACUUCUAGCAUAGCCAUAUGAAACAAUAUAGUGGAUUCAGCCAAAAUUACAAAUUUGUUUUUCUCCUAUAGCUAGCUGAAUACACAGAAAUGUAAAUUAUUCAGUUACCCUUUUCAAUCAUCAUGUCUUUAUUCAUCUUUGAUAAAUCAAUCAUAUUUUACUUUGAUACCAUCAAUGACACGCUAUUUAUAUUAUCAUAUGUGUAACUAAUUAUCUGAAAACUUUACAUCCACUACAAAAGAAGAACGAGAAGUAAGUCUAAGUUGUUGGUAUGGGAGUUGUUCUGCCACCAAUAGGUAGAAAAGUCCCAUUACUCCAGUGUGCUCCCUGGUGCUGUUGUAGUUAGACUCUAGGGUUAAAGUUUCACCAUCAAUAAUCUUGACAGAACCUGGUUUAGGAUAACAUGUGGACAUUCCUACAAUAUAGGUUGCCUCAUUUCCUGCUUCAUUUCCGGUUCCAUAACUUGGUAUAGAAGAACAUAUAACCCUCCCAUCCUGAAAACAUAAUCCACAAAUAUCACAAAACUAGUAAAUGUAAAAAAUACAGUGGUUACUUCUUGAUCAAAAGUAUAAGAAACACUGAUAGUACUAAAUUGCAAAUAUAUGAUGCUAUUCUCUUCUUUGUUAAACAUUUUCUACCCUUGAUUGAAAACUAUUACAUGAACAAAUAGAGGUGAUUAUAUAUGAUAAAAAAUGUCAAUAUUGUCUCGGUGUCCGACACUACGACACAUCUUUAAUCUCAAGUAUCAAUGCUAUAUUAGGUGUAAAUAUAGAAUCCCUCUUAAGGGGCAGAAUCAUGAUUGAUUAUACCCUUCCAGAUUGUAGUGGGAGACUUGUCCUUUUCACAUGAACACACCCAUUUCCCUCCUAUUGAUCUGUGCUGCAAGAUUCAACUGAUACUCAACCUGAAACAAAGAAAUCUACGUUGCUCGCAAUAUACCUAACAAACUACUGGACUAGUGUUAUAUAUGUUUUAAGAGUUAAACUAAGAUUGAGAAAAACAAACAAUGAGCAUGGAUUCCCUGCAGUCGUGAAACUCUACAUUCAGGCAAUCAUCGCAACAAUCACUGAUUAAUUGACUAACUAAAUGCUGAGUAUAUUCUACUACACGGAAUCUAUUUCCACAAACUAAAUGUUUCUUGAUGAAUGCAUUUACCUUGCAAUCAUGAUCUGAUUUCAUUCCUUUUGAAUCAUCUGAUAGUUUCAAACUACCAGUGACAUCAAUUAUAUAUAUCUUAACGGGCACUAUAAAAUCAUCCCAAUCAACCCACUUUACUGUGCAUCUUAAGUAAAGGCUUCUCUUAGGUCCUUCGAAACCUUCCUUCAACUUGCACCGUGUAGAAUCAUAACAACAUAACAAACCUCCUUUAUAAUCUGGCCUAAUAGAUUUUCCAUACUCAUCCACUGUAACAUUAUAAAGGUCACACUUACAUUCAGUGCACCCUAAUUUAUCCUCUGUGCCACGCGUAUCGAUGGCAUGAACAUUAAGCAACCAUUUCUCCUCAAACCCUUCUGGAAUCUCUUCAGGACUACCUGUCUCUAUACCAAAAGGAUCUGGAAUAUCUGUUGUCGUUCCUCGUGUUUCUGAUCCAAGGCCAAAGUAUUGUGGAAUGGUAUUUCCCUGGCAUAUGCCACUGUUCCUUACAAGAACAUGAUCAUAGUUUUGAAGCAUCAUGUGGCUACCAUCUUCUGUGUGUGUGACAUAUUUUCUUUGAUAAUGUCAUUCAACAAGCCAAUGAUGGAGAUAGGUUUCAUGGAGGGGUAUAGGAUUACCAUCUUCAUCAACAACUUCAGCAUUGAAACUCUUGAGUGCUAUAUGAUCACUUGGAAAAUCAAUAUAAUAAUAAAAUCUAUUGAUAACUGAUCCAGGUCCAAGUUCAAACUUAGGGGACAGAAAAACAGCUGAUUUUAUUUUAUUUUCAGUCUUCUCAAAAGAACUUAAGCAUGGUGUGCCAAACAAUAAUAGAAGUAUUGCUACUGACAAUUCAAAAUCUCUAGGUACAAACCACAUGUUGAUGAUCUGCCAGAAAAAUAUUUACAAGUAAUUAACUAAUUUUUUAUUAAAGAAAUAUUAAACAGAUGCAGAAUCAAGCUUUCAUUAAACAAGGAAGACAAUGUUUGCAAAUUGCACAUGCACAACAAUAUUAAAAAAGGCAAGAUAAACUACACAAAUAUGCAUGAAAAAACAUAGUUUGAACACAAUCAAUACGGAGCAAAAGCAUGCAGAAGAGAAGAUGGAAUGGCUUGAGUUGCGUUCCUCAGAAAGAUAGUUUGGAAAUGGCAGAGUUGAGCUUUGUUUGACGAGAAAACUAGCUACUAUUCGAAGUAUUUUUAUAUAGAAAAUGUACCUGAGACCCACCUCAUCAUCAUCACAUGAUAAUGUUCUUCACAAUCUUUCAUUUCACACUCGGGAAAGCAAUAUCAGAAUUUAUUAUUAGCAUGACUUCUUCAUUCUUUCAUUUUAAUAUAGGUCUAUACUUGUACCGCUCAAAGUAAUGGGAAAGUCUAUGUCAAUGUUUCAUAAAUAAAUUCAAUUGUUGAUAUUAUAUUACAUGUAUUAUAUCACAUGUAUUUCUUAUUAUGGGCUUUGAAAAUAUCAUAUCACAUGUAUUAUAUUAUUUGUUUGUAAAAAAAGUAUUAGUAUAUUAUAUUAUAUUUUUACCUCUUUUUAAUUGCAUUUUCUUUUUAUAUAUAGAGAAAGAAUGAAUGUUUUUAGCUUUUGAUAUAAUUAUAUCUUUUUCUUGUAGUCGUCAAAAAGAAUUUCUUUUUUUCUUUCUAAUAAUGGAAUUGCAUUAACUACUCAAACGGAUGGAAUUUGCACCAAGGGAAUCAUUACAUAUGAGAAUAUCUAACAAAGAUUUCUCUAUUACAGCUAAGUAGAAUGAGCUCGAUAUGCAAGAUGGUUUGCACAUUUAUUUGCAUCGCAGUUAAUAUGAUAUAACUCAAGUGCAUAUUUGGAGUAUGGUGCAAGUACAUGGCAGAUAAGAAAUAUUGGUAUAACCAUGUUGAAUCGUAUUCAUCGCUACUUUGAAAUCAAAUUCAAUUAACACGUGUAUUAGGUGCUGAGAUUGAACAAGUCCAAAGCCGGAAAGAAUUGUCCACGGCUCAGUUGAAAGUUUAUUUGAAGAGGUAAUUUAAAGCAUAAAAUCAUACACAAAUUUACCUUGUUGGUCACGAAUCAAGCCACCACAAGCCAAGCUUCCGACGCUGGUAAAAUAUGAUCCAUCUACAUUGAGUUUGAGUCGUCCAAGAGGAUGGAUCAAAUUAUGCUUCUGAUGUGCAUUGUGGAUUUCCUCUAUAUGUCUUGGGCAGUUGCAACUCAAUUACAAACAAGAUCAUGAACAAGAUUUUUAACUGAAUUUCAUAGCUUAUCUCCCGUAUCUAAUUGAUAAUGUAGAUUUUUACCCUAUUCAUUGUGAAUAUUUUUAUGGGUAUCUAUUAGGUACGAGUCCAAUUGUCAUCCAUAAGAUGUGUUCUAAAGUUACAUGCUAAGAAAUUCAAUUUAGAAUAUAUAAUUAUGAAAGAUAUGUACAUUUAAUUCUUUAAAGUUUACAAAUUUUUCAUUUCAAUACAAAAUUUAUACUUUGUCAAAAAAACAAAAAAAAAAUACAAAAUUUAUACUUUUAUAUUCUUUAAUAUCUAUCUUUAAGGUCCAGUUAACAAGACCCUAAAAUAUAUACAUUUUAUAUAACACUUCCUCUCAUAGAAAGAAAGGGAAAAAAAAAAUCAAGAUCACGACUUUUUAUUCAUUUUUUAAUCUUAAUAUUAUAUUUUAAAUAUUAUUUUAUAUUAAAUAUUUUUAUACUCACUUGUAUGAUGAUUAAAAAUUGGUAUUUGAGGGGAAAAAACAUCUUAAAAUUUAGAAAGAUAAAUAUCUAGUACAAUAAUAUCCUAUUAAAAGAAAGAGUAAUUCACAAUAUAUGUUUAUAUUAAUUUAUUAUGAAUGGCUUCCUGAUUAUUGUCACAAUUGUGCUACAAUUGGUCAUGACAUUGGUCGAUGUAAGUGGUUGCAUAAAAAUCAGAAUGUUUCCAACUAGGUUGCUAAGAAACAAAAAGUUGAAAAUAGAAACUAUAAGGAGAUGCAUUCCAAGCUGGAAAUGAAAAGGUUUGCAAGGGUAAGACAUUAUCUCGUGACGAUACUGUGCAACAUCCUCAGCGGGCUAGACAACAUGAGGCUGCACAAACUUAGCCUCAGAUUGUCUUGCAACAAUUGACUAAUGAUAUUGUGCAACCAACACGAUGUAGCAAAAUUGUUGUAGAUGAGGACCCACUUAUCUUAGAUAUAAUAAGGUCCAAAUAUAUGACAAUUAUUGUGCAUGUGGGAGAUGCUAUUGAGUUGGUGGAAGAGGCAUUUUCUAUAGCUGUUGAAACUCUUCUUGUGCAGCCUGUGCAGGUGAAACACACCUUAGUUCAUGAUUGUGAGAUUGUGAAACAUAACGGGGACCAACAGAGGAAUUCUUUGUGUAUCAAUGUCCCUUGGUGUGAUGCGGCGACCAAUAUGGACUACAGUCAGGAUCACACACGAAGUGAAUUUGAGCAGGAAUUGGGAACUGAUAGUUCCAUAGUUGUGACAGACUCUAACUUGUCAAACUUUAGUGCUAAUGUAAUUCAUGAAAUGCAAGUUUUAAGGGCUUAUUCCUACCGUAACCCAACAAGCUAUGGAUUUUCUAAGUGAUUCCUCGUUUAACAUGGGUCAGAAAGAAGAUACUGUUGAUUUGACAGGAAACACAAGUCAGCCAUUUCAAUUGGUGGAACAUAGAAAGAGGGAGAACAAGACGCAGCAGCCUCAUACGAGCAAAGGGUUCAAGAUGGGUGAUUCCAGCUGUUCGCAUCGCUAGUUCUUUGAUGGGAGUUCACUUUCAUACUUUUUAGGCCUUUUAACUGUUUUAGUUCUUUUUCCGCUUUUGUUUUUCUAGAGGGUUUUGGUUUAAUCACCCUUCCCUCUUUAUACUUUCUUUCUUUAUUUUAAUCUAUGAUCAGGAUUCUGCAGUAGGUGAUCCCUCUGCACCUCAUAUAGUAUAUUGUCGCUUUAUAUGCUGGGUCAGCCAUAUGAACCAAAAAAUAGUGAAUUAAGCCAAAAAUACAAAUUUGUUUUUCUCCUAUAUCUAGCAGAAUACACAGAGAAGUGUAAUUAUUCAGUUACCCUUUCCAAUCAUGUCUUUAUUCAUCUUUGAUAAAUCGAUCAUAUCUUACCAUAAUACCAUCAAUGACACGCCACUUAUAUCAUCAUAUAUGUAACUAACUAUCAGAAAAAUUUACGUCGGCGACAAAAGAAGAACGAGAAAAAAGUCUGAGUUGUUGAUAUGGGAGCUGUUCUGCCACCAAUAUGUAGAAAAGCCCCAUUACUCCGGUGUGCUCCUUGGUGCUGUUGUAGUUAGACUCUAGAGUCAAAGUUUCACCAUCAAUUAUCUUAACAGAACCUGGUUUAGGAUAACAUGUGGACAUUCCUACAAUGUAGCCUGAUUCAUUUCCUGCUUCACUUCCCUUUCCGUAAUUUGGUAUAGAAGAACAUAUAACCCUCCCAUCCUGAAAACAUAAUCCACAAAUUUCACAAAACAAGCUAAUAUACAAAUACAAUGUUUAACUUCUGGGUCAAAUGUAUAAGAAACAUCGAUGGUACUAAAUUGCAAAUAUAUGACACCAUUCUCUUCUUUAUUAAACAUUUGUUACCCUCUAUCGAAAACUAUUACAUGAUCAAAUAGAGGUGAUUAUAUAUGAUAAAAAAUGCCAAUAUUGUCUCGGUGUCCGACACGUGUUACACAUCUUUAAUCUCAAGUGUCGGUGCUAUAUUGAGUGUAAAUAUGGAAUCCCUCUUAAGAGGCAGAAUCAUUAUUGAUUAGACCCUUCCAAGUAUUUAAGAAUUACUGCAAUCUAUAUGUACUGUGACUAUUGCAAAUUACCUGUCCAAAUAGGGUUGAUCCAAUUCCACCUGAAUGCUGAUGAGCAACACCAUAGAUCACAUAGCCACCGGUUUGUAGUGGGAGACUUGUCCUUUUUACAUGAACACACCCAUUUCCCUCCUUUUGAUCUAUGCUGCAAGAUUUAACUUCAUACUCAACCUGAAACAAAGAAAUCUAUGUUGCUCGCAUUAUACCCAACAACUUAAUGGACUAGUGUUAUAUAUGUUUUAAGAGUUAAACUAAGAUUGAGAUAAACAAACAACAAAUAUGGAUUCCCUGCAGUUGAUAGACUCUCACUCUACAUUAAUUCAAGCAAUCAUCACAACCGUCACCAUUCCACAAACUAAAUGUUUCUUAAUGAAUUUACUUACCUUGCAAUCAUGGUCUGAGUUCAAUUCUUUUGAAUCAUCUGAUGGUUUCAAAGUAUCAGUAACAUCAAUUAUAUAUAUCUUAACAGGCACUAUAAAAUCAUCCCAAUCAACCCAUUUCACUGUGUAUCUUAAGUAGAGGUUUCUCUUUGGACCCUCAAAACCUUCCUUCAACUUGCACCGUGUAUGAUCAUAACAACAUAACAUACCUCCUUUAUAAUCAGGCCUUACAGACCUUCCGUACUCAUCCACCGUAACAUUAUAAAGCUCGCACUUACACUCGGUGCACCCUAACUUAUCCUCUGCACCUCGUGUAUCGAUGGCAUGAACAUUAACCAUCCAUUUCUCAUCAAACCCUUCUGGAACCUCUGCAGGAUUACCUACCUCUAUACCAAAAGGGUCCGGAAUAUCUGUCAGUGUUCCUCUUGUUUCGGAUCCAAGGCCAAAGUAUUGUCCAAGAUAAUUUCCCUGGCAUAUGCCACUGUUUCUCACAAGAACAUGAUCAGAGUUUUGUAGCAUCAUGUGGCUAUCAUUUUCUGUGUGUGUAACAUGUUUUCUUUGAUGAUAUCUUCCAACAACCCAAUGAUGGAGAUAAGUUUCAUGGAGAGGUAUAGGAUUUCCAGAUUCAUCAACUACUUCAGCAUGGAAAUCCUUGAUUGCUAUAUGGCCUCUUGGAAAAUCAAUAUCAUAAUAAUAUCUAUUGACAACUGAUCCAGGUCCUAGCUCAAAUUUCGGGGACAAAAAAACAGCUGAUUUUAUCUUAUCUUCAGUCUUCACAAAAGAACUUGAGCAUGGUGUGCCAAUCAGAAGGAGAAAUAUGGCCAAUGAAAAUACCAAAACUCCAGAUACAGAACACAUAUUGAUCUGUCAGGAAAAUAGUUACUAGUAAUUAACUAAUUGUUGAUUAAAGAAAUAUUAAACAGGUGCAGAUUGCAACAAAUGUAUUAUUUUCAUAUAAAAUUCGGACAUGAUAGUACUACAAGAGAAUUAUGCAAUCAGAUAUAAGUAUAAUAAUGAUCAAAGUAGUCUUUAGGAAGCCUUUGAUGAAUUCAAUCAAGCUUACAAUAAACAAGGCAGGAAGAGUUUGCAAAAUGCAUAGGCACAGCAAUAUUAAAAAGAGCAAGAUAAUAUACAAUGAUGAUCAAGAUGUUAAAUCACAGUCACGUUGUAAUGCAAUAAUAUUAAUACCGUUGAUGCAAGUUCAAUUGCAAUAACAAAGAGAUAUUAAAAUUUUUAAUUUUGUGUAGUGUGAUCAAUGAAAAGAAGAGAAGAUCAUGGAAAGGCUUGAGUUGCGUUACCUGCGUACCUCAGAAAUGUAGUAGUUUGGAAACGACAGAGUUAAGGUUUGUUUGAUGAGAGAAUCACUUGUAUUUAUUAUAGAUGAAUGAACGAAUGAAAGUGUCUACUAGAGAGCCACCUGCUCACAUGACACAAUCUUUCAUUUCACACUUCAAUAUCCAUUAUUAAUAUCGUUUUUUUGGUUAUUUAAUCCAAAAAGUACUUAAUGCUUAACAUUUCCCACGAUGAGGAUCCUGAUCAUUCUAAAUUAGAAAAUAAAAGUUAUCCAAAAAAAAUAGAAAAAUAGAAAACGAAUGCAAACAAUCCGUUUUUUAAGAUCAUAUCGGCAAAUUUGAUAUUAUAAGAUUGUGUAAUCAAUGUAUAUUAGUAUUUUUCUAUUAAAAAAAAUGGUAUAUUAGGAUUUUAUUUGAAAUCCUAUAAAUAUACCAAUUUGUAGCAUUUUCUUUUUGAAGGAACCGAUUUGUAGCAGAUCAUUUUUUGUAAAUUCUCGUAGUUUACUUGGAGGCAAGCAUAGUAGGCGUAGGCUGCUUAUUCUUUAGCACGUAGUGACAUCUCUAGGCUCUAGCUAGCCCCAUGUCUUCUUUAUACAAAUAUAAUAUUAAGGUCUUAAGUUUUGUUCCCCUUAAGAUGUCAGGAUUGAUUACGCCGGUGCCAAUUUCAGCAGGUUGGUUCAUACAAAGUUUUCCUCCCCACAAGUGGCUGGUGAAUUCGGACUCAUCAGAUUAGUCAGUCUUCUCUUUUGGCCACAUACCGAGUUUAAAGAAAAAAUAAUUUUUUUAUGAUUAAAAAAUCGUAAUUUAAGGUUAAAUUUUUCAAGGCAAACUAAAAAGGGAUGUUCAAAGGUUCAGUCGAUCGCUCAAUCGCAAGCAGCAAAAACUACACGGAAAGUGAACACGAAUCAGAAAAAGACGUUUAUUGAAUUUAUUCCAAAACAAAUAUUGGGAUAGCACAGUUUAUUUAAUUUAAUAAAAGAAGAAGCAAAAACUAUCAUAAAUACUAUUUUCCCCCACCAGUUCCCAAGUCCACACGGAUAUGCACCUGUGCUUGACUUCCUUCUACUUUCUUCCCAUGUGUUGAUUCUUUUUUUUACAACAUUGAGAUGAUGGAUCACAUUGGACAUGAAAACUCUUCGUUAAGCUCCCCAUUAAAAUCCAGACCAAAGGAUAUCGGGAUGAACUGGCAUGUUAAUCUUCCUUACAGCAUAUAUCGAACUGCAUACACAGAAAAGGAGGGAAAAUUCCACUGGAUCAGAGACAGAAAAGGAAGUUGCAGAAUAAUAUAACUAUAAACAGGAAAUAACACACCACAUUCAACCCACUUUAGGAAAUUGUAGUGAUACAUUAAAAUUGAUAAUUGAUGUCUGCAAUUCACUUGUAUAAUUUAACAGAACAUCUACUGACCUAUUUUACUAACAUCUAAUAGAGUAGUGCCACAACACACAUUGAGAUACCAAAUGCAAAAUCAGAAAUUUUCUCUAUCGGGACAAAUGGCCCUUUGAAGUUGGAAGAAGAAUCUUAAACAAACAUACCCAUGUUUGUUUCAACUUCCAACAGAAGUGCAAGGGGCGGGAGUCAAUACGAGGGAAGUGAACUCAAAAACAAGCAUUACUAUCAUUUGGUUUGCAUAAAAAAUAACCUGAUGGAACUGCAAUAGUGGAAAUGACAAUACCAAAAGUCUCUAAAAUGACAUAAAAAAUGAGCUGAUACGCUAUUUUAUUCUAAAUACUAAAUUUAUCCAUCACAUUUUUUAAUUCAGAACUACUUCACAAAGUGGUUUUUUAUGUUUUUUUAUAUAACAGAAAUGUCAGCACAAAAUACCAAUUCCUUUCUUUCAACUAUUCUACCCAACCAAGCAAGUAAAGAGAACACUUGACUUUUCAUACUCGCAUUCUUUUAAAUUUAGUUGCUAUGGUGGAUCCAUUUUUCACACAAUUAAAAUCUUAUACUCGUAUCCUUCCCAUUUAUCUCAUAUGAGAUUUUCAUUUUCAUAAGAAAACAAUAAAGAGCCUGACAUUAGAUGAGAUACGGCCUGAAAAUGUGUUUAUAAGUGGUGAGCAGUCUUUGCUUCGCCUAUUAAAUUGGUUUUGUAAGAAUUGAAUCAGUUCAACCCAAAUUCUAAGAUGGUAUCAGAGUUAGAGCUCUAAGAAAUUGGUUUAUGACGUCUUUUGGGAGAAGAAGAAUUUGAUUGUCCAAACAAAUAAUGAUACUGCUUAAUGCAAUUAUCAUAAAUUGUUUUACAUGCAUGUGUUUUGCAAUAAGAUAUGCAUUGGAGGAAAGCUACGAGAUGGACAAACCUUAAAAGUUAUCGGAUUUGCAAAACCAAACAAUGGUGGCGCAAUGAUGCAACUCUAAGAGAAAAACAUGUUGUAAUUGACUAUAACAAUAAAUUGAUCCUGUUAAUGUCUUAAUGACAUACUUAAACAUUAUAAAAAGGUUUAUGUUAGGCAUGGUUAGCCAAUUAUACCCUUCUACACUCUAUUUACUGAUGACGGUCAGACAAGUUAUUAAUGUAUUUGUUUCUUUACGAUCGAAAUAUUAAGUCAUAUCCAUCUUUGUUAAUUUCAACCUCUUUAAUCAAAUCCCCCUACAUAUUUCAGACCAAUAAACGUCAUCCUCACCGAGACAACGAGCAAUCACACAAAACCACAAUGUCCAUCUCCCACAAGGUCAAAAAUAAUAUUCUCAAUAUAUGGUUGCAUCUACUUGGGAAUUUGGAGAAUAAAAUCAAAAUUGACAGUGUUGGAGUCUUGGAGAAACAUCGUGCACAUUUUCAAUAGAAUAAUCAUUCGAUUUGCUGAAUCGUCAGCUUAUUGGAAAAUUAAUCUUAAAAGAUAUUGUAGAAAUAGAUUUUAGGCAUGAUUCUCUGAAGAUAAAAAAUUUAGUACUGAAAAAUUACAUGAUGUUUUGCCCACCCUGCGAAUUUUGCUUAUACUCUCCAGACUCCUAACUAGUAUUGCUAAUAUUUUCGACUUUGAAGAGAAGAACAUUGUAAUUUUUUGGCGAUCACAUGUUAUCACGCUAAAGAUAAGUUUAUUGACCUAAGGUUUGUAGAAAUUUGAUUGAAGAGAUUGAAUAUAACAAAGAUAUAUAUGACUUAAUACUUAGGUGUCGUAAGAAAUAAAUGUAUUAAAACGUGUCUAGCACUCUAGCCAUCAAGAAAAAGAAGACUAGAAAAAGAUAAGUGGAUGGUCAUGUCUGGCAUGAGCCUUAUUAUUAUGACUUCUAAUUAUGGAAUGAAAGUGAUCAAUUUUUUGUUACAAUAAUUCACAACACAUUUUCCGCUUUGAGGUGCGCCACCACACCACCUCUUUUUUGCUUGGUGUUGCAUUUGGGAAAGAAAAAAAAUCACUAUACAUAGAUAACUUUUAAGGUUGUCAAUCUCGUGCCUUCUAUCCAUCCUCGAUGCAUAUCUAAUUGCAAUGAAGUAGUGGUAUCAUUCUAAUAUAGUCAAAUUAUUAAACCACUAUAUCUAUGGCAACAUUCAUUUUAAACUAUCAUACAAUCAUACAUAGUCAAAUUAUUAAAAAUGUUUGGACAGCCACAAAAAAAAAAAAAAAAAUCAAUGUGUCAACACAUCAUUAAAAUAUGCAUCAAAUUCAAACUCGUUAACAAACCACAUGGUAUGCAAGCAAAUGGCUAAGAACAUGUCAACCUUAAAACUUCCAACACUCUUGCUUGCAAACCUUAUCGCGUAGCACUAAAAUAACACAUUAGCACCAUUACUGAAUCAUCAAUUUCAAAUUUCUCAAUAUUUAACCAUCAAGAUUUUCAAGCAUGAGCGAUAAAAGUCCAUUAAAAAGAUAGCUAGUUCCCUUACCUUUGAAUGUGACUCUCAUCUUGAGAGAGGCUUCUGAAGCAAUGCAGUCAAGUAAAGCUCUCCAUGCUUAACACCACCAGCAUCAGUCUUAUUCCCCGUUGCCCACUUCACUUUCUUGUAACCCAUUUUCGCAAUCAAAGGCUUAUACACUUUAUCAAGAUCCACACCCUUACUAAAAAAAUGAUCCAACCACAAAUACCCUCCACCUCUCAACACUCUAUCAACAUCAAACAACAAAAACUCCAACAUUGUCACCGGAAUCCAUCGAUUCACCGCCCUCCCACACCGAACAAUAUCUACAACACCGUCAAACAUCGGUAACCGCUGCUGCAACGGAACAUGAAGCGGCACAAGUCCCCUUAACGCAACUGCCUCACUGUAAGGCGCCACAACAUUCAUUGUCGUUGUAACCACCGUAACAUUCCUCACCUUCAUUGCCGCCGCAAAUGAGCCGGUACCACCACCAACGUCAAGUCCCAAACGUAAAACUGAUUUCGCUGAUUUCGCGAUCUGAAGAAGCUGUUGAACUGGGAGAUCUAAGUCAGAAUUAUAGCUAGUAAACUUAGAAACUUCACGAGAAGGUUCAAAUCCGAGAUUAGGGUUUUGACGGUUAAAACAAUCGAAUGAUUUACAUGAGUAACGAUCCCAGAUAACAGAGGAAUCAGGUAAGGAAGAAGGAAAAGGAUUUUUCGGAAGAGAACUCGACGAAGUUUGUUUCUUCGGCGUCGGAGAGAAACAUCUCCGGCGAGGGAGAGGAUGACAACCGCGAAGAAUUAAGCUUUCAGCGAGCUCUGAAUCAGAAGGACAAAUCGAGAACGGUGUGUAGGUCAUGUACUUAUGAAGAAGAUCAGGGUGGUUAUGACAAGAAGAAGCAAUUGGUGAGAUGUGUGAGUAGAGGAGUAGAUCUGAAGGGAUUGAUGAUUUUGUGUUGGUGUUGGGGUUGGUGUUCUGGAGGCGCGUGAGGUGGUUGAUGGUGGCGCGUAUGGUGUGAAGUUGACGGAGGAGUUCAUCGGGUAUCGGUGGAAGUGGUUUUGGGGAUUUAGGGGAUUGGAGAGUUGUGGAGAGAUGGUAGAGGGAGAGAAUGUUGGUUGCUACCAUUGCUAUUAGGAGAAGAAGAUUUAGUGUCAUGGUGCUGAAUGUGAAACCCAUUUGGUUUCUUUCUUUGCUUUUUCUUCUUCUUCUUCUUCUUAAGCUCAGUGUAGAGUAGAGUAACUCACUAUCUUGUCCUUAUUUGUUUUGGUUAAUUGGGAUUUGAAAAGCUUAGAAUGAUAUUUUAAGAUUAACAAGUGGGGUUUGUGAGUUGACUAAUUGGAAUUAGAGUAUUUCAUGUGAGUGAGUGUUGGUGAGAGAAGUGAGCUAGUACUGGAGUAGUAGGUAGGUGUGUAGUGUCAGAGGUGAACUAUCUCUGGUGGUGCUAACAUUUAUGAUAUGUGAUGUGAUUCUAAGCUAAGUUUGCUUGAUUUAUGAAUCAUGAUCUAGUAGUACUAGUAGUAGUAAUAUAUGUGGGACCAAUCUGGGUUAAGUGUUUAUUUACUGUCUUGAUGAUGAUGUAAAUAUAAACUUAGAAUUAUGGAUACUUCUCUGUUUAUGUAUUUAUCUAGUGAACAUUGAACAAUAGGACAAAAGAAUUGGUUAUCACUUUCAGCUUUUGGCAUGUAGACACAUAUUUUCUUGCGUUUCUUUUGUUUUUCAGUGGUAUCAUAUUUGUUUUAAAUUGUAACUUAACGAGGAAGAAUAAAAAAAAUAACUUGGUUGAAUGGAUGAAAUAGGAGAAAAUGCGAAGGGCAAAACAGCGGUAUGCACGUGAAUUUCGUCAUGGAUCAUGUCGGGAGUGUUUAAUAUUCAUUUGAUUUCGUUAAUCGUUCUAUCUUUGGAAAUGUUUUACUACUUUAAAAGUCUUUAACGUAAAGUCGUGAAUUAGUGUUAACCGUGUUUGAAGGAAGGAUGUAAUAAUCAAAUCAAAGUAGUACAUAUUAUAUCGGUAUUUAAAUUGCAAAGAAAAAGCUUCUUUAUUUUUAAAUAAAAAGAAAAACAAGUACAAUAAAAGCCUAAAAUUUGAGCUGAACACGAGGCAUCAAGUCCCAACACUGAUUUUAACUCUAAUGAGAAAGUGUGUCAAAAGGUAACACCUAAUCUUAAAGAGCGUUUGAGCUUGACCAACAAAUUUGCACAAUGUUUGCCCCUCAUGUUAGAAAUAUGCUCCUUUAACCCGAAAAUCUUCAAUAACAAAGAAGCGUAUACAUGCAUAUGUGAGUGAUUCGGAUGUUGAAGAAGAUUGAGGACUUCUAGAGAAUCUCUAUUGAUUACUAACAUCAAAUCAUGGUAAACCUCAAAUAGUUCAGCAAAAAGGGCAUCUUCCUGCCCCUCGUUAGAAGAGAAUCCAGCCAUUCAAUUUUCAUUGUUGUCACGAAGUAAACCACCAUAAAUCAAUGUCAUCGGAAGCACCACAACUUUAAUUAAUAUUCAACUUAACGCGUUCAUCCAUUUAACAAUGUGACGAUUAAUGUGGUGCUCAAAGAAGUGAAUAUUAACAAAAGUUAGGUUAAUACGCAUAAUGUCUAUAAAAUGAAUGACAUUUUGGGUUUUCCAUUUCUUGUCGCCAAAAGUAUGGUUAUUUAUGAAGUGUCAAAUCCACCAAAUAGCUAUUGCAAACAUGUUAGCAAAAGGUCCUUCGUAUAUGUUUUUAAGGAUGUGAAGCUGAAGAAAUAUGGAUGAUUAACACUACAUAUUUGUUGCCAAACUUCCUUCGUUGGAGUACAAUCUCUGACGUAGUGAAGCACAUCUUCAUCAUGUGUUCCAUACUGUUGACAGAUAAAAGAUGUUGCCAAGUUGCAGUAUAAUGUCGAAGCUUGUUAGUUGGGAUCACAUUGUGCAUUGAAAGCUAGAGGAAAUGUUUCACUUUGGCCCGAACUGACAAUUUCUAAAUCAAAUCUCAACUUUCAUUAUCAUUCAACUCUCUAUAACGAGAUAAAAGCCAACUAUAGGUUGUGGAGCAAUAAUACCUUCUUGUUUGAGAAGCUCCACAAACCUAUAUAUCCUGAAUAGUAUCAUCAAAGUCCAAAGGAUGGGGAUUGAUCAACAAUCGUGUUGAGUUUGUUUGGAACCAUUGUCAUCAGUUUAUUCCAAUCUCAUGAUCAAACUAGAAUUAGGAGCAUCCGAAAUGUUGACUAAAUCAACCAUGUGACAAAGCGCUCCUAGCCCCGUCUAGUUAUCAAACUAGAAUUAGGAGCAUCCGUCACCGAUGCGGAAUCGAAAGCCUUGUCUCAAGGCUUCCAAUGCCUUUAAAAUACUUCUCGAGGUUAGAGAAAUGUUUCCUUCAACUUUAAUGUUCCAAAUGUCGCCACAUUUUAUGUACUUGUGAGAUAAAACCCUCACCAAAGUUCCAGAGGAUCAUAAUGAAGGUUCCAAACUAACUUCCCAAGAAGAGCAAUAUUACACAGUCUAGUUUCCCUAAUGGUGAGGCCUCCAAAAUUCUUAGGGGAAGUAACAGUAGACUACUUAACUCUAUUUUGCUUCCUAUUACGACAUGUGCCACCUCAAACAAAGCUCUUGGUGACUCUAUCGAUCUUAACACAAGUAUUUUGUGGGUAAAUAAUGCAUCUACAUGGUAUAAAUAGGCAUUGUCGUAGUAACUGAUUUGGCUAGGCAAACCCGCCCCACUUUAUUAAGGAAAUUACCUUUCCAAGUUGAGAGUCUUCUAUGCAUCUUCUCUAAAAUAUAAACAUAGAAAAAAACGUUUAAUUGGCGAGUAAGGUCAAACAAACUCAUAGGGGAAUCAUUAUAUAGUUGGGAAAUUGCUCAUAUAACUUAAGAAAUUGCUCGUUGACACCCUAAAAAUACUUUAAUACCUCAAUGAUGGUUAACUAUUGUUGGGUUAUCAUAUGUAGACAUCACAAUAUUCUUGACAAAAUUGUUGUUUUUUAAUGACAAAAACUUGCUUUUUUUUUUCUUUCAUUUCUAAUCAUUCACGGUAUGAUUCACCACAAACUUAGUGCUUGUUUGGUUUCCCGUUUGUAAGCCUAGGACGUGUGUUUCCAUUGACAUAAUCAAUUAUACCACUAAAACAACUUGUUUGGUUCUCAAAAUUUUGACGUGAUUUUCAUUCCAAAAUCGUAUCAAGUUGAAGCAACUAUUUCUAGCUUUUGCGUUCACGGUAAGAUUUAAUUAUACAGUUAAUUAGCGUUUUCCUUUAUUACACUCAACUUAGUUAUGGAAGAACCAAACAUGUCGUUUGCCAUGGUUGAAAGUUGGUACUCCUUUCUUUUACGCUUAGUUAUGGAAGAAAAACCUGUAUCCACAAUUAUCCACUUGAACCACCCCCAGAUAUGACAGGUUUUCUCCGCCUUGAAUAGGUUUGGGGUUUUUCUAAUUUCAAAACACGGGUACAGGACGGGUAGAAUAUUACAUUAUUACUAUUUUAUUGAUCCUUUUAUAUAAAAAUAGAAACUCAAACCUUAAACCAUUUCACUCACGUAGUCAGAGUGUAACUCUCAGACGACACUUACUCGAGUUCUCUCUUUUCUCCUUCAUCACAGCCACCAAUCACCAUCACACCCUCGGUCAAUGAAAUGUUAAAGGGGAAUUGUUAAAGGGUCAUAUUUUUUGAGACGUUCAAGUGAGCAUAUUGAUGGAUAAUGCAUUAUGCAUUACAAUAUUUCCCUCGGGCUAAACAAUAUUUUUGUUUUUUAUAAUAAAAAAAAAAAUUCACCACGGGUACGGAGAUUGAGUGGGGAUACCUGAACCCGAUGAGAUUCAAUUUCUAAUCUUCGUUGGAUAUGGGUAGAGUAAUGGGUGAAUAUUAUGAGUUGCGGAUGGGGACGAGAAAAGUAAAACUCGUCCCCACCACGCGCCCAUUGUCAUGCCUAUUUACGUUGUGCUCCAUUAUCGUGGAUAUAAAUAUUGUUUGAUUUUUUUUCUGUUUACACUCUUUAAUUCUUGUAUUUUAUUAAAAAAAUCAACAUGAAAAAAUAUUAAAAAUGACUCUUAUGAAUUUAUCUUUUAAAAAAAUGAAUUUAUGAACUGAUAAAAAUGAAUUUAUGACUUUAGAUAAGUUAAAAUAAUUAUUUAAAAUGAUAAUUCAGAUAUUCAGUUUUAAAUAAAAUGAAAAGGAUAAUUUGGUCAUUGUUCAUUUAAAAUAAAUUUGUAUUCAAACAACAUAACUCAUAAGUAUCACUUUUAAGUGAGUAUAUUCAAACAUAAAUUAAUUCACAUCAAACUCAAUUUUAAGCAAAAUUAAUUUUCUCAAACUCAAUUAUAUCAAAAUCAAUUUUCUCACAGUCAAACGAAACACAUACUUAUUCACACAUUCAUUCAUUCCAUCAUCCACACAUUCCUUGUCUAAAAAUCAAUUCUACCUAAAAUUACGCAAAUACGCAAAAUCAGAAUCCAUUCUCCCAAAAUCAUUCAAAUGUCAUAGAAAAAUAUGCAAAUGUCACAACAAUGUCAUUAAUUUACACCAAGAACAAUAUUGUCAUAGAAAAACGAUAAUUUACGAUCGCGAAAAUUCUAAAAAAACAAGUACUCCUAAAACUACUGCCUCCUCCUUCGGGUUAUCUGAAGCGUGGUUGUUGAGGAGACCCUAGAAGUACUCCACUGAAUGACCGUCACACACCUGCUCCUCCGCCAUGGCAUAGACGGUCCAUAUGAUCUGGAGUAUGUUGGGACGAUCUCUGGCAUGAUCAUUCUCAAUAAUGACGUCCUCAUUAGGCGGUCUAGGAGGUGGUAGCUCAACAACCUUUGUAGGUGGGAUCAUCAACAGAAUAGAGACUCUGUAGAACCAUAUAGUGUACCCCGUUUCAGUCUGCCACGAAUCCACUGCCACCAGACCCCGCUUAGCCAAUGGUAUGACAUGAAUCACGAAGUCCUGGAAGACAUGGAGUAUUUAGGAUGAAUGAAAGGGAGACAACAAAGUCCGGAUGUAUGGGAAUGUUCUGCACACGUCCGUACUGCCUCUUCCUCUGCUCCUGCAAGUGACGGUGCUUUGUGCCAUUGUUGGACAUAGUCCAACCAGAGUAUUGAUUUGGUUCAUCCAUUCUUUGGAUCUUAAAAUAAAAAAUCGAGACUCAAACCAAAUUAAAUCAACUUAGGUUGGUUCAGUUCGAUAUUUUUGAACGAGAACCAAACCAAAUUAAAUCAGUUUAGGUUGGUUCGGUUCAGUAUUCUUGAACCAAACCAGACAAAAUAUAUUUUUUCGAUUUGGUUGGAUUUAAUUAAAUUUUCUAUUUCGGUUUGGUGCAUAUACAAAUAUAGAGAUGGUGGGAGAAGUUUUGUGCUAUUAAUUAAUGGUGACAGAAGAAGAUAAAAUAGAGAUGGGAUGCAACUGUGAGUAGGUGUGUAUGUAAGAGAUGGGAGGGCACACGCUGCACACAAAUGAUGGGGAAUUAAUUAGGGCUAGAUGCAUCCAGUUUUUUUUUUUUUUUUUUUUUUGCAUCCAGCUUUAAUCACUUGAUAUUUCUCAUUAAAUGGUAGUAACUUCCCAUUCCAUCAUUUCCCUCUUUUUUAUUAAAUCUUUUCAUCAAUCAAACACAUAACAUGCCCAAUUGAACUCGACGAUUCUAUUUUGUUGUUGAGCAAUGCUUUGAAGAGAAUUAGAGAAUGAAAGACAUUGAAGAAAGAAAAGCAUCUCCUCCUUCUCCUUCUCCUCUGUCGAAGUCGAAAUAUGAUUAUUACGGAAUUUGCUUUAUCGGAGGUAUGCUUAGUUCCGGCGCCACCCAUCUCGCUAUAACACCUCUCGAUGUACUCAAAGUCAACAUGCAAGUCAAUCCAGAAAAAUACAAGAACAAUGGAAUUCUCUCCGGCAUUGCCACCAUUUGGAAAGAGGAAGGUUCUUAUGCUCUUUGGAGAGGUUGGUCUGGCAAAUUAUGUGGAUAUGGUAUUCAAGGAGGGUUCAAAUACGGUCUUUAUGAGUAUUUCAAAAACUUCUAUGCCGCCGACGAUGAUCGUGCAUUGAUUAAGCUUAAUAGAAAUUCUAUAUUCUUUCUCAGUGGUUUGUCUGCACAGCUUUUAGCUGAUGUUACUUUAGCUCCUUUUGAAGCUGUUAAGAUCCGUGUUCAAAUUCAACGUAAUUUUGCUAAGGGUUUAGUGGAUGGGUUUCCGUUAGUAUAUAGAAAUGAAGGCCUUGCUGGUUUCUAUAGGGGCCUUGUUCCGUUGUGGAGCCGCAAUCUUCCCUGUAAGUAAGUAAGAUCCUAUAUUCGUAUCUAGCUAGCAUGUUCAUUCAUCAACCGUGCUAUUAUUACCAAUGGAAUCAGACAGUUUUAUUAAUCAUUAGUUGCGCUGGAUGUGUUUAUACUAGUAAUCAUUGUGUGGGUUUGUUCAUAUUUGUAAUUAUGUAAUUAUUCAUUAAUUGCGUUGGAUGUGUGGUCAUUCUAGACGGGAUAAAAUUAGAAAAGACAACAUUAGAGAGAGAGAGAGUUAGGGUAGCACCUAUAAUAGAGAGGAUGGUGGAAACUAAGCUUAGGUGGUUUGACCAUGUUGAGAUAAGUCUUGUAGAUGCCGUGAUAAGGAGAGUAGAUCGUAUGGAGGAUAGUCAGACCAUUAGAGGCAGAGGUAGACAUGUAGAUGCUGUCACCCACAGUUUUUUUACUUUUUUUUUUCUUCCUCGGCAUCAUGUUCACAGGCAAGCAUGAUAUCCUCUUUGUCCGUCUAAACGAAAAGACAGAUUUUACCCCACACAAAUUCUUGUUUUGACAAUAGGACUAUAGAGAUCAACAGGAGGUGAAGUUCUCUUUGCCGUCACUCAAGGCACUUGAUUGAGGGUACUUGUAAAAUGCACUAUAAUACUUAAAUUAACGUUAGCAAGAGAUUUUAGUGACAAAAGAGUAUGAAGAUGAGAGAUGGAUUGACCCAUCUAGGAGGGAUACCAUUUUAUACAGAUCUUUUGACGUAGUUUGAAUAGGAUUGCUCCACUUUUGCUAUCUGGAUACAAGUCUAUGGGUAAGUUCAAAUACUUGAAAUAUCUCUGGAUAAGUGAUUUGUAGAAAUCUGUUUUCAGGUCAUCAAUGUCCUUGGCAUAUCACUUACUAACUUCUCUAUUCUAUUGUCCUUCUAUUGACUACUUAAGGCGGACUUCCAAGAUCCUAUUUAUAUUUAAGCCUUGUUUUGGAUUUGUGUCAAAACAAUAAUUUGGAUUUGUGAGUGGUCCUUGUUAUGGUAGCAACAAAAAGAUUAUUCAAUUUGAUAUGUACAUAAUUCACUCUUUUUAGUUUCCAUUACUAUUCAGGUAACAUUUCACAGAAAAGUCCUCAUAUCAUGCUAAUUAGCAUCUGAGAUUUUGAGUAUUGAAAUUGGGGAUCUUCUGAUGAUAAAAAAGAGUUUGGUCAUUGACUCUUCUUGUAGUAUAUAGUUUCUAUUCAAUUAAACCAGACAACUUGACGUUUUAUGGAGAGUUGUGAUAGAACAGAGGAAUUGUAAAAUGGGGAGUGAUGUUAUUCUAUUGAAAAUAUGAAAUGAGGUGUGAUUACAAGUUUCCAGAGCAGAAUUGCUCCUCAGAGAAGAAAGAAAAUUCUAUUUCUUUGCCUAACCUCUUAGGGUCCUAACAGAAUGCAAUGAUCAUGAGUGACAGUCUCGAAACAAAAGCCCUUUAUAGUUAUUAAAAUCAAGUACUUUUUAACACAAAUGUACCAUAACCAUUUCCAUGUUGCACACCGUUAAUGACAUUUAUGCUUUCUUAAUCUUUGGUUUGACAGUCUCGAUGGUCAUGUUUUCAACAUUUGAGCAUUCAGUGGACUUAAUAUAUAGAAAAAUUAUGCAUAGAAGAAAGGAGGAUUGUUCUACAGCACAACAACUUGGUGUGACGUGCUUAGCAGCCUAUACAGCUGGUGCUGUUGGUACUGUAAUUUCCAACCCGGCUGACAAUGUCAUGACUAGUCUUUAUAAAAAAAAGGCUGAAUCUGCUAUGCAGGUAGGAUUUCAUGUUAUGCCCUGAUUCAUUUAGAAUAUGAAAAAUCAAUCAAAUUAACUAUAUUGGUUUUGCUUACUUUCAGGCUAUCAAGAGCAUUGGGUUCAUAAAUCUGUUCACUAGAAGUCUUCCUAUUCGCAUUGCACUUCUAGGACCAGUUGUAACUUUGCAGUGGUUUCUAUAUGACACUAUAAAAGUGCUAUCUGGAUUGUAAGUGACUAUUUUUUUUAUCAGUUUUCUUGUACUACAGAACUUUUUUAGUCAGUUUUCCUAUAUUAUAGUAGGCAAUAUAAAUGUUUUGUGAAAACUCGAAACUUAAGGUUCAAUGUGAUCCGCUUGAUGACUUAUGAUAUAGAAGUUGAAGCCUGAACAAUCAUAAUUAUAGAUUCAUGUUGAUAUAGGUUGUGUUUCUGUUGUUGAGCUAUCAUUUCAGUAGAUGCUAUUUCUUCCAUGAUAUGUAAUGGUAAUUUGAAAUAUUUCAAAUUCUUCAGUAAUUAAUAAAUUAGGGAAAAAUAUAAUUCACCCCUGUGAGAUACACUUUUCUAAGAAAAACUUGUAUAAAGAAUUUUUACCAACAUUAGAGCCAUUUUUUUUUCAUGUGUAACUGAAAUUUUUCUGUCAAAUCUAAUAUCCCAGAGUACAAGUGACAUGCAUGUGAUAUGACUCCACCAUUGAUGGAGAAACAUAAUAUACAGUGUCUUAUGUUCUAAAUUUCAAUUUUGUACUUGUAUAUAUGCAUCAUAUUACCAUAUGACAACUGACCAAUUCAGUGCAAACAAUUGAGCACCAAAUUAAGCACCUCUUCAUGAAACCUAGAUCUAAACGACCUAUAUUUGCAUCAUACUUGAACCCAAAUGCAGCACCAAAUUGAGCACUAAAUGCAGAAGCAAAAUCAGACCAUUCCACUCACCAUAUUUCAGCACCAACAGAACCAUCCAAGAAACAUCUUCGGAAAUGCAUAUCCUGGUUAGGAUUUAACCCCAGGUGCCAUUAGUGGCCCGCUCAUCAUUCCAACACCAUCAAUUUAAGAUUUGCUCGACAUUUCUGUCAUAUUUUUCCAGCUUUAUCAGACUAGAUUCAAUGGAUCCUCUCCUUGUCUGAGACUUUAGGAUUUUGUGAAUUCUUCAACAGUUGAAGGCAUGGAGGUUCCCACCAUGGCACCACAACAGAGAUUUAGAGUUACAAAAAAGCAACACAUAUUUCGUUUGCUUCUGCUGUGUUUUUUAUUUUAUUUUAAAGCUAACAUAAGGUGUACGUCAGCGAGUCAGAUUUGGAGUAUAGGGCAUAUAUCUUUCCAUGUUUAUCCGUCAAUGGAAUGUUGGCGAAGUUAACAUUGCACUUGGAAGUUAAAUGUUCAUGGCACGCAAAUGUUCGAUUGAACUUAAAUACAUUGAUUCAAGUGUCACGUUUUCAAUUGAAAUCAAAUGCCUGGGGUGUUUAGUUUAGUGUUAGGGAAACUUCUGAAAGGUAGCUUUUUAGUUAACUAUGUAUCUCACCGUGGGUAAACUGUAAUUUGAACAAAUUUUGACAUCAUAUUCCUAGUUUCAUGCUAAGCUUCCAAUAGUCUUGUUCUGGAUGAAGAGAAUAUUGUCUCUAGUAUAUUUUGUAUGUUUGCUUGUUUUAGUAUGUGCCCCACCAUAAAGAAAUUUGUGUAGUGCAUGUUGUUUUGUCAUAUAUAUGUCUCAUCAAGCAUGUCUAGUUUUAUACCGGACCGCGGUUGUGUGCAGUCGGGAGGUGUAGUGACUGUACUGCAGUCGUUUACGUAUGGACCUUCUGAUCAAGAUUGGACAGUUUAGAUGUGCUGACUGCAUACAGUAAGACUGCACUGAAUCCAAAUCUUUAAAUACCACCAUUUGGUUUUAUAAGGAUAUUACAUUGCCAAGUAUACGUGUGCUCUCUAUGCACACUACCUUGGUUAUGAUGUGCAUAACUGUUCAUUGGUGAAUUUUUUUUUAUCUUCUAAUAUUCUUUAUGCCAAUCAAAUAUUAAUUCUCUUUUAUGUCUUUUACACUGUAGCCCUACCAGUGGAGGACUUGCAAGAGACCAGAAGGAAAGUUAAAUUGUAGCUUGUGCUCAAGUAUCUGCGGAGCGUGGUGGUUUGUUCUUGCGGGUCUGAUUUGUUUUAUAGUACUAUUUAUUUUUCAUUAAAGUGAGAUAAGGAUAUGUUCGCUGUUCUUAAAUAAGACUGUAAUAAGCUUUUCUCAUAUAAAAAAAAAAAAAAAAAAGACUGUAAUAAGCAAUAUUUUUUUUCCUGUCUAAGCUCAUAGGGAUUUGUUCGUUGUUCACAGAGUCACUAUAUGGAAAAAUGACUUUGCAUUUGUACAUGUAAAUACAAAAUAGGAUUGAAUAAGAUUUUGGUGCCUAUUGUUGGGAAUUCGAUAGAAAACACACCAAUAACAAACUUGAUGUGUGGAGUAAGGGAUAGUCAAGCAACCAAAACAAGUAUGGAACAAUUAUAAACAGCGAGAGAAAAAGGAAGAGAGAACACAAAAGUCUCCCGCCUAAUUCUACCCAAAGUCUCAAUCUCUUAAUAGUGUUUUCCAAGGUGAAUCAACCCUCAAACCCUAGUGUUUGUUGCCAAAAGACAAACUCUACACAAACCCUAGUUUUGUUGUUGCCUUUCUAAACCCUUGUUUCAGCCUCUUCUAUCUCAAGGUUUACACUGAUACAAUGUCUAUAUUUAUAGUAAAAGAAUCCUCAAUAAAACUGGAACAAAUCUAGGCCCGAAAAUACGUUUCUGUUUUAUUUUCUGCUGUCAAAAUCGGCCACCGAAUGCUCUAAAUCGGCCAUCGAUUUUUGCCGAACCAAAGGCCAAAAAAACAGUCCAAAAUCGGCUAUCGUGCUUUGAAAAUCGGCCACCGAUUUUCUGCUACCAGAAUUUCAAUUUCUUCAAUUUUGAGGCACUUUCACAACACCUAUGAUAAACCAAUUUGAUGAUUGUUUUGGGUUCAUAUAAGUUUUUUUUUUUCAUCUGUGAUUAUUAAAAAGAAAUAUUUGCGUUUUGGUCUAUGUCGUUGGCUUUUACCUGUUAAAUGGCAACGUACAUUUCCAAAAAAAUAAAAUAAAACUAGACUUAAACAGAGGCGGUUCAUGGACAACAAUUAUAAAACACAUGACAAUAAUGUAGUUGGUGUUAUGAUGUUAAAUUUAAAAAAAUGGUCUUUUGACAGAAAAUAUGAGUAUGAGUUAGGAUCAUUGUUAGUAUGAAUAAAAUAUUUUAGUAUGCAAUCAACCAUUUUUUUUAGUGUAAAAUGAUAUAUCUCAAAGAAGUUAGAAACAUCUUAUAGUACAAUCAACCGAAACAAAUUCAAAUCUUUCAACAACGCCACUGCCUUCUCCAGAUCCAAAUCUACAACUGUCAAGAAAGAAGGAUUGUUAAAAAAAAAGUUUCAAAUUUAACAUUCAAUGAAAUCUAUACUUUAUGAUAAACACGUUUCAUAAUAUAGGUUUGAUUCCAAACCUUAGUUGGAGUCGCACCAAGUAGUACUCAUAGCUCCAAAAUAUCAACAAUACUCAUCAGUAAUGUGAUCUGCCAAACUUUCAAAAUUGUAUCAAUGCAGAUGAAGUUCCUUAGUGAGAGUAAGAUCUACUCCAUCUAGAUAGAAAAUGCAUGGAAUAAUCUCACCAUUACAAAGUCUCCAACACUGUAACACAUAAUAGAGUAAACAUAUAGAGAAUGAAAAGUGGUUAAUAACCAAAGAAUGAAAUUAGAAUGUGAAGUGUGAACUGUGGAAAUAGACUACAUUAGUCAAAUUUCUUGCAGUUUCAAUCUCAAUUCAAACCUAUGUUGUACAUUGAUGAUUAGAUGAUCAUGAUUUUAAGUUGCAUUGUAAAUCAAAUUUUAGAAUUAAAACACAAUUUUUUCUUGGCGUUGUGAGCGAACAACAUUUAAACCGAUCAGCAAAGGUUGCACGAUGUGAAAGGCGUGGAAGAUUAAGGGAAAGAAUAUAUGUAAUGUGGGUUGUUUGAAAUGAAAAGGUCCAACACUGGUACUAGAAUAACCAAACAAGAACUAUAUAUAUAUAUAUAUAUAUAUAUAUAUAUAUAUAUGUAGGUGUUAUCUUCGAUUGUUAUAGAAUACAAACGAAAGUAAUUUUGAAAAUAGAAGAGCGCGUGAGAGGGAUGGGGGUGGGGAUAUCACGACCCAUUUAUGCAUUUUAGCCCACCAUAUAGAGGUGGGCCGGGCUGGUCCAGCUCAGCUCUAGCAUUUAGCCUAAAUCAAGUAAAAUCAGUCUGUAUAAGCAAAAAGAGGGGGUGUAACAGAAUCAAUCUACCUAUCGAAUUACAUGCAUCAAGAUUUUGGGUCGUAAAGAAGCGCUUAUUCCAAACGCGAUCUGUGGUGGUGCUGCUGCUUCAGAAGAAUCAAAGGCAAAACCAAAAACCCCCAUUCAUUUCACAGUCCAGUUAGGGUUUCUUCUUCUGCUAACCUAACCAAAUGGUAACUUCCCAUUCAAUCAUUUUCCUCUUUAUUGUUCAAUCUUUUCAUCAAUCAAACCAUUUUUAAUCUUCAAAUGGAAAAAGCGUAGAUGAAUUUUUUUUAUGAAACCAUUUUUUAAAUAGCAGAUUUUACAUGUUAGGGUUAUGUGGUGCUGAAAAUCAUGUUACGUUUGAGCUUUUUAUGUACUGCUUUAAUGAUUAGGAAUGAUUAAAUAGCAAAUUUUGUGUUAAGGUUUUAUGCUGUAAUAGUGCAGAUUUUUUUUUUUUUUUUUUUAUCAUAAUUGUUGCUUCUUUGUUGUUUAUAUAUCAACUGGUAAUUUCAGGCUGAUCCUGAGCUUGAAGCAAUCAGACAGAGAAGGAUGCAGGAGCUUAUGGGCCGACAUGGCACUGCGGUAUUUAUCGUUGUCAUACUCCUAUGUUUUGUUUAUCGUUAUUCUUUCGCAUGAGAGAGUGAGACUUUGAUUGUGAUUUUGUUGAUAUUGCAGGGAAAUCAGCCAAACCCUGAACAACAGAGUGCUCAGGAAGAUGCAAAGAGGUUAGUUUAUGAAUAUAGAUUUCUUGCGCUGUUAUUCUGAUUAUUCGACUCAGUCGCAUAGAUUUAGUUCCAAGAACUUGUUCAUCCACUUAUCUUUAUGAUAUGCUUGCAUGUUUUUUUUUUCCUUUGGAGUGACGUCGAUUUUUUAUUUGAAUUGAAAAAUAAUUAAUUUAGGGAGGCAGAGGAGAGAAGACAAAUGAUGCUUAGUCAGAUAUUGUCUGCUGAAGCACGAGAAAGACGUAAGUAUAUAACAUAAUCUUUCCUUAGAUUUUAUUUGACUUUUAUUGAUUAUAGUACUCUUGUUUUUUCCUUUUAAUUUUUUUUUAAUGACAAAUGUUAGUAUAGUUGUUAGAUUAGUAUUUCUCGUUGUCCGGGUUUGAACCAAGAACCCCCAACUUCUUAUCCCUUAGCUCAAACCAGUUGAGCUACCCAUCCUAGUCCGAAUAAUGAUUGUUUUAUUAUAUCAUGGUUAUAUAUUUUGCUGUACUUUUACUACUGGCAGAAGUUAGAAGCAAAACUUUGUCAUUUGCCAUUGCCUAAUUAAUAUUCAAAUCUUAUCUUCAGUCAGGCUUUAACGAGGAUAUAAGUUUAUAGCACACAGCUGCUAGUAUUUUCUUGAACUUCCAUAUAUUGUAAAUGUAUCAUUGGGAUUCUGUAAGAUUUUUGACAAACCAGACUUAAUUCAUAGAAGUUGUUCACAAUUAUAAAACAUACAUCAUAUGCCAGAAUAGAAUAUAUAAGAUAUUAAGAAGUGCCCAUUUUGCUUGUACUAUCUUGUUAUGAAUAAAGUCUUCCAUCAGACUUUAGAUCAAAGUUAAUAAAUAAUGUUAGUGUAUUUGGGCGUUACUGCGUACUCCCUGUGCCUAAACAGCGUAGUUUUUACUCAAGGUACAUUUGAAGUCUGAAGUCUAUCUUGGAAAAAUUCAAAAAAGUAACUUUUGUGAUGUCUUUGUUUUUCUGAUACUUCAUACUUGUAGUUUGGUAAGUAGAAAUUACUUGUAAUUUUUCUUCCUCUCUACCCCCUGUUCUCUUUUUGUCCCCGUGUGCACAGUUGUGUCUUCUAGGUAGUUACCCUAUGAGGACAUCACAGAAUAGAUACCCUAUGGUUGACCUCGAUGCCUGCUUCUCGUCCUAGCAUUAAGGGGUACAGGAUAAUAGCAUUUUGUUGGGGCUGGUAUGCUUUUUUAAAGCCUGCUAAUCUGAAAUAUAGCUGGUUUUUUUAACAACAACAAAAAAGGAAGAUGGAUUUAGGAGGUGAUAAGUUGUCGUAUGAAUGUACUCAAUGUAGUAGGGUUGAAAAUUUGAUGGAAUUAUUUUGCCUCAAACUUACAUAGGUAUGAAGACAUUAGUGUAAUUGUCUUGGUUAUUUGUAGACACGAUAAGAUAAAUCACAUUUGAGUUUCAAAAUUAUAUAUAUUUAAACAUCGAAAGAACAUGUUUGCCAAUGUACCUCUGAAUUUUCCGAUGAAAAUUUGAAGGAAUGAAGUAUUUUACUGCAUGGAGUUGACUUCUUUCGCUCUUUUAAAUUUGUGAUUUAAUUGUGUUCAGUUGCUCGAAUUGCUUUGGUGAAACCAGAGAAAGCAAAAGGUGUUGAAGAUGUUAUAUUGAGAGCUGCUCAAAUGGGUCAGAUAGCUGAAAAGGUAUAUUGGAUCAUGUCUAUUGCUGCAAUCUUUCUCAUUCUUAUCACAAGUUAUUGGUAAUAUUUUGUUGCAUAUAUUGUCAUACGAUUUGUGAGGUUCUAGUUAUACAAUCGAUUUGUUUGAUCAGUUGUCGGGCCGAGAAAGGUCCUCUAUCUAGGAUAUAUAAAAAUGUUGGCAACAAUUCCACGAAUGGUAUAACGUGGUUUUCUAAUAUUAGAGGUUUAGUGUUCUUAUCUAUCGUGUAACUUACAUGCAAAGCCCUACUAUUUUGUUUAUAAUGAUCUUUGAUAUAAAAGUUUUCGGAAUCCUAUACUACAGUAGGGAACUAGACACAUGAUAUCUUAAUAUGGAACAUUAGAUCUUACCUCAUAUGGUUAUUCUUUAGAAAUUACAAUUAAAGUAUACUAUUACAAUGCAAGUAAAAUAAAGUACUGUCGCCUUUUUUCCCCCUUUUCUUGCGAGCUAUUAUCAUAUAGAAACCUGAAAAGGUGAGUCUGCGCUGCAAUUGGAAAUACUGGAAGGCUUUUUCCUGCAAACCCACAUAGCAAAAACUAGGGGUGGGCAUUGGGUCGGUUCGGGUUCAAACCCCCCAAACCGAGACAACCCACGAGUUAUGAACAAUAACCCUAUUGAACCAAGUUUUUGAUUCGGGUAGUUCGGGUUCGGUUACUUCGGGUUUCGGGUAAAACCGGUUCGGGUCAACAGGUUGAUGAAGAUGAUGACAAAUCCAGAAAAACAAUCUCCUCAAACAGCCCCUCCUUUAGUAGAAACAACAACAACCAGUUUUUUCUUCACCAUUUUUAGAUCCACACAAUUUAAUUUAUUUUUAGAAUUAAUUUACUUGUAGAUGAACACAUGUAUUUGUGAAAGAAGGAAGGAAGAAUGAUGUUUCGAACAAUUGUGAGCUAAGGAAGGAAGAAUGAAGAAAGAAGAAGAAGAAAUGAGGAACAUGUGAGAAGAAGAAAAUCGUGAGAGAGAGAAACAAAAUGAUCUAGAUCUAGAUCUAGUUUUUCUUUUCAUUUUCAAUUGGGGAUUUUUGUUUUAUGUUAUGGUGUUGGACUGAAAUAGUGAAACAUAUUUGGGCCUGCUGAGAAACGUAUUUUUUAUUCAAGCUAGGUUGAAAAAACUAAUAAUAAAUAUUAAAGUAAUAAUAAUAUCGGUUUGAUCGGGUUCCGACAGGUUCAAAAUAAACACCCGAACCGAACCGAAUAUACCCAUAACAACCCGUAAUAUUAACCCGGACAACCCGUAACCUGUUUUAACCGGAACCGAAUGUAUAAAAUUAUGUCGGGUUGAUCGGGUUAAUUCGGGUUGAUCCGUAUUUGCCCACACCUAGCGAAAACUAUCCAAUAAAUCUUUCUUUUUCAACUCAUCUGAAUUAAAGUUGGUGCUUGAAAUACUGAAGUAGCAACUCAGAUGGAUACUUUGUAGAAGGACUGCAAAGGCAGAAUCAGUAGCAGGCUUGAAGCACUUUGUGUCAGAGAAGGGAAAUUGCCUUCCCACUGCAAAGCGCGCUGAUUGUGGGUAUGCAUUUAGGUUUUUUUUUUUUUUUUUUUUUUGAGGUGGAGGUGUGUUUGUUUAUCCUUGGUUUGUUCAGGUUUGUGAGUGUGUUUCAAGAAUUUGGUACUGGACUUGUAAUGAAUAGUUGCACAAAAGUAGUGCAGUUCUACAUUUGGAUUUGUGAUUAUGACAACCUUGUUUGUCAGUAAGAUGCUUAAAGUCAGAAGUAUCAGUUAGGCAGUCUAAGGGUUGGUUGAGAAUGAGUUGAUUAGGUGGCUUUUCUAUAAUGUGUUUAAAUUGCAAGGAUUUGGUUUUUUGAUGGUGACUUAUGUGAGCCAACUUCAGGUCACUGGAAGUUUCAGUAUAUUUGACAGUUCUAAUAGUAUUAGUGUUGAUAUAUAAAUCUAUGAGAUGAUGGUUUUACAUUGUUUUCCUUAGCCUGUUUCAUUUUGUAAUGCCCCGUCCCCCCUAUUUUCUUGAAUAAUAAAAGCCAUUAAAUUUUCCUUCCAAAAACUGAAACUAAGAAAUUACUAGUUCCAAUUGUAUUUCUUUUUUGUUGCUUAUAUACAGAUAUCAUGUCCCGGUGGACAUCAAGUAAUUAGUCCAUAUGAAGCAUUAUUGUACCUAGAUAACAUCCAUGACUCAUUUAUGAAAUUGAAUUAUUAGGUUACUGAAGAAAGACUCAUAACACUGCUGGAGCAGAUUAACAGCCAAACAGCAAAGCAGACAAAAGUUACAGUAAGUUGUAGAAUAUUAGCUGCAUUGUUCCGUAUUCAUUUAUCAGUUUUUUUACUUACUUUUCAUUAUUUUUUUUCGUUUACUUUUUCAGAUAACGAGACGUCGAAGUGUUCUUGAGGAUGAUGAUUAGCUUUCACGGUCUCUUAGCUGGGUUUAUUGACUAUUGACUUCAUGCUUUAUUAUGUAUGUAUAUGUGUAUUUGAUGGACAAAUUAUUUUAUGUUUUACAUUGAAAUUUAAAUUUGAGGCGUCUUGCCUGCCACCAAAUUAAACUGCAUAUUUGAUUUAUGUGCGCGAAUGAAUGGAUGUGAAAGGUUUGUUAAUUGUGGAAUGGAAAGGUUUUCGUCCAAUGGCUCAUGCCAUGAGGCAUUACUACAGCUGUUUCUUCUGCCUCAUUGACGGGUAUUUUUUUAUUUAUUUUAUGCAGAGUAAGGAGAAUAUUUAUUUAAUCUGUGUUGUUUGAUUAUAAUUGUUGCCUUGUGGUUGGCGAAUUUUUAGUUGAACAAAUUUGUCACAUCUAGCUUGAGCAUACGAAACUAAUGAUUAAAAAUUUGGCAAUCAUUUGGCGAUUAAAGGUACUUUGCAUUCGACCCUAAAAACAAAAAAGCUCUAAAUAUCCCAAUAUCUGGUAUAACUGAUUUGGAAGCACGAUACAUGGAUGGCAUUGGUCUCUGUCUUUUGAUAAAUAAAAACAUGUCUGAGUCAGUUAAUUCGUUAAAGUUUAGGUUGACAAGUGAAUAUGUCCAUACAAUUAUAGAUAGAUUAACACGUAUCUGAACUCAAGUUUAUCUAUACGCAUGCAUAUAAUUUUUUUUUGUGACAUAUGAGAACAUAUUCAAAUGAUCUUAUGGUAUUUUUUUUCAUAAUUUAUAUUAUUAAUAAAUGAGUUUUUUUUUAUCAUGCUAAUACCGAGUUUAGAUGUGUAGAGUAAAAUUUUCUAUACUUAUAUUAAAUAGGGAAUGUAUUUUAACCAUUUUCAUGGUCGAAUAACAUAUUAUUAUUAUUUGAUAAUAAUUACUUUAUUAUCUAAAUUUAGUUUGGAUUGUCAUAAUUAAUUGAAAUGUUGCUUAUUUUUUGCUGCUACAAAUAGAAAUAUUGUUUUAAUCAGUCAGAAUUUAGUUAGAAAACAUGUUUCUCUAAGGUUCAUAUAUUCAGAGAGGCUCCGUGAACAAGAUAAAAAAGCAGAGUCAACUAUGGGAUAGAUUGCUAAGCAUAUUUUGUAGGACUAAGAAGUAAAUGAAGUCUAAUCAACUAUUAAUGUAAGCACCUACUGUAUCAGGUCACAUUCUCUUCCUUAAUUACGUGUAAUAUUUUAGGGUCCAAUUCCGUGUAACACAUGAACUCAACACAACACCAUAAAGCAAAAACACAAUGACCUGCCAGAACAUGGCCUAUGACGAUAUCCUCUUUUUCUUCUAUAUUUUACUCUAGUUGAUCAAUGAUUAUUAUUUUGAACCCAAAAGUUCUUACUUCUUAGUUUAUCUUCUCUUGUUCCAAUCAUCACAAUAAUUUGCACCAUUCACGAUUCACACGACCACGACCACGACCACGACCCAAGUCUAUAAUAAUCUUCAAAAUCUCUCUCUCACAACACAUCACACGGUUCACAUUUAUCCCACUCGCCACUCAUAAGCGCGUGACCUUAACACAAUAAAAAUGAAUGGCACCAAUAACAUAAGUUAAACAAAAACACAACAUUAUCACCCCCAACAUAACAACGUCAACACCGUCCCCAUUUUUUUGUACCUUCGAAACAAAAAUGAUCGUACUUCAAUCAAAUCAUAACAACUUCCAUCCCCACAUAACACGUUCAUUCAUUGUGAAAACAUAAAACAACUUAAAUAUAAAAAGCGCUUAAUAUUUCUGUGAUUUCUUUCUUUAUUCAAUGAACAAUCUUUCUCUGUUCUGAAACCGACCCACAUCAAGAAAAGCGGUUUAAUCCAAUAAAGUCACAAUCUUUCUUUCUUUUGAAUCCAUUUUCUACAACCCCACAUGGAAAAGGAGCCACUGCUCCCAUCAUAUUUCAGCCCCAGAAAGAAGCUUUCACCAUUACCAUCUCAACUUUUUCCUUUACCAGAAAACGAUGAAAUGGUUCUUCCUGUUACCCCUUCUGAGUUCAAGGAUCGUCUCAUUUUUGGUCCUUCACCAAGAGACCCUUCACCUUUGUCUGAUGCCUUAACACUUUCACGUAAUUCACCAAGUUCCUCUUCACAUGAUUUUGAUUCAUCACAACAGUCUCAACAACAACAAUUGUCUUCUUGGUUAAUUGAUCCUAAUUAUCCAUGGAGGAAAACAAAUUUACAUCGGUCGAGAACCGCGCCAGCGAUGGCUGUUAUUAGUGAUUUUAAUCAUCAUGCAUCUGAUAAAAGACCUCAAUUUGGUAGUCAAUCUAUUGUUCAUCAAGCUGUUAUUCUUCUUGUUCUUUAUUUGGCUUUAGGGGUUGUUAUUUAUUGGUUUAAUCGGCAUAAUUUUACAGCAACUGAAACUCAUCCUAUAGUUGAUGCAUUGUAUUUUUGUAUAGUUACAAUGUGUACAAUAGGGUAUGGUGAUAUUACACCUAAUAGUACUGCAACCAAGAUUUUCUCUAUAUUGUUUGUGUUGAUUGGUUUUGGUUUUAUUGAUAUACUGCUAAGUGGAAUGGUUAGUUAUGUUCUUGAUUUGCAAGAGAAUCAUUUGUUGAGGACAGUGAAGGGAAGAGGGGCGAAGGAUGGGAGGUCAUAUAUAGUUGAUGUGAAGAAAGGGAGGAUGAGGAUUAGGAUGAAGGUGGCAUUGGCAUUGGGGGUAGUGGUACUUUGUAUUGGACUCGGUGUCACGGUUAUGCAUUUUGUUGAAAGGCUUGGAUGGGUAGAUUCUUUUUAUCUUUCGGUUAUGUCUGUUACGACAGUUGGGUAUGGUGAUCAUGCUUUCAAGACUUUGCAUGGUCGUAUCUUCGCCGCAAUAUGGUUGCUCGUGUCUACGCUUGCGGUUGCCCGAGCGUUCCUUUAUUUGGCUGAGGCGAGAGUGGAUAAGCGGCAUAGGAGGAUGGCUAAGUGGAUUCUUGGUCAGGAUAUGACCGUUGCUGAGUUUCUUGCUGCUGACAUGGACAAUAAUGGAUUUGUGAGGUAUGGAUUAAUACGUUCCCAUUGCAUAAAGUUUAAGUUAUUUUUUAUACCAAUAAUAUGUUUCCAUUGCAUAAAGGUUAAAUUAUUUUUUAUACCAAUAAAUAAAUGUUUCUGUCUGUGAAAGUAGAACAUGAAAUAUACACUAGUUAGGUAUUCAAUAUACUUUUUCUUUUCGUAACCAACAUGCUUUUCGGACUUUAUUCUGAAGUGUGAAUUUUGUAUCUGCACAACUGCAUACAAACAUUUUCAAUAUACUUUAAUCUCUGCUAUUCAAUUCAAUUCAGAGAAAUUGUUUGUGGUUGACUAUCUGUUUACUGAAUUUAUAAUCUCUAUAUCAUAUCAUAUCAUAUGAGACAUGAUGUUACCAUAGAGCAUGUGGUGUCCGUACUACACCUAUAUGUAGGACUAGUCCUUGCUUGAGUGUUGAGCUUUCCCCCGAAAGGUAUCAUCAUGUUAAUGGUCAGGGACAAAAUGAUAUUAGCAACGGGACUAAAAUACUGAUAACAUGAGUAGUAUGGGUAGAAACUGUGUGCUGAACCUCGGUGGUUAUUAUAGUAGCGUUCAAUGACUGACUAUGAAUGUGAAACCUGGUGAAGUAAUUUUCCUGAGGUCUGCAUGCCUUGCUCAUACCCCAUGGUAAUAUAUUGCGUAUGAAAUAACUUUGUAUAUAGUGCUUCGUUGAUGCCCAUGUUUAUACUUCUCCUAGAAUUCAGGACUAUUUAAAUUGAGCAUCUGUAAUCAUGCAUAGCCUACAGAGAGUGCGCUAGUAUUAGAUUACUGUGUUUUGAAAACCGCCUUUCCAGAUUUGUAUUUGAGAGAAAAAAAGCAUCUUGAGUGUGUGCUUGAAAAUUUGACAGGGAAGUAGAAAGUGAAUUGAUUCAUAGUCCGUCAUAGAUGGGAUAAAUUCAACUUCCUGUUUCAAGGUUGACAGCUAGUAGUUAUUAUGUGCAGUACUUGGAGGUUGAUGAAGCUUCCUUUGUUCACCCUACUUCCUAAGAGCAGUAGAUUUAGUUGCUAGUUAGUGGUUGGUUGUAUAUGUAUGUUUUUUGUAUUUGGUUGGUAGGAUGACCACAUUUGGAGGUCUAAUGUUAUAAGGUUCAAUCUGUUAGACCAUAUAAUCAUUGGAAAAGGAGACAACACAUGAUAUAUUUGUUAGAAUAUAUAUAAAAAAAAUCUCAUAAAAUUUGGCAGGAGUAUUUUAGGUUUUCUCUUAGGAUUAGUUUCCGUGUUUCUUCACAUUAUAUUAUUUGUUUCCUUUAGUUAGUACUAGGAGCCUAGAGUAUAAUAGAAAAUCAUAAUCACAAUUCAAAACCUUUUGUCCUUCUCUUCCCUCCAUCCUCAUAUAAAACUCUAUAACUACAACACAUUCUCAGUGCGGUAUCAUCCUUUAUGAUCUGUUUCCCAAAUUUCUUGAAGUCUGGUACUAUAAUAACUUAACAAUGUCAUUAUCUCCACUAUUCUUUUAUUGUUAGUUGAGCCUAAAUUUCAGCCACGUUUUAUCUCGCAAGUCCUCUCAUUGUUAGCCGAUUUUUCACCUUCUACUUCUGCAUGUCUCGAAAGCCUUAGAUUAGUUCUCACUGUCGCGCUCUUUUUUGGUAGCCUUCCACUAUCUUGGAUAAAAUUUAAACCUGACUGUUCCAAAUGCAAUCUGGCCUCGACUAUCCCAGAUGAAGUUUGAUCCCAAUUGUUCCAAAUUCAGUCCAGCCUGAACUAUUUUAGAUGUAGAUUGGCCUUGGAUAUUUCAGAUUAGCGAUGAACCAGCUGUAGUUCAUAUCAAUAUCCUAUUGUGAGUUAUACCAAUAGUGAUUUCUCCUAUCGUAUUGAUAAGGCAUGCUAUGAUGGAAUAUCCGUGCUGUGAUGCAGAUGAGCCUUGGUUUCAAUUUCUUUUAUUAUUAUUGGUAUACUAAAUUUUCUUGUGGUUUAAUGCUUCUAAAUGUUGUUCUUGGUGGAUUUGGAGAAGUUUUAAUCCUUGCUGUAUAAUUGUGAUGAUCAUCUUCAGUCCAAUAAUGCAAAGGAUAAGGGAAUAUUACCGGUUUCGCAGGUGAACCAUGAAUUUGAGGGGUUAAUAGAACUUAGAAGCAUAUUGGAGGAGGCGAAAGGGGGCACACAUGGUGAAGGAUUCAGGUUAUGAUUGUUAGGCAAGGUGUGGGCCCCACGAGGGGUGAGGGAAGUCGGGAAUCUGUAAUGAGAGGGAGAGGAGGAAUAGGAGCAAUGUAGUCAAGAUUGUGUGCCAGCACGUAAGAUCGUAUGAUCCUACAAUCAUUGGCCAUAGAAGCGUGCUGCGAUUCAGGCAAGAUGCCGGAGGUGCGCUAUCACGAGUUCGGAGCAGGAUCCUAAUGUGUUUCGUGUUGGGUUACCUAUUCCGCAACGGGCCUUGCUGAAACGGGUCAGGUUUUGCGGAAGAAACAAAUAGUUUUAAAACGCAUAAAACCCUUCAUCCAUCCCCCCUUCUUACUUCAAACAGAUCCCUAACUCCCUGAGACGCCGUCCUCUGAUUCUCACCCUCCUUGCGACACUGUUCUCUCUUCCUCCCCUGUUUUCAAUCAGCUUCACUUGGUUUUUAUGAACUUAUGGAAUGAUGGUUAUGGAUUUUUAAUUAACUUAGUUUAAUGUUGGGAUUUAGAGGAAAUCACAUGUUUAUGUGUGUGUUUGUAUAUAUAUAAGUACAAUUUUACCCUUUUAUGAUUCAUGUUACAAUCUUUCACUGCCUUCCCAAUCCUACUUAGGGCAUUGUGUUUGACUAUAUUGAAAAGGAGAGGCAGAGAGGUUUUAUCAUUGAGGUUGUGGCUUAUGCUUUGGCAGGAAUACAGCCGGAUCCUUGAUUUCCUUGGUCAUUUUCCUUUUUCAUUUCUGAUACCCAGAUACUUCAUUUCGGUAUAUAGAGUGAUGCACCCUCCUUGCGACACUGUAUUCAUUUACUUCAUUUGGAAUAUUACUUCUCUUAGUUAUUAUUCUUUGAUUGCUGUUUCUAUUAGAUUGUUUUCCCUGAAAUUCGCAUCGAUGUUUAUUCCAGUGAGUCUCAUACGAACCAGUUCUUGGUGUUGAUGGUCUUCCCAACCAUCUUGCUAAGUUGUCUUUCCAGUAAUGCUCACCUCUCUGGCGUCUCCAUUAUCCCUGAGUUUCCUUUCUAGCUAUGUUUGAAGCCCAAAUUAUAUGUUCAUGUUUAAGGAUUUAUUUGUAACAAGUUCAAAACUUAAUAAGCUUUAGCUUUAGCUUAAUAAACUUAACAAGCUCAUAAAUAUGCCCAUUUUACUAUUGUGUUCCCACGUUGUAAAAAUUAACAUAACAGUUUCCAUUUUUUUUAGUAAUAAGUCAUAAGGUCUAUCAAUGUAACCACCCACUUCUUUGAAAAGAAUCCUAGGAAUAAAAAUUGGCAACCAAACACUUUUCUUAAAAAUUCCUAGGAAUAAAUUCUCAUUAUAUUUUCCUGGGAAAGUUAAUUCCAGGGAGAAAUUUUUGCAUCCGGGAAACAAACACCCCCUUAGAAUUGGUUUCCAUGCUUCUUUAUAUUUCACGAUUUGCUUCUUUAUUCAGUUAAGAUUAGGAAUCUAGUUGUUAUAAUGAUUAAUUUUCUUGUUUUAUUAGGACUAAGAAUCAAGUAUUAAUAUUUAUAUAACUGUUAGUGCUUAGUCUUUAUAUUUCAUGAUUAGUUUCCUUAUUUAGUAAUUGAUAGAUUUUUGGCAAGUGUACCAAAUACUAUCGAAGUAGUAAAAAUAUUGUUCCCACGAGGACUGUGUUAAUCUCAAUUUAGAAAUAAAGUAAAUAUUUAGGAUGUAUAAAUUAUUUUGUUUAGAUUUUAUUUGAUUGCAUAAAAUUAAAUAACAUAAAAUAAAGAUUGAGCUAGAAAAUAUAGAUUUGGUUAGAAAAUAUGAAGAGAGAUGAGAUCAGGUCUUUCGAAUCAUCUAUGUUCCCCUAAUUGGUAUACUGCAUCUAUUCUUAUGAAUGAUUUUCUAGUUCCAUGAUAGUAAACAAAAUAGUCAUAAUCAAUCCCUUGAGUUAGGACUCUCUUCUCAAACUACAGCCCCUAAUUCCUUAGGUGGUCUAAUAAUCUUUGAAGGUUUUAGCACGUUAACCUAAUAUCACUAACAAAGGAUUAUCCAUUCCUAGACUAACCCUGUUUAUUAGAACAAUUCAAUAUUCUAUCAGUAGAAAGCUAUGGUCAGUAGUCAUUCAUUCUCACUAAAUCAGGUUUAUAUUUGAUCAGGAUAUAAAAAGCAUUAAGAACAAUUGAAUUGAAUAAAAACUAGAUUGUCAUUCACAAUAAAUAGAGUUUCACAGCAACAUGGUUCAACAAGGGUUACAAAGAAUCAUCUCAGACCUAAUCUCUAAGAGAUUUAGCUACUCAUAAUUGAGUUUACAAAUAGCAUAAUCAUUAGUGGAAUCAAAACAUACAUGAUCUGAUAGAAGGUUGAAGAAAUUGCCCUCCUAGCCGUCUUUAGGUCUCAAAAUCGCACUUUGCUCUCUCCAAUUCGUAACACUUGUCUUUGGAAUAGACUUCAGCUUAAAUAGGCACAGAAUUUCGCCUAAAAUUGUGUCACGUUUUAAGUAAAUCGUGCCACGAUUCUCCUUGAAUCGCAAAUCACUGAAUUAGGGUUUCCUCAGAUCGUGCCACGAUUAUACGAUUAUGCCAUCGUGACACGAUUUCUUCAAUGUCGAAGCUUGAUUUUGGUCUUCUAAAAUCGUGUCACGUUUUUACCAAAUCGUGACACGAUUCUCUUCUUUGUAUUUUCUUCAGUUUUCUACUAUUUUGCUGCAUAAAUUGCCUUGUGAACUCCAAUUUGUGAUCAAAAUACAUAUAAAAAGACUCUAAAAAUAGCGAAUGACUGACUGUCAUCAAUAAUGAUUAGGCAUGUAGUUGCUAUAUCUAUUCUAUGGAUAGGUCUGAGUGAAAUGCUACUAGGAGCUGUUUAAGUUGAUGUUUGUAGUAAUUAUAAACCACUAGACGAUAUAACUUGCACUAAUUUACCAGUCUAUCUGCAUGUUGUUAUUUUUCAUUCAUACGGUUACAAAUGGACGGAGAUGGUAGAGUCCUUUUAGUUAGAGGUUUGGGUAUAUGGGGAUUGGAUCCGUGAAACAUCCAUAAAGGAAGGUAAACUAAAUGAAGGAAAGUCCUAUAGUUAGAGGUAGAGGGAGAUUAAGAAAAACUGCAAGUCAUAUUAAGUAUUUGGAUUUUAAAAACUGUAUUCCUCUUGGCAAGUUGUGCAUGCUUGUCAAAUAGUGAAAAAAAAAAGUAUAGAACAAAAAAAUUAUUAAGCAUAUGGGCUUGCCACAACAAAAUAUGUGAAACAGUCGAGAUCCAGAGACAUUUUGGACAGGAUAUGGCAUAAGAAGCGAUGGGCUGACAGCGAAGCAACAAGACUUAACAACCCUUUCUUACUGCUGCCAGUGUAUGACUUGAAAAGAACAAAUCUUCAUAUGUGAAUCACUAGCAUUUUCUAAGAGAGGAAGAAAAAAGCUCGAGGGAUAUUGAAACCAUAUCGUUUUAAGUUUAUGAUUAAAAUUGCUCAAGGUGUUGAAUUUUAUGAUCAGGUCGUACUCAUAAGAGGUUAGUUGUUUUGGUGCCUUCUCCCAUAUAUAUCAGCCCGCAAAACAUUUUAUAUAGAAAAAAAGAAGACUGAGGCUACAUGACAUCUAGGCUUAUUUAUUGUGUGUAUCGUAUCAGUUUCUUAUGACAUUAGUACUUGGCCAAUUUUGGGUGCUUCACUGGAAUACUGGAUAAUACAUAAUUGAAUUCUUUUGACAAUGGAAAGCCUGAUCAAGUGCCUUUUCUUGUUUGAACCAUGUUCUUUAACUUUUAUCCUAGUAAUACUUGUUAAUUUAUUUUGAUUGAAUUUGAUUACACUUAUCUAGUGCAUUUGCUGAAUAUGUUAAGUUUUUGGUUAUGCAGUAAAUCAGAAUACGUUAUAUACAAGCUCAAGGAGAUGGGAAAAGUGACGGAGAAGGACAUCAUGCAGAUCAGUGAGAAGUUUGAUAGACUAGAUACCGGAAACUGUGGAAAAAUAACACUUGGUGAUCUCAUGGAGGGUCAUAGUUGAUGAGCUUGAUCAGCAUCGGGGCUAUCCAAGGAGCAAGGGGAGUCUAAAUCCAUUGUUGUCACAUAAAAAUGGGACUGCCAGAUCCUCAAGUUGCAUGCUGAUUAGUGUAGACCACAUUUGAUGGAAACUUUUUCUUUUGAGGGUUAGGAAGGAUAAUAGAUUAUCAAGUAACAUACUGGUGAUUUCCCCUCCCAUACCCUUUUGUCGCACAAUGAGUAACUUGACGAGGCACGAUAUGCUGGUGAAAUUCUGAGUUCUUUUGCCGGCAUUUUGCAAUUGAUCUUAAUGGAAUUCCGGUAUUAUCAAUUACAGUAUAGUUAGGUUGAUGAGAUGGCUUGUGGUAAUGGAGGGGGCAAUUUUGGUUGGUUAAAUAAUUAUUUUGUACAUAUUCUUUUUGAAAAUGUAUGUCUUUAUUCUUUAUGAUAUCUCUUGAUUAAUUGUGCAAAUCAAUAUGGAACAUCUUGGUAUUGUUUUUGCCAAGAUGAUUCAAUUAGCCAAGGUUGUAGUUCCCGUUUAGCUGCUGAGUCGCGAGAUAUUACUUCCAGUUGUAAUUGUUUUAGAAUGCUUUAUAUUGUGCACAUGCCUUCCAAAGCAAGUAAUAUGAAAUUUUUAAGGUGAUCAGUCGUUUCUAAUAGGUUACCAUCUCUUUAAAGUCGUUUCUAAUGCAACAAAUACUGUUGAGAUUUGGCAUGAAACUGUCAUAACAAAGGUCUCAAGAUUUGAGUUUGUCCUAGAGAAUCUUGAAAUCUCCUUGGACCUUGGUUAAGUCAGCAUUUGACCAAACUGUUAAAAGUAAGAAAAUACUAGUGUCUUCCAAUGAUGCUCUCUCUCUCUCUCUCUCUCUCUAUAUAUAUAUAUAUAUAUAUAAUUGUCAUAGAUCUACUGUAUACCACGGAAACAUGCAUUAUUGGGAUUACAAGGGAAAAAUAUUCAUGGCUAGGCCACAUACAUAAGCUAACCAGGACAAAAACUUAAGAUGUAGAUUCAUUUUAUAUUCCUCCCUGACUGAUCCUAUCGGGGAAUAAUAAUUAAGCGUUUUAGAAGGAGACUUCGGAUUGUAUGCACUCACAAAUUUCACACAUUCACGCGGUUAACAAAAUUAUUAGUUGUUGAAUUAAAAUCGGAUGAUUUAAUUCUUUUUUUUUUUAAAAAAAAUCUAAAAUAGUGAGUUUAAAAUUUAGAUUGUCUAAUUUCAAUCAAACAAUGACUAAAAUACCAACUAUAUAGAUGUGAGAGAUUGUUGAUUGUAGGCAAUCUAAAAUUACUAGAUGAGUGAGUGCAUUUCAGUGGUGGGCUAAAAAAUUUAUCUAAAAAGCCUGACAUCUUUGACAAAUUUUGAACAUUCCAAAAAUUUAAACCUUUUGACUUGUCAAGCUAUAUAGCCCUUUCAUACUUUUGAGCAACUUGAUUGUUCUUCCACAACUAGUUUAUAAAUUUAUACAACAUAUAUAAUUAAGUUCUGGUUGCAUCUUUUGUAGUGGUUUCAUUUUGAUGGAAGAAGCAUCAAGUAAGCCACCAAACAAAAAGAAAAUGACAAAAACACAUAGUACUAGUCAAAGGUACACAUUAUCUAUGACUUGUGCAGUCUUUUGACCAUUAAGAAAAAUAUUGAAAGCAUAUUAAACAACAAAGUUCAAGGUAAACUCACCUUGGCAGCAUUCUCCAUGUUAAUUGUUUGACAAAGUUAUCUUUGGCACAAUUGGAAGAGGUUAAUUGAGUGAGAUAAAAUAAAACAAACAAGUCAUAGAUUCUUAAGUGAUUAAAAAACAUGUGAAUGUGACUGAUUGUUAGCAUAAAGUAGGCUAGUUGGAAUUAGGUAAGUAUUAUCAUUAACCAAUUGAAUUUUGGACUAUUAUUUAAAUGAUAGACUAUGCUUUUUUGGUUUUCAUUCAUAGUAUGAAAAGGGACUUAAUUUGUAGUACUAUAGAUAAAAAGAAAGAAUUAGGUGUGGUUUUUUGAUUUUGUUCUCAAAAGGCUGCUUUCAUUAUGUUUUCUUUUAACAUUUUCUUUUUAUUUUGUUUAGCUUGUUUUUGUAUAAGCAACAAUCAUUAUUUAUGUUUCCAUCUUGGAAAAACAAACAAAAUAGCAAUGAUAGUGGGUAAUUAUGUUUAUGAGAAUUCAACCAAAUUCAUUGUUGAAUAGAAAGUUCAACAUAAUUGGGUUUUACUAGUACAUCUGUGACUUAGUAAACGUUUGUAAAUUUCAAAAGCUUCUUUUGGGUUUUGGAAGAAUCAAUCAAACCAAUCUCAGUUGCAUGAUCUUGAUUUCUCACUGUGUUCUAGAAGUUUAUUACUUGAGUUUUUUUAACAACGUUAGUUAGAUAUAGUUAAAGAUUUGUUAGUAUUGAUUGCAAUUUUGAUUGUUGUAAAUACAUAUACUUAAUUAGGAUCAAAUACAUAUACUUAAUUUAUUAUAUACCUUAUAACUAAAUGAAAUUUUGCAAGCUUUUUAUCGCCCCAAAAUUUUGAAGUUUUAAGCCCUAAUUUGGAUCGUUUGGCCCUUUACCCGACUCAAGCUUGUUGUAAAUGUGCUUUGACUUGCGAAGAUUUCAUCUUUUUUAUUUCUCAAAGUGGUGUCCCACGCGACUGUAAUUUUUGUUUAGUUAAUUAUUACUAUUAGUGAUAUUUUGGUAAAUUAUUGUAUUCCUCGCUCACAACUCUAAAUCCUAACAUUUUAAAAUAAUUGAUAUUCAUUUAAAAGACCGAUAUACGGUUUUUCAUACAAACUCACCAUGGAUCAAAACCCAUAUGAAAUAGUUAAAAGGAUGAGUCAAGUAUAAAUCCCCCACUUAUAUAUGUAACACUAUUUCACAUUUUAAGUAUUGACAUGGUUUUUCAUCUGUUUAAUCACACUGAAAAUGGCACGGAUCAUGAAAGUGAUUGAAACAAUCUGUGAAAUGAGUAUCACAUUUGCAUAUAACAGAAAUCAGAACAAAAGUUGACAAUUCUUUAAGAAGGAAGGGAGAAAGGCAUACGGUAAAAAAGUGACCAGACAUGACUACGUCAAAUUAAACUUUAACUACUAUAGUACAAUUUUUUACAAUUAACGAUUCUGACUAAUACGUACUUAAUUAUUAAUUUAGAAAAAAAGGACUAUUUCUUUCUCGAUCAUGCUAAGUGGAAAGUAUUAUAGUAGGUAGAACAGUCAAUAAUAUGCUUGACUUAUGAAAGAAUCAAAUCAAAGAGGAACCUUUCACAUUAUUAAAGACUCAACUCUAAUGUGGAAGCAUUGGAAGCCGUGCUGCCGUAUACUAUGAAUAAAUAUAUUUAUACUUAUACAUCAACGAUUAUAUGAUAAAAUAUAUUAAAAAAAUUAGGGCAAGUUGGAACAUUCCAAGUGGCGAAAAUGUGUCUAUGAUUGAUAAAAUGUUUGACUUUAGCCUUCAAGUCAAAUUGGAAAUAAUUAUUAAGAAGAAAAAAUUUAAAUGAGUUAGAGGCCAAAAAGUGAUUAGUGAUGUGGAUUGAUUUACUAGCAUAUAUUAUGCUGUAAGACUAGGAAAUAGUCAUCAAAACUUGUGGAAUACUUCUUUAUCCACACAAAAAAAAAAAAAAAAAAAAACUUGUGGAGUACAGAAAACUUGUUAUUCAAGUUAAAUUCAGUGCACUAUGUAGAAAGGCUUUUCUACUAGAUAAGAAUUGCUUUGUCUAAUGAAAUUUUCUAUGAGUCACCCCUCCCUCUCUCUCUCUCUAUUAUUGCUAAAGUUUCAUUGAAUUUGAAAGCAAUAAUUUGUCAAGAAUAUGAUCAAUAAAACUCUUUCCCAUCUUAAUUUUUUGAGGAAGAAAACCCACUAUUAUAGUUAAUAUAACAGAGUGAGAUUAAGUCAUCUAAGCUUGGGCGGUUGCGGUAUAAAAUUGCUAGUACUUAAUUAGCUCUUUCUUACUUUAGGCUUCAUCAUAGAGGGGACAUGAGAUUGAGAGAAAUCACAAACCAAGAUUAAACUAAUGAUAAUGAUAAUUUUGUCUAGUGUAUUAGUCAACCCCAUUUACUUUUAGAACUUGGGAUGAGUUUAACCCAAUUCUUACAAAUUCGAUUUGUAACCUUGAGUAUUUCAUUUAUAAGUUCAUUUUUAAUUCUCAUUUUAUCAAAUGUAAGACUAUUAACACAAGUAUACCUCACAUUUAAGAUUGAACACAUGGAGCAUAACUCGAGUGAUUUGAUAAUGUCGAUUCUAAAAACAAGUGGUUUAACGAAUUAUAGAUAGACUCCAAUAUUAUCCUAAAAUUUAGGUUAGCCUAACUCACCUUACAAAACAAUUGUGUUAUUUAAACACCAUAUAUAUUCGUAUUGUAUGUGACCCAAUACAUAUUUUUUUUUCUAUCUCUCACUUUUUUUUCUUUCUUUUCAACAACUCUCACAACUAAAGAGUAGUAAUUUAUUUUGACAUGAAAAAUUUGAUUUCUAAGAAUAUUAACUUCAUCCAAAUUUGUUGGACUAAUUAAAGGUACGGUUUCUGAGAUUAACCGAAUUGUACUUGCCACCAACAACGAUGUUAAGAUAGCACUUUCACAGUCCUUUUAGUUUGAUUAAUGGUGUAUAGUAUUUUGCGUGACAAUCACAUAUUCCUACUUGCUCAUGCAACCGUUAUAAAUGCAAAUUAUAGGUUGUACCGUUGUAAGUUGGUUCACCGGCCUAGCUUUAGAGUAUUGAUUGAUUGAUAAGAAACUUGUAAUUUUCUGUGUAAAUUAAUGUGCUUGUUCUAUAACUAUAACUUCAGAAAUUGAAAAUUAUAUGCAGCAUAAAGUAUAAAGCAGGGUUCUACUUCUAAUAUUCUAUGCAUGUGACAAGUUCUUUUAAAAAAAAGUUUGUGCCAGUCUUCCCUUUGGUGGAGUAUUGUGGAGUUAAAUUUUGUCACAUUAUGAAAAAAUUUGCCCUAAAAAAAUAGGUGUUGUUCAAAGUUCAAACCAUAUACAUGCAUAUAUAUUAUCUUCUUGCUUGUCACUGAUGGACCCUAAACCAUGUGAUAUGCCACGUGACAGUCAUGGUGACCUAUAUCCAACUUCUCUUCAAUUUCUUUCUUGAAUAUUACAUUCCAUCAGCUUGACUUUGUGACAUGCAUGUUAUCUUUAACAUAAUCUUCUUUAAUUUCUAUUUCUAUUUCUAUUAAUAUACAUGUUGUACCAAACCAACAUUCUAUGCAUAUUUUGAUGCAUCAUCACAUUACGCCUCUAAAAUUAAUUUUCACCUGCAAAUACCUCACAGCUAGCAUAUCCUAAUAUCAAUCACACUGACAUCAAUGUCAUCAUGUUCAACGUGUGACAACUAUAUUAUUGCCUCAAACCCCACCUUAAUUAGUGUAUAAUAUUAGCAUGAAGCAUGGUCAAUUAGGGUCCGAGCCACACAAAUCAAAUUACAUCAUCAUGUAGCAAAUAGCAGUAUUUGUUAUACACGUUUUUUUCUUGACCAAGUUAUAUGUUAUAUAUGCUAUUAAAUACACCAUGUUAUUCAAAAAAUUAAAUUAAUCACAGAAAUUUAUUAGAAGAAAAUUGUUAAAUUUCUUUCUCAUUUCGUCACUUUUUUUUUUGGAUAUAUCUCGUCACAAAAUGAGUUUUUCUAUUUACACCCCAUGUUUUUCUGGUUACACCCAAAUUUUUUUAAAUUUUUUUUUAUAAUACUAAAAUUGCCCUUUUAUAUAAAUUUUCUUAAAACCCUAAUUUUAUUCAUUGUCAGUGAGUUUCACCCUCUUUCACCCCACAAAGCGAUCGAUCAAACAAUUUGAUGUUCAAUAUCAAUCUCCAUGAAAAUUAAAGAGUGAAUCAAAAAUUUUUUUCAUCCAUACUCAAUUGGAUAUAAGUAAGUGAAUUUCUUCUUCUAUUUGCUAGUUUCAAUUUUUUUUUUCCUUCAACUGCACUGAUGCACUGUACGAUUACGGUUUUAAUUUACAUUGACAAGGUUAACUUAAAUUCAGUUUAAGUAGGUUCAUGUAAACAUGAACCUACUUAAACUGAGUUUACAUGAACCUACUUAAACUGAGUUUACAUGAACAUACUUAAACUGAGUUUACAUGAACAUACUUAAACUGAGUUUACAUGAACAAGGAAAACUCAAAAUCAGAACUGAGAACCCAUAACAAGAAAAACACAAUGGAUUGAAGAACAACACUUGCUAACCUGAUUUGCUUCGAAUUUUCUUUGAAAUCAUGAAUGGACGUGAGAAAGUAUGGUUUUGAAAAUCUUCGCAGAACACAAUCGAUCGAUUGGAGAAUUAUGGUUUUGGAAGAAGGGUUUUAGGGUGUAACCAAAAAAGAAGGAAUAGGCUUUUUGAAAAUCAAAUUUUAUGAAAGGUUAAUCUUGUCAUUUUUUGGUGCAACCAUGAUUAACUAGGGUGCAAGUAGAAAAACUCUCACAAAAUUUAGUAACAAAGAAAUUGGAAAUGUAUUUCACUUUUUUAUAUCCAACUUUGUCAGUACUUUUAUUCUUUGUAUUGUCAAUCAACAUAUAUAUCAUACUUUUUUUAAGUAAAUAUAUAUGGAAUACACGCAUGUUAGGUCUUUUUUAUUUUUAAAACAGCAUAUAUAUAUAUAUAUAUAUAUAUAUAUAUAUAUAUUAAAUCUCACUCACACAUGCCGUGGGAAAAAAAACAUACAAAAGGCACCGUAAAUAUGCAGUAACCACACCAAAGAAAAGAAAGACACCGUGAUUGAUUGCCAAGAUAAACGCUCUCAUUAGUAGAAUAAACAAGAUGAAAUCCAAGUUAUCACAAUAAACAAUUCUUUAGGUUCCAACGUCAUUAGUAGAAUAAACAAGAUGAAAUCUUAAAUCUACUCAAACUCUAUUGCCAAGACAACACAUUAUUCUCCUCAACCAUUUCAUCAAUCUACAUGGUAUUAUUAUUGAAUGAUAUCAUUAUAGAUUUUCAAAUUACCCAAAUCGAUGCAUGCCAAAUCAACCACCAAUCCUUUCUAAGUUUCAUGUUCCUCGCCUCCCCACUUCAACUUUCAAAAUGAACAAACAAAUUUUGAGGGGUAAUGAUAUUCAUUAGGCACAUUAUUUUGGACCACAAAAGUUUCCACGCACCCAUCACAAAAGACACAAUUUAAAUUUGCCACCAAUGGAAUACUAUUUCUUCUAACAAGAUCUCUCGUUGGGAUACGAUUAUGAAAUAGCUUCCAAGAAAAAACCAAAACCUUACUAUUUUGUUUGUAGACCAUCCCUAAGUAACUUUUCGUUACUCCAUUUGUACCAAAUAAAACAGGUUAACCACUUUUUGUCACUUUCAUGUUUAACCAUGACAUAAAUACUCAUAUUCAUAUACGAAAUUGAGCCACUUUAAAAACAAAUUCCCUGGUCUUUUUUCUGUUCAAAUUGAUACCUAUAAAAUCAAUUUUACGAAAGUAAAAAAAUAUGGCCAAGCCUAAGUAAUGUGACCCAUGAAAGUGACCUAUCCAUGCCUUAAAUUUGGGGGGCUGGAGGCAUCCCGAGUGUGUCGACAUCUCAAUGAACCUAACAAAUAACCUGCUCUCUUCAAUAUUGAUAACGACUUCCAUCAUAACCUAUCACCAAAUACUCUAUAUUUUAUGUCACUUAUAAACUAAUUUUGGUCAAAAAUCUCUUCUUUUUUUUCAUUGUUUUUUUAUUCGUUUAAUUUAGAACAAUUCCAAGUCAAUUCUUCCUUUGAAAAUUUGUAUAAAGAUAAAAGGGGAAUAUGGUGUCCCCUUUAAGCAACCGCACCCAUCCAAUUAACUCUAAUAUGAUAUGCUCAAUUCUCUUUCAUUUGUCAUUUCUCUUUUAGUAGUCUUCAAAGAGGUACUUAAGCUUCCCAUAAUUGACGUAUUCAUGUUUUCACUUUUUCACAACCAAUCAUAUUGCUAAAUUAAGCUUCUAGAUAGAUGUUCAGAGCUUAUUUGAGUUCAAUUUAUGUAUGUAUAUCUACACAUGACGAACUUGUAAUCAUUUUUACGUCACGUAUGACUUAUUUACUUUUUUUUACUUGAUUUGCAUUGUUUCAUCAUAUACUUUGGUUUCACUACAUAUAUAAAUUAUACUAUUCAAGUUUGAAUAUUGAAUGAAACAAUCUUAAGCUGAAUUUUAGACUUCAAAUUAACAGAAUCCAUUUCAUUUGAAAAUCAUAUAGUUAAGAUCAAAAACUAAUUGAAUAUAAAAAUCUUAGAAAUUUUAAGUUUGAUUGGCACAAGUACCUUGUAAGAAAAUUUCAUUUAAAAUUUGAAUUAAUUUUAAAAUAAAUUAAUAUAAAAAUAUAAUAUAACAUUAAAUAAUUGGAUGUUGAUACAUAUUCAAUCAACUUUAGAGAUAAUGUUGUGUUCACCAAAAUAAUUUAAAAAAAAGAAAACAGUUUGAGCCCAACUUUUUUUUUUUUUUUGAGAGGAACUUGUUAUAUAGUAUUAUUUGGCAAAAAUAUUUUUUUUAGGGAAUUUAGCGACAAUAUAUUGUCACUAUCUUAUUAGGAGAAAAGAGAUUAGAUGUGUGUGUUUAUUUUUUUAGUUGGUAAAACGCUUUAUCGAUGGUUGUCAGCUCGAGCCGUGAAAGGGAGCAAGUGGAGAAUACUAUUGUUAUGGACAUUCUCUGACACUCACUAUCUUAUUAGAUGAAAUCAUGUGGGUACCAGACUUUGAGAAUGAAUCCCAAAUAAAAUGGUGAGACUCGCAUGAGUUUCAUCAAAUAAGAGAAUAAAUAUCAUAGAGUGUUCAUAUCAUUUUUCGAGAACAUAAGAGAUUGUUCCUAACAUUUGUCAUUCAUAUUAAGAUCUAACAAAAGCAUAUCUAAAAUUGGGAAAUUGUAUCAAUUAAAAAAAAGACUAAAAUUGGUUCGUCCUAUCUUAUGGAAGAUUGUUUUGGUUUUUGGGGUGUGUGACGUGGGGAGAAGAUGAUUGUAUACUUGUUCCUCUCCAUUAUUCUUUUUUCUAUAUUGACUGCUUAAUCCUAUGAAUGUAAUUGAUGGUAUUGUUAUGCAAUACAAGAAGUUUCCCAUUUCUAGUGAAGUCAAAGGGGAAAGAACUUAGCCCUCCUGCAUUCUUAGAGCAGCAAGAAGUUUUGUCAUGAUAAUGUCUUCUUGGAGAUUGGUUAAAUUAAUUAAAAAGUGAUUUUUUCUUCUUGAGGUAUAUUUGUAUGGGAUCUGAUCCAUAUACUAUUUACUCCAUAAUCUAAGCUAAUUGCAUUAGCACCAAAGAGAUAAAAGUGGGGACAAAGUGAAUCUUUAUUUCAUCCUGAUGGAUUUUAAAGGUUGUCCUUGAUCUUUUCCACGUCAUAAUUAAUGACAAAGUCUGUAUAAUAUAGAAGGACUGGUCUUAUAACUGUAACUAUCAACAUAUUGAUCUAUCCAUAUAUUUAAUUAACCACGUUAUCAUAUCAGUGAGGAACAGUCAUAUGAGUUUUUUUUUUUUUUUUUAAAAUAACAAUCCCAUAUGAGAUAUAUAGCUAUCCAAUUUAGUGGAUGUAUUGAUUCAUAUAUAUGCUAUUUGACUUUUUUCAUGGUUAAUAUAUGAGUAAUAUUGACCUCAAAAGAAGUUAAUGGUUAAUAUAUGGUUUUUUUUUUGUACUACAAAAAACCAAAGAUUUUUAAUGGUACUAUAGAAAACGCAGGAGACAAUCUGCUUCCCCUUUACACACACCGUAAUGAACUAUAUGAUAAGUAUAUUAAAUAAUCUUUUUUUUUUAACAAUAAAAAAUGGGACAUGUUUUAACAAAGCUAGGCUUCUCCAAAAUACAGUGUGUACUACAGAGACUUCAAAUAAUUACAAAGUAGCAAUGUUAGGCAAAGAUAUUAGCCAAUUCCUAAACAGGCCAUGUAAUUUGACCACCAUAAAUGAAAACCGUAAGCAAAAACGACGUUACUAGCUUUUAGCCACCAAAGAGAGUGCCGCUUUACUUUAUCUAAUAACUGAUCUAUGGAACUAGUUGUAUUGUUAAACAACCUAUGAUUACGAUCAUUCCAUAUGAUCCACGUAAAAAACAACCGAACAAGCUGCAAAAAAGAGCGCCUUGCUCGCAUACCACCUGCAGAAUGAGUGAACUGAAAGAAAUGAUCUGAGACAUGAAAAGGGUCUGGGCCUGAGACUCCAAGCCAAGACCGCACCUUAUGCCAAAGAGUGCCAUAAAAAUCACAGAUAUGAAUAAAUGUUGAGAAGUCUCAAUAACACCACACCCCGACAAACAGCCAGCCGCGGCUCCGGGAAGAACUCCACGAUGCACCAAGUUUGUCCGAGUUGGCAGCCGGUCCCGUAACAACCUCCAAGCAAAAAUGGAAACUUUAAUAGGAACGUGAAUAUACCAAACUAGAGCCUCGACACUAUCCACCUGAGGGCUGUCCUGAGAAGUUAAAAGUUGAUAAGCGUUGCUAACGGUGUAACCUGCAGAAAGGUCCAGCUGUCAUCGCCAAGUAUAUGUCACAUUAAGCUGCAAAGAAACAUUACGAAGUAAAAUGAUACACUCCCCAAGCAUGUCCUCCUCCCAAACCCACAAUUGCCUUCUCCACCUCCAACCCGCCCCCCAACAUCCCAACCAUACGACGACAUAUAAGACACCGUACAAGAUUUACCAACCGCAAGCUCAAAAAGGCGACUGAAACGCACUCGAAACGACACUCCUCCUAACCAAAGGUCAUGCCAAAAUAACGUAUCAGCCCCAUCACCCACCAUCCGGGUAAGACCCUCUUGAAACCAACCACCUUCUACCCCACCUAAACCCUCUUGCCCCCAACCUCCAACCUCCCAUUCACCUCACCAUAUCUCGCCACCAACACCCUAUACCAAAAACUCCUCCUCUCCACUAAUAACCGCCAACACCAUUUCCCUAAUAACGCCUCAUUAAACUCCCUCAACCUCCGCACUCCCAAACCACCAUACUCCCUCCUAGAACAAAUAGAGGUCCAAUUGACCCAAGAAAUUUUUUUGUGAUCCUUACAACCCCCCAAAAAAAUUUAGAAAAAAUAGAUUCAAUGGAAAAAAUUAUACCUGACGGAGCCUUGAAGAAGGAAAGAGCAUAGACAGGUAGAGAGGUCAAAACAGACUUGAGAAGGACUAAACGGCCACCAAAUGACAGAAACCGACUUUUAAACUCAUACAGUCUCGAUUUAAAUAAUCUUGUUUUGUUGGAAAUAAAUAAUCUUGUUUUGACUUCGAGCAAAAAAAAGUUUCUUUUAGAGAACAUUAAUUAUGAAUGGAUUAAUUGUAAUUUUGCAUUAAAAAAACAUAAGAAAGGUAAUUUUGCAAGUGGCAUCAAAAUUUUCAUUUUUUUUUUUUGAAGCAAAUCAAAAUUUCCAUUGAGCAUCAUGUGUGUCCACAUUUACACCACCAUUUAUAUACAUCUUCACCGGCAUCUCUUGCUAACACAGAGGACCGUACAAGUGUCAUCAUAUUAUAUGCUUUUAGUAAAGGUAUACUACAUUCAUAUUCAUAUAAUUAUUAAAACCUUCUGCCUUGUCAAGAUUUCUCAAUAUUGCUAUAGUCACAAAAUCUGAUUCCAUGUUAGAAAUUAGACUAUAAUAAUUCUAUAUAUAUGCGGUCUCGCAAGGCCAAAAGGUAAUUAUUAUUGUUGUUGAACCAAAAACAGUCUCAGAUUGCCUUUACGUAAAGCAUCUUGCUGUGCUAUAAAAAAGAAAAACAGAUAGUGAAAAGGAAAGCACUAAAAAGGUAGGAGAUGACCAAGUCCAAGUUGUAAUUCAAUAGUUCAAUUCAAAGCUUAAUAAGGAGCCACAGCAUGGACACGCAAGUACUAAACUAUAGUUAGUGAGGCAAAGUUAGCUGAGAUAUUUAUGUAUCAUUUGAAGCUAAUUUAUUUAUUUAUUUUAACUAAUUUCGGUUAUUUAAUUCAUCAAACAAUUUUAUUUUUUUAUUUUUUUGGUCAAGAUUCAUCAAACAAUUUUUUUUUUUUUUUGGUAGAAUUCAUCAAACAAUUUUAACUAACAAGAAAAAUGAUAACCAGGGGGGAAAUUUAUAUUUCUAAAAAUAUCCUCUGAAAUAAAAGGAAUAGUCGAAUUCCACCCGACAAAACCCUAGAUAAAAAUGUCAUGAUUAACUAACUAACUUGUCAGCACAUGUCUUGAUGCUAGCAAAAUUUGAUGUUUUCUUAGAAUCCUAUAGUAUAACUAUUUCAGCUAUUAUGAUUUUUGAUUGUAUUAUCACAUUUGAUAUUUGAGAUAGAAAUGUUUAUACUGGAUUUGUGUUGCCCUGGAUAUAUUUUACGAAAAGUUGUUAUAAUAUACUUCACUAUUUAUUUCAUAUGAGUGUUGGUAAAAAAAAAUUAUCAUAACUAAUGAGGUAAAAAACAUAAAUUACAAAUAAUAACCAGCAGAGCUUAAUUUGAAACUAUAUAUUAUAAUAUAUAUAUAUAUAAUUGGCAAUUUUAUUUGUCAAUUAAAUAGAAAUUAUAUCAUUGUGAGCUUACCUCAAUUGAUAUGGACAAUGCAUAAUAUAUGCAGGGUCUGGGUUCGAACCCCGACCACAAAAAAAAAUGGAAAUUAUAAAGCAUGCAUUGAUCUCUAACUAAUCCAAGUUUAGAGUUGAACUAGUUAGACAUAUACACCCUCCGGUCAUUUUUAUACGCAAAAUUUUAUAUUUUAGAUUCAUUCAAUUAAUGAUGUAUAUGGUCUUUAUUAUAAACCACAUACUUCAAUUAAUGAAUGAAUCUAAAAUAUAAAAUUUUACUUGUAAUAGAGACCAGAGCGUGUAUUCCUUAUUUAUGGGAAACCAAAUGAUCACCACAUAGUGAUAGAGUGGCAAAGUCUUGGUAAUUACAAACGAAGUUAACAUGCUUUUUACUUAAAUAAUAUUGUCUGAUUUAGGUUUUAUGCAAGUGGUCACACUUGAAAAGUAUAUAAAUGUUUAGAGCAUCCACAAUGGUGAGGUCUUCACCAUUUAAGAUCUAGUACUUAAUAGGUAUUUCUAUUGUGGGAAAAAAAAUUGGGGGUCUUCUAAGAUCCAGUGCCUAACUUAAGACCCUUAUUUUUUAGUGGUCCCCACACACUUUUUUUAUUAAAAUAAUGUUAGUGGUGGAAUGUAAACGAGGAAUAGUUAGCUAUGGAACCUAUUUAGACUUUUUGCCAUAAGAUCUCCUUUGGAGUGGAUGAGUACCUAUUAGGUACUGUUAUUAAAAAAUAAUAAAAAAGUGAUGUGUACAAGUGAGACCCGUUUAAGACCUUCAAAUUGAGAGUCUACAUUGUAGAUGCUCUAAACCAUCUUCGAUUGCACAUGUCUCUUCUAUCUUAACCAAGUUCAUGUGUUCGAAUUCAAUCUAGAACACGUAGCAACGUUAUAACUUUUAGGUAGAGUUUAUCGUCCAUUUAAGUUCCACGAUACUUGAGAGAUUAAUCACAAUAGUUAUGCGCAUAGAGGAUAAUCAGUUUACACUAAAAUCGUCUCGAAUUGCAAAGACAAAUCGUUUGAACCGAAUAAAAUAAAAUAAAAACAUAUUCUCUCUCAAAUAAUAUAUAAUAUUACUGCAUUUUGACCGGUGAAUUUGAAAUCAACAAAUUUGAUAUUUUAUUUGAAUAUAUAUCAACAUAUACAAUUUUAUCAAAUCAUUGCUCUAAAUUAAGAUUGGAGAGGUGGGAAAUCAAUCAUGCUCAAAACUUGAAUGGUUUACAAAGAAUAGAUGCUGACGUUGGCUCCCCAUCAGCACAGCAAGACAAACCGUCUUCACCCACGUGCUUGUCACUGUUUCAGGCUUCGGUCAAAUGCCGGUGCCAGUCUCAGACACGUGUGUUCCUUUCUAUUAUUCCAAAACCAAAGUUCCUAUUUUUCAAUUUUACAACUAAGUCGAAAUGUUUGAAUCAUUGACUACUACAGUUUCUAAACAUCUUCUUCUCAACUCAACCUCCUCUUCAAGCUGUGUGCAUCAUAGCUCCACGUUAAUUUGAAGCUUUUCUUUUUCCCCAUGUGAUAUAUAAUUAUAUAUAUAAAUGGUCCAAUGUGAAUAUCAUAUAUCUUGAUAAAAAAAUUAACUUAACCUUUAGACAUUAGUAAUGCGUGUAUUAUAAACAUGAUUGUAUUAUAAUUAGAGGAGUUGAUGUGGGAGUACAAAAGUUUAAUAAUAAGACAAUAUUAUUUGGACGGAUGAUAAAUAAAAUUUAAUUAUUUAAAUUACGAAACUUUAUAUGUCAUAUACUACAUGACAACAAUUGCUGAGAUUUUUUUUAACUCGAAUCCAUCAACGUUCCUUAUAUGUAUGAAAGUAAAUUUGACAUUAUUGGAAAAAUGUGAGACCAGGUAAAAGCAAUAUAGUAGAGUCAACCAUGUUAUAUUUGACUAUUAGUUUUUAAAUCAACAUAAAGACCGGAAAUACAAACCAGUGAAUGAAGAAGAUUUUAUUACAUGGGAUUGGAUUCCAUUCAACUGUACCUUUUCACUGCUUAAAUAAAUUAGAAUUAUUGGUUUCAUGUGGUACAUUAUGUUUUCGGCAAUCCAAGAGAACACAAAAGAAUAUGUCAAAAAAAAAAAAAGAGAACACAAAAGAAGUUUUUGUUUUUUGGUUUAGUUUUUUUAGAAGACUCCAAAUUGGGCUGAACCGUCAAAAACUUUUUUAAAAAUGAUCAAUUUAAUUUAUUUCCAACUUUUAGUGUUUCAAAGGGUUAAAUCAUUUCCUCCAAAAAAAAAGGUAAUCAAAUCAAGAUUCUACCAGAUAUUAAUUAAGAUUAUAUUAGAGUAAAUUUUAUAUCAUGGCAGUAUAUAAAUUUGUUAUACGCAGCAAAAGACCAUAUUUUGUCUUGUAAAAUGCUUAUAUUAUUGUUAAAAAAAAUGCUUAUAUCACUGUACUAAUUAAAAAAAGAAUUCUUAUAUUAUAUUUUAAUUUGGACCCGGAGGUGAUGAUUUGAUAAAUUUGGUCACCCUAUAUGACUAGGUUGUAUCUUUUGUUAAUAGUGUAUAUAUCUUAUGGUUGGUUAAUAAUAUGAUUUAAUUCGUAUACAUAUCAUAUAAAGAAUUUUACAUGAAAAUAAUGUAUUAAAAUUAGAAUAUUAACAAUAUAUGCCUUUUGAUUUAUUUACAUAUAGGUGAGGCUGCAAAUGCAAAGUGACAUUAAUCUCCCUAUCUGCUUAACUAAUAUUGAUGAGUUUCCUUAAUGGAAGUAAGAUGGUCUAAAAAUGUUUCCAUAUGAGAAAGCAUGCACUUUCUACUCUUUUGAUUGGAGGGUAUUUUGUCAACCUCCUUUUUAAAAGUGACCUAGCAAUUCUCUGUUCAAACCCAAAGACUUUGCUAUUUUCUUUUAUUCUUAUAUAUAAUAUAACACACACACACACAAACACAUAAAUAACUCAUCAAGAGAUAAGACUUCAAAACAAACCAACCUCACUACACACUCUUCUCUUUUGCUUCUAUAUAUCUUUCUCUUUCUUCUUCAUGUCUGAUGAACCUAAACCUUAUUUCCAAGACUUUAUGCUAGAUCAAGGAUCUAACAUGUACUCAUGUGAAAAACAAUUUUCAACCUUUCAUAACUUAGAUUCAUCACAACCUAAUUACUUUGAUCCAUCAUCUUAUAAUAUGAGUUUCACAGAAAGUUUACAAGGAGGAAACAUGGAUCACUACAAUUCACCACUUGCAACUUCUUUUGGAGUACUAUCUCCUUCUUCAUCAGAGGUUUUUUCAUCUGUUGAUCAAGGAAAUCAAAAACCUUCAGCUGGAGAAUUAGGUGGUGGUGAUCAAACCCUUGCUACACUUAACUCAUCUAUCUCUAAUUCCUCAUCUUCUGAAGCUGGAGGAGUAGAAGAAGAAGAUUCAGGAAAGAGAAAGAAAAAUAUUGGACAGGUUAAAGAAGAACCAGGACAAGAAAGCUCUAAAAAUGGGUAAAUCUUUUCUUCCUUUUCUUAUCUCAUCAAACCCUUGAAUUUAAUGGUGCAACAUGUAGUUAUUAAUAUUAUUACUUAAUAUAUGUUUUUGAAUGAAAUAAAGGAACAACAAGGUGGAUAAGAAGAAAGGAGAGAAGAAGCAAAAAGAACCAAGGUUUGCUUUCAUGACAAAGAGUGAAGUUGAUCAGCUAGAAGAUGGAUACAGAUGGAGAAAAUAUGGACAGAAAGCUGUUAAGAAUAGUCCAUACCCUAGGUAAUUAUAAACAGUUGCAUUCAAUGGAAGAUCCAUUACCACUAUUAAAACAAAGUCAAUAAUUUUACAUAAAACUAAAUAUCAUAUACUAACUCACCUAUACUACUAUACUCUAUAGAUCUGCUUGAUGUGGAUGUUAAUUACUAGUUAAUUAAUAUUUCAUCAAAUUCAAUUCAAAUUUCUUUAUACAUAUAUUCAAAUCUUAUUUAUUUAUUUACACCCCAUGUUCCCAAGAGAGACAUUAAUAUAUAUUAAUUGAAUCAUAGCUAGUAAAAACAAAAGGAAAUGAAAGGAAAGUCAAAAGGAAAUUAAAACCAUGUUCAAAUUACAUCAAGUAUACAACUCUCUCUAGCUAGGGUCUACUCUAGAUACCAUCAAAACAAUGGCUUGUAUAUAUUUCUUAGCAUUAAUUAAUUUGAUGAAUGAUUUGAUAAUGAGAAAUUGCAUUUGAUAUUGCAGGAGCUAUUACAGGUGUACAACACAGAAAUGUACAGUGAAAAAACGCGUAGAAAGAUCAUAUGAAGACCCAACAACUGUGAUAACAACAUAUGAAGGUCAGCAUAAUCAUCCUGUCCCCACUUCCCUAAGAGGCAAUGCGGCUGCAAUGUUCACACCUUCUAAUUUGCUAUCUACACCUACACCUUUCUCAUAUGGGUCAAACUUCCCUCAAGAUCUUCUUCUCCACAUGCACCACCACAACACCUUCAAUAUCACCCAACCAACAACACAUACUACUAAUAACGUUGCUGGUUCCGUUUACUCACACAACAACAUUAACAACUCAUUUCUUCAACAAUAUCAACAACAACUUCCUCCUGAUCAAUAUGGACUCCUUCAAGACAUUGUCCCUUCCAUGUUCCUCAACAGGACCAAUCACAACUAAUCAUUAAUCAAGAUCCAUUCAUAUGUACUCUCUUUAUCUCUCUCAAUCAUCUUUUUUGUACAUAUAUUUAUAUAGUUUAAGUAUGUAAUUUGCAUAGCUAGUUUCAUUUAGUUAUGACUUAUCAUGACAUCUGCUAUAUAUACAUAUAUGGCCAGCUAUGUGAUGGAUGGUAAGUGGGAACUGUUUUUGUUUUCUUAAGGAAAAAAUCAUCGAGUACCUAUGUAUUAAUCCUAGGGAGAGGUUAUUUAGAGGACAACAUAUCUUUUUAUACAUAUAUGCAUGCAGCUUGGCAGCCCAUUUAAUUGGGAUUUUCAUGCUAUAUAUGUGGAGUAUUAGUACUAUGUAACAUCAUCUAUGACAAUUGAGAUAUUAAUUAAUAACUUUCAUAUGGGUUAGGGGAAGAAAAAUGUUACUUGACUUUGCUUUGUUCUAAUAAUUUUGUCUAAUGUGCACAAGUAAAAUAGUUUUUGAAUUAUGUAUAUGUAUGUGUUCUAUCAUUUGAUCAACAAAUCACAUCGUAUCUCUUUUAAUCUAAUGAUCAAAACAAUUUUUCAUAGUAUAAAAUUUGUCUCACUUGUACCAAAUAAAACUGACCUAUUAUUUCAAUGUUUCUAUUCCAUACCUAUUUUAGAACCUGUCGAUUGUAUAUAUGUUGAACUAUUUUGAAUUCUAAUCAACCACACACAUAGUGUGUUUAUUUUAUUGAAGCUUCAAAGUGUACGACAUAAAUGAGACAAAUUGGGUAUGUCUGCUAUUUAUUGGUCGACCAUUAUUUUUUCCAUUCUAUGAGUUUCUCGCGCACUCUAUUCGGAUCUUAAAAUCUGAAAUGUUUCAAUGCGUUUUUGGAGGUUUUUAUACAAUAUUUAUGCCGUUUGUAUUCUAUAAUCCGAACUUCAUAGAACGCGUGAGAAACUCAUAAUGUGAAAAAAGAAACAAUCUUAUUGGUUUGCGUAUUAAGUAUGAUCACUCUGAUAUGACCACUAUGGAUAAUGGGUCAACCCUCCCGAUAUAUAAUUAUUUUGUUUAUUCACGCAUUUCAUAUUUUUAUGUUACUUCGAUAUAUUAGUUUUUUCACGAUUAUCUAUUUGGUGAGAUAUAAUUGAACACAAUUGUAAUUUCUUUUACAUUAACACUUAAUAUCAAUUGAACUCAAGUUUUAUUUAUUUAACUGAACCAAAUUAAUUAUUAUAAACUUUGAAAAUAUUGUAGGUCUUCCUGGUGCUAACAAUUUAUGUGUUGGUUAGAUCAAUGGGACUAAACUCCCUUUUAAUAUUUGACAUGUCAUUUUAAAGAAUUUGACUCUAUAUGAUAUUAUAUUUCAAUUCUAGUUUAUAAUAAUACAUUUUUUGUCAAAAAAAAAAAUAAUACAUUUAAAUAUACACAAAAUUAAUGUAGAUUAAUGAGUUUAAAUAGAAAAAGUUAACAAAUUUAUAAUUUUAUCCAAAUUACAAAAUUUAAUAUAAUAAUAGAAAUAAAGUUGUUAUUCGUAUUUAUUUAAAUAGAUCAGCCUGAUAAGUUUAGAAGACUUUUUUUUUAUGGUCCCUAGACCGAGCUGACAAGCUUAGAAAACUUUUUUUAUCUAUCAAGAAACUCACAAAAUGAAGAAGAAAAAAUAUGGAAACCCCAGAUCCACCCAAGUAUAUAGUUAAAUACUCCCUAACAAACAAAACAAUUAAUUUAAUGGAGCCACACACCGCUCAUAAUAUAAACAACACCUCCCUUCUAUAAGAGUUUGAGUGUUGUGUGUGAACUAGAAAACUAUUUAUACAAAUUUCUCUCAAAAAACUAUUUGAUAUACCUCGUGAUAUAGUAAAUCACAUUUAAGAUUUCCAUUUAAUUUAUACAAAUUUCUCUCAAAAUAUAUACAACAAUAACAAGAAUAUGUUAAUAGUAUUCUAUAGGUUAUAAGGUAUGUUUGUAUUAGAAAAAUAAUUAUCAAGACGAUCAAAAUUAUCACGUUUUAGGAAAAUUUUAAAAUGUUUGCAACAUAAUUUCAAUUCAUUUUCAUUGCUAAAUAAAAAUUCCAAUGGAUUUUAUCAUAGACCCUAUAUUACUCAAAUCUUAUGUUUGGUGAACGAUAUGUUUGGUUCGCGAUAUAUAUACUUUUUUUUGCUAAACUUUUAUUGGUUAAUUUUAUCUUCCACUUACUAUUAAAAAAUAACAUGUUGAUUUUUUUAAAAAAAAAUAUGUAAUUGAAAUGAAGUAACAAAACACAAAUAGAUAAUGUUCCCUAAAAAAACGGGAAUAGCGUUUCUUGGAUUGGAUUUUUCAUUAUCCCAAAUUUAUCUUUCACUUAAACUAUUUUAUUUACUAUUUUAUCUUUUUUAUAAUAUUAUUUAAAUUAUUAAUUAAAUCUCAUUAUAAUAGGAACUAUUUCAUCACAGAAUAUGUCAAAAUUGAUAUCUCUUUAUCCAAUUAAGCGCAUUAGAAAAGCGGAUAGACGAAACAUGUUAGUGUCAUGUUCUGUCUAUUUACGAGCACGUUAGUGCCAUGCUCGUCUAUUUGCUAGUUAAAAUAUAAUGAAUCAUAAAAUACAUCCAUUCUAUUUCUAAAUUACUCAACAAUACAGUAGUAUUCAGAAAUCUAGAUUAUCUAUAUUUUUCAAGUGCUUAAAUUUUGAACUUUUCACUACUUUAACCCCUCGAUUUUCAAAGUAAAAUUAUUUUUGGUUCCCCUCAAAAUAAUUAUAAAUUGCUCAAUUAGAAGAGAGACGUGCAUUAGGUGAAGCGUGUGUUUGGUUCUGCGGUGGAGAAAAUUGAUUUUGAUUGAGUGCUUGUUUGGUUCCGCGUUUGGAAGCCUCAAACACGAGUUUGCUUUUUGAAACGUGGUUUCAGCAUACUUUUUCAUGUUUGGGCAGCUUCAGAAGCGAUUCUAUAAAACGUGAAUAUAGUCCCAAACUCACGUUUGUGAGAAGCCACAAUUCGGAGCUUUUGCGGCAACUUGAUUUUGAUAAUUAAUUUUGUCAUUGUCAUGACAAUUUCAUUUUCCUAAUUACCCUUUUUAUUUUCCCACAGUUGUAAAUCGUUUCCUUCAAUCCAACAAAACUGCCAGCGAUGAUUUUUUUCAUUGAUCAAUUUUGUUUUCAUGGUGCUGCUUCAAGCUUCAGGUUGCACAGGUUUCAUGGUGCUGCAACCUUCAACGCUCUCUCUCUCUUUCUCUAGGUUAGAGAAGAGGUUGAAAUUGGGCUUCAAAAGCCCGUUACUUUCUUAUUUUUGUAAAAGCCCAUUAAUAUUUUGCUUAUUCCUUUAAAAAAAACGUUUGACACAAUUUGGUAAUUAAUGAGUAAAAAAAUUAUUGUAAUAUAUCUAACUAAAAUUAAACUAUCUAUAAUUUAUACAAAUUUUUUUUACUGGAAUAUGCUUUUUAUUUUAAAUUUUUUAUUUCUUUAUGAAUAAUCAAAUUAAUAAUGCAACAAAAUUUAAAUAACUAUAAAAUAGAAAUGAAUUUAAAAAAAAUUUAAUACCCAUUUUGGUAAUUAUGCAUUCAAAAUCAAUUUUGAUCCAAGUUAUCCAAACAACAUGAAUUUAUAAGAAUCACUUUUGCUUUAAGGUAUCCAAACAUAAAUCAAUUCGCAUUCAACUCACUUUUAACAAAAAUCAAUUCUAACAAAAUCAAUUCUGUCAAAAUCAAUUAUCUCCACCGUAGAACCAAACACACACUGAAUUGAUUUUACAUAAUUGAUUUUAGCUAAAAGUGAAUUGAAUGUAAAGUGGUUUACGUGUAUGAAAAAUGUUGUUUGGAUAUUUUAUGUUAAAAUUACUUUUGGGUAUGUAAAUGACCAAAAUGAGUUUUCUUGUGUGGAUUUUAAACUAGAUUUCAUUUCUUUCUUUUUUUUUCUACAAAUUUAAUUCCCAUUUUUAAUUCUUUAAUUUUAUGUUGCAAUAUUAAAUUUAAUACAAUUAUAUAGAGAUCAUUAAAAAAAAGUAUUUUUUUACUAAAUUAAAAAGAAACAGUUGGUAACUUAAAUUCAUAUUAUUAUUUUAUAAAAUAAAAAUUAAUGGGAUCUCACGGAUAGAGCCAUCUUAGUUGAGAAAGGCUUUACGAUGGAUCUGUCUAGAGAAAGAAAAAAGAAAGAAAAAAAAAAACAAUUUUCCACAAGAGGGUCUUCUUCAACCUUAUUUCUGCAACACACAAUUCUAUUGUUGUGUGUGUUUAGAGCAACAAAUUUCUCAGAUAGGUGAAAGUAAUUUUCAAAUAUAAAAGGUAUGUGAAAAGGAAGUGAUCAGAUCCAAAGGCAAAAGGGACAAAUGGAUGUAGUGCAGUUCCACGGUGGGGAGACUCGAUUUCAAGAAGCUGGUAAGAGCAGCUUCAAGAAUAAUCGAUUCUGAAAAUGAAAAAUACGGUGGCGGUAGAGUUUGGGUGGAGAACCAAACAUGUCGAAAGCUCGUUUUAUGAUGUUGGACGUGCGUUGGAUGGCUCUCACCGCAUAACCAAAUAGGGGCUAAGUGUUUCUAAAAUUACAUUCAUUCAUUUUCAAAUAGCCCAAAUCAUUGUGUCAAAUAAUCACAGUCCAUUUCCAUUCAAUCCUUGAGGCACUGGUGCAAGUGCUAAAAAUAACGCUUUUGAUAGAGGACCAUCUGGAGGGGAUUUUGAUCUCUCACACAGAUAUGGUAUAUUUAUAUUUAUAUACUGAUUAUUUUGAUAUAAUUAGAUUAUGGAAAGACAUCCAUAUAAUAUCGGAUAUAUAAAUUCAUUAACUCCUAUAAGAAAAAUCAAUUCUAGAAUUUCCUGAGUUUCCAAAAACUUAGAGAGAUGAUAUUAACAUCUACUAUUUUGACAACCUUAUAUAUAUAUAGAGGUAUUUUCGUAGAAGCAAAAGAAAAGAAAAAAAAAAAAGCUUCAAAAUACUACUAUGUCAAUAUAUCAUCAUAGGAGUAUUAAUUGUUAAGACAACUCAUAUUUAUAGGUUGUUGGAAAAGUUGUCACAAAAAUUAUAUCAAUAUAUCGUAACUCGAAACUUAUGACCAUAGUCUUUUGAUUAUGGAAGACUUACUCGUACAUAAUUGGAAAACUAAAAAACUGAGUCAGUAAUUCUAAAAGACGGUCCAAACUAAAUGAAAAAUUGCUUUUUAGACUAAAUGAUUUGUUAUCACGCAUAUGAAAAUAACAUUCAAUGUCCUCAAUGGUAGUUAACUACAAUUCACUGCUUAUUUUUCUCUUUUGGAGCGAAUGAUGGUUAACUAGCGUUGAAUAGGGUUGGGAAUAGGCCAGGCCGGCCUACAGGGGCCUAUGGCCUGGCCUGUUUAAGCCUGGUCUGGCCUGGCCUGUUUAUUAAAAAGGCUAGGCUUAGGCUUUUUAAAAAGCCUAUUUAAGUAAAUAGGCCAGGCUUAGGCUAUAAAAAAAGCCAAUGAAUCCUAAUAGGCCGGCCUGUUUAUGCAUGUUAGGCUUCAUAGUGGACUUUUUAAAUAGGCUUUAAAGCUUUAUAGUGAAAUAUGUUUUUAAGGCCUUAUAGUGAUAGACAAAUCUUACACUGGAAUAGGCUUUGAAGCCUAUUAAGCCUAUUUAAAAGUAGAUAAAAUGGAAUGUUUAGUGACUUUAAUAGUAAGUAGGCCUGUAAAUAGGCUUUCAGGCCAGGCCAGACUUUUAAAUAGGCCAGGCCAGGCCAAAAUAAUAGGCCUAUGAAAGGCCAUAGGCCAGGCUCAGGCCUGCAAAAUUUUUCGUAGGCCAGGCUCAGGCCUAUCAAAGCCUGGCCUGGCCUGGCCUAUUCCCAACCCUACCGUUGAAGUAUUUUGGUCAUUUUCAUGUGAGUGAUAGCAAAUCAUUUAGGAUAAACAACAAUUUUCAACUAAAUGGAACACCCGAAUGCAAGGCCCAAAAUAAUUUACCUCUCCGAAUUAUUAUAACAUUUGCAUGUAAAUUAUUGAGCUUUUAUUUUAGAAUAUUAAUACUCUUCUCACUUUUAAAUUUUUUCUAAAACAUCCCAUAAUUACCCAUUUACUUCGAUUGGCAGUUAACUUUCGUUUAUUAUACUUUUCAAACCGAUUUUAGAAAGUGGCGGAAUCGAUUUUUAAAAUGUCGAGUGACGCUUAACUGUCACUGGAGACUUGAAAAAAGAUAUACUUGAGAAUUGAGAAUAGUAACUUUCUUUAUAAUUUCAAGGUGACAACUACAUUACUCAUCAAUAAAAGGUGGAUAGAAUUAUCCACGCAUUGAGUUGACACCAAUAAAAAUCAUUCACUUAUCUUUUACUAUUUAUGUUAUAGAUACUAACGUCAAGACAUGAACUAAUGUGCCUGUAUUUUUGUUUUUCUAUUUUUCUAUUGGGCAUCCUUGUAUGCUUAUUCUUUCAUAUUUGGUUAUAUAUAUUUUUGAAAUAUAUCACAAUCAAAGAAAAGAUCAAACUUAUAUUGUUCUGAUCGUAGUGAAAUUGGUCAUAUUAUAGUAGAAUUUAACUAAUUCUUUUAAAUAAAAAUUUAAAUAAUAUUAUACAAAAGAUAAAAUUGUAAUUUGAACGGUUUAAAUGAAGGGUAUGAUUAGAAGAUAAAAAGCCAGUCCAAAAUCAUACAUUUUCUUUAUACAUAGGUAUAAAUGACAUAAAUAAUGGAAGACAGAUGAAUGAUCUUUUUUAUUCGAUGCAAGGGAGGCUGUUAGGCCAAACUACAAACAAACAUGAAGAUUAAAAUAGACAUUGGCUGCAUCCUGCCAUAAAAGGUUAACACAAUCCGGUGGUGGAUGAUCUAAGUAGUAACCUGUAGGUAUUGAAAGUGCAUAAUCCACAAGUGAGUCAGCUACCUGGUUUGCCUACCUAUAAAUGUGAGAAACGGUAACGUGUUAAUCCUUCAUCAUACAACGAUUAACGAGGGAGACAAUGGAAAAGCAAUGAUGAAUCGAGGGACACCCCUUAUUAAUCAAAGGCACCGCAAUAGCUAAGUCAGAUUCAAAUGAAUGAUUUAAAUUGGUGUCAACUCAACCUUGAUAAUUCUACUCAUCUUUUAUCGAUUUCUUUUACGUAACCCACCAUUCGUUGUUGUUAAAAAAUAUUUAUCGAUAACUCUAUUCACUUCUUAUUGAUUUUUUUACAAACACCCCCCUCCCCCGGCAUUGAUGAAUUUUUAAUCAUUUAUGUCAUUUUAUACAUACACAUAAUACUUUUCCCAUCUUUAAUUACUUUCAUAUUAAAAUGUAAACCAUAUUUCUAAAAAACCAUUAAAUUACUAAACAAUCAUCUCAUUUUCUCUUCUUUUUUCACUAUGUGUUUUUUUCAUCAACUAACAAUUUAUUUAUUUUUAAAUAUGGAAACAAAAGUGUUCCAGUUUAUUUUUUCAAAACAAAAAAUUGAAGCAUUAAAUUACGUCUCGUAAUUUUUCUUAGAGUUAAACAACUCUUUUUGAUAAAUUAAUAUGUAUGUUUAUUGUUUUGAAUUUUUUUUUUUUGACAAGAGGGUUUCAUUUUGCGUGUUAACCCUUUGAUUUUCAUGAGAAAAGAGAUAUGUUAAUCCAAAAUUUGACUGAAAGAUAAAAAAAAAAGCAAAAAUGAUAUAUAUUAUUAACAAAUGAGCGUCAUUAAUAGCACAAAAUGUGUCAAAAAGAACCUGAAAAGUAUAUAGUCAUGAAAGUCACAACAAUAGAGACAAAAUUACAAAUGGAUUAACCGAUGCGCAGACAAACAAACGAGCUCGACCACCACAUAUGAAAAUUAUAACGAAUAUUAUUAAUAUUAGUUGUCUUCAUUCACCAAUAGGAAAAUAAUUUCACUUUAUCUAGGAAAAUGUGAUAAAAAAUUAUUUCAUCAAUAAAUCGAACUCACAUUCUAAUCAACAAUUCAUGCCGGAACUCAUUAAUAACUUGAUAUCAAUUACUUCCUCCGUCCUAAAAUAAGUACGCCACCUGUUUGAUUUACACAUGUUAAGAAAAAUGUAUAAGUGAAAGAGAGAAAAAUGAUUUUAAGUUUCAUUGUCAAUUAUUGGUGCAUUCAUCAUGAUCAUAAAUGCAAAGUUGAAGAUAUUAAAACGAGAGUGGUGGAAUUAUUAAUUAUAAUAUAUAAUUGUAAAAAUGUAAUUAAUAUUACAUUGAAAAGGGAUAUAAAUUAAUUUUAUGGCAAUAAUUUUUUACAAAUUGGUCGCUUGGUGUAGGAUGGAGGGAGUACUUGGUUUGACAAGAGGGUUUAGUUAUGAUGUUGGUUGGUAAUAAUUUUAGUACGUAAUUAACCCAAUUCCAUUUGAUGAUAAGGACAUGAUUAAUAUUAGAAACAUAAAAAGGAAAGUGAAGGAAAGAAUGAAACAAAAAAAAGCAUCAAAUUAAUUGAACACUAAUCAUCAUUAUUUUAUGAUAAUAGAACACUAAUCAUUCUCAAACCAAUAUAUAUUCACAUUGAAAAACAUAAUUUAGUUAUUAGAUUUGGAAUGCUAUUUUAACCUGUUAGUUAAAUUAAAUUAAACAUAACAAAGUGUAUAUAUUAAUUUUCUUAGUAGUGUAAGAAAAUGUAUAUUUGAAGCAAGUUAAGAAAACAAAGUAGCAACCAAAUUGAAUUGAAUUAAACACUGGUCACACUCUAUUUCAUUUUCAUAUAGUAUUUGAUAUUAUCUAUCUUCAUAUCUAAAUCUAAACUGGUAUAGUUAGUUUGUUUGAAAAGCUUCUUCUAAGUUUCCAAUUCAACCACUGAGAGAGAGACAUCCCCUCCGACAUUUUCUCUAUUCUUCAAGCAAACUCUUCCUCUUCUCUUCAGAUCUUAGGGUUUCUCUUUCUCUUUCUCUGCUAUCUAUUUAUCAUCACUCUUUCAUACGCUUUCUUCACAAAUUCUCCUAAUUCUUUCAAUUCUUCAUUUUUGGUAUGUAUCUUUAUAUUUCUCAGAUUUUCAUUUCCAAUGCGUCUUUCUUCUCUGAUCUCUAUUUUUUUUUUAAUCAAUUUUCUAGAUUGGAGGAUUGGAGAUGGUUGUUUCCGGACCAAUUACGCCGGGACAGGUGUGUUUUUCUCUAAUUCUUUGAUUUCAAAGUUGAAUCCAGAAUUCAUUAUUUUGAGGUUUGGGAUUAAUUGUACUGAAUGAUUGUUUCAGUUGAUCUGUGAUAGUUCCUAGUUGUGAUUUUUGUGAUCUGGAUUGUCUUGAAAGAUAUUUUAAUUUGUUAAUUAAGUAGAUGUAAGUUGUGUAGCUAAAUCUGAUGCAUUAUGAUCAUAAUUUUGAGAAUAUCAAUCAAUUUUAACUUCAAAUUCUCUGAUGUUCAACUCAAGUUUCAGCAUUUUCGCGUGGAGUAUAAGAAAACUUUUAUUUAUUCAUUUAAUAUUUAUGAUAGUUGUGGGAUGAUGUUGCCAACUUUGUGAUUGAGCUUUGUUUAUUAUGCAUUCAGGUGUCUUUCUUGCUUGGAGUUAUUCCAGUUUUUGUUACAUGGAUAUAUUCAGAAUACUUAGAGUACAAAAGAACCUCAUCUCCUACUAAAGUGUAAGUUUUUUUAACACUGUCAUAGGAAAGCAAAUUAUUGACUUCAAUUGAUUCGAGUUUAUUAAGUUUACUAGUGCAAUAUAUAUAUAUAUAUCAAGGACAACUUUUUUCUCUUCUGUUUGGCUUUUUCUUCUCGUGAUUGGAUUGAUGAAGUUGAAGAGGGUGACCAUAAUGCUUUAGAUAAGUAUGUUAAUAAACAUUGAAAUCUUGUGCUUCCACUUCAUUGUAUUUCAAUUUUGAUGUGAUUGGUAAAAGAAAAAUCUACUAGAUAAGUCUUUCAUGAGGUAUUUGGGAACCAACAGUGAUCCUUAAAUCAAGUAGCAGAAUUUAGCGUUUACUUAUCAAUUUUUCGACACCCGUGUUAUUUACAAAUCUGAAACUGCACUUUGUGUCUUUAUUUUGAAAAAUAAUAAUAGGUAAAUUACUGAAUGGAUUGAUAGUAGUAUAUUUAGCAAAUCUGAGAUUAAGAUUUAAUAAAAAGAAAUUAGAUGAUGAGUAAAGCUUUGAACUUUUGGACUUUGGAUACCAACCAGUCAGGGUCAGUGGAGUAAACAUACAUGAACUCUUCUUGUCUCAUAUGGGAUUAAAAAUUUAAAACCACUACUAUCCUGCAAUCAAAACUGCAAUCGUAUGAUAAUUUGGCAUCAGAAGGUUUCAUGGUGUGAACAUAAACACCUACUAAUAUGGAUAUUAUGUUUCCCAUCUUGGAUCUACUUAUGUUUUUGUUUAAGCGACUAAACUUGAUAUAAGUAAUCAUUUUCUUCAUUGAUGCACUUUUAUGGUUUGAACUUCCUACUUCAAAAAUUGAAUUUCAUGCUAUGAAAGUUUUUGACACAUGGAAUGUAUGAAAUUACUUAUCUGCAAAUAUUUUCUAAAUCUGAACAAUUCUCCUGGUGGACUGCAGUCAUUCAGAUAUUAAUCUUGAUGAGUUGGGGAAGGAUACAAUUAAGGAAGAUGAUCGGGCCAUUUUGCUGGAAGCAGGGCUUACAAGAUCUGCAUCAGCAAAAUUACAUGCAUCAUCUGUCAAAUUGAAUUUGAUUCGGUAAUUUUCUAUGACAUGCAAUGUCAGGGGCUUCUUUUAAGUCUUUUACUUCUAUAUUUUAUAUUUUAAGAUCCUUGUCUUUUUACUUGUUUUGUCUAGGUUCUUGACCAUGGAUGAUUCUUUCUUGCUAGAAAAUCGGGCAACUUUGAGGGCAAUGUAUGUCAUUGUUUUGUAAAUUACCACUAAGUUAUUAUAUGUUACACUUCUGAAUCCUAAAAACAUAUUGGUAAUUUUUCUAUAGGGCUGAGUUUGGGCUGAUUCUGUUUUAUUUCUACAUAUGUGAUCGAACCGACAUACUUGGAGAUUCUACAAAGGUACACAAAUACCACUUAUUAUAUUUCCACUUGUUUUUGCUUCGAUCAGGAACAUGAAAUAUCUUUAUAUGGUAAAGUGAUUUUCAUAGAGAAACUUGUUCUACGACAACUUCAAUUUUUGUUUGCUUCUUUGUAAUUGUUUGGUUUCUCGUUUAAGUUUUCACAAUUUUUGUUGUUAUUAAUGCUUUGAGUUUUCUUUAGAAUAUUUAUAUAUGAAUUCUUUAGAAUUGUUUUCUUUAGAAUAACUAUUCAAGUGAUUGAAAAGGAUGCUAUCUCAUAAAAUGUCCACCUUGACUAAUUUUCACUGGUGGAUUUUACAAUAGCCCAGUUCACAAUUCAGUGUUUUAGUUUGUUUGGGUGAGUGUCUAUCAAACAUGAUUUUGAAUGAACCUGAUUUUGUAAAAUUGAGUUUACGGUGAAGUGAUUUAUAUUUUGAUGUUUUAAUAUAAAAGCAAGUUUGAUGUACAAUUCAGUGUAAUUUUUUUCCAAAAAAAAAAAAAAAAUCAGUGUAAAUAUUUUAACCGAACACAAACUACUUUUUAUCACUUCUUGUUAAACCAAGGUUUGGUAGCAAAAUCAAUUCUGACGUUUUACAAGCAAACAUGACAUUUUUUAAUAAAAACAAGUUUGUCCUAUGUAAAAGCAAGUUUGGGAAGCUCAAAUGCUCCCCCAUUAUGCAAUUAGCCGUAUACACGUCGAUGUAUCAUUUUUUGUUGUUGUUGUUGUUGUAUUUCUGUUGGUUCUUUUUCACUAGGCUUUCGUGAUAUAUUCUGCGACAAGCUUCGCUUGUGUAGAGAUAUCUUGUUACAUGUUUUACUUUUACCUUGUCAAUUUUUACUCUUAGCUUAGUUCACACUUCACACUUCUGGACUUCAUAUCCAAUGAACUUUAUGCAUCAAUUUUUUGUUCAAACAAAGCUAUCAGGCUUGUUUAGAUAUACUGCUGCACAGGUUUGAUUUUGAAAUACUUAUAUCCACUGGGUCUAUAGAUAUAAUAUUGAAAUAAACAGUAGUCUUUUAUGUGUUUAAAUUUAAUAAAUCACCAUAUGGUCAAAAGUUUCCAUUUGCAGUUUAUUAUUUUCUUACCUGCUUUUCCUUCCUUUUUUUGACAGAACUAUAAUCGGGAUCUUUUCAUUUUCCUCUUCAUUCUUCUGCUUAUAGUUUCAGCAAUGACUUCUUUGAAAAAGCAUAAUGACACAUCAUCAUUUUCUGCACGAAGCAUGCUUUACCUUAAUCGACAUCAAACAGAAGAAUGGAAAGGAUGGAUGCAGGUGGGUGCUCCUUUUUGGCUGAUCUGAAAACUUGUAAAUAGAGAUUCUAUAUUAUUGCUUACCUCCUAAAAGUUAUGGUUAAAAGUAUUUACUCUACCUUUUCCGUUCAUUGACAUUUUAUUUAUGAACUGACAUUGUUUUACCUGGAUACAUCAUGCCUGAUGUGAAAAAUCAUCUCAGUUCUAUUUGGAUUUCUCAUUCUUAUGUUACUUUUUUACUUUGCUUCUUUUGUUACUUUUUUUAGUAUGGAUUAUGAUUUAUUUCAUAGCUGUUGCCGGGAAAAUAUUAUGGAAUACUGAAGCUAUUUGAUGAUAUGUGAUGGAAAUUGAUGCUUUCAGUUAUUAAAAUGAAGAAAGAAAAAAAAAAAAAAAAAACUAAAGUCGACGUAGCUUGGUGUAGUCUUGGCGCGUGUUACUUUCAAAAUGCAAUAUUUCAUCCAAACUUACACUUUUUUAUAAUAUGAUUUUGAAUCUGUCAGGUACUUCUAACUAUUUAUUGAUGUUAUUGUUCUGUGUGUUCAGGUCCUUUUUCUAAUGUAUCAUUAUUUUGCUGCUACGGAGAUAUACAAUUCAAUACGUGUUUUCAUUGCCGCGUAUGUUUGGAUGACUGGGUUUGGCAACUUCUCCUAUUAUUAUAUCAGAAAAGAUUUUAGCCUUCCACGCUUUGCUCAGGUGAUAUAGAUUUCUUGACCCUGAGAACCAUUUUUAUGCAACAUAUUUUUUCAGCUGGUGUUGUCCACUGCCUGUCCUUAACUUGCUACUCUUUUUGCUUAAACAAUAACUCAUUAAAGUGCCUUGCAGAUGAUGUGGCGGCUUAACUUUUUCGUGGCCUUCUGUUGUAUCGUUCUCAACAACGACUAUAUGCUCUAUUAUAUAUGUCCAAUGCACACGCUUUUUACUUUGAUGGUGUAUGGAGCAUUGGGUAUAUAUAACAAGUACAAUGAAAUUGCCUCAGUGAUGGCCGUAAAGUUUCUGGCAUGCUUUCUUGUGGUGAUCUUGAUUUGGGAAAUCCCAGGAUUUUUUGAAUUAUUCUGGAGCCCAUUUGCAUUCUUUUUGGGUUAGUAAUACACGCAAAUUGUUCUUCUGUAUAUUAGUUUUUUUCUUCUUCUUGCGACUUUCCUUACCAACACGUCAUACCUGAGAUUUCCAGUUCGUUUCAUUCAACUGAUUCAUAGCCUCGAGCCAGUUUCUUUCCCAUGAUCUACUAUUUAUGCUUGAAAUUGAACAGUUUCAUUGCCUUUCAAGACUCGAGUUGUGCAGGCCCCCCUUCUGUUAUUUACAAUAGUUAUUGCCAACCCGAUUACAAAAUUGUAUUGGUUAAGUGACUGUUGUGUGUGUGUGUGUGUGUGUGUGUGUGUGUAUGUGUGUAUUAGAUGUUUUCCCCCUUUUAAGAACAAGCUGUAUACACUCUCGUUUCAGUGCAUGUUUUUUAUUGUCGUUUUGCACUUUUCAAAUUGAUUUGCUAUAAUAAGAAUGGUAAUCUGGUAUCCUUUUUACUGCAAGUUCAUAAUAGUAAUCUUCAUAUGGCAGGUUAUACUGAUCCUGCAAAGCCUGAUGUUCCCCGAAUGCAUGAGUGGCAUUUCCGAUCUGGGCUUGAUCGCUACAUUUGGAUAGUUGGAAUGAUUUAUGCCUACUUCCAUCCAAAUGUAAUAUCAUAUACUAGCUUGUGUUGUAGUGUGUAAUUUUUUAUAAUGAUUUCCAGCAAUUUUUAAUUUGACAUAUUUUACCAUUUCAGGUUGAGAAAUGGAUGGAAAAAUUGGAAGAGAGUGAAACCAAGAGAAGAGUAACAAUCAAAACCAGCAUUGUGUCAGCUGCUUUAUUUGUGAGUUACAUGUCUUCUUAUUGUAAAACCGUUUGCUUAUUCAUGGUUUUAUCUGCUCUUUUGUAUGUAGACCAAAAAGACUAAGCAAGAACGUUUCUUUUUCUUUUUUCUUUCUAGGUUGGGUAUAUGUGGUAUGAAUACAUAUACAAGCUGGACAAGGUUUCAUAUAACAAACUCCACCCAUAUACCUCGUGGAUUCCAAUCACGUGGGUGUUAUCAAUUUCUCUUUUACUUUUUAGCCUGUUCUUCAUGUUUUAUUUGUUUCCUUCGUUUCUGCUUGAAAGAUAGCAAUCAUAGAAUCAUGUAGUUAAACAUUUUUUCCAGCUCCAUCUAUUGAUUUUCUAACUAUUAUUAUUAUUUUUCAGCGUUUAUAUUUGCUUGAGGAAUUUCACUCAGCACUUACGGAAUUUCUCUUUGACCCUCUUUGCGUACGUUUUCUUCACCUUAAUUAUUGAAAUUCCAUGUUGGGUGGUUUUGACGGAUUUUGCAUUUAUUUGGUUACACCUAUUUUCUACUAAUAUUUGUUUCUUAAUUUCUCCCGUUUUUUGUAUGGAUUUUCAGAUGGCUUGGCAAGAUUACUUUGGAGACUUACAUUUCACAGUUCCACAUUUGGUUGAGGUGUGUAUGCAUAUUAAUCUUUUAAAUUCUUUCACCAUCCUCUCGGCCUCAAUUAAUUUAUAAAUAUGGGAAGUGUGGUUUUUGUUUCAUUUGGAUGACCAGUCAUUACUGCAUUUUAUGUCUGUGAGAUAACAUUAAGGCUUUGUUUGGGAGUUUGGAGGGGAGGGCUUUAGGGGCUUGGAAAUAUAUAGAAAAAUGGACAAAAAAUUCACAUUUUUUGAAAGAACAGUUUUUUAGAGAAUGAUAAACUAAUACUUAUGAUUAAUAUACUUUUAAUUUUAAGAAUAUUAUAACAACAUAGAUUGGAUUUGAAAAAUUCAUAUAAACCCUCCAUAACCCCCCCAAAACCCUCCCCCAAUACAAUUUUUGAGUUCCCCCAAAUGAGGAGGAUUUUUUAUUAUGAGUAAAAAAUUAACCUCCAAAGCCCUCUCCUCCCAAUGUCUUCUAUUUCUUCCACUUGCUCCUUCCUUUUUUCCAAAACCCUCUCCUCCCCUCCCCUCCCAACUCCCAAACAAAGCCUAGAGGGCUGUGAGGCAAAUAUCCAGUCAGUUGAGAUACGUGCUCAAAUGAUUUAUGUAUUAUAUCAUUCAUGUGUUUCCUACUUUCCUUACUUUAGAUUAAUGAAUUGAAAAUAUUAUGAUCCCUAGUGAUGAUGACCCAGACCAAUAGACAAUAGCGCACAUGUAAUUUUAAGAUUUCUUGAUCAUGAUCGAUCUCAAUAGUUGCUGAAGUGGGUCGUGGUUUUAGAGAUUGCAAUUAUCAUGAAUAGAAAAACUUCAGGAUGUAUGUUGUCCACUUUUUUAUUGCGAAGUUGUGUCUCUGUUGUAGUGUUGUUUCUAUAAUAUGUCUUUGUAUAUUGGAUCAUGAACAAAAUUUGGAAAAAUUAUAUGGUUCAAAACAUGAAAGAAUUUUCCCUUAGUAAGAUGUGUAAUUGAUAAUAUCCUCUUUGCAUACAGAUCAAAUAUGCCAAAUGGACAGCCGAAGUGGCUUCUUUCUUUUAUCCCAGAGUACCCCAUGCUCAACUUCAUGCUUACUACUGCUAUAUACGUCUUGGUAUGGAUCUUUCCUUCUUUCAUUUUUCUUCUUCUACUGCUAGUCAGUCUUAAGAGCACCAGUUCAGAAAUUAAAAACUAGAAGUACAUGAAAAAGUAUUAGAUUUAAUACAUUGCUAACUUAGGAAAGUUGUACUUUUUAAUAACUUCAUUUCAUUUUUAUUCUUUAACUAGUGUGCUUAGGUCACUUUUUGCAUCCAUCUUUUUUAUUUAUCUUUAAGUUUCAGGAAAGAUGUCCUGAUUAAGUCGCACCUUUUGUGCUGCAAUUCUAUCUUGACAUUAUUUUGCAGGUAUCUCAUCGACUUUUUGAAUUAACAAAUACCCUCAAGACAGUGUUUGUACCCACAAAAGACAAUCGGCGGCUUUUGCAUAACUUUAUUACUGGGGUUGCCAUUUCUGUUUCUUUAUAUUGCAUCGCUCUGAUUCUGCUCCAGAUCCCUCAUUCAACGGUAAGCCUCUAUUUGCUCAUGAAGGGUUUGUGGAAAGUUUUAGGGAAGGAUAAUUAAAAUCAGUUUUUUAUUUUUUAUUUGAUACUGAUAGGUUUGAAAUGAACCCCAAAGAGUUUACAUAGAGAGUUCAAUUUGGAUUGACUGUGCGGAAAGGAAGCUAGGUGGAUUAAAAUAAGAAUACAUGAGAAUGUGGGAUCUAAUUUUUUUGGAGCUAUGUUCCUAUAGUUGUUGGAAGUCCCAUUCACUGCAUCAGAUAUAAAUAUUGGCGUUGGUUUGUGUUGGAGGUUGGCAUAUGAAGAGGGAAUUAACCCCAAAGGAGUUUAGACCAAUUUUCUGUAGCUUCAUUUGUGCGCACACGUAUAAGGAGGAAAGAGUAGGAUCGUGUUACAAAUUUGUUGUCUUGGCUUCGAAGAAAUUCAAGAUUCAUUAUUACCCGUUUGUGUUCAAUUUCUGUAAUCAUUUUUUGACUUGUUACAUAUGUGAAGGAUAACAAAAUAUAUGUAUAUUCAUUUGACAAUCUUAGCAGAAACGCAUUGCCAUACCCUUGUAAAAAUAGUUUUGUUUCUGUUUUACAAUACAAUAGUUUUGUUUUAAUGGCCAUGAUUGCUUGUGUUACCAUUUAAUUGCGAGCCAAUACUGGAAUAUGUGGUUCGUUGUGAACUAUCAUUACACUUGGAUUUUCCAAAUGUUUAUUUUCGGGUUCUAAAGAUUAAAUUUCUUGGCGGCAAACUGGAUACGGAAUAAUACACAAGUAAACUUUUUUCAACUCUUUUUGACCUUGUUAACAAAUUAUAAUCACUGCUGUAUAUACUGUUGAAUUGUAUCUUAACUCGAUUUCAAUUAACAAUUUAGUCAUUUAUCUUUUUUACGUGUCAUUUGGGUCAUUCAUUCAUGUUUGCAUAUGAAAUUUACAAGCUUCAAACCUAUGGUUUUCUUUUGGGGCAUAACAUAAAUACAAGACUAAGAUUUGAUGGGGAAGGAAAAAUAUAGAUUUGAAGCUUGAAAUUCGUAUCUGAACAUGGAUGAUAAAUUAAAAUGACAUGAAAAAAGAUAAGGAAUGAUAAAUUAAAAUGAUAUGAAAAAAGAUAAGGUUCUGUUAACUGGUGCCCCCAUGGCAUUGGUUAAGGAAUCUAUAAAUAGAAUUUUCUGUUUUGAAAAUAUAAACUGUCACUUUUUAUUAAGUAAUAUUACAUCCGUCCCUAAUUAUAAGACCCUUUUGGAAAAAAAAAAUGUCUUUUUUUAUAAGAGCUCUUUGCUAUUUUCAACUACAUUAAUUAUUUCUUUACAUACAUAGUCCUAUUUAUUGUACAAACAACUUUAAUACAAAUACUCACUUUCUUAAUUCAUGUGAUUUUAGCAUAAGGGUCCUAUAAUUAGUGACGGAGGUACUCCCUCCGUCCCAUAAUAACUGAACCACUUGCAACAAAAUAUUGUUUCUGAAAAAUUGACUCAUUUCACUUUUCAAUACAAUAUUAAUUACUUUUUUCCAAUUAUAACACUAAUUAAUACUACUUUCAUCACUCUCAAUUCAAUAUAUUCUACUUUGCAUUUAUGAUAAAGAAGAAUGCACCAAUAGUUGAUAAGGGCACUCAAACCCAUUUUUCUCUCUCUUUCACUUAUACACUUUUUCUUAAUAAAUGUGAAAUAAGCCAGGAGCUCAAUUAAAAUGGGUCGGUGGGAGUAGUAAUUACAUUACUUUUAAAUGAAUCUAUAAAUAGAAUUUUCUGUCUUGGAAAUAUAAACUGUCACUUCUUAUUAAGUAAUAAUUACAUUACUUUUUAAUAAAAACUUACUUUAUUUGAUGCUUAACUAAUGUCUCUGGCGCACUGGUUAACAUUCUCCAAAAAGAUAAAGGACUAGAUCGCUAAGUUAGGGGACGGCAUGAGCAAUUUUGCCAACAAAUUAUAAUCUUUACUUGAAAAGGCUGAAUUUUCCUUUUGUUAAAAAAAGAUAACUUGUUGAACUCAAUUCUUCAUUUCUCUUUUGCAAGACCUUUUGACGGUGGCAUUUAGGGUGGGAAGAGGAAAGAGUUUCCCACCACGGGAAAGUGUUUUUUGACCAUUAAAUUAGAGAGGAGUACCGAUUUUAUCAUAAGUUGUGCACACUAUAUUAUUUUUCGUCUUUCAUGUCGUCUUCUACCUCAUCAAUAUUGAUUUUUCAGAUCGGGAAGUUUAGAUUCACAUUUACGGUGGAGACUGGAGAAAUUUACAUUCAACUUCUAUUGAAUGUUCAAUUCAAGUCUCUCUUGAGUGAAGCCCUGCAAUCUUUAAACUAUUUCUUCAAACCCAAACCCUUUUACAAUUGAUUCCUUUAAAUUAUGCACAAAAUUAACUGUUAAAUUGCUGAAAACCAUUGAUUAAUUAACAUAAAUGGGAAAACAAAAAUGAACAGAAGUUAUCAAUUAUUUUUUUUGAUGUGGAGGAUUAAUGUUGGAAAUGAGUUAAGAACUUAAGAGACGAAAUGCAAUUAUGAGGCUACUCUUUCCAUUGUAGGAGUUUUAACCUUUCAUUCAUUCUUAGAUUUUUUUUUUUCUAUUUAAUACUGUUCUGGUUUUUUUUUUUAAAUAAAACCUCAAAAAAUUUAUAUCUUAUUCAAAAUAUUGUUCGUGAGUUUUUUUUUCCAGCAAUGUUCUAGAGUUCACUUCAAACCCAGAUUUGUUUUUAAUAAGAGAAAUGAGUUUUUUUUCUGCAAUUGUUUCAUUGCCUUGCAUAAGAUCAUUGUUGCUGCUUAGGGAUGCUAUUGCCUGUUGGGACGGUGGUGGUAGGUGAGGGGGAUGGAGGAGAGAGAAUGGUGGUGGGAGAUAGUGUGAAAAAAAAAAAUUAUCUAGUAUUGAAAGUCUAUUAUAAAAUUAUGUUAUUCAUUUAAUCUAAUGGUCAAAAAUCACUUUCCUAUAAUGGGAAACUCUUUUCCCUUCCCACCCUAAAUGCUACCCCUUUUGACUUGACCCACAGCAGAUUCACGACAAUUACAAUAAAAUACAACGGAAGAAACUAUUUGUAAAAGUACUAAAACCUGAGUUGCGAAUAAACUCAAAUAUAUUUCAAUGUCAGCGAAAAUUACUACUGUAAUCUACAACAAUGUGAUGUAAGGAAGAAAAUGCCCACAAGGAAGAUUGUUUUCUUGCAUCAAGAAUAGAAAAAAUAAAGAAAGGGGGAUAAAUUGAAACGAUUAAAAACUGUUUCCUGUGUGAAUAUUGAGACGGAGAACCUCAGCAAGUACAACCGUGUCUGAACUCUGAAGGUUAAAUUUAAUAUUUACAUCUAAGUGCUUUUGUUUGUAUGUAUAGAAUGGAAAAAAAAUCUGGUCCCAAAUUCAAUGACUACCAUGAGUUCAACAAAUUGUUUAUUGUUUUGAGAGAUAAAUCAAGGUUCGAUGUUUACCAAAAUCCUUGUUCUGAACUAGUCCUCUACAAUUAUAAGUCCUGAAGUUCUGCAAUUUAUAAGAUGGUAAACCGAUGUUGUCGUAUCUGAAACCUGCAUUCAUGCAUACUUUGCAAAUGCUAGACCAACGGGACAUAGCCUUGCUCUUGCAAAACUGCUGUCAAUGAAUUUAAACCAGCAUAGAUAAAAUCAGUUUGGGGAUGGGUCCUAUCACCCGUUAGAAAUACAUGCACACCAUUCAUGAGUUCAAUCCAGCUACAACCUGGUCUCUUUUUCACAUUUUGUUGCCUCAUUGUAUGUCUCAACUCAGAUACUUGUUCGUAUCGACCAACUACUCCAUAAACAUUUGACAUCAACACAUAAUUUCCACAAUGACCUGGCUCAAGUUCAAUCACCUUACUUGCUGCAAUCUCAGCCAAAUCUGUAUCUUUGUAGAUACGGCAUGCUGCUAGCAAAGCCCUCCAUCCGACAGGAUCAGCUUUAAAGGGCAUUGUUAGCAUUAAAUCAUAAGCCUCCACGAGCUUCCCUGCUCUACAAAGCAUGUCAAUCACACAUGUGUAGUGUUCAACGGAUGGCGGUACCCCAUAUUUUGAAUCCAUUUCAGCUAAAAAUUCGAGCCCUUCCUUCACCAUGCCAGCAUGGCUACAUGCAGACAAUAAUCCAACAAAACUGAUUUCAUUCGGUACCAAUUGAGCUUGACGCAUACGAGUAAACGUAUCUAAUGCCUCAUCACCAUAACCAUGCAUUCCAUAACCAGUGAUCAUGAUGUUCCAUGAGGCCACAUCCUUCUCUGUCAUGUUAUCAAAAACCAUGCGAGCAUCUCUCAUACUUCCGCAUUUUGCAUACAUGUCCAUCAAAGCAUUGUUCAAUAGAACAUCAUCAAAGUCAUUGUUUCUUCCUUCCUUACCCAACCCAUUUACUAUCAUAUACCCAUGUAUCUCUCUACCAUGCAUCAAGGCUGCUAGAUGAGUGCAAGCCGGAAGUACUGUUGUAACUGUAACCAAAUCAGGCUGAACCUUAUUGCCAAGCAUCCUAUCAAAAAGCUUCAAAGUUCCGUAAUGAUCACCACACCGUUGAUGAACUGAUAUGAUCGAAUUCCAUGAAAACAUAUCCUUCUCAUCCAUAACCUCAAAUACAUUCAAAGCAUCACUAGCACAUUUGCAUUUCCCAUACAUAUCAAUCAGUGCAUUCAAAACAACAACACUGGAAUGAUAACCCAUUUUCGUCAAAAAUCCAUGAACAGCCUGUCCGUUGUCAAAGUCUCCUAUCACAGAAUAUAUCGACAAAACACCGGUAACCGUAUAUCUACAAGGAACCACCCCAUUUUCCACCAUCCUCCUGAACAUCCCCAAAGCCUCCUCAAAGCACCCAAUCUGUGCAUAUCCAUUAACCAUCGAAUUCCAAAGCACAACAUCUCUAACAGGCAAUUCCUCAAACACCUCAUGUGCAUCCACAACCAACCAAAAUUUCAAAUAAGUAGUAACCAAAGCACUUCCAACAAAAACAUCCAAUUCCAACCCAAAUUUAAACAACAAUCCAUGAAUCUUCUUAACCUCAAAAACAUCUCCAGCAUCACCACAAGCUCUGAUCACACACGGGAACGUGAAUUUAUCAGGAAUAACAACACCCAGAAGGCGCAUUUGCUUGUAAAGACCAAACGAGUGUUGAGAGAGUCCGUUUGAAACGAAUCCAGCAAUGAUUGCAUUGUAAGCGAAUACAUUUUUGUCAUGAUGGGUUGGGUAGUUGAAAACUUUGAGAGCAUAGUUGAUGAGGGUGCAUUUGGAGUACAUAUUGAUGAUGCUGGUGAUGGCGAGUGGGGAUGCAAAGAAACCAUUUUUGAGCAAAUGGGUGUGGAGUUGUUUGCCUUUGGUGAGGUUUGUGGUUUGUGCACAUUGUUGAAGGGAUGUAAUGCAUGUUCCUAUGUCGUAUGAGGCUGAGUAACAGUGAAACGAGCGAAUCUGUUGUUGUUUUGGGAGGACAAGUCUUGAGAUUGUUGUCCCAUUCAUUUAUGUGCUUGCUUUCUUAGAGCAUCAAUUAUUAUCGACAUCAAUAUAUAUAUAUAUAUGGCUUAAACAGGAAAUUUACCAAUGCAAAGAAUAAAAUGUUACACCCCUCAAAAUACCCUAAGCUUGAAUAGAGCUUGGGUAAAAGUACUUGAUUGAGUUUAUGUAAAGGCAAAUGAAUUGAUUUUCGUGAGGUUGUGUAACAUUUAGAAAGUCAGAAUUUAUAUGCAUUAUGGAAUGGAUUUUUGCGAGUUUACAAAAAUGUACUUGAAUUGACUUCAUGUACAAUCCUUACAAAAACAACGCACAAAUUAUUUUUUAGAGAAUGCUAAUAGAAGAUACUAUACAAGUUUCGUUAACCUUUGACAAGUUUUGAAGAAGAAAGUUGAAAAACGAAUAAUUUUUUUUUAAAAUUAAGUGAGACAAAUGGAAUUUUAGAAAUUAUAGCUAUUUAAUUUUUGAUUGAGAGGUGACGGGAAAUUAAGGGGUGUAACUAUGAUAAAGUUUUGACAAAAAUUUUGAAAUUAAAAAUGUUUGGUGAACUAUAUAAAGCGUAUAACAUAUACAUCUUAAAAGAAAAAAAUUAUGAGAGAAAGCAAUGCGAUAAGAAGAGAAAAGUAAAUGUAAGAUGAGGAGUUGAAUAGAUGUCACAUAUUAUGAUGGGGGUGCUCUCUUGGCUGACUGUGUGCUACACAGAUAGGGAUUGCCAUUUGUCAUAAUCGAGAUUACACGAAUGGGAUUGCUUAAUAGCAGUGAAUAUCUUCAUUGGUUUUAGUAGCCAUAACUUACAUGUUCGUGCUUCAACCAUUCUCUAAAUCUUUGAGGCCUUACAUUAAGAAGAUAAUUUUACUUUGGCGCAUAUUUUGCAUGACCAAAAUACGUGUGCAAAUUUUAUAGCUAAAGAAAGGCUUCCAUUUAAAUUUUUCUGUUAUUUGGAACCGUCCCCACAAGACAUGAAGUCAUUCCCCCCUAAAGACAAGCUUGGAACUUAGGUUCCCUUUAGUUAUCCUUUUUCUCUUUUUUUCCUUUUGUUAUUGGUAACCCUAUCAAAAAAAGACUUUAAUUAAACGAGACUAAACAGACAAAAAUAUAGCUUAGGCAUAUAUAUUUGGGUGACAAAGGAAGAAAGCCACAUGUGAUAUUAUGGUUGGCCAAUAUCACCAACCACAAUGUCAGGUAAGUGCUACAUGCACUCUAGGUUGCUUUGAGAUUUAGAAAGAGACAAACAUGGCAUUGCAUCCGGCGUUAUGGGAGAAUGCAGCGUGCUUGCACAUUGCAACUUGCAAGUCAAGUAAGUCAAACAAACAAACACAUAUAAAUGAUCAACCACUCUAGUUAGUCAACGAGAUCAACGGUGGGGAACCUUCACCUGACCACAACAAUAAGGUGAGAGAUGACAUGGCAAAGUAGGAUCUAGACUUCACUCACACUCUCCUCUCAAGUAAGUACCCACCAGCACCGUUAAAUAAAUUUUUGUCUCUCUCUCUUCACGGUUCCGAUAAAUUAAAUUAAUUAAAUAAAAAAAUUGGAUUCCUUUAUUUUAUGCUAAUUGGAUUCUUUCUUUCACAAGCAAAGAAAAAUUAUCUUCUAUAUAUAAUUAUAAAAUAUUAAUAAAUAUCCCCAUGCGGGAUGCGGCAGAAACGGAUUUUUGCCUCUCUAACUGAACCCAAAGACGAACAAAGAAGAAGAAGAAGAAAGAGCUGUUCCUUUUUCUUCUUCAAAUUGAAAAAAUGGCUUCGAAGCUAGCAACAUGUUUUGUAUGCUGCAAUUUGAGCAGCGGCUUCAACAACUGUAACAAUAAUUAUAAUCAGCCUACCCGCCGCGUAAUGUGCUCUCCAUUUCCAUCUUCCUGCAAAAUCCGACACCUCCGUAUUCUCAGGUAAUUUACCUAUCAAUCAAUAUUCCCAUUUUCCAUUAUUAUUAAUCUGUUAAUCAAUUUUGUUUGUCUACAGUUCUCAGCAGCAGAAAAGACAAUAUCACAAGAAAACAUCAUCAUCAUCAUCAUCAUCAUCACAACCAUCUUCCAUUGAUGGAGGAAGAACUAUCGAUCCGAAAUCUAAUCAUGAUCAUUCUCCACACAAUUCCACACCAUCGGUAUCCUCUUCAAACUCACCUUGCAAUUUAUCAUAAAUGCUACCUCGGAUAGAUAGAUACUUAGUUUGAUUAAGUGCUUAUGCUUUUGUAUUACCUCAUUUUUCAAUUCAAGACUAAAUCCUGCAGCUCGCUACUUUCUUUAGAUUAUUCCAAUGACUUCUUAAAAUUAGAGAGAGCAUACUGAAACAACUUAUGAAAUGUUCAUAAAUCGCUUUUAGCUUAGUUCCAAGAUAUCUAAUCAAAAUAGUUUGACUUUAUUGUUAUAGAAAGAGCUUACACAUAAGAACUUAUUUGAUGAGCGCUUAUGCUAUAAACACUUAGUUAAGCUGUUUGUUCAAACUAUGUCUUAAGGUGAAAACAACUCAUGAGUCAUGACAUAUCAUAGUAAGUUUCAUUCUUGUGUUUUGCCAAACACUUAAAAGUGUUUAUGUAAUAAGAUAAUUAUUAAAUAAACGCUUCUGAACACUUUCGUAGAAUGGAUAAAUUUAGCUCUUCAAUAUGAUUCAAGAGGUUAAAAAGUUGGCUUUUAGUGCCAUUAACUAAUUAUUCAAUUAUGAAAUAGGCCUUGAAUGUAAACGGAGCAGAGCAGGCUGAACAGUUGUCUGGUGGUCAAUUGGAAGAUUUGUUAUCCAUGAUAAAAAAUGCAGAGAAAAGUAAGAUCUUCUUCUGGAGUACUUGUAUGUUUCCUUUUUAAAUGUAUAUAUUUUCUGUUAAAUGUCUUGUCACCUGUUAUUAAGAAUUGUAUGUUUUUCUUCCAGACAUCCUUCUUAUAAAUCAGGCUAGAGUUCGUGCACUUGAAGAUCUUCAAAAGGUUCUUGCCGAAAAGAAAGCGUUACAAGCAGAAGUUAACGACUUAGAGAUGAGGUUGGCUGAGACUGAUGCGCGGAUUGAAGUUGCUGACCAGGAAAAGACGCAUGUGGAACUCAUGGAGGGCCAGUUGGAGAAACUGCGUAAUGAGUUGGCUGAAAAGGGUAGUACUGAAGAAAGCAAUGCUGAAUUGCAUGACCUUCAUAAUGAUAGGAUCCAUUCCCUUACUGAGGAGCUUAAUUCGGUAAGAGAAGAAAAUGCCUCUCUGAAGAAUGCCAUAGAAUCAUUUAAAAUACAGCUCAAUGAUGUCAAGAACAAUGAUGAACGUUUAGUGGUAUUGGAAAAGGAGCGCUUAUAUUUGGAAUCAACCCUAAAAGACUUGGAAUCAAAACUGUCAAUAUCUCCGGAAGAUGUAUCUGAACUGUCCACACUUAGAGUUGAAUGCAAGCAUUUAUCAGAUAAGGUUGAAAACUUGCAAUUAUUGCUAGAUAAAGCAACGGAACAAGCCAACCAAGCCGUUAUAGUGCUUGAAGAAAACCAGGAUCUUCAAAGGAAGGUUGAUAAAUUGGAAACAUCCCUUGAAGAAGCUAACGUCUAUAAGCUAUCAUCUGAUAAACUGCUGAAGUAUAAUGAACUAAUGCAGCAAAAGAUAAAACUACUGGAGAACAGCCUGCAAAAAUCAGAUGAAGAUAUAAACUCUUAUAUUCAGUUGUAUCAACAGUCAGUGAACGAAUUUCAAGAUACACUCGAUAUUCUUAAAAAAGAAAGCAAGAGAAAGACGCUGGAUGAACCAGUGGAAGAUAUGCCAUGGGAAUUCUGGAGUCAAUUGUUGCUUCUAAUUGAUGGCUGGACACUUGAAAAGAAGAUAGCAGUAGAUGACGCAAAGCUUUUGAGAGAAAAGGUGUGGAAAAAAGACAAGAGUAUUAGUGAUGUAUAUAUGGCUUGCAAAGGUCAAAAUGAAGACGGGGCUAUAUCUGCAUUUCUUGGCCUUACAUCGUCUGCAACGAGGUAUUAAAUUCUAAUUGUGUGUUGCAUUUUAUAUAUCUUCCAUUAUCUUAUGCAUCCCUUACUUUUUAUCUUUAGUCCAGGAUUAUAUGUGAUUCAUAUUGCAGCAGAGAUGGCACCAGUGGCUAAGGUGAAUUCAUUGUUUCCAUAUCCCUGUUUUUCUCUGUUAUGAACUCAUUUUAUCUUAUCCCUGAUGUUUCUAAUUCUUUCAACAUGAUCUUAUCCCUUCACCUACAAUCUGUACUUUUACUGUAUAACUAACACCCACUUAAAUGAUGCUAAAGAGGCAUGUCAGAAGCACCUUACUCUGUAAAUAAGGGGGAUACUAGGUGUGAGUUUUGAAUUGAACUAAAUUUUCAAACAUCGUUAAAACACGGUCUCUUGUAUCGUUUUUUCUCCCUCGUGCCAAUUUUUGAAAUCUUUUUAGGAAAUAAGUAGCAUGUGGUUAAAAGUCAGACACUUGUACUGUUCAUAACCAUUACGAAUGGGAGUUGUUCUAAUCGUAACAUCCCAAUUUUUUGACAGUGGGCCUUUGCUUGAAUAUGUCAAAAAAUAUUAUAGUAUGUUGACCCUAUCUUAGAUUGUCUCCUAAAAUUAGUUUCCAUAAUUCCUUAAACAUCAUUAUUUGUAUCGUUGUUUAAUUAAGAUUAGGAGUUUAGUAUUAGUAUAAAUAAGGAUCACUGCUUUGUCUUGUGCAAUAACACCCAAUAUAUCAUUUAUGCCAUAUCGAUAUAAUUUUAUUAUCGAGUAUACCUUUUCCUCCCUUUAUACCUAAAAGAAUAAAUAUUUUAUAACUUUUGCAUGGUAUUAAAGUUGUAUCGUUCUCCAUGAUAUGUCCUGUCAUCAUUCUACUGUCGAGUUCCCAAAACUCUAGAACACUGCGGUAAAAAUGACUAGUACCAUACCUUUCCAUAUUGUUCUUCCAAGGAUGGUGCAUGAUCUUCUGCUUUCAAUUAAUCUGUUUUUCUUAUUACUUACUGAUAUUUAGAUUGAGUUGUUUCUGUAACAGGUUGGUGGCUUGGGGGAUGUUGUCUGUGGUCUAAGUAAAGCAUUGCAAAAGAAGGGACACCUUGUUGAAAUCGUACUUCCCAAAUAUGACUGCAUGCAAUAUGACCGCAUUGGUGAUUUGAGAGUAUGCUAUUUAUUGAGUAAAGAGUCAAAGAUGUUGAGUAUUGGUGUUUGGUAUCUUCAACAACUUGUGAUAAUUUGAUUAUCCUUGCAGGCUUUGGAUGUGGUAAUAGAGUCAUACUUUGAUGGUCAAUUAUUCAAAAAUAAAAUCUGGGUUGGCACUGUUGAAGGUCAAUAGUUAAAUAUUUCCGUUUAAGUUGAAUGUCUUUAUAUAUGGUUUACUAACUUCACUUUACUUAUGCAGGCCUUCCUGUUUAUUUCAUUGAGCCCCAUCAUCCUGAUAAGUUCUUUUGGAGAGGAGACUUUUAUGGCGAGCGUGAUGAUUUUAGAAGAUUUUCAUAUUUUAGCCGUGUAGCACUUGAGUUUCUUCUUCAAGCUGGCAAGAAGCCAGAUAUCAUUCAUUGUCAUGAUUGGCAGACAGCAUUUGUUGUAUGACCUCUUAAUUCGUUUUUUACCAAACUUUUGCUCUUUGAGUAACUUACAGACUAAACUUUAUUAUGCUACUUUGCCAGGCUCCUUUAUACUGGGACAUAUAUGCCCCAAAAGGAUUAAAUUCAGCUAGGAUAUGCUUUACAUGCCACAACUUUGAGUACCAAGGGACUGCAGCAGCUUCAGAGUUGGAAUCAUGUGGUCUUGAUAGCCACCAUCUAAACAGACCAGAUAGAAUGCAGGACAACUCAGCACAUGAUAGAGUCAAUUCUGUCAAGGUAUACUAAUAUGAUGAUUAUCUAUUCUGCCAUUUAUGAGCAAAUAUAACAAAAAAGUAAUAGUUUACCUUCCAAUGUUUUAGGGUGGAGUUGUGUACUCAAACAUUGUAACAACAGUUUCCCCUACUUACGCCCAAGAAGUGAGAACUGCGGAGGUAUUGUUCAUUUCUUGCUCUUAUGCAUAUUAGGUAUUUUUUGGUUUAUCAAAAUAUCAAUUUUUUAAUUCAUGUAAUAAUAAAGCAAGCAGCACACAUAACAGAACCAGCACAAGGUCAACUUUGAAUAACAACUUUCCCUAUAAUUGCAUCUAUGCUGACUAGAUUGCAUCUAUCUGAAUGGUUAUAGAUCUAUAACCAUUCAGAUACCUUCAUCUAAAACGGAGAAUUUUUCCUUGACACAGUAUUUGGCUUUUGAGUCCUUAUGACCAAGUGUUGAAGAAUUUGAUGCAUAAUACUUCUUGCUUUUUGAUUGAACUAUAAUUCUAGCAGAGUUUCUUUCGAGUGGGCUUAUGCUUUGUCCAUUCUUUAAGCCAAAUAGAUUUCAAGUUAGUGAUUUGUUAUAGAUCUAAAACCAUUCAUGUGCUUUUACUAAUAGCAUAAGCUUGUUGAAGAUUUGAUUCUUAAGAAUAGACAAAGGUUUUGUUUCUAAUAAUAAAUGGAAGACUAUUGCAUAUAUUUUUGUACUAGCUAUUUGGCAUUUGACAUUGUUACGCGCAAUAUAAGGGUACCAGGAGUCCAAUUUGAUGUGCAAGUCGACAUAGGCCGGAAUGAAUUUGUUAUUGAUCUUUGAAUUUGACAGUAUAUCUUGUACAGAAAAAAUAAUGGAGAAUCACACAUAAUUCAUGAUAAAUGCUUGAAGUUUGGACUAUUUUAUGAGCUCUCUUUACAACGUUUCAAUUUGAAAAGUGGGUCUCAUGAAUGAUAUUAUUGUACAAAAUGCAGGGAGGUAAAGGCCUCCAUUCAACCCUCUCUACCCACUCCAAAAAGUUCAUCGGUGUUCUUAAUGGUAUUGACACUGAUAUAUGGAAUCCUGCUACUGAUCCAUUUCUUGAAGUCCAGUACAGUGCAAAUGAUCUUCAAGGGAAAGCAGAGAAUAAGGAAGCCUUGAGAAAGAAUCUAGGUCUUUCUUCUGCAGAUGUUAAGAGGCCGUUGGUAAUUAUAUAAUUCUUAUUUCAUAGGACAAUUUGUUUGUUACAAUAUAUUAUAGUUUGCUCUUCACUCAGUUUUUUUUUUUGUUUGUUUUGAAAUUGAUGCUAUAUUUUAUCUCAUGAAAGAUUCAAGCUUUGUCAAUUUUCUUUCAUUCCCCCAAAGUGCUACCAAAAAGCAGAGUGUGUGCGCAUUUUUGGCCUAUUGGACUUGAGAUUUUGAGACUUUAGAUUGGUUCUAGACAAACCAUAUGGAGGUGGUCUCAGUCUAUAGUUUUGUCUGAAACUUUCUAAUGAUAGUGAAUAGUGCUGGUGGUUGCCAAAAAAAAGUCUGUGAAUGUGUUGCGAGGGAUGCCGUGAUAGAGUUUGCAGGACUUCACCUCUGAAAAAUGAUAAUCAAUAUUUACCUCCAGUCCAAAUUUUAGGAAUUUACAUAUUUCCAAAAUAUUAUAAGUUCCUAUAUUCUAUUCAAUUAAUUUUUGUAUGUUGCUUUAAGGUCUCAUUUGCUUCUUUGUUGGAAGACAUCAUUUAUAUAUAUGGUUAAGUGAUGUCUUAACUUGAAAUUUCUAAUUAUUUGUCUCUCAUUUAGCAAUUAAUCAUUCCCGACUUAUUCUAAGAAAUUAGAAAUUAAGAUGCUUUAAUAGUAUGAUCUUUCUAUUCUCUUCUAUGAUAGGUUGGCUGCAUAACAAGGUUGGUUCCACAAAAAGGUGUUCAUCUUAUAAGACAUGCAAUAUAUCUAACAUUGGAGCUGGGAGGUCAAUUUGUUCUACUUGGCUCAAGUCCAGUUCCACAUAUUCAGGUCAUAUUUUCGUUCCUUAUAGCUGAAACUUAGUGAUAUUAUACUCCACUUUAGAAUGGAGUCAGCUAAAACAGUAUAACAGAAGAAAGUCAACUUAGAAUAAAUGUGGAAUUCUUUCUCGGCACAAAAAAAAAAGUACUAUCUUACAUAGAUUACGUUUCAGUUAACUAUUACUAUAUAUAACCAGAGGUCCCAGUGAAUAUUGUUAUGAGAAAAAAUAAUGAUACUAAAAAAACUGGAGAAAAUUGAUAUACCUUUCUGACUGAUUUAGUUUAGAAAUGUACUACUAAGUAUUCUGGUGACAUUUACUUAAAAGCUAAUUUCUAUGUGCAAAUUAAGUUGUAGUAAUCAAGAAUUUUUUUAGUUAAGCAACUAGAACAGGGGUAUUGGUGUGAGAUAUCAUAUGGGUUAGUUUGCGGCAUUAAGGGUUCACACCUCUGAAUUGUCACUGUAACCAAAAGAUAAUACAUAAAUCUGGGAAUUCAUGGAAGCAUAAUUAUUGAACUGGAUUAUAGCUUAUAUAUAUAUAUAUAUAUAUAUAUAUAUAUAUAUAUAUAUAUGCAUACAGACGUAUAUUAUAUAUUUGGAUGCAUAGGUUAAAGGAUACGACAUUUUUAAAUAAAACUAAGGUGAGAAUACGCCAAUAAAACUAAUGAUUUCUGUAUUAAUAAUUGACUGUUCAUACCAAUGCACACCCCUAUGUAUUAUAACUGAGGGUGUAUGCGUAGAACAGUCAACUAAUGAUUUCACUAUUACAAUCAAAAUAUUAAUAUAAUACAGUUAUUUAUAUAUAUUCUCGCAUAAACUCUUACUUUCUGUGAAAAGAAAUAUUACUGAGAUAUUUAUUUUUUAUUUUUUAAUGUUUUGGAAGUAGACUGUUAAUGGAGUUGAUUUUCUUCGAUAUGCCCAUUCAUUCCCCAUAUUUUCUGUCAACUGAUUAUCAGUUUUCUAUUCUCUAGAGAGAAUUUGAAGGCAUUGCCAACCAUUUCAAGAAUCAUGACAACAUAAGGCUGAUAUUGAAGUAUGACGAAUCUCUCUCCCAUACCAUUUAUGCUGCGUCUGACAUGUUCAUCAUUCCAUCGAUCUUUGAACCUUGUGGCCUAACACAGGUAUGGCUGCUCAUGAAUUUCGAAGAUUAAAAUUACUUAUUGUAGUGUCAACGAUUAAUGCAAAUCCAUGUUCCAUUCUUACGUGAUACAUGUUUCCAGUAAAAAACUGUUUUAUUUUUUAGAAAUUGGUAUCUUGAUUAUAGAUGCUUAUAUAUUUUCUGUUACUCUACUAUCAAACGAUAUCCAUUUUGUCAAACUUAAUUCAUAGCUAAGUGUGCCACCAAAAUCCAUUUUCUGCACCAGAAUGAAGUAAAAUUACGCGAUAAAGAAUCCAACUGUACAAAGAUGAUCAUAUAAGUGAAUGAAAAGCAGACAAUAUGAAAAGCUUAAAUUAAGGUUUUUUUUAUACUUUACACAGUUUCCUAAUAUAUUUCCUGCAGAUGAUUUCAAUGAGAUAUGGUGCUGUACCUAUCGCCAGAAAAACUGGUGGCCUAAAUGACAGGUUAGCAUAGCACAUGACAUGAAAGUGUACUUCUUGUUUCUGAAAAUUAACUCCAUUCUGUCUCAUUUUGCAGUGUUUUUGACAUUGAUGACGAUACAAUACCUUCACAGUUUCGGAAUGGAUUUACAUUUUUGAAUGCUGAUGAGAAGGUAAAGUAAAAUAUCUUGUUUUUACAGUCCAACAUCACAGAUGCUGUCAUGUUUUUCAUGAUAGAGUAGGUUUGGGUCACGCCCCCGCUUCCAUCUUUAGCUGGGAUGAAAAAUUGUACUGAUUAAAAUUAUCUAAUGAUUGCAAUAUUUAAUUUGUAUUUUCAGUAUUUAUGAUACAAGAGAGUGUGAGAGUGAAAUCCUAAUUGCAACUUUAGUCUUUGUAGCUUGGAUUAUGGAUGAUUUUGAUCUCAACUUUUUUUAAGCCAAACAAGUUCCUCUGUUUUUAAAAUUAAUCAAAUUUGGUCCUAUUUUAAUCAUGUAUGACAGAUUGUUGUCAUGCCUGCUAUAGAUCCGUAAUGCAAAGCUUUAUUAAACCUAUUUUCCGUAACCUACCUUAUUCACCUUCAACAUUCCCAUCUAACAAAUAAACAUUACUUUAUGCUGUUUAUUGCUCUGGUAAACUCUAAUGACACAAUUUUGACAGGGAAUAGAUGGUGCCUUAGUACGCGCAAUUAAUCUCUUCAGGGACGACCCUGAGAGUUGGAAGCAACUUGUUCAGAAGGACAUGAACAUUGAUUUUAGCUGGGACUCUUCAGCAGCACAAUAUGAGGAGCUCUACUUAAAGUCUGUGACUAGAGGAAGAGCGGUAAAACGUACUUAAUUUAGCAAAAUGAGGUUUUCCUGUGCUAUCCUUUCAAUCUCAUUAGUUUUCAACAGAGAUGGUAGAUCAGAUUUAAUGCACAAACAGAAGGAUUUAUCUGACCAUAUACCUUGCAUGCAAGAACAUCUCUAAUUGAGAAUGAUUACAAAGACUACUUUGAAUGUGACGUGGCUGCCUAUAACGUGCCGCUAGAUUAGUCUCCAUGAAGCAACAUUUCUCACUUUUGAUGAAUUCUAGGUGAUAUUUCAACUUCACUAUACAUAGCAAGACUGUGUAGUUAUUAUUCAUUAUUUCGCCACUUUAAUACGUUUUUAGAAUAUGUCAACAGUGUACAAAGGCCAUACAUGUAAAUCGUUACAACUUAGUUUUCAACUGGAAAGAAUGUAUAAUUUAAUCAAAUUCCAAACAAAAUAAAAAUCCUUACAAUACUAUACCAACUCUGUUGGUUAUCAUCCUGUGAUACUAAAAGCGCAUGCAAGCUCCCGUUUAACUUUUUGUUAUCGCGGUUUUAGAGAUGGCAUUGUGAGAGAAAAACAAGUAAAAUGUCAUGCCACAAGUAAACGGAGUUAUCAUACAGGAGUGUGUGUCAUGUACAGAAAUAAAUAGGAGAGUCUAGUGUUAACUUAAACUAGAGGAAGUCAAAUCUGUUUUGUUAGAAGAAAUCUUAGGGAAGGUAGUGCAAUUUUCUCUACAUAAAAAACACUAGUUUACACGAAAUUGACUUCACAACAAUAAAUAAAUUCGUAAUAUUAUGGACUGAAUAUUGGAGUAUGAAGAACAAACAAUAAAGUUUAGAAUGGUACAGAUUAAAAUAGGGAUAGAGAGUUGAUUUCACUAGUUAAGAUUAAAAUUGAAGGCAUAAGAAAGAAAGUUGUGGUAAUACUUUUCAUAUGAAAUGAUAGUAGUCUCGUUUUAGAUUGGAUGCACAUAUGUGAAGAAGACGUAUAUAAACACAAGAAGAAUAGACUAUGAAUAAUUAUUUAGUAGUUAGAUACAAAAAAGAAAAACUAUAGUUAGCGUGAAAUGUUAAUGCAUAUGCAUCAUGAAAGAAAAAAACUACAGUGAAUUGUUUUCAACUAGCUUAACUAUAGUUUUGCACCAAAGUAACUAAGUGAAGAACAUUCGUGUCAAACUCCAACACGUCGUUGCAGACAAUGAUUCCUAGUGAUCAACUUCAGUGUUUGGGUGGACAUUAUUGGAUCAACUUAAUUUUGUAUAAUCGAUUUGGAUCAACUUAAUUUUAUAUAAUCGAUUUUAACUGCAAAUGAGUUUGAAACUGACCAGUAUCAAGAUUUGAGCCACUUACAUUCAAAAGCUGUAUAGAUUUGCUUUUAUUUGAAUUACAUUUGACUCCUAUAAAAAAAAAAUGCAUUUGGCUAGUACCAAUUUUUAUUUAUUCCAAACACACAUAAACAUAAAAUAGCGGUAAAAUAUUGUAAAUAUGUUGUGGAUUGUUUCUAUUUUAAUGGGAGUUAACUAAUUUUUUAAUUGAUUUCAAUAAUAUUAUAAAAAGAGGUAUGUUAUUUUAAUGGUCUUUUUGUACAAGUGUUCAGACACUUUUUUAUUUAUUGAGUCAAUGCUAUAAGUUACAAACAAUAGUUUUCAUAAAAUUUUGAUUUUGAUUUAAUGCAUAUAUAUUUUUUCACUUUUAUAGUGUAACAAAAAAACUAUAUUUAUCUAUUUCGAUGACACCAACUAUAUAAUAAAUAUAAUAUAAAUUCUUAUUAAAUAGAAAAUAUAAUAUAAUAUAAAUUUUCAUUUUUUAUGAAUGACGCCAACAAUAAUAUAACAAUUUUAUAGACAAGUUUAUUUAAAGAUAUAAUUAUAAUUGAAAAAGCCAUACUAAAACCUAUAUUUAACUUGUGUACUCCUACAAUGUAUUUUUGUUUACAAUAUUUCCAAAAUAUCUCUACAAAUAUCAAUUUAUUUUAAAAAAAAAUCCGCUUUACAUAAGUUGAUUGUAUGCAUUUGUAAAAAAGUUUGACAUCGUUAGUGUACAUAAAUUAAUCUUGUUUUUCUUCUCGACAGCUAAAAUUUUUGAAUUGUCUAAAUUUUAUAGAAAGCUAAAAUUUAUAAUUAUCAAGAACAUAUUUUUAAUUAUAAAAAAUUGUAUAAAAUCAGAAAAUGAAACAUUAAUUGUGAUAAAUAAAUUGUAAAAUUAGAAUUUACAUAAAAUGCAGAGGGUGUGAAUUACUUGCGGGGGUGUAGCAAAAAUCAGCAGUUAUAAAAAUAUACUUGUAAAAAUAGCCAUGUAGGCCCAGCCCAAUAGUAUAAAAUCGGAUAAAAACCAUUUUGAUGCUUCCGUAACCCUAAUUCUUCGAUUCUCAACACAGGGUAUUCGUUUCCGCACAAACACACAAUUUCUCUGGUAAGAUCUAGUUUUAUACCCUUGAGGGUUUCUUCGAUUUGGAUUGGAUUAUUUUGAAAUAAGCAUUUUAUGUUAUUUAUAAUUUUGUUUAUUUAAAUUUUGUAACAGAAAAUAUGGUCAGGGUUAGUGUUUUGAACGAUGCACUCAAGAGCAUGUACAAUGCUGAGAAACGUGGGAAGCGCCAAGUUAUGAUUAGGCCAUCCUCAAAAGUGAUUAUCAAAUUCCUUAUGGUCAUGCAAAAGCAUGGUAUGUGGUUGUUUGAUUCAUGUAGUUGACCUCAUUUUGUGGGAUAAUGUUUUCUUUCUAUGUGAUGAUAUUGUAUACUCUUGUGGUUGUUGUAGGAUAUAUUGGAGAGUUCGAAUACGUUGAUGAUCACAGGUCUGGCAAAAUUGUCGUCGAAUUGAAUGGAAGAUUGAAUAAGUGUGGUGUUAUUAGUCCUCGUUUCGAUGUCGGUGUCAAAGAGAUUGAAGGAUGGACUGCUAGGCUUCUUCCCUCAAGACAGGUCAGCUGAAAAGCCCAGUUUUGUCUUAUAAAUCUGAUAUAAAUGACCAUAAACAUGAUAGUUGUUUCAUAGAUUAAUUUACAUGAUUGUAUUUACGCUGUUUUGAUUGACUUAUUUGAGCUUAUCCAUUGACAUAAGUUUUCUGGGGCUGUAUUGAGAACUUAUGAAAUCAGCUUAUGGCAAUGUUCCCAAGCUUUUAUCGGCUUAUUUUCAUAUGCUCUUCAGUAUAAAUUAUUAAAACAGCUCAUAGGAUAUACUAAAACUAUCUAACUUUUUAUUUUAUCUUUUUCUAUAAAAAUAAGCUUAUGCAUAAGAGCUUCUUGUGAUAAGAUAAGUGCUUGUGCUAUAAGCUGCGAAUAAACAGUCCAUCCAAACAGGCCCUAAUUAAGUUUGUUUUAUAGUUCCUAUCUUUCGUGUGGUCAUUCUUCUGUGUACCACAUUGAUGUUGGAGUCUUGAUCUCAAAUAUGAGCUUAGUUCAUUGUUUGUUUGUUGUAUCCUUGUUAUGUUGAGAUCAAACAAUUUUUUUUUUCUCUAAUUUAUUUGCUUUUGGUUCCUAGCAUUCCUUUAUGUUAGGUCUAGUAGGCUUUUAAAACUUCGGUUGGAAUUGUAGAGGGGUUAACCAGAACAAUUCAGUAGUGUUUGUCUUGACUUAUGCUUCAUAUAUUGGAAAUCACUAUAGUAUGAAUUGUCCCAAAUGCUCACUCGACUAUUUGGAUAAAAUUAAAUCAUGAUCAUGAAUUAUUUCUAAUGACGCAGCAUUUAAAUUCAAAUCGUUAUUAAUGGUUGGGCGUAUAGUUUCUUAUUAUGCUUUUAUGGGGUGUGUGAGGAGAAUAUCCUUUGGCCUCCCACUCUACCUAUGUCUGUAGAUAUCGUCUAUCUAUUUACUAUACCUCGCUAAUUAUGCUUUUAUUUAUUGGUCUUUUCAUUUUUGUACAAAAAAACUUAAAACCCAUUUUCAAUAUGUGCUAGCCAUCCUAUCUUUUAAUAUUUUCAUUUAUAUUCAUAAUACAGAUUUUACAAUUAAAGAAAAACUAAUAGUUAAAGUGCAAUUAUAUAUCGACAAUCUUUAUAAACCAUCGAAUCUUAUGUUGCUUGUUUGUAUCAUAUGAUUUUUCUUUUGGUCCCUAACUAUUGGUGCUACAAUCAUGCAGUUUGGGUAUAUUGUCUUGACUACCUCUGCUGGUAUCAUGGAUCAUGAAGAGGCUAGGAGAAAGAAUGUUGGUGGUAAAGUGUUGGGUUUUUUCUAUUAGGUAUGAAGAUUGCAUCCAAUUUCAGAUUUUGAGAAGUUUUAGUAUUUGUGAUCGAAUUCAGUUUUUUUACAUGGAUAUUGUAAUUUGGAUUACUUAGGAUUGUAAGCUUUUAAUUUGCACUUUUGUGCUUUUGUGCUAAAUUGAAUUUUGGGUAAACUAUUGUGCUCUUGGUCCCUAGCUUAUGUGUUUCAAAAUUGUUGAUUUUUUAAUGAAUCCAAAUUAUUGUUUCGUUAAUCCAUUUGUCAUGAUGAAUGGCCUCGGCUAGAGCAUAUCUGUCAUUAGACUCGUAUUCACUAAGAUUCGAACCAUGAACUUAUCUAAUGUCAGCCUCUAAAAUUGAGCACACCAAACAUAUUGAUAUAUUUGAUUUGUUUUUUUGAAUUUGAAAGAAAAACAAACCAACGAGUACACGAAAUAGCUGGAAUUGAAGGUUAUCAAACUAUCUUGAAAGGAUAGUAGACUCAAAUAUUGUCUUUCUCAAAUGAAUAUGAGAGAGUAUAUACAUUUUUAAGAAAUCUUUGAUGAUGCUAGCAACACACAUUUUAACAACUUUUUAAUACUCUUUUUGAAUUUAAAUUUAUAUGAAGUCUAUCAAAUUUGUAUGGGACCCAAAUGAUUUGGUGUAAUUCGUGUGAAUUUUAUCCAUUCAAAUAAAAUGUGUUGAAAGUGUGUGUUGCUAGUAUUAUUUUUUUUGAUAGUUUUUUCUUAUGUCAUUGUAGAUUUCUAUCACAGUUAUUUUGACAACUUAUUAAAGACAACUAAAGAUAUACAAUAUGAUUAUUGACACAGAAAACAAAUGUAAGCAAUUUUUCUUAAAAAAAAAACGAACGAUUUUGCAUAAGAGGAGUAUUAUUCGAACAAUCAUUUGGUUGAUAAUUUUUGGAACAACCAUAAUUUAUAAAGAAAAAAUAGGUAUUUGCACAAAAAUCAAAGCAAUAGAGAGAUAAAGUAAAAAGUAAUGUGAGUAUGAGAGAGAAAGUUGUCACAAAAGUUGUCGUAAAAUAGAUUGUUCAAAUAUAAUUUCUCUUUGCAUAAACGGUUUUUUUAAAGGAACUUUGCAUAAAUGGUUGUCUAUUAAGUUGUCAAACACAAUUAUUAAUCGAAACUAAAUUUCUAAAGAAAAAUAGUGAACGUAAAAUCUGAAUUCUCCAGAAAAUUUUGGGUAUCACAGAUAACUCAAACUUUGAGUUGUUCCAAUUAAAAUGCAACUUCUUUUAUUAGUUUAUUAAAUAUCCCUAUAUCUCUAUAAAUAUCUACACAUAAAUUAAUCGGAUGCAUGUAAAAAAAAAUGACACCAUUAAUGUAUGUAAUUUAAUAUUUUUUAUAUUCCAGACGACUCAAUUAUAGAACAUAUUUUUAAUAAUAAAAAUAGGAAAAUCGAACAAAGACCCAUUUUGAUGGCCUCCGUCUUUCACUAACCUUAGUUAUGGGGAUGCCUCUGCCGGCACAGAGAUGUAGCUACUUCCGCACACGCACAUCCUAUUUCUUUGGUAAGAUCUAAUUUUCUUCCCAGAAUUUAAGUUGGCUGAAUUACCUUUUUGGUCCUCUAACUAUUUAACUGGUAUCAGAUUGGUCCUCUAACUAAAAAUUGAUUUAUUUAGGUCCUCUAAGUUUCUCACCGUUGCUACAUUUAGUCCUUUCGGUUAGUUUUAUUCAAAUAAACGUUAGGGUUUGUGUUAUGUGGGUCCUCUAACUUUAUUUAUUAGUAUCAUUUUGGUCAUAUGCCUUGUUAAGGUAUUAUGAUUAAAUAGUGACACAUAUUAUUGGUAACUGUUAUGGUUCAUAUGUAUGUGUGAAACAGGAGGUCAGGUAUCCACAUAACACAAACCCUAACGUUUAUUUGAAUAAAACUAACAGAAAGGAUUAAAUGUAGUAACAGUGUGAAACUUAGAGGAUCGAAAUAAAUCAAUUUUUAGUUAGAGGAUCAAUCCGAUACCAAUUAAAUAGUUAGAGGACCAAAAAGGUAAUUAAGCCAUUUAAGUUUUAGGGUUUUUAUUUGAUACAAGUGGUUUUGUGUUUUUCUUUUUACACCCAAUGAAACGCCCACCUCUCUGGUUUGUUUGCAAUAGCAACCUUCAAUUUUGGUUUUGAUUACGUGUUUUUCAAAAUCCAUUCAUUUAUAUUGAAAAUUGAGGGUAUUUUUAGAAGGAAAAAUUCAACUCAAAAAUACUAAAAGAUAAUUUUCUUUAUAUAUAGUAUUAUAGAUUAGUGUUAGUGUUAUAUGUAUAAUAUUAUUGGAAAGCCACAUAAUUCAAAAUUAAUAAAAGAAAAAAGAUUACUCGAAUUAUAACAGGUAAUUGUUUGGUGGUUAUAUACUUAACCUGUAAUUUAUUAAAUAAAGUAUUAAUAUCCACAUAAAAUAUGGAACCUUACAUAUUUUAUGUAUUGUCCAUACCAACUGAGUUAAGCUCACGAGGACGUGUGAUUAGACCCCUUGAAUUAGUUAAUCAUUGAGCCGGAUACUGAGUUUUAAAAAAACUACUUAAAAUAUAAAAUAAAUAUAUCCUAAUUAUUUAAGUUGAAAAAAAAUAUCAAAAAUGCGUAUUUAAAAUUAAAAUAAUGAGCAUAGGCAAACAAAAUUAUUUCCUUAUAUAUUUUAAAUAAAAUAUUUCCUUAUAAAUAUAUAAAAUUGAUUAAAAUAAAUAAUUUAAUCAAAUAAUCAUCUAAAACUUUAUCUAUCAAUUUAAUAUUUAAAAAAUGAAUUAUCUAAUAAAUUUGAAAAAAUCUAUGCCAAAUAAAACAUAAUUUAAAAUAACUGUUAAUGAAGGAGAAAACUAUGAAACAAAAAAUUGUUUGAAAUAAAGGCAAAUCUCAUGUGAAUUUCUUUAUGUUUUUAAUGUGAUUCUUAGGUAAAAAUAUAUUUUUCAUGAGUAGUUUAUUUAGGAACCAUAUGAAAAUCUCCUAAGAAAAUGCAUCUAAGUUUUUUUCUAUAAUUAAAAUAAGGAUAAAAUUUAGGUGUAUUUUCUUAAAUGCUAUUCGUGUGGUACUUCACAUAAAAUACUCACACCCACCUAUGAUUUCUCAAAUCCACAUUUUUUUAAAGUUUGUUAUAACAACAAAAAAAUGGAUUUUGAUUAUGUAAAGAACCAUACGAAAAGCAUGUAAAGAAAAUGCACCUAAAUUUUAUCCUUAAAACAAAUGAUUUUUUUUAAUGACAAAUAUCAAUAAUUAAUUGUUUAAAAAGAGUGCAUAGUAUAUAAAUAAAAAGAUCAAAUUAAUAGAAUAGUAAUAAUAGACUUAUGAAAGGAAAACAUAAUAGUAACAAUAAUUCUUGUAAAAAUAUUGUAACAAUAAUUAAGGAUGCUAAAAAAUCACAGAUAAAAUCCAUCGUUGACACAAACUGGAUUGCUUAACAAAUACUCACAAAUAUUAAUGGAUACUCGGGUUAAAAUAGUGGUAACUUUAUAUACAAUGAUAAUUCAGAUGUGCAAUUUGUGUAGAGAUAUUAGACUAUAAAAAUAAAUCGGAUUUUUAAUUAAAAAAAUUGGUAUGGUGUUAGUAUAGUACAUGCCCAUGAUAAAAAUAUAUAUAUAAUUAAAAAAUAUUUAAAAAAUAUAAAAUUAAACUUAUUGAAUCAAAUUAUUUUGUAGUUAAAAUUUAAAUCUAAAUUUAAAAAUUUAAAAUUUAAAUCUAAAAGAUAAAAAAAAUGAUAAACAAUUAAAUCUCAUUUAAAAAUUAGAAUAUAAAAGAUAUUAAUUUAAAAUUUGCAAGUGAUUAAAAUUCGGUGCAUUUAGAGAUAUUGUUUGAUAGAUAAAAAAGACUAAAUGAAUUUUGCAAAAAUAAAAAGUUAUAGAAAUUAACAUAGGAGAGGUCACGUGCAUAAAAAAAAUGUAAUUUUUAAAUUAGUUGAAAAAGAUUGGUUAUAUAUAAAAUUAGAAAUUAGAAAGAAAAAAAAUUGGCUAUAUAUAAUAAAAAUUUAUGGGUAUACGCUUCCCAUGAGUAUAGCUCAAUUAAUAGAGACAGUGUAUGAUGUGGUAGGACAAUGCAUUAUUAUAUGUAUGGAUCGAGGUUCGAACCUGACACCUCAUUUUAUAAGGUGAAUUAUAUCCACUAGACUACCUGACAAAAAAGAAAAGAGACAAUGCAAUAUAUGCACUCCCCGGCUUCGAACCCCAUUCACCCCACCAAUUUUAUCUUAAAAACUGAAUUCUACCCACACGAGUCAGCGAGAUCAACGGUGGGGAUGUUCACCUGACCACAACAGAACUGAACACAAGUUGUAAGAAAAAGGUAAGACGUGACGGACGUGGCAAAGUACAAUAUAUACUUCACAGUCUCCUAUCUCGACUCGAGUAAAGUAAGCACCCACCACCAUUCAUUCAACUUUUUUUCUCUCUUCACGGAUCCGAUAAAUUAAGUAAACAAAAAAUUGGAUUCCUUUAUUUUAUGCUGAUAAAUUGGCAGUAACCAAGUAGUUCUAUAAGCAAUGUAAUUAUAGUAAUAACCUACUUCAUCGUUAUAUAUAGUCGCAAGUAAUCCUAAUGCACAUAAUUUUACGAUAGGUCUGUCAAAAAUAUUUGUUCAUUGUAUGUUCAAGAUCAAUAACAGGUAAAACAUAAAAAUCGUCAAGGAGUCCAAUUAGCUGACAAACAGCUCAUAGUAGACACGAGUGAACUUUUAUAGUAAUGGAAGAGAAACACGAAUAUAAAGGUGCACAGUUGAAUGUUAUAAUCAAUACCGUCGCUUGUUACACUGAACAACUCACAAUUCAACAUGACAAAGGUUUAAUAGUUACUACAAUCAUGCAUCCUUAAAACAAGCUUACGGAAAGCAAAAAGACCUAGCUUGCCUCAGAAUCUUCUUUAAAAUAUAGGAAUUAUGUGCCUUGUGCAACAGCUGAAGAGUUAAUCAUAGAGAUAUCUGAGCAGCAUUGUUCAUUCUGGAUCAGGUGAACCACCAGGGACCAACUGCAUUACACACCGCAUACUGUCAGUACCACUAUGACACUAGGGAAAACUAAAAAUUAUAUGUGAGAAGAUUAUUGUCAACAUUUUGCAAGGUUGCCAGGUCAAAUGAUUUAUUAAUAAUCAAUAGAAUUUAGGUUAAUAGAAAACAGUUGAGAAUUUGAAACUCACAAUGGCAAUGUUGUUUCCAUUGAGUAAAAUCUGAUCAAGCUUAGUUAUCCUUCUCCCCUCAGCAGUGAUCUCACUGUUGUAUGAAUAAUAAAGCAAUAAACCAAAUCAAUUUGUGAGGCAUCACAUGUGUGUGUGCACAUGAACGUCAAAAUCAAGGAGAAUGAACAACUAACAUAAAACAUAAAGACAUAAAUGCCAUUAUAAAAGUAAGAAAGUUUUCUGUAAGUACAUCAAAUAAUCAGAAAAUCCACUGAGAAAGAUGCUCUAAAAGAACAUAUAUACAAUGAUGUCUAAAACCCCUAUUCCUUGGCACACGCACGUACAGGGUUAGGGGGAUAUAUAUAAAUAGUCUAUCUGUUAAUUAACUUAGUACAUGAAAGAAACAUUAUGACAUUGUUUUAUACAUGUAUCAAACAACACCCAAUUAGAAAAACAUAGUUGGUGUACUGUAUUUCCAUGAUAAACUGAACCUAAACUCUUAACCUAGACUUAAUAACACGUCCCUAACAAGUUUAAAAGAUGACAAUGUCGGAGCUCAUAAUACUCAACAGGGCAUUACUUAGAGAGGGCACUUAGCUAUAUAGCUCCAAGAAACAUAGAACUUGGAGACUCCUUUAGCAUGCAUAGGGAGUUCCUACAGACCUCAAGGGGUAGAUGGGUUGCAUUAACUAAGACCCGCAUGUAGUUACUUUGGGGCAUGACCUUUUAAGUCUUAACUAGCUGACAUUUGUAGUAAAGAGCUAAUUGAAAGUUACAGGAUGUUUGCUUCGGGCUGUGAAGGUAAUUUUUCCUUUAUGCAUUGAGGCUAAGUCAUACGGGUUUUGUGGAGUUAUCAACAUGGGUGCUUUCAUAUUUGCAGAGGAUAGCAGUAAGAGAUUUAAGAUGAAUGCGAGGCUUUCUCAUUUGGUUAUCGGGAAAGAAAGUAAACAUAUGGAAGACUCCUCUUGCACCGAUUCUAGAUGAACCCUUGCUAAUAACAAUCAAGUGAAGUCAAGGAUAAUGGUAGCUCUUCAUAACAAUUCUACGAUAUUGACCAUAAGGUUAUGAUUUUGUCGUCCAUGGUUAAUGGUUGCUCGUAGCACACAAACAUUCAAAUUAAGAUAGGAGUUCAUACAAAUCAGUAGUCAAGUAACCUUUCACUUUCUUAAAUCUUAGCUAAACCUGCUCAACCAAUAUUUUGUUGUGCCUACAAAUCCAAAAACACCCAUUUACCAGUGACCAAUUACCUCCUUUCAUAAUCAUUGGGGGGGGAUAUACCAUGCCAGUUCAAAUUAAAUGUAAAUAUUCAUAAAAGUUGGGGAAACAGCUGUAAAUUAUUAAAAUUGAUGUAUUAUAACAAUUCCAGUUAGAAAAGUAUUUUAAAAAUUUGAGGGACUCCCUUGAGUAACAAACACAUAAAGCUGGUCCUAUUCUACCUUCCUACUCAUCAAACAUGUUCUUUACAGAAAAACAAUCAGAUAUGCACAAUGGAAAUGUAAAAAAAAAAACAGAUCAUCAGUAAGUUCUACGGAUAAAUGCAUAAAAUGUGGCAGUGCAAGUCUUACUAUUCAGUAACAUCUUCCAGGACCAUGUUAACAUAUACAUCAAAGCCUCUAAGGGUACCAACAAGCUCCUUGUCGCCUUUCAUUAUCACCCAUAUUUUUGAACCUAUACAGCGGUCAAUCAGCUCUGCAUAUUUUCAGCACAAAAUGAUAUGUCAUAUUAAACGAAGUUCAAAGCAAUAUUGGAUUAACUAGAAAAAUGAUUGGAGAUGGUGAAAUCAAACCUGAUGGAAGAAGCUGUGAUGGAUUAUUAGCCAUGAGGAUGAAUUGGUAAUUUCACCGAAAACCUGUGAAGGGUACAGAAAAAAUGAAAUAGAUGAGAACGUUUAUAAAUGUUUCUGAAAAAGGUUAUUAGCUUUGCUUUUAAAAAAUUCAACUAACUUAAGUUCAAACAAUAAAAGCAAAGAUGAAAAGAAAUUUUAGAGCUUGCCCAAGUUCUAAAUGCUAGUGAAACUAACAAAGCAAAACCAACCAUAUAUAAAAACAUUCACAAGUUCCCAAUGAAAUUCAAUUGAUAUUUGAAAUUAAAGGAAAAAAGUAAAGUAACCUAAGCAGGAAUUAGAGGUGACAGAGCCUGAAGAUCUGAGCAACAAAUCCGAUGAUUGAAAUGAAUUAGUGGUAACCUGGUAGUACUUCAUUGUACGAUAAUUACUAUGAAGUAAUUAAUAUGCCAUCCGUCCCAUUUUGUAUGAUGUUUAAACAAAACCAGUUUGUCUCAAGUUGGUUGUAAUUUUACAUAUCCAACGAAAUAUUACAAAUUUGUUUCCACUUAUACCCUUAUUCAUUUUCAUCGUGCUUUUUGAUCAAUAAAUGAUAAAAUCUCAUUUAAGAGGAGAUAUAAAGGACAUAACUGUACAUUACACAACACAUUUUAUAAGAUCUACACUAUUAACAACUUUUCUUAAGGAGUUUGCUACAACCUUAGUAUGGAACAGAGAGAGUACAUACAAAGUAGUUUGCCCUCAUCUACUCUUCGAUUGUAAAACUAUCUUAUAGUUAUACUGCUACAUGAACUCUUAAGUAUAUAAUAAACAAUUACUGAAUAUAUGCUUAAUUAAACAGUUUACCCUCAUAAAUCAGUAAUGGACAUUCUUGACUUAGAUGGCUUUUCUAUAUGUGUUAGCUUUAGGGUUUAUCUGCUUGGACCCGUUUGGAUUGGCUUAUUUUUGAGCUUAUAAAAAUAGCUUAUGUAAAUAAAUAAGCUUUUAUGUUAAUUCAUAAGUUCUGGCUAAUAAAAAUUGUAUCUUCAUAAGUUGUUUUUUCAUAAACUACUUUGACAACUUAUGAAUACUACAUAAAAGCUUAUUUAUUUGGAUAAGCUGUUUUGCAUAAGCUCAAACAUAAGUCAAUCCAAACGGACCCUAAUUUGAGCUUAUCUACUGGCAUAAACACUUACGAGCCUAUUUGGGUCAUAAGCCCCUUUCAGCUUAUUUACAUAACCUAUCCAAGAUAGCCUAUGAAAACAUCAUAUAUCUUAUACGAAAAUAAUUUAAAUUUAUCUUUAUCUUUUGUUAUAGGAAUUGCUUGUACAUAUAAGCUGCAAAUUAAGCUGUUUAUCCAAGAAGGAACUUAAUUUAGGGCUGGGGAAUAUCCCUGCACAUCUUUUCAAUCUGUUUAUGCCUAUCUAUGUUCAAACUAAUGAAUGAGUUAGUUUACCCUAAAAAAUGCAAAUUCUUCCAAAAUCCUAUAAAUCAUUGCACCCCAUAAAGAUGAGGACUUUUCUGGUUGGUGGAGCAGAAAGAUUGAUUAAUCGAUUGCAAAAGCAUGGUAUGAAGUCCAAAUUAAUCAAAUUAAAUAAUCUCACUAAACCCUAAUUAACUACUAAUAACAGUGGCGCGCGAGUGGAUCUCGGCUAUCACCGCCGUAAAUCGCGUGGUACAUGAGAGGGGAAAGAGAAUGCUUAAAAUAAAUUGAAGAGGAAGAAACCUGGAAAGGGAGCUGCUUGUUUCCGGCGACCAACUCCGGAUGCGUUUUCCGGCGAGUGAAUGCAGCUGCUUGUUUUAGGGUUUUAAUGGUUUUUUUUUAUGCAAUGCAAAGGGUUUUAAUCGUUACAAUAUAUUUGUUUGUUUAUCCAAUAUUCAAUUUCUGUGCGUUUUUCUUUUUAUGUAUUUAUAUAUUUUUUAAUCUUUUUUUUUUUGACAAUUUUUUUAAUCUCUUUUUAUCUAAUCAAAUAAUUGAAUUUAAUCCUAACUUUAAAUCUAAAUUAAAUUUGUUGCAAUUCUAAUUAUUACAAGAUACCAAGCACUCCCAAUAAUUGCACAUCCUAUUAUAAGACGAUAAAGAUUUUCCUCCAUCUCACAUCGAAUUGUACGUGUCGCAAUAAGUUAUCCUUUAUAAAUAUUUGAUUAUGAUGCAACUGUCAAACAAACAAACAGAUACACCUUUAAAAGAUCAACUUUGUUCAGUUAAUGUCAUAUAAUUCAUAAUUAACAAUGUGUUCGAUUUUUUCUUUAAAAAAAAAAAAUAAGUGCUUCAUUUUUGUCAACAUCCGAUAAACACCGUUAAUUGUGUACUUUUUACUAUCAUCAAUAUAUCAAUCUCAUUUAAGGGGGUCACAUUCCAGCCACGAAUCCAACUAAAAAAUGACUUUGUCCUAUUGUUCACCAUCCACACCAGAUUAUCAUUGAACCAACAAUCCAUUCGCUAUUGGUGUUAGUUGAAAAUAUAUAAGUUGAAGAAGUUCCACGUCGCUUAGAAUUGUAAAGAAAGAGGUAGAACAACACUAUGUUUGUCCUUCAUCCUAUGUAAUCCAAUUAAUUUUUCUAAUUUCCUCAGCCCCCUAAUGCUACCUCGAACGUUUAACAGUGGGAUUGAAAAAAAAAACAAAAAAUCUAAAAUAAGGGGACCAAAAUAGUGGUUUUAAAAUAGGGAGACUAAAAUUUCGAUUAAGUUAAAAUAGUAAGAUUAAAAGUGCAUUUAAACCUUAAAAAAAAGAGUGUGAAACAAACUAAAAAAUCAGAAGUAACAACUACAUAUUUUUUAUCCCUUGAGUAUUAAAAAAAAACUACACCCAUUACAAGAAAAAAAAAACACACCCAAAGAUCGAGAAUUCACUUUAAACAACCUAUGCCUAAAUAUACCUCUUGCUUAGCGAAUACAUCAAAAUUUGACUACCUAGGGACAUAAGGUGCUCUAGUCCAUAGCUAGGAAUCCAUGGAUUUUGAAUAUUGAGGACAACAUGUAUAUUAAUUUGUAGCAUUACACGCGCGCGCACCCAUGUACAAUAUGUGUGUGCCUGUGUGCGUGUGUGCGCCUUUGUGUGCAUUAUGUAACAAGUGAUGAUGUAAUUAAUCCCACCACUCCACUCAAGACCAAUUUGAUAUUGAAUUUUGUAGGUGGAUUUUCAUAUAUGGAAGAGAAAUUCCAACUAUGAAUAGAUUAUAUUUCGGUUUUCCGAAGGAAAAGGCUGAAAAUCCUGUGUACAAAUACGUAUUAACUUAAAAAAAAAAAAUCAAAGAGAUCAAAAUUAGUAGCAUGGAGAACAUAGUAGAAAGCUUGGAUUUGGUUUUACUUAGGUAUACUGAAAAAUGAUUAAUGGAAGAUUGAUAUUCCAUUCAAGAAUAGGCGUCUCCACUGUUGAGAUCCAUAAAUUGUUCCUUAAUAGUUAUUGAUGUCAGAGGAGCCCUCAAUGAAUUGUUCAUAUAAAUUGAAAUGGACGAGGAAUCUGCGAAAUGUGUAUCAACCACAACCAUAAAAAAAGGUUUUGGGUAGCCAAAUCUGUCAAGGAUGAGUUUGUGAAGGUGUAUCUAGAGUGAUGAAAAAGGAGAAACCUUCUCCAUAAUAACUAUUGUUUCUUGAUGAUAUUGAAAAUCAAAAGUAGGUGGUAAAGAAGAAUAGUAUAGGGUUAAAUAUGCUUUUAGUCUCUCUAUAUAUGUCAACUUUUUGUUUUAGUCCCUCUAAAAAAUUUCUUCAACUUUUAGCUCCUAAAAAAUUUUCCAUCUUCACUUUUGGUAUCUCCUUUAAAGUAAACUUAUAUGUAGAAUUCAUAUUUUUGAAUAAAAUUUUACAAAAAAAUUCAUAAUAUUAUAAGAAUCUCUCCUAAAAAAAAUUAGAAUUUUUUAACUCAACAUGAAUUUAAUAUGAAAUUUUAUAUUUUUGACGCUUAAAAAUUCAUAUUUAAUUUGUGUUUUGUUAAAAAAUUCUAAUUUUUUUUGGAAAAUUUGUUUACAAUAUUCUACACAUUUACGUAUAAUUUCAUUAAAAACAAAAAAAAUUAACUUAAAAAUAUGAACCAAAAGUAAUGAUUGAAAAUUUUAUAAAGACUAAAAGUAGAAGAAUAAUUUUAGAGAAACUAAAACGAAAAGUUGAUAUAUUUAUAGGGACCAAAAAUAUAUUUAAUCCUUUUUAAAAACUUCAAAAAGAUGGAUUGGAGAUGUAUAUAAUAAUUAAAUUAUAUACAUAAUAAAUUACCAACAACUUCAAGAAGUUGUUGGUGAUUUAUUUUCUUUUUUAAUAAUUAAUCUAUUAAAAAUGAAAAUAUUAAGUAUAAAUGGCGGUGGAUGAUCCAAUUUUUUAUUUUUUUUUAGGGAAAAGUGAUCCAACUCCUUGAAGGAGGUGUGAAAACAACCUUCCUUUUCUCUAUUCACUGCACAAUUGCUCCGAAACUAUUGAUGUGCAGCACAGGAAUCAUGAGUUGUUAAUCAUAUUCAUGCUACAUUUUUGUUGAUAAUGUAUCACCAACUAACACAGUGUCAUUAAUUGUGAUCCUUUUAAAGGAAGUAUAAUUGAAAUCGCCGCCACAUGGAACAAUAGUCGAAUUCUUUUUUAUCCGACCCUAAUGCCAAAAAAAAAUGAAACAUUUGACCCCCUUUCAAAAUUAUAUACCAAAAUGAUCCACUUUAGAAAAGUUUUUUUUUUCUCUCUGUUUUGUCGUUUUCCCCAUUACCGCCAAAUAAAACGGCGGUAAUGGACUGCUUUUUCUGCGCGUGUCAAAACCCAUCACUUGAUGUCUUUUUUAAUUUUUUUUUUAUUCAUUACCUCCAUUUGGUUUGGCCGUAAUGCAUUGUUAAUUUUUUUUCUUUCCGUUUUUCCUUUUUUUUGGCACUAUUAAUUCACCAUACUAUUCAUCCAAAUUCACAAUCAUUUUUUCAUACAUUUCUACUUAUUUUGAAUCAUGUCUACUUGAUUUGAGUAGUGUUAGAAUGUUUAAUUUGAUUUUAAAUGAAACAACAUUUCAUGUUUGAUUUGUCUCGUAUAUUAUUUUGUUUAAUUAAUAUAAUAAAAAUCAUAAUUAAAAUCACAAAAUUGCUUAAUUUCUUUAAACGAAGAAAUUUGAUUAAAACCGCGGAGAAAGUAGUUUUUAUUUUUAUUUCUAACACUAUGAAUAAUAUAAUUAGUGUAUUCAAAUUAAAAAUUUAAUAUUUAUUACAAUUAUCAUUAAUAUUUAUUAAUCUAUUAUUAUUUACAUUUAAUUUAAAAUACGUAUAUUGUGCCCAAGAAAAAGGAAAAACGAAAAAAAAAUCCAUUACAGCCAAACCAAAUGGUGGUAAUGAAUACAAUUUUUUUAAAAAAAAAAAGACAUGAAGUGAUCGGUUCUGACGCGCGCAGAAAAAGCAGCCCAUUACCGCCAAAUGAAACGGCGGUAAUGGGGAAAACGACAAAACAAAAAAAUAAACUUUCCCAAAGUGGAUCAUUUUGGUAUAUAAUUUUGAAAGGGGGUCAAAUGUUUCAUUUUUUUUGGCAUUACGGUCGGAUAAAAAAAUAAUUCACAAUAGCCAUGGACAUGGUGAUCAACACACAAAAAACGAGUAAAUAUGAAAUUACCCCCUGAAAUUGUAAGUUUUGUCAAUUACCCCCUGAAAUUAACAAAACUUCAAUUACCCCAUGAAAUUGCACAACGUUAAUCAAUUUACCCCCUCCGUCAAAUUUUUUGUUAGUGAACAUGACGUUUUGCAAAUACCCCCUUUUUGCACUUAUGUGCAAAAUGUCUCCCAAACUUGAAAAUUUAAAUUUUUGGGAUGUUUGGGCAUAUACAGGUGAGGAAGUUGGAACCACUGAUUUCAAUUUUUGUAUGUGCUAUGUAAAACCCCUUGCUAAAGGAGUAAUUAAGGGAAUGUUUGUCCCCAAACUUAGCGGAAAUGGUGUUGUAGGUGAGGCUAUUGCCCUUUUGGGUGCCCUUAUCAUGUCGUAUAUAUAUUCUUCCUCCUCUUUUCUUUUACUUCAAUAAAUUUACCAUACAUUUAACCUAAUUUUACAUUAAAUUCGAUUCAAAUGUUAUUCUUGCUGAUUUUUUUUUUCUGACAAAAUUAUGCAGGCACAAUCUUUUCCUCCACUCUGCUCUAGUGCUAUCUCGAAAAAUACCCGGUACUAAGCGCGACAUCAAUGUAAGCCCCAAGUGAAAUAAACUCAUAUAUGAAAUCCAUAAGCGUCAAAUAGAAUAUCUGAUUAAUUGAGUACAUGCUAAUAUUAUAUGACAUAUAUUUAAUAGAUUAUGCGGGAUGCAUGCAUAUACUUUCUCAUUGAGAGUGGUUUCACGUUGUUCGUUGCAUUUCUAAUCAAUGUUGCAAUGAUUUAUGUGACUGGUACUGCUUGCAAAGCUGAUGAUAUUUCUGGAGAGAAUGCUGAUCGUUGCAAUGAUAUUACCCUUAACUCUGCUUCUUUCCUUCUCCAGGUUCCUAAUUUAGUUCACUUUGCAACUAUUAUGGUCAAAGCAUGAUAUUAAGUUUAAUCAUAGUUAAGUAAUUAUGUACAUCUCACGUGUGUAGUUUUGAUGUCAAUUAGAAUAUGUUGGGACGUUCAAGCUCAACUAUUUAUGCCAUAGCAUUAGUAGCCUCAGAACAAAGUUCUGCCAUCACUGGAACCUAUGCAGGCCAGUUUAUCAUGUAGGCUAUUUCAUUAUAUCAAUAAACACUAUUUUAAAAUUAAUAUAACAAACAACAUAAGCCACAACAAUAACAAAAAACUUACAAGUUUUUGUAUAAGGUUUUACUAAACUUGGGUUUAUGUUAGGUAUAAGGUUUAAAAAAAUAAAAAAAUUUAAGUUCGGGUGACAUUUUGCACAUAAGUACAAAACUUCAUGAGGAUAUUUGUAAAACGUCAUGUUCACUUACGGAAAAAUUUGACGGAAGAGGUAAAUUGAUCAACGUUGUACAAUUUCAAGGGAGUAAUUGAAGUUUUGUUAAUUUCAGAGAGAUAAUUGACGAAACUUCCAAUUUCAGAGGGGUAAUUGAAUAUUUACUCCACAAAAAACUAACAUCUUUAUCAGUGUCAUGAUCACCAGAUAAAUCCGGUAUAUGCACUGCAGAAAAAAUAAUUAAUUAAUGAGACAAAUUUAGGGAUGAAAAAUGUAAAAUAAAUGUCUAAAUUCAUCACUAAAUUUUGCGAAAGAGAUUGAGGGAAACUUCAUUUUUUUUUUUUUGACGAGCAUAUGUGACCCGCGCAACGUGUGGUUGAAGUUAUUUUUUGUUUGUUUUACAGAUUUUUAAAAUGAUAUUAUAAUUGUUUUUAAAUAUUUAUAUAGUAAUAUAAUAUAAUACUGUAUAACAAUAGUGAGAAUAAAUGUAUAAAUUAUUCCCUUAAAAAAUAAAUGUAUAAAUUAGGAUCUUGUGUGAUUUUUUAUUAUAAAUGAAAUUUGUUGCAAAAACUAAAGUAGGUGAGUUCAAGGGCGUCCCUAAGAAUUCGGAGGCUCGGCUCUGGGAAUGAAAAGAGAUCAGUGAUAAAAUCAAAACGUAUUUUUUUUUAAAAAGUAAUGAUCUAUUUAUAUUUUUUAAAAGAUAAAUAUAAGGUGGCGGUACACCCAAAGGUGAAAAUGACUACCGUGUACAUGAGGAACCCCCACCUAACACCAAAAGCAAGAUGACCUAAUUCUAAUAGGCCUAAAAGGCUAAAACAAGGGGACAGAAAAUGGCUGGGGGUAUUAAAAAAAAAUUGGAAGGCAGUAGUACUAGUGGGUAUUAAUUUUUUUUUUGAGGCCCAUGACUAAGGGAGGCCCAGCUCUGUUGAGCUGUUUGCACCCCUCAGGGCCGGGCCUGGUUGUGAACAAUAUGUUAUAGUAUUUUAAUAUUGUAAUUUUUUUUAAUAUCCAUUUAACUCUUUUUUGGCAAAAUCUCAAACAAUAUUUCGAAAACAAUAUAGAUUAUAGUGCAACAUGAUACCUCCAAAUUAACAAAUUAAAAAACCAAAGCAGCAACUCUAUAUUUUUUAUCCCUUCAAUCAUCUAAUUUUAUUAAAAAGUCACCGUGAGCUUAGCUCAGUUGAUAUAGACAAUGCUUAAUAAUAUGUACGGUAUGGAGUUCGAACCCCGCCACUACAAAAAAAUCUAAUUUUAUUAAAAAAAAAACUACACCCAUCAUAAGGAAAAAAAAACACACCCAAAGAUCAAGAAUCCCCUUUAAACAAUUUUUGCCUAAAUAUACCUCCUGCUUAGCAAAUAUAUCAAAAUUUGAAUACUUAAAGACACAAGGUGCUCUAGUACAUAGCGAGAAACCCAUGGAUUUUGAAUAGUGAAGACAACAUAUAUAUUAAUUUGGAGCAUUACACACGUACGCUUGCGUGCAUGCGCCCAUGUGUGCAUUAUGCAAUAAGUGAUGCUGCAAUUAAUCCCACCACUCUUAAAAUGACACUCAAGAUCAAUUUGGUACUGGAUUUUGUAGUUGGCUUUUUCAUAUAUGGAAGAGAAAUUCCAACUAUGAAUAGAGUUUAUUUCACUUUUUCCGAGGAAAAAGGCCGAAAACUCUGUGUACAAAUAUGUAUUAACUUUGAAAAAAAUCAAGAGAUCAAAAGUAGUAGCAUUGAGUAUAGGAGUAGAAGGCUUGGAUUUGGUUUUACUUACGUAUAGUGAAAAAAGAUUGAUGGAAGAUUGAUAUUCCAUCCAAAAAUAUAUAGAAGGUGUCUCCAUUCUUGAGAUCCAUAAACUGUUACUUAAUAGUUAUGGAUGUCAGAGGAGCCGUCCAUGAAUUGUUCAUAUAAAUUGAAAUGGAUGAGGAAUUUGUGAAAUGUAUACCAACCACAAUCGCAAAAAAGGUUUCGGGAUAGGCCAAAUAUGGCAACAGAAGGAUGAGUUUGUGAAGGUGUAUCUGGAGUGAUGAAAAAGGAGAAACCUUCUCCAUAAUAGCCAUUGCUUCUUGAUAAUAUUGAAAAUGAAAAGUAGGUGGUAAUGGAGAAUGAUAUAUUCUUAGAAACAUAAAAAAGAUGGAUUAGAGAUGUAUAUAAUAAUUAAUUUUAUACAGAAUAAAUCACCAAUAAUUUCAAGAAGUUAUUGGUGAUUUAUUCUUUUUUAAUAAUUAAUCUAUUAUUUUUUAUUACGUAUAUAAUUAAUAAUUAUUACUAUAAAUGACAUGGAAAAUGAAAAAAAAUCAAUACAUAUGUCAAGUCAUUGUUGCCACAUCAUUAAAUAAUUGAUGUAUCUGAUCAAUAUUAUAAUCAAGUGCAUUCAUUAUUCAAUGAACUUAAUAAAAAAGUAUAUUUGCUUACAUAUGAGAUCAGAUGGAGUAUAUGUUUAAAACCACGAUGUGUUUUGUAAAAUUACGGUAGGAAACCACGUCAAUCUAAAAGCUAAGUUUCCUAGCUUCUCUAUUCUCACGACAACUACCCAAUGACAAUGAUUGACACUUUCAUCGUCAAACCAAAAAGGCCAUCAAUCUAAACAAAUUAUCUUAUAAUUUGUGUAUUCAAUUCUUCAAAAGUUAAAUCCUUAUUGAGAAAUGUUUUUUUUGAACAAGUUCUUAUUGAGAAAUGUUAACUUGUGUCCUUAAGAUACAAGUUAAUGAAUCAAAUAUAGAAAUAAUUUAUUGAAAUGUAUGCAUUACAAUUAAUGUUUAACUUUUUAAUAAAUUUCCUUAAAAAAAAACUUUUUAAUAAAUUAAAUCCACAAAAUUUUAGAUAAUUUUUUUUAUUUUUUUAAGUUUCUUAACAUGUGUUUAAGGAAAAUGUUAACUAGUCUCCCCCGAACACUAGCUAAAGACCUUAAAUGGUAAACUUUUAUUAAAGUUAGUGUAAUCAGUGUAUUAGAAAUUGAAAAGUUUGACAUUUUUAAAAAAAUAAUUACUUAAUUUAAAAGGUUUAAAGAGUGUUCAGAGGCACUAAUUAAUAAAACCAUUAUUUAUUUCAACCCAAAAUUUCUACUUUUGAUUAACAACUUCCCUGUGCACUAACAAGUGAGUAAGACCUUAUAAGGUAAGGCUAAAUACUCUGAGCUCUCAAGCGAUUGAGGCCAACUCGUUCUCCUCCAUGUUCUCAAUUCGAGGAAUGUGUUAAAAAAUGAGGUCUGAAUUUCUUAACCAAAAACUUGCACAAAUAAAAUAUUUGUUCAACCAAUCAACAAAAAAGAAAAUUGUUCAACCAAUGACUUAAACAUUUGAUUUUUGGGUUAUUAAUUGUCAACCACCUUGAUUCAGUAUGCUUUUAACUUUGAAGCUUAACAACAAUUCCAGUCAUGUUAACAAAGAUUUGCUUACCAAAGUUUAGAGAAGUUUCGUUAGUUAGGAGAAUUAAGCAAAAGUAGCUUGAUAACAUAACAGAUAUGGUACACAAGAAGACUCAGAAGAAAUGUGGGCAUCAAUUCAGCUUGUGAAUUCUGCAUCAUUAUAGUGCUUUAACUGCAAUGAAUUAUUCUUUUUGAUGUUCAUAAAUGUAUUUUUUUUUGCGAUUCCUAUUUUGUUUUGUAGAAGGCCGAAUAUAUUGAGAAAAACUUUCAUAUAGACUAUAUGUAAGACUUGAAAUAAAUUUCUAAAGAACGAUACUUUUAUUAUACAAUCAAAUUUUGUAAAGAUGAAUUAAACCGUAAAAAAGCCUAAAAUGGUAUUAGAGGGGAGUGAAUUAAAGCCACAAUAAAAACCUAAUACAAAAGGAUGCUAUUACUUUUUACUAUUUAGUGUUUUAUGUUUGGUAGACUAAUAAUUAUAACAGAUUGAACAAAAUGAUUCACAUAUCAACUUAGAUUGAACAUGAGUAAUCACUUAGCUAUGGUCUUCAAUCUCCAUCCAUUUGUCACAGAUCCACAUCAUAGCAUAAUAUUCAAAUAUCCAAUAAUAAUAGGCAAGACAAACAAUUAUUUGUCUAAGCAUGACUGCCGGCAACUACUUUUGAGACACCUUUGAUAUAAUUGGUCCUCAAAUACAUAUCAAUUAUCCUUUUCUUUUUUAAUUAUAUUCACUCACACUAUGUAAACUGUAAAGAGAUAUAGAAAUAUCACAAAAGCCACUUCAUCCAGUAAGAAAGUGCCAUCUUAGAUUUGGUUGGAUAAGGCAUUUAUGCUAAAUGAACUGUAAAAUGAGAAACAUGGUAAAAACACCAAGUACGGCAAAAAAACAUGGACCAUUUUUACCUUGGCUCAUUUCCUACAUGCACAAAUUUAAGAUAGAUAAAAAUUUAAGACACGCUGCAGUGCUUACUGGUUUUUAUUGUAAAUCAAAUGAAACAUCUUCUGCUGUUUUUCAAACCAAUUAUCCUUAGGUAUUGCAUUGUAACUUAAAAAAUCGUGAGGGUGUGAACUGUUUCAUUUUUCUGAAAAUAAUGGCCUAAAAAAUACUGCCAUGUAUGACUCAAACUUUGUGUCUUACAAACAAUUACAAUUAACCCAUAUAGUGUUAUAUUUCAAUAGAUUCCUCAUGAAUUAAAAUUGACCCGUGUAACCAUCAACCCUGACUUGGUUCUUUUCAUAAUUUGUCUACCUUUAUCUUCUUUAUUAUACGUUGAAAUAAGAACAUGCACCUGUCCAUAACAGGUUUUUCAAAUUGUGUGGUUCUCAAGCAACUAUUUACAAUAUGACAGCAUGUGGACCCAAAAAAAAUCUUACACUGCUGAGUCAGUUUAAAGCAUAGCCUCAUAAAUUAAGCCAAUUUGAUGGAAAAAUAAAAUUUUCAGUGAUAUAUCUAUAGGAAUCCCAUAGUUACACAUGGAACACCAACAUUGGUUACAAAUCAUAUCAUAUGAAGAAUCUAACCCAUUUGUGGAUUUUAGAGGAGUGCCAAGUGUAACAUCAAAAUCCUCAACUUCCAAUGAGAUUGUAGCUUUGGAUAACACAAGAUAAGAGAACAACAACUUCAUAACUAAUAUAAAUACACACCCAUAUUCACCUUACCAAAUCACCAUUCAUACGAGUACAUUUAUCAAAAGCACAACAAGCAUUUUAAUUUCAUUGCAAAAUGGCCGCAUCAUCCAUGGCUCUCUCUUCACCAACCUUGGCUGGCAAGCCAGUCAAGCUAACCCCUUCAAGCCAAGAAUUGGGAGCUGCAAGGUUCACCAUGAGGAAGGCUGCUACCACCAAGAAAGUAGCCUCCUCAGGAAGCCCAUGGUACGGCCCAGACCGUGUUAAGUACUUAGGCCCAUUCUCUGGUGAGCCCCCGUCUUACUUGACUGGAGAGUUCCCAGGUGACUACGGAUGGGACACUGCUGGACUUUCUGCUGACCCAGAGACAUUCGCCAAGAACCGUGAACUUGAAGUCAUCCAUAGUAGGUGGGCUAUGUUGGGAGCCUUGGGAUGUGUUUUCCCAGAGCUUUUGUCUCGCAAUGGUGUUAAAUUCGGUGAGGCUGUAUGGUUCAAGGCCGGAUCCCAGAUCUUUAGCGAGGGUGGACUUGACUACUUGGGUAACCCAAGUUUGGUCCAUGCUCAGAGCAUUCUUGCCAUCUGGGCUACCCAAGUUAUCUUGAUGGGCGCUGUUGAAGGUUACCGUAUUGCUGGUGGUCCUCUUGGUGAGGUUGUUGACCCACUAUACCCAGGAGGCAGCUUUGACCCAUUGGGCCUAGCUGACGACCCAGAGGCUUUCGCAGAGUUGAAGGUUAAGGAACUCAAGAACGGUAGAUUAGCCAUGUUCUCUAUGUUCGGAUUCUUUGUUCAGGCUAUUGUGACCGGAAAGGGACCUUUGGAGAACCUUGCCGAUCAUCUUGCCGACCCAGUCAACAACAACGCAUGGGCCUAUGCCACCAACUUUGUUCCCGGAAAGUGAAUGGUCAUUAUGUUUUUUGUUAUGUAUACUUUCUUGUAACGUUCUUCCUGCGGGAAUGUGAAUUAUUAUCAUGUGUUGUAUGCAACUGAAUGUUAGUCUUUUUUUUUAUGUCAAUCUGCUCUCUCAAUCCCAUAUCCCCAUCUUUAUGUUUCUUACAAUCUAUGCAACCAAAAUUGAACUAAUCAAAUCGCUCAAAAAUAUUGAUUACAAAUAUCCACUCAUUUUUAGGGCACAUGUGGAUGUAAUAAUAAAUAAACAAAUAAAUAUCACAAAUACUUCUAUAUAGUCUAAUCCAAUGCACCGUUACAACAAAAGUGGACCAUUAUCAAUGUCUUCCUCCUAUUCGAAAUUCUUCUCAUCGUUAAGACAGGUAUGAAAUCACAAUUUUAACAUCUUUAAACGUUGUUCUUACAAUUUUUGUUUUCAAUUAAUAGAUUAUUAAUUUGGUACCUAGGUUGAAAAAAGGUUAAAAUUAGAGAACACAUCAACACCAAAAACAACAAAAUCUGAACAAGUACAAGAAAGCAACGUUGUAUCAACACUGAGUUCACCUUUGUUCCUCCAACAAAGUUGGAACCAAACAUGUCCAACCCAAGAAAACAGUGAACCUCCUCAACAAUUCCUCUCAGUUUCUCAAGGAUUCACACUGACCCAUCAACACCCUUCUCAAAUUACCACUCCUUCAGAUGAAACUCAAGAAGAAGAUGUUGAUGAAAUUGAAGGGUUAGUAAAUCUAUUAGGAAUGUCAGAGGAAAAAAGGGAUGGUUUUGAGGGUGAUGAGGGUGGUGGUGAUUGUGAUUCUUGUCACUGUGAAGGUGGGUUUUAUUCAAAGAUUGUUGGUGUGGAGGGACCAAAGUGUAAGAAAGAGGUGUUGAGGUUGGAUGGGUGGAUUAAGCAUUUUAUGAAUGAUGGGGUGGAGAAGAAAGAGCCUUUGAGGCUGGCACAUUUGCUUUUAGGGAAAGCUGCUUUUAUUUCUGGGGGUGCAGAUAGUGGUUUUGGAGAUUUGGAUUUCCCUUCAACUAUUCAAGAAUUUCUUCAUACUGAUCCUCCCAGUAAAUGAAGCAUCAUUUCACAACUCCUUAUUUUACUUUUUAAAAUUUGUUUUUACUAUUUAACUUUAUUUUAUGAUAUUCUUCUUUGUAGCUGUUGUUAUGCAAAUACACAGUGAUUUAUUUUAUUGGUUGUACAAUCUUGUUGAUUGCUGUAAGUGAAGAUUAUUCUCUCUGUUGAGAUCUAUUCAUUUUAUAAGGAUAGGAGUAAAUGGUUAUGGUUCUUGAAUGUGUCAACAGCUAUCGCCGUAGUCCUUGAAUUAACCAAAAUUACGUAAUCAUUCUUGAAUGUGUCUCUAGUUAGUCAAUUUGGUAGUUAGUUCGUUACUCAAAUGGUCUUCCAUUGGUUAAAUUAGAGCAUCAAAUUCUUGACCGAAGAUACGCAAGGAUGUUUUGCAAUUUUGAUUCAUUCAAGGACUGUAAUGACGCCGCCUCACACAUUUAGGAACUAAAAUGACUGUUUACUAAAAAAAAAGAUGUUUAAGAGGAUAUAGCUGUGAUUCCUUUUCAAUCAUUUUUUGAACUUUUUAUUGGGGUUGUAAGAAUGAUGGAGAUGAAAACAAAGUAUUUAGCAUUUGAUAUCUGCUAUUUUUCGAUUGGGGGUAUGUAUUUCGUUAUUCCCUGCUUAAAAUUUCUCAAAGUUAUGUCAUUGCUUACAUAACAGAAAGUAACUGUUGAGCCUUUAUGACUUCUUUCAUGAUCCUGAGAAUACAUGGGAGUAAAACUUGAAAGUAACCAGAUAUUUGAAUUCCAAACUGAAUCAUUCUCCAACUAUACUAUAUGAUAGAGCAAACUCGAUUGUAUAUAUAUAGAAAUAUCUGCACCAAAUCAAAGAGUGGCAAGAGGGAGUGAAAAAUAUAGAAUAUGCAUGCAACAAGAGACAGUCAAUGCAGACUAAAAAAGUAGGGAUGAGUGUUAUUACAUGAUUGUCUAGGAAUACUGCUCAUUUGAGCAAAGUUCCACAUAUUAAUUGCAUACUCAAAGUUCCACAUACUAACAUGUACACCACAAGGCUUUGUCAUUGUCAAAGAAACUAGUUAUGAAUUUACUGACAAGCAUUUCUUUUCUCUUCUUUCCAAAAAACAGCACCAAGGAUUGAUUGAUAUUAUGCUGUUUAUUAUUUAACAACACAGCAAGAUAGCAUUGCUGUGUUAAGCUUCACAAGUGCAGAUAAAACUUCAUUCAUAUUAGGACGAUGUUCAGGAUCAGAGAGGGUGCAGCACAAUGAAAGCUUAAAGAGCUCUUCCAACACUUCUCCAUUGUCUUUUGUGAUCAAUUCAGGGUCCACAAUGCUGACAAGCUGUUCCGUUCCAUUUGCAACGGCUUUUGCCACUACAUCACGCAAACUUGUUGAUUCUGAGAGCCCUGUUGGCCUUCUUUUUGUUAGAAAUUCCAUUACUAUGAUGCCAAAGCUGAACACAUCCACUUUCGUCGUUACUUUCCUCAUGUAGGCAAAUUCUGGAAAUUACAUUGAAAAAUAUUGUUCAAAAUGUUGAAAUUAUAAAUUGGGAUAAAAACAGAUUACACAUAAUUCAAUGAUCAUAAAAGAUUAGAAAAGGCUUAUACCUGGUGCCAAAUAGCCAAUUGUGCCUUGCAAAGCUGCUGUUGAGGAAAGGGCACUGCCAUCUUGCAAAUGAAGACCAAGUAUUCGAGCUGUCCCAAAAUCACUGACAUGUGCUUCAAAAUCUCUAUCUAAAAGGAUGUUGGAAGGCUUUAGAUCACAAUGCACAAUGGGAAAAUCAUAACCAGAGUGCAAGUAAUCCAAUCCACUAGCAAUAGAAAUGAAAACUCGGAGUCUUUCAGAUAAUGUCCACCUCGACUGAUCAACUUCUCUGUCAUGUAUGAUGCUAUCCAAAUUCCCAUUCUCCAUGUACUCUAGAACUAAAGCCUUUAUUUUCUGACUUUCCCAAGCAUAUCCAUGUAUCUUAACUAAAUUCCUAUGUCUCAGCUGGCACAAGGUGCUGGCUUCUCUCUUGAAUAUCUUGUCGGUAUUAGCUGAGAAUUGGUGCAAAUUCAACCUUUUUAUGGCUACAAUCUGACCAUCUUCAAAUUGACCCUUGUAAACGGUGCUCAAACUGCUAGAACCAAUGAUGUAGUCUGAGCUGAAACAACCGGUUGCAUUUUCUAACUCCUUUGGACUGAAUCUUUUAAGAGCCAAUGCUGAACCGUUCACUGAUUCAUGAUUCUCAGUAUCAACACUCUUUAUAGAAUUACCGAACAUGGUGCCUCGGUUGAAAUAUAAAAUCAGAAGCACUGCAAGUAGAAGUACAGCAAGAGAUCCAAGUGCAGCAAUGAUAGCUAUGCUCUUCUUGGAUAGAGAAUGACCGUUCUCUCUGCAUGGACUUAGGAAUUUUGCUCCACAAAGAGCCUGGUUUCCCAUCAUACUAGAUUCGUUGAUAUGUGAAAAUAUUCCAGUCAAAGGCACAGGACCUUCUAGUUGAUUAAAAGAAAAGUUUAGCUGCAUCAGGUUGGAAAGAUUGGCAAACCCCUCAGGAAUAGUUCCCUUCAAGUUAUUCUGAGAAAGAUCUAACGAACUAAGAUUCUUAAUCUGAGACAUGCUUUCGGGUAUUUCACCAUCUAAAUGAUUUCUUGAAAGAUUUAAGCUCUGAAGCAAGUCCAUGCCACUAAAAACUUCAGCAGGGAUAGGACCUGAAAUAUUGUUUACUGAGAAAUCAAGACUAAACAUAUUUCUGCACCCGGCAAGUGUCUUCGGAAGGAAACCUGAAAGAUUAUUGUUUGAAACAUCAAUGGCUUGUACCAUUUCCAACAUCCCUAGUUCAGAUGGAACACUUCCUACAAAGUGGUUGUAAGAAAGGUUAAGAUACAUCUGCAUGUCUUUGAGGUGUGCAAUGACGUAUCCUGGAAUCAAUCCUGAGAGGCGGUUGUGAGAGAGAUCCAACAGUAGAAGAUGAUCAAGCUUCCCCAUGCUUUUCGGAAUGGAACCAUUAAGUUUGUUUCCGUGAAGAUCUAAGUAUGAAAGCAUCUCAAGCUUCGAGAUAGAAUCCGGUAUUCGACCAACCAACUUGUUUUCAUGCAGCAAAAGUAUAGUCAAUUCUUUUAGUUCAGAAAGUUUAUCAGGUAUUGUGCCUUCUAAUGCAUUGUCAUAAAGAGAGAGUCCUUGAAGGAGAGAAAGUUUGGACAAUUCUAUUGGAAUACGACCUGAUAAUCUAUUUUCAGAAAGAGACAAAAUGAUGAGUUUAUUCAAGUUACCAAUCUCUGGUGGAAUUGGUCCUAUGAAAGCAUUUUUAUUCAGCUUCAAACGCAUGAGUUUAAACAGAUUUUUGAUACCGGAUUUUAUCGAUCCACUGAAGCUGUUAUCCGCCAAAAGUAAAGUACUAAGGUUUGAGCAAAUGUAAAGAUCAUCUGGUAUUUCACCACUCAUUUUGUUGGAUUGAAGGGACAGGAAAGUAAGAUUUGGCAACCUUGAAAAACCCUCAGGAAUUUUUCCAGUUAAAGAAUUAAUAGAUAAACUCACAUUAACCAAACUAGUACAAUUGGUAAUGCUAGGAGGAACAGGUCCGUGUAAAAAGUUGUCGUUCAAGACAAGAAACUUCAAAUUUUGAAGCACACCUAUAUUGGAAGGAAUUUCACCUGAAAGGAGAUUCUGACUCAUGGACAAAGAUGUCAAGUUUCUCAAGUUUGUUAUCGACGAAGGAAUCGUCCCGGUAAACUUAUUCAAAUGAAGAGUUAACACUUUUAAGGAACUCAAAGAUCCAAUCUCAGAAGAAAUUGUUCCCUCUAAGUUAUUCUCUGAUAAUCCUAAAUGUGUUAACGAUUUCAACUUAAAUAUAGAAUCCGGUAUUGUUGAGUUCAAGUUAUUACCAAACAACCUCAAAGUUUCCAACUGAACUAAAUUCCCUAGCUCAUGAGGAAUACUUCCAAUGAACUUAUUUUCAUAUAACUCAAGGUUAACAAGAUUGCUACAAAGAGCCAGCUCAGAAGGAAUUUUUCCACUCAAUGAAUUUUGAAGCAAUAAAAGAUAUUGUAAAUUUGUUAGGUUUCCAAUCUCUCUAGGUAUGACACCUGAUAACUUAUUUUGACUAAAAUCAAGAGAUAACAAAGAUCCUAAUUGGCCUAUAGAAACAGGUAUAGAUCCAACAAAACUAUUACCAAAUCCUCCAAUCUGUAUAGUGUUAACUAAAUUCCCUAUAUUUGAUGGAAUAGUUCCAGUAAGGUUGUUGAAAUUGAAAGCAAUACCUAACAAAGAAGUUAUGUUGAAUAUGCUAACAGGUAAGGUUCCAUUGAGAUAGUUAUUACCUAUAUCCAAAUACUGCAACAUUUUAAGGUUACCUAAUUCAUGAGGGAUUGAACCUGAGAGAGAAUUACCAGUAAGGUAAAGUGUUGUAAGUUGAGUGCAAAGACUAAUUUGAGGUGGAAUUUGACCAGUUAAUGAAUUUGAAGUUAAAUCAAUAAGUUGAAGUGUUGAAAUGUUUCCAAGGAAAGGUGAAAUCUCACCUUGGAGUUGAAGUUCAAAGAGUGAAAUUGAUAUGACAUGUUUUGAAGAAUUGCUACAUGCAAUGCCUGACCAGUUGCAAUGAGGGAUUGUGUCAAUCCAAUUUGCAAGAGCUUUGUUUGGAUCAUUUGUUAUGGAUUUUUUGAAUGCUUUCAAUGCUUCAAUUUCAACUUUAAUGGUUGAUGUUUCAGCAUGUGAAACAAUAAUGGAUAGAAUUGAAAUGAGUAUGACUAGAGUCAAACUAAGGUUUUGAGAUGGCAUGACUUGGAAUUGGAUUGGUCAAUUGAAUUUGAAGUUUGAUGACUUAAUAUCAAAGUUGUAGUGAAUGAAGGCUUUAUAUAUGAUUUUGUUCAUGUAUGUAUCCACUAUUUUAUUUUUCUUUGUAGAUAGUAAUAGUAUGACCCGUGGCUAUAGAGUGUGUUCACAUUACAUGCAAUUGCAUUGUGAUAAAAGAUAAAUCAUUAGAUGACAAAAAAUGAAUAAUAUCUUUCAUUUGACUUAACUAACUAGUUGAGUACUUAAGGUUAUUGCUGUAUAUAAGUAACCGAACUUGGUGCAUCUUCUACUGAUUGAGAUGCUACAUAAGAUGCGACAAAUAUUUAUAUGAUCAAAUCAAGGGGAAGUACCAAUGGGAGUAUUGGAUAUAUCCACAAAGAUCAAAAUCAAGGGGAGAAUAGAAACUACUAGCAUAAACCAAUUUUAGUUUUGGUAUUGUCAAAAUAAAGAUUUAAAAUUUAGUAAUUCAAAAAUAAAAAAUAAAUUUAAUUUAGAUUAGCUUCUAACAGGGUGGUUUUUCAAUUCAAAAUAAAUUUAUAAAAAUUUGAGUUUAAUUAAAUAGAAAAUAAUUCGAGAGAAUAAUAGUAACAAACUGAAAAUUUAAAGAUUUUUAAACGCUCAUAAAACUAUUGGCCGAUAAAUUUGACAAAAAACAAAGUGACAUUUGUUGAAACUCUAAAGUCUAAAAUAUAAUUUUUGCAUAAAUCACAUAUAGUUUAUUAUAAUUGUCAAUUUCAAUGUGAACCAAAAACAUACAUUAAUAGAUGAUAAAAGUAUAGUAUGGUUGCUACACUUCAUCUUAGUCAAUAUGGGGUGUGAUCAAAACCACCACUUGGUUAUUUAUCUCCUACUUCUUUGAAUCACACGUUAGAUUCUUUUUGUACUUUGGCCCCAUUGUUUAUACGAAUACAAUUAAACCCUACAAAUUGAUUGAAAACAUUUAAUAAUUAUCUAGAAGAAGUCUUGCUAAUAUACUAGUUGUACGAAUGCAAUGAUUUUUCUAUGAAUCAAUUCUUGAGUCUAGUCUACGAUUGUUGAAUUUUUGAAGUGUUUAACAUAAACUAAUUUUGCAUUAGCAAGAAAGAAUCUAAAAAAUACUGUAAUCUAUGUGUUGAUGACUUUGUCAAAUCAAGGAAUGCAUAAUUGCAUAUGGUGUGUGAAUGUAAAGUACAAUUUUAGAUGGUAUGCCAAAGUUCUAACGCGGUUUGCGGAAAGCUAAAGAAAACAAGUGGCCAACUUGUAAUAAAUAAUAUCAUGCAACUAGCACAACACAACACCAAAAUGAUUUUCCAUUUGAAGCUUAGAUUUGGAAAUUGGACUCUGACGUGUGAGUGAGUCCACAGCAGAGUAUGGAUAGUGUAUAAAUGAGUACCCAUACAUCCCAACAGUGACAUGGUUGGGUCAGGAAAAUUCGUGGAAGAUGAGCACUAACGUGUCUGUUUUUCCGCUCUUUUUAUUGUGCUAAUGUUUAAAAAUUAUGAACAAUGUUUUUUUAAUGAAAUUUUGAUUUUGAUUAAAACUAAAAAUAUAUAUUUUUGUUUUUUUUUCAAGUUAUAACAAAUCAAACUACCAUGAUUAUCUAUUUAAAUAACAUCAAUAAUAUAACAAAAAAAUAUAAUCUAAUUAUUUUUUUAUAAUGACACCAAAAACAUACUUAUAGAAAAAGUUGUUUAAGAGUAUAAUUGGGAUAGUGAAAAAGUAAGUAUAAAUAUAUUCAUCUAGUUUGUUACACUUUUUAAAUGAUAAAGGAAAAAAAACCAAACAUAUAUAUAUUCAUACCGUGUUUAUUAUAUUUUUUUAAUAUUUAAAUUUAUUCUUAUCUAUUUUUUACAUGUGUCAUUUGUAUCGAAAAUUGAGGCAUUUAAAAAAAAAAAAAAUCAAUCCAAAAGAGCUGAAAGAUAUUAUUUUCUUUAUAUAUAAUAUAGAUUUAUUAUUAUUUUUCAAAUGUUUCUUCUAUCCAAUAUAAUCUAUUCGAAACAUUAGAUGUGAGAUCUCUUUUAGUAGGAUUCGAAUUUAGUCCAUCCAUCACGUUUUGAGAGUUUAAUUCAUUCCGUUAGACCCGACUUUCUCUAUCGAAGAUAUUGCAAUAUUAUUUAGGUUAAAUGUCAGGUACCGUCAAGUCGUUACUUCUAGAAUUUUUUAAAACUCUUGUGUUUUUAGCGUAAUACAUUCAAAUGACACAAAUUGUCUACAUGUACAUGUUGAGAUGUGUAAGAAGGAGAGAGCAAGGAAAAAAUAGUUAGACCCUCCUAGAAUUGUGGAGUAGAAAAUGUCAAUGUUUUAUCAUACAUCUGUUUGGAACCGAAAUGGAUCCUCUCAUAUGUGAUUUAAACAUGAGAGGUAAUACUAAUGUGUGUAAUUACUUACCAUUCAAAAUGAACGAGACACGUAAAAAAAAUUAGGAGAUAUAUAUUUCUCUUUUAUUUUGAAUAGUGAGAGGCUACACAUGAGAGUAUAUAUAAAUAUUCAAAAUUGUUGCCAAUAUAUAUAAGAGGCAUAUCACAUCCGGCUUGUUUAGCAAGAAUUCGUAGGAUAAAGAGAGUUUUCUGAAACUAAGAAAAUUUGAUAUUUUAAAAGUGUCAUAGUAAAAUUGGAUUUUUCAUAUUUUAUGGGAUACAAGUCAAAUUUAAUUGGGUAAGGAAUGUAAUUUUCUAAGGCUUUGUUUGGGAGUUUGGAGGGGAGGGGAGGGGAGAGUUUUAGAAAAAAGGAAGGAGCAAGUGGAAGAAAUAGAAGACAUUGGAAGGAGAGGACUUUGGAGGUUAAUUUUUUACUCAUAAUAAAAAAUCCCUCUCAUUUGGGGAACUCAAAAAUUGUAUUGGGGGAGGGUUUUGGGGGUUAUCGAGGGUUUAUAUGAAUUUUUCAAAUUCAAUCUAUGUUGCUAUAAUAUUUUUAAAAUUAAAAAUAUAUUAAUCAUAAGUAUUAGUUUAUCAUUCUCUAAAAAUCUGUUUUUUCAAAAAAUGUGAAUUUUUUGUCAAUUUUUCUAUAUAUUUCCAACCCCCAAAGCCCUCCCCUCCCUUCCUCUCCAAACUCCCAAACAAAGCCUAAAGAAAAAAAAAAAAUCCAGUAUAAUAUCAAGCCCGUCUUAUCGCAAUUAUGCUAUUUCAUUUGGAUCACAGAAGUUAAUUUCGAAAUUGCUUUAUAGAUCCCUCUAAUAGUUUACAGGCCCCUCAAAUUUCCUACAAUGCUCCUGCAUUAAUACAACAUCAGGUUCUAACUCUCAAUCGUUUAUGGUUCGGUGGUUAUGAAUUGAUUAAGGUUUAUGAACCAAUCUAAAAUUUGGUGGUUAGAACCCAAUCAGCCUAGUGCAUAACGCAUAAUUGAAGAACAGUGACAAAUAAGAAUGAGUAUCUUAUGUGUGAGAAUGAUUAUGAAUAAACAUCAACCAUCAAAUAAAAAAUGCAUGGUUGAGAUUAAAACAUCACAUCAUGUGCACCUCAUUCUCACCCUUGUUUAUCUCCCUCAUUCCAACAAUCUCAUCUCAUCAUUCCUCUAUUGUAGCAACCUUCAUUCACCGUUUAAUAUUUCCAUUGAUUUUGCAUUUCAGCACCAGAAACAUUCGAUAUCCAUGGUUGAUUUUGAUGUUCUUCAUCCCCUUCCUAUUGAUCUCUACAACCCAUAUUUUGCAUCAGGCACUGAGCUAUCUCAUAAGCCACCAUUGGUUGUCCCUUACUUCAUCCAAUAAUUUCAUCACAUAUAUUCAUCAUUAAUUUAGAAAUUCACAACCGUGUACCCUUGUUCAUUUUCAAUUUACUGAUUUCAAUUUGUACUCGAAAUUUGUUUUUUUUUUUAUCACGGAGGUUUCAUAAUUAAAAUUGAAAGAAAAAAUCAAUUUGAUUUGUACUUACGAAGACCCGAUCGGAAUCAAUUUAUGAAGUUCAAGAUUCGUCUAUUUUUUUAUGAAGGAAAUAAUUUGUCGUUGUGUGACGAAGAUAAAAAAAGAAAAAAAAAAAGAGAGGUGACAACGAGAAUGAGGCGCAUGUGAGUUUUAAUGUGAUGUUUUAAUCUUAACCAUGCAUUUUUUAUUUAAUGGUUAAGAUUUAGUUCUAUCAAUCUCAUAUAUAUAUAUAUAUAUAUCAAGUGAGAAUGUGUAUCCUAUAUGAAAAUGAUAAGACUAAAUCUCAGCCUAACUACCGAGUCGCUCGGUUUGCAAGUCUUGAGUAGCUCCUCCUUUUGAUCCUCACUCGAUACUGGAUUCCCAAAUUUGUUUCUAUGAUAAUUUGUUGCAGUCUAGAAUAUUGAUCGGCGUAUUCCAUACCAGUAUCAUUCCCCUUCAAAAUUAUGUUUCUAAAUAUAUCUGCAAAAACAUCCAUAGUUUCACUUUUCAUUCUCCCGCUCUAUCAGACACUCGAUACAUAUUAGCCUAGGCAGAACUUCCUCUAUAGGAGGCAAUAACAUGGGAUAAAAAAGAUCUUGUAGAACCAUGAAAUAUGUAACCAAGAUCAGUUUUCCACCUUGUCUCCACAAAUAGAUCCUACAUGUCUUAAGGUACGACAUGCAACAAGUAAUCUUGGAAUGUAUGUUCCAUCUAAAAAAACAUUUCUCUUUCAUGCAGAAGAGACGUGAUGUCUAAGGAUGCUUUGAAAACACAUCUUGGGGUCGCACUUUAUCCAUACUACUCCACACUUUACAAUUCAUUGUUUAGAUUUUUAACAGUUUAGUUGACUCACCAAGCAAGUGUUGUUUAGAUUAAUUUUUGUUUCUAUUUGCUUUCUAUUAUAUUCCUUUUGUUACUGAAGAAAAAAAAAUGAAGUCUUCGUGAGUCAAUCCGUGUCAAUGGUAGAAACAUAGAUAGACCUGACCACUAGACUAAUGCACUGGAUUUACUAAAUAUUCACAAAUUUGUUAUUGUUAUGCAAUAUCUGAUCAUUUAUAAUUAUAAUUAAUUAAUUUUAUAAAUAUUUGUUAUGGGAAAUGCUUAGGAGAAUUGUUGUUCCCACAUUUAGUUUGGCUAUGCCACACGAGUAAUUUAUCCAAAUGUCCUUCGGCAGUUAACUGCCGAAUUAUGAAACCGGCUGCAGUUAACUGCCGAGGAAAACUUCGGUAGUAAACUACCGAGAAAACUGAAAACUUCGGCAGUUAACUGCCGAGGAAACCUCAAAUCUUUUUUUUUUUUUUUUUUUAUUCUUUGAGAAUAUUCCGCGGUCUUUAUCAUUUUUGAUUGAUUUUUCUUAAUAAUUCGUUUUUAAUUUUAUUGAUUUGCCUUCCUUAUUUAUUUUAAUUGUAUUACUCCUUUAAAUCUUUUUUUUUUUUGUUAUAACUGCUUUGAUCUUCAACAAUAGUGAAUAUUUUAUUUCCAAAGAACUUUCACGGAAUUUUCUUCUUUUAUUUCCUUUUUACGGAAAUAUUCACAAUUAUUUUAAUUGUAUUACUCAUUUGAUCUUCUUCUUUUUUUGCCUAUUUUAUUUCCAAAGAACUUUCACGAAAUUUUCUUCUUUUAUUUCCUUUUUCUUUGUUUUAGGCUUAACAUUUAAGUCCUCAAAAAACAUUUCAAUAAGUGUAAAAAUUAAGUAUUUGAAUAUUGUUUUGCAAAUUACUUAAAUAAAAAAAAAAUCUUUGUACACAAUUAUUUUAAUGUAGAAAAUAUAACAACAUAUUAUACCUUAAAAAAAAUCGUUGUGCACAAUUAUUUUAACGAUUUUUUUAUUGUUAUUUGUAUUUAAGUAAUGUGCAAAACAAUAUUCAAAUGCUUAAUUUUUACACUGAUUUAAAUGUUAUUCUUAUUAAGAUAUAUAGACAUAAGUAUAAUACUCCAAUUGUUUAAAACGUACCAAAAUAAUGAUUGAAACAUUCAAAAUCAAUAAAUAUUAUUAAAGACAAUUUAUGGUUUUUGUCAAAAAAAAAUUGAUAUUAAUGACAAUUUAUGGAUUUUGUCAAAAAAAAAAAAAAUUCAGGUUUGAGAUUUCCUCGGCAGUUAACUGCCGAAGUUUUUUUUUCCUCGGUAGUUUACUGUCGAAGUUUUCCUCGGCAGUUAACUGCAGCCGUAUUUCUAAAACUUCGGCAGUUAACUGCCGAAGGGUAUUUGAGUAAUUUACUCGUAUGGCACAGCCAAACCAAAAGUGAGAAUAGCAAUUCUCAAUGCUUAGUGUAGCGAAGGAUUGCAUGACGUGUCGCCAAUUUGCGAUUUUUUUUGGUAACCGAGUUGCAUUCUUUUGUUCAGAUUCUCUCUCUUAACUAGUUUAUUUUCUCUCCUUUUUUCUGUUGAUAAAAGUUCAAUUCUCCUUUUUCUUUAACAAAAGAUCAGUUUGUGCCAUUUGACUAUGUUUUGAACCACAUGUGAUGAUUUCAUGGCACCCAAGGUUGGAGCUAAAAUCAAUGGGAGAUUUGAACUAGAAUUUGGGUAGGUAUGAUUUAACAUGAAGAUAGGGACAGUGCCUCAAAGAAGGAAUUUCUGAUGCUCUUGGAACAGAUUACGUGAUUGUGUUUUGAUAACAGUGGUCAAAAGUUGUAUAAUGGAAUAAGAGAGGAUGAAGCUGAAACUCUGAAAGAAGGGUCUUAGCUUCAUGACGGUGGAUUUAUAUUAGUUUUUUACUUAUCAAUAUUUAUUAAGAAAAAAAUAUAUAAAAAAAUAGUACUCGUGAUCAAUAAUAGUGUUAGUAUAUGUACUCCUCUUUUAAAAAAAAAAGUAUUAAGCUAUGUAAUGUAUGCAUUUUACAUAGGUGUUUUCUAAUUUUGAUCCACUCAUUGUUUAGGUAAAUGGGCAACUAAAAAAUUAGUCGGUGGAAGAUAGCAUAUCCUAUCAUACAUAACUUGCAUUCACUCGUUUUUUUAGUAAAUUAAUUAAUAAUUUCAUAGCUAAAAAUCUGUAAAAUACAAUGUAAGAUGUAAGUAGGGGUGGGCAUGAUUCGAUUAAUCAUAUUAACCGAACUAAAUCGAGCCGAAAUGUUGAAAUGGUUCGAAAUAAUUGAACCGAACCGUUUAAGGUUUGAAAUUAACCGAACUGAACCAAAGUUAUGGUUCAUUAACCGUUUGCUUGUCUAUUAACUGAACCGAACCAAAAUCAAAAUUUUGAAUCGAAAUGUAUUUUUUUUAUGGCUUAAUACAUCGUUUGGUCCCUUAACUUAUUUUUCAUUUUCAAUUUGGUCAUCUAACGAUAAAGUGUAUCAAUUUGGUCUCAUAACUCUUCUGUCGUUUACCAUUUUGGUCAUCUCCGUUAGUUUUUAACCUUAAAAUGACUAAGGUGAACCAACUUUGUAGGUGGUCCACCAUAGAUCUUAUAAAUUCAUUUAAUUUUAACCCUUUGAUAUUUUUUUUAAAAAAGAGAACUGUUGGAUCAUAUAUGUCUGUUGUAUCAUACGGUGAACAAUCAACACCUAAUUUUUUUCCCCAUUUCUUCAUCUCCUUCAUCAUCUUCAACAUCACAUUCAUACUCCUUCAUCAAUCUUCAUAUAAUACAGAAGAAAAAAAAAUUCUCUUCAUCAAAAUCAAAUCAUUUCCACACAAUAAAUAAUAUCAUUAUUAGAGUCAAACUCAAAAAAUCAAACAACAACAACCCUUAAAACCUAUAAAUCAAACUUAACCCAGAAACCAAACAAAAAACAACUUCUGACUCAACAAAAUCAGGCACUGUUGGAUCAAACGAGAGAAGGAAGAAUCAAAUUCACAUCAAGAAUCAAAAGAAGAAGGAGAUUAUCAAACUGGAAAAAUGGGGUCUUUUAAGGAAAAAAUUGAGGGAAUUAAUUGGAAUGACGAUCUAUGCUUCACUAUGCUUGUCUCUGCUUCUUCUUCGAUACUUCGAUGCUUCUUUUCAGCAUCAAAAUUUCAGCCAACAAUUGAGAGAAUUUGUAGGAGUGAAGCAUCGAUACUUCUUGUUGGCUGAAAUUGAGGGAAUUAGUAGUAAGAAGGGCAAACUGAAAUAAGUGUGAAAAUUGAAGCAUAGUGAAUCAUCAAAGAAGAUGGAUUAUAUACCCAUUUUAAUGUCAACGAACAUGUGAAGAUGGAUGAUUUUCAUCCAGGUUUCGUUAAUUAAAUAACCAUUUUAAUUGAUUUUUUUUUAUGGUUUAGUGUGAUUCAGUUUAUUAUUAGUAGGCUUAAUUGCACUUUUGGACCCCUAUCUUUUCAAAAGUUGUGGUUAUGGACCCCUAACUAAUUUAAAUACAAAACAUCCCCCUAUGUUUUGAUUCUUUGGCAGUUUUGGACCCCCAAGGCAAAAAAAAAAAUGACACGUUGCACCUCACUUAGGGUGCCACGUCAGCGUUGACCGAGUCAACAAUGGACUGGGGGUCCAAAACUGCCAAAGAAUCAAAACAUAGGGGGCUGUUUUGUAUUUAAAUUAGUUAGGGGUCCAUAACCGCAAUUUUUGAAAAGAUAGAGGUCCAAAAGUGCGAUUAAGCCUUAUUAGUAUUAUUUUUUUGAAGAAAGUGUGAUUCAGGUCAUUAUUAUUGUUAAGUUAACCGCAUAUUAUUUUUUCUGGGUUUGUUUGUUCAAAUAUUUUUGGGUUUAUAUGAGUGGAGGAGAAGAAGAAAAGGGAAAAAAUAAGAUGUUGGUGGCUCACUAUUAUAACAAUAGACCUGCAAUCGAAUGGUUUAAAUUGUAUCAAAAUUAUUAGACAUCAAAAAACUAUCAGAGAUAACUAAAAUAGGUAACGACAAAAGACAUAAGGGAUCAAUUUGAGACGUUUUUUAGUUAGGGGAUCAAACUGAAAACAGAAAAUAAGUUAAGAGACCGAAUGAUGUAUUAAGCCUUUUUUUUAUCCUUUUGCAAAAAUUUAACCAUUAACCGAAAAGUGUUCCUCAGUGUCUCGUAUCCCGUUUGAUUCAUAUUGACCUUCAAGGAGGAUAUCUAGGAAAUUCAAAUGAGCUGGAAUUUACUGGCUAUGUUUUGCAAAAUGGACUUGUUUUGAAGACAAUGCUUAUUGAUAGUUUUUGCCUAGACCGGCCUAAAAUUUAAGAUUAGCCUUCCAAUGAGAUGCUCCCAUCAUUUUGCUGACAUUCUUAACAUAGAUAAUCAUGGGGGUAAUGAGUAGCAGCUUAUUGCCUCAAACAUAUUAUUUGAUACAGUAUAUAAAUGUGUUACUUUUCAACUGUUAGUUAGAUGUUAGCUAUCACUGCUACAGUUAAGUUAUAAUUUCUGUUUUUCAACUGUUAGUUAGAUGUUAGCUAUCACUAUUAUGGUUAAGUUAUAAUGUCUGUUUUUGGCAGUUGGUUGUUUGCAGCAAUUCUGCAUAUAAGUUAUAAGCACCGUAAAUCUUUCAUACAAUUAAAUAAUCAGACUAUAAUUUGACAGAGAAAUGAAAUAUGGUUUGAAUUUAUUUAUUAAAUGAUAAGAAGUUGAUAGGGUACUAUUUCUUUGAAAAAUUUAACCAUUAACUUAGCCUCAUAACUAACAAAAGAGCAUGAAAAAGAAUUUAUUUUUCAAUUUCAUAGUAGUGGUUCAGUUCAGUUAAUUGAGUUUGGUUCGGUUCGGUUAACCGCUCGGUUCAGUUAAUGAACUGUUUUUAAAAUAACUGUUCGGUUCAAUAACCAAUGCAAUAGUUCAGUUAAUUUUAGUUUAGUUCGGUUCGAUUCGAUUUUUAAAUAUUUUUGCCCACCCCUGAUAAGAAUCUAAGGCCGACCAUGACAACAACAAAUCUAAGAAUCACUCGAAUGAUACAACAAGAGAACACAUAUACCUCAACUGUAUGUUACCGAUCCUAAACUACCUAACCAUCCAAUUGAUGUAUAAAAUUUAUAUAAACCUAGUAAUCAUUUGUCAUUUAACACUAUUUAUUAGUUUUGUAAUAAAACGAUAAAGAUCUUAAAUGAUUAGGACUCGUAUAGAAGUUGUCAAUCACGAUAUUUGGCAUAAUAUUGUAUGGUUAAUGGGACUCUUGAGUGACCUACUGACCUUGAUAUACUGGAGACGUUUUGACUAAUUUUUUGAUGUGUCGAAACCAAUAACAAUAAAAAUGAUAGCAUGAAUUUGCUCGAGAGAUUGAAGAUUGAAUACAGUUUUUCUACCUUUCACUUUAUCUUUGAUUGAAAAAGUGUUUUGUUUGAAACACUAAAACCUUUGUACGAUGAUGAAAUAGUAAAGACUAGAGGCGGAGUCGUUCACCUCUCACAAUAAUACCAAAAUAAUAAAUUGGGACAUUUUUUAUUACUAUAAUAAUAAUAAUAUAUUAAAAUAAUUGUUUUCCUAAUACUUAUACACAUAACAAUAAAACAUAAAAGGUAAAAAAUUAAAAUAAACAAGAAAAGUAAUUGUAUGAUAAUAUUGACACAUAUUGUAAUUGCCCCUAAUAUUUUAAUUACUUUUUAAACAAGAUUCGUUGAUUAACAACAUAUUUUUGAUUAUAUUGACAUGAUUGUUGGUGGCUCAGGAAUUGCCCCUAUACUCCGGCAGUUAACUGAGAAACUAUAUUGAAUUAUGAUGACAAAACUCAUGUAUUGAUUUAUGAUAAUGUUUCUCCCAAAUGAAAUAUUACUUCAACAAAACUUGACAUUUUAGCCAAAAGUCAUCCAGACUUAAAAUGUAUUAUACGGAAUCAAACAAAAAAAGAUGUAGACUACGUAUCGAAGAAUAUGGUUGUGAAAGGCUACCUUGCUCCAAAUAAUGAUAAUAUUGUUCUUGUGUAUUGGUCCCUAAGAUGAUGCAACAUAUAUUUCAAGAAACGAACAAGGACUAAACAUAAAGAGAGUUAUCUGACAUACUCAAAAUACUCAAAUAUGCACGAUACACUAAACAAAUGAUUUAUAAAUUUGACAAUUUUUAUUUCCAUCCUCUGAAAGUGUGCAUGUCAAACACAAAUGAAUUGCUACAUAAUUUAUGCACUCAAGUGGUUGUUGCCUUUUUGGAAGAAAAAGAGUUAGAUGCAAAUGAAACUUAUAAAUAAAUCUAGAAUUAUAGAUGAUAGAUAAUUAUUCAUUUUCCCUUCAAAAAAAAAGAUAAUUAUUUAUUUCUAAGUCUUGAAUUUUUAAAAUUUAGUAGUUUGGAUGUCAAUAAAGGGCAUUUUGUGGGGGUAAACUUCUCACACUCAAUUGUCUUAAAAAAGGCAUAUUGUAUAUGCAUUGUAUAAAACGAAGAAAGAAAAAGAAGAAAAUAAAAAAUAAAAAAAAAUAGGUGAAAACAAAAGAGAGACCAAAUAAAUAAGUAGUGUUGUUUAUGUCUUUCAUUUAGUUUCAAAGUAAAUGAUGCAAUUUAUAAUAUCUAUACUAUAUAUAAAGAAAACAAUAUUUUUCAGUAUUUUUGGGCUGACUUUUUCUCUUUCUAAAAAUGCUCUUAAUUUUCAAUACAAAUAACACAUGUAAUAAAUAGCUAAGAAUAAAUUUAAAAAGUGUAACAAACUAGAUGAGUAUAUACAUGUUUUUUUUUUUUUACUUUAUCAUUUAAAAAGUGUAACAAACUUGAUGAGUAUAUUUAUAAUUACUUUUUCAUUAUCCCAAUUAUACCCUUAAACAAUUUCUAUACUAAAGAUUGCUGUUGGUGUCAUUAAAAAAAAAGUCGUUGAAAAUUGAAAUCGAUAAUCAUUGUUAGUUUGGUUUGUUAUAAUAUGAAAGCAACAAACAUUUAUAUUUAUAUUUUUAAUCAAAAUCAAAAUUCUAUAAAUAAAUAAAAACAUAGCGCAAUAAUUUUCAAACAUUAGCGCAAAAAAAUAUAACAAACACGAUAUGAAUACUCAUGUGCCCAUCUUUUCGCUAGUGUCUAUAUAAUAAUUGAAUGUUAAAAAAUUUUGAUGCGGUUUUUUAUAAUAAAAAAUUAGUUGUUUGAUAGAUAAUAAAUACAUAAUAUCUCCGUGAGCUUAACUUAGUUGGUAGGGACAAUGCAUAAUAUAUGCAAGGUCUGGAGUUCAAACCCCGGCCACCACAAAAAAAAAAAAAAAAAAGAUAAUGGAUACAUAAUACAUAAAUGUGUCAUGGGUUAAAAUUUACUAUCUCUUUUUAUUUCUAACAUAUAUAAUAUUUAUUCGAAUGUGACAUGGGUUAAAAUUUACUAUCUGUUUAUAUUUCUAACAUAUAUAAUAUUUAUUCGCAUAUGACAUGCAUGAUUUAAAUUGUCAUGUUUAAUACACGAAGAACAAGAGAGAUAAUCUUUGCAAGAUAUAUUGGUUGUAUGUGCACGUAGUUGAUAUUGUUGUUUGUGAUGUAAAUGCAUGACUCUAAUAUUCAUAUUUAAUACAUGAAUAACAAGAGAUAUAUGUAUGUAUUCUUUGAAAGAUAUAUUGGUGGCUUAUGCAUCUAAUUGAUGGUUGGUAUGUGUGCUUAAAAUUCAUGACUUCAGGAGUAACGUUUAAUUCAUGAGAAUAAGAUAAUAUCAAUUAUUUAUGAUUUAUCUAAUAUUUUCAACUGAUUUUUUAAUUUAAAAUUAAUUAUUCUUAAAUGAAUUUCUAGCUUAUAUAAAAAAUUAUAUAUUAAUCGUGUUUUAAUUAACAUUUUAUUUAAUUGACAAAGCACGCGUUCAUCAAAAUAUUAGGAGUUUUUGAAAUGAUUUUUUUUUAAUUGAUUCAAUCAAGUUACGAAUAAUUUUCAACCAUUAAUUUUCAUAUAAACCAAGAUACCACAUGCACAUACAGAGACUAGCUUUCAUUCUUUGUAUUGGUCUUAUUGUAUUAAUCGUCAAAUACAAGAAGCAAGAGUGUGAACACUAAUUAAUGAGAAGAUGAGCUAGAUUUCGAGUGUGGUAUAGUUGAGACUUGGUGAUCAUGUUGAGUUAAAAUGGUGUCUCUUCCAUUGUCGAAUUGAAACGAGAUAAGUUUAUUAAUUUGUUAAAGUCCUCUUGAAGGCUUUAUCAUGGUUAUGGAUUCAACUAGAAGUGUUAUAUACAUUGUAACUUGCAGUAGGUUUGAGUUUUCCAUCCAUAACCAAAUGAAUUGGGUUUGUUUUAAAAGUAAGCGAAAUGUCAUUCAAUUUAUUUUUCUUUUUAGUAACAAAAAAAAAUUAAUUGAAUGACAUUCAACUUACUCUUAAAACAAACCUAAAUCAAAUUUCAAGAAGAAACAUUUGAAAGCUUGCUAUUAACAACCUUGUGGCCAUUUUCUUUUUGAGUCUUCAUCAUGAGUGCAUGUUAAAGGGUUGUUAUAAGAAUGACUACAUGUUAAAUGAUGCAACUUUUAUGGACUAGUACACAUAAUUAAUAAUUAUAUUUCUCUUCCCCGAUUUAAAAUAAAAUAAAAUAACAAUACAAUACAAUACAAGAAAUCCUAUGUAUAAGUGAGAUGAGUUGUGUUAUUUGAACAUCUAUAUAUGUGAUAAUUUUUGUGACAAUCAAAAUUUUACAAAGAAAAUGAGAUAGUGGCACAAAAAUCAAAGUAAUAGAGAGAAAAAGUAAAAAAAAUAAUGUGAAUAUUAGAGAAAAAGUUGUCAAAAAAAUUGUAAAAAAUGAUUGUUCAAAUAUCAUUUAUCAGAUGAGAAAUAAAACCAUUUACUUGGUGGGAGCAUUUUACAAGCAACAUACUAGUUUGUCAAAAGCUAGUAGUGAUGUGAAGUUGAGCCAGUCCAUUAAAAUUGAAUUGAGGAAUAGCAUUGGAAUUUGGAGGGUUUGACGGCUUCAACAAGAAACCUUUCAAAAGCGUGCUAUAGUUGUUUUUACGAGUUCUUGCAAACAAUUAUGUCAGUAAAAUAACCUCCAAUAAAUAAGGAAAAUGUUAACCAGUACCUCUCUAGUAUCCGCCUUCGGGGCACUGGUUAAGGAAACAAAUAUAUUAGUUUUUGCAUCGAAAAUUGUGUAAUUAAUUUUUCAAAAAUCAAAAAAGUGUCUUUUUUAAUUUAAUUUUUCUUUUUUUAGAUGCCUUAAGCAGUGCCAGUUAACACAAGCCAAUAAAUAAAUCAAAACAGCCCUAAAUCUAACAUGCGGUGAAACUUUAACAAGUUAGAAUAUUGGAAUUAAAAAAAGAAACAUAAAAAUGCACUUCCAAUGAGGACAUUGAUCUUCUCAUGAGAUUUUAUAGCUUAAGAGCAAGGAUUAUUUUUUACAUGUUGCUAGUAAAAGAUAUCUCAUUACAUGAGAUAUCUUACUUUUAUAGUAACAAAUUAAAAAUAGAACACAUUGUAAUUAGAGAUCAGUAAUAUCUGUUAAGUUAUAAGCAGCAUUCAAUUACAAACAGAUUAUGUAUGAAAUUUGUUCUUUGUUAUAUUUGUGUAUAUGUCAAGCAAACGUAGGCUCAAAUUUUGUUCGGCAUAGAACUUUUUGUUAUAUGUAGUAAUAAACAUGCAAAUUUCUUUAUGUGGUAUAGAACUUCCACUUUCACAUUACUUAAAGUGGCACCGACAACCAAUAGUGUUAUACUAAUUUCCAAUACAACGUGCAAUUGUAUACUUUGGAUUAAUUAAUAUGUUCCUUUAUACUUUGGAUAAAGGAACAUAAUAGGAUUGAUAAAUAUAUGAUUGAGAAGGAAAUUUAAUCAGAAAGUUUGGUGCAAGAGAGCAUGCAAAUCCUAGAGCAUGUUGAUGUAGCAACAGAAAUUAAAUAUUGAACCUUUCAGACAGUUACCAACCUCCAAACUUCAUAUUUUCUCACUCUAUAUAUAUAGUCCCCUUGUUCAAUAACGACUAGCUGCAUAGUUACACAUCAAGUCCACUUAAACAUGGAGAGACCAAACACUGAAUCUGUUUUGAAGGUUGGAGAGCUUAAUUAUUGUUUUUCGGGUUAAGUAUGUUUUUAGUCCUUACAAAAUCACAAAUUUUUAAGUUUAGUCCCUAUAAAAUUUUAAUGGUAAUUUUAGUCUAAUUUAUAAGAAUAGUCCCUAUUUUAAAAACUUUUUAUAAAAAAUGAACACUUUUAGUCCUCCAAAAUAGUCCCUAUAAAAUGCAAAUAGGGAAUAAAAGUGAAUAAAAAAUUUUAAGGACUAAAUUUGAAAACUUGUUAUUUUGUAAGAACUUAAAACAUAUUUAACCCUUGUUUUUCUAAUGUUGCUUUGUUCAGUUUAAUUUCCUCUUGGUUAAUUAAUACUAAUUCCUAAUUGUUUCCAUUCUACUUUGCAUUUUCCUUAAUUUUCUGCGGUGAAAAGUUUGUCAAGAACACUUCACAGUCUUCAUCUCAUUGGAGUAUUAUUGAUUCUAAAGGAAUGGUGAGAUACCUAGAAUUUUUAUACACUCUCAUAUACUUGACUAGAAGGUGAUACACAUCUAAAUAUGUAUGGAGCGAAGUUGCAUUGCCACUUUGUGCCUCUAAUCACACAUAUGAGAAAUGAUAAGUUACAUGUAUAAAAAUUUAGCACAAGCACACACAUGUGUGAUGAAAUCAUAUAUAAUUUACAUAUAUAAAACCUAUUUUAGAAAUGUAGGCAUAUGAUAUGACAUAGCUAAUAUGUAAAAAUCAUGACUAACCCAUUUUACCUUUUCAAAAGUCGUCUUGAUUCCAUCUAACAAGUUUAUCCAUGCAACUUUCUCCUUGUCGUCAUAAUUGACUAAGCUACAUAUAUCUCUUUAAAACUUGUGAAAAGUAUCAUAUGCUACAGUCAAUAUAUUGAACCACUAUUUAGCAAGUGUUCAUAGGGGGAGUUCAAAUCCAAACCGGUUCAAAUUAAAAUUGGAAACCGGUUGAUCUAAAAAAAGCGAAAAAAGUGACCAAAAUUGAAUAUUAUUAUAUGUGUUUGGAUAUCAUUUUAUGAAAACCGCUCAAAUUUGUAAUUUGGAUAUUCAAAAAUCUAUCCAAAUUAAACCAUCAAUUACACCACAAAUUAAAAUCAGAUAUCCAAAAAAUCUUCCGACUAAAUAGACAUAAUUGAAUGUUUUUUUAGAUAAAAGAUGUACUCAAAGACAAGUUUUAUGACAAGACUAAGGUAAGGAGUUCCCCUCAAAAAAACAAGACUAAGGUAAGGAGUUACAUGAUACACUUAAAUGUACUAGACCACUAGACCCUCAUUUUCUUCUUUAAAUUAUGGUGAGCUAUUUUUCUGUUUGUUCAGGCUUCAAGAAAAUCUCCUACCAAAGAAAAUACUAGACCAAAAGAAUUCAAACUCCACACUCAAGAAAGAGCAGUCAAACGUGCAAUAUUCAACUACGAAGUAAGAUAUACAUAAUGAAUGAUUAAUGUUUAAGUUAGCAAUAUAAGUUUCUUUGUUCGGUGAAUGUGGUUUUCAUUAGGUGACAACAAAAUUAUAUCUCAUGGAGUUGCAAAAGAGACAAGAAGAGAAGUUGAUGAAGGUAUUUAGGCACAUAAUAAUGAAGAUAUAUAUGAUACUAAUUAUGAAAAUGAGAUUAAUAUUUUAGAGAAGCUAAUUAAUGAAAUGUGGAAUAGAUGAUUGAAGAGGAAGAGAUACGUGUGCUAAGGAAGGAUAUGGUUCCAAGAGCUCAAUUAAUGCCUUAUUUUGAUAAGCCAUUCUCCCCAAAUAGGUAAAUAACAAUGGAUCAAUUGUAUAUACAUACAUACUCAAAUGCGCAAAAAGAAAGAAGUGUGGUGACCCGUGAUACAAUUGGGGAUUCCACAUAGAAUAACCUCACAUUAUAUUAUUGAAAUAUUGUGAUUAACUUUAAAAAGAUCUCACUUGAGUUACAGAUCAAGCAGAACAGUUCCAAGAGAAUCAUGCAUCCACAUGAUGAGUAGCAAGUGUUGGAGCUGUGCUUUUGGCAAUGGAUUCUACAACAUUGACCAAUGUGGUCAUCAAACUCUCAACAACUCCAUUGGAUAGUUUUGUCUUGUCAAAUUUUAUUUAAUUUAAUAACAAGAUUUAAUGAUUCAAUGGUGGAAAAAUAAAUUUAUCCAAGGUGUAAUGUUAAUUUAUUUGUGCAUAUCAGAUAAAAUAAUAAUUUAUUUAACUAUUUUACACAAAUUAAAAAAAUGUAUAAAUGAAAGAUAUUAAAUAAUAUUUUUAUUACAUUACUCUUAUCAAGUAUUUAUGUAUUUGCAAUUAACAUCAUUAUAAAAAAGAAGAUAUUGUGCCGUAAAUGUAGCUUAGUUGGUAACUAUCAUGGGUAUGCAGAGACCGAUGUUUGAAUCUCAAAUUUUCCAUUUCUCCAUAUUUAAAAUAGGUGAAUCUAGACUAAAUUAUUUGUCAAAAAAAAAAAAAAAAAAAGAUAUUGAAUUGGAAGUGGUACAUAUAGUAUUAAUUUGAUUAGAUUGUACAAUUGAAAUAAAUAUAAAUAGGAAAAUAUUAACUAGUAUCCCCGGGACACUAGUUAAGGAAACCAAAUAUAGUAUAAGUACUUUGGAAUUUGUGUAGUCAAAAUAUAAAAAGUGUAAAGAAUAAUGUUUUUAAUGUAAAUAUUUCCUUUUUUGUUUUCUUCAUUAACUAGUGCUCCGAUGCACUAGUUAACAAGACUCAUAUAAAUAAGGGUCUUGUUAACGAGUGCCGUUAUCUUUAAAGUUUCCCAAUUAAUAAAUUUUUCUUUGAAAAAGUUUAACACUUCAAUUUCCGAAGCAUUAAAUGCAUAAUUUUCCAUAAAAAUUUACUAUUUAAAGUCCUUAAAGAAUGCCCCAAGAGCGUUCGUUAACAUUUCCCUAUAAUACCACUUUAAAAAAUGAAAAUGUCAAAUAUUUUAGAAUAUUUUUUUAUAAAUAGAUCGAUUAUUUGUGGAAUGGAUGAAGAAAUUCGAAAGGCUAAGCUACUACUAGUACUACCUUCUUGCCAUUAAAAGAAAGUGUCUAGUACUACGUCUUGUAUAUAUCAUGAGCCGACAAAAUAAUCAAAGAAGGAAGGGAAAAAAAAUUAACUAAAAUCCAAUCAAAAAAGGGGAGAUAUGGUUUUGAUUAGUUCGUAGGUUCAUGCAAUGGUUAGCUUCUCUAAAAUUGUGAAUGUGUGAGAGACAAACGUUGUCCGAUCAUAUAUUGUUGCAUAAGAAAAAGAAUGAUCUCACUAAUAAAAAAUUCAAGUUGUGUUAAACAACCAUUUGGUUGACAACUUUUAAGACAACCAUAAUUUCAUAAAGAAAAAGAGGUAUUGGUACAAAAAUCAAAGCAAUAGAGAGAGAAAAUAAAAACAUAAUGUAAGUAUGAGAGAGAAAAUUGUCAAAAAAUAGUCUAAAUAUCAUUUCUCUAAAAAAAAAGUUGGACACAUUUACCAAAAAAAAGAAGAAGGUUGGACACAUUUAUGUCAAGCCUCGAAACCCAAAGCUCGAGCCACACUCCAUGAGAUUUUUGAAAAUUUCUUCAAAGCAUAAAACCAGAAGCAAAUGGAAGUAUAUAAAAAUAAAGGGCAAAUUGCAUUGACUUGCAAAAAUGUCCCUAACACCUCCUAUAUUUUGCAAAAUGACAUUGACCUCCCUUAUUUUACUUUGAAUGUGACACAUACUUCCCUUGAAGGUUAACGGCGUUAGAUCUCUGUGAAAACAAAACAAAAAUUGUAAGAUUCUUAUUCUAAUUUUACUGAGCAACCAUUUUUCUUCCUUUGCAACUUUAAUGCUCCAAGAUUGAUGAACGACAUAACUCCGGUAGUUGUGAGCAUGUGAAUCUCACAAGGUUAUACUCAUACAUGGUUGUUUGUCCAUGGCAUAAAAAAACAGUAGGAAUAACAUGUGAUUGUUCUUUCAAGAACACCCAAACACAUACCUGCGAAAGUAUGCGCAACAUAUGCUAACUGCCAUUAACCGAGGUGCUUUUGAUUUAUCGCUCAAUUAGAUAAAAUCAAUUAAAUUUAGUUGAUUUGAUUUAUCUUAGAAAAUAACAGACUAAUGGUUCAUAAAUCAAUCUAAGAUAUUCAACAACACAUAUUACUUUGAGGCGGCUUUUACGGUAGGAGAGGGCAAUAGGUCCCCUACCGUAGGAGAUCAUAUAAAAUGGUUUUUUUUUUUUUUUAACUAAAUUGACAUGUGUUUGUUGAUGGUUGGCACAAUAGAUACUAGUGUUGCAUUUUUUAUUUAUUUUUUAGAAAUGACGCAUCCUCCGGUCACUAUUAUAAGCAAAAAUUUACAUUUUAGAUUCAUUGAUUAAAUGAUGUAUGUGGUUUAUAAUACAGACUACAUACAUCAUUUAAUGAAUGUAUCUAAAACGUUGAUUUUUGCUUAUAAUAGUGACCAGAUGGUGUAUUUGUACAACCACUUUAUGAUAACUUUUUGACAACCUUCUCUCUCAUACUCACGUUAUAUUCUUAUUCUCACUCUUUCUUUUUCUCUCUCCAUUAUUUUUACUAAUGAAAAGAGAGAGAAAGAAGUUGUUUGUCUCAAAUGGAUGUUUAAAUAUCACUAUUUUUCUUCAGGGAGUUACCUGCAUGUUAGUUGUAUUUAAGUAAUGAGAAAUAAUAUUUAAACAACUAUUUUUUGAUAAUUAUUGUGACAAUUUUCUCUCUCAUGUUUACAUUAAUUUUUUAUUUUCUCUCUCUAUUGUUUUUGUGUCAAUACCUCAUUUUCUUUAUAAAAUUUUGGUUGUCUCAAAAGUUGUCAUAUAAAUGGAUGUUCAAAUAACACAACUCUUAAAUAAUUCUAGAGUCAAUUUUGUGAUUUCCUUCUUAAAUAAAAUAAUAUUUUUCCACCUAGAGUAUAUAGACAAUAUUUUCCAACUCGUUCAACAAUAAGACAUUAAUAUAAUGACUUUAUAUAAUGAGUGGUAGUUGAAAAUAUAUUAACGUUUUUACUGUAGAUUGAAUGUGAGUUUUUUUUUUAAAUGAUUGAAUAUUAUUAGGUUUUUUAACAAUAAAUUAUAUUAGCAAUGACAGGGGUAAUCUCCUUAGCACAAAGUGUAUAAAGGAAACCACAUAUAAUUACAAGCUGUCAAUCUAGGAAUACACAAAAAGGUUAAUCGAUUCCCAAUCUCCUAAACGGGUUCAACCACGAGCCAUAAACAAAAUUGGCCUUAUUAACUUUAAGCCAAAAUAACAAUAAAUACUUUACUUUUUCUAAUAACUGUGGAAUGGUAUUUUCUAAAUUUGUAAACGAUACUUUUUCUAAUAACAAUAAGUAUACCAUUGUGUUCGUUCCACACAAUCCAAAUAUUAUUAGUUGAAUGGUCAAUAGAGAUGAAGGUUGAAUAAGUUUUUAGUCCCAAUAAAUAUACCGAAUAUUGUUUUUAGUCCUUAGAAGAAGAAAAAAAUUGACAUGUUUGGUCAUAUAAUUUUUCCAACAAUGUCAAAAACACCCUUUAUUAAAUUUGAUUCCAAAAUCAAUUGAAUUUUUUAAAUCAUUCUAUAUGUUUAAAAAAUAGAAUUAUAGUGAAUCACAUUACCUGAAAUCUCAGCCAUUCAAAAACUUCAUCCUAUAUUCAAUGAUUGAUAUCUAUUUUUUUUUUUUAAAAAUCUCAUUUUACAAAAAAAAAAAAAAAAAAAACAAGUUUCCUACGGUAGGAGACCUAAGGAGGUCACCUACCGUAGCCUUGGCCCAAGUUUGAAGUUGAAUACCUGUUUGGAAUUUGAACAAACUUUUUUCAAAGUGCAGAAUCACAAUUUUUUGUUUUGUUUUUGUUCAAUGGUUUAACGGUGUUAACCUUGAAUGGAUGUAAAAGAAAAUAAGGGAGGUUAGUGUCACUUUGCAAAAUAGAGGGGGUGUUGGCAACAUUUUAGCAAAACUCAGGGGAGGUCAAUGUAUUUUACAUUUACAUUCAAUCACAUCGUAUUAUUUAGAUAUUUGUAAAUAUAUUUUAAAAAAAUGGUUACAAAGAUAUUUUAAAAAUUAAUCUAACAAAGUUGCAUAAUAGUAUGAUUUGAUUGGGUGCAUAGAUAAAAAAGUUUUACACUGUAGUGCAUCAAAAUUAAUCUCAAAACUUGUUUAAAAAACAAAUCAUCUCAGUAAUGGUUCCUACUAGAUACCUUUCAAAACUAGGGAAUUAAGACCCAAAAAAAAACUUGUGUCAGGCUGAUUUUUUAUUUUUACUGAACUUUACGUUAAAUCAGGCUGCUUCCAAAGUCUAAACAAUUCACCAUGCAUGCAAGAACGACAGAAUACAUAGGAAGGCAAUAUUUUCAUUCAAAAAGAUACAAUUAUUCUCCCUGGAUAAAGAGAAAAAAAAACUCAACCGAAUCUAUGCAGCUUCCAUACCUCCGAAGUACAGUCCAUACAUAUAUUUGAAUUUUAAGCAGAUAAUUUAGCCGUUCUAAUAGAUGGCACGCCAUCGAACAUAUAUAUUUAGUAUUUUAAAGUCCACUUCAACGUAUUCGAAUGACAUGAGGUCAAUCACAUGGGUUUUGUUUUCCAAUAUAACUCACCAGCUGCUCAUUUGCAUUUGAACCUUAGCAUUUUGAGAUGACCUACCACCCUUGUCUUUGUGAGAAUUCCUGGAUCCAAGUUUCUUCCGUCCCCUACGAGCUGAUGCUAUAGCACUUUGUCUUUGCUUACUCAAGCUCUUUGUGAGUUCAGCUUCAAUUCCCACUGCAUUAUCAUUGUUUUCCUCCUGCAAAUCAAAUUAAUAUCAUUAUGGUUUUCAUGUACAGGCUAGAUAACAAAGAUUCUAUAAACUAGAAUAAUAUUAGUUUACUUUCAAUAAAAAUUCAUUCAUUCGAUCUUGACAGUCAAUUAAAUCAAAUCCAAUUGCAUUCUCAUUUUGGGAUUUUUACAGCAUUCCUUGUUAACGGGGGAUACAGUACUUCCCAAAAAAUGCAUCAUGAAGAAGAAGAAAAGCAAAAAAAUGAGAUAAUCACCUAAUAAAAAUAAUAGAAAUUAGCUUACCAUAUCGCUCGCCUCUUCCUUUUCAGAUCCGCUGUUUUCACCUUCUUCAAAUCUCUCCUCUUUUCCAUGACUUUCAUGUCCCUCAUCCUAAACAUGGUUUCAUUAACAAUCUUUCAAUUAGAAUUGUAAUAUACGAAAUUGCAUAACUAGUGAAAUAAGCUGAAAAAAAUAGUCAAUUAGUGAACAAAACAGAUCUUAGAUAAACUACAGGACAUUCAAAUUUACUUCCCACAGUUCACUUAGAAUAUCACAGAAGUUCCCACACUUAAUCUCACAUUCAGAGCAAUAAAAACUUUAAAUUCAUCCUCAUAAAGCCUAGAAAGCAAGUUGGAUAUCCUUCCUAAGUUCUCCAACACUAAUGUCCUAAGCAAAUACCCAAAACCUUCUAUUGAUUAUGCCGUGUCAUGUUAGGGUCACCGGAAUGGGUCCUAUUUUUCUCUAAUAAGGAUACCAAUAGGGAUGAGCUUUUUGACUUCAUCCUAGGUUCGUCUUGGAGGUGGUUUUUGGGAAGAGUAUCAUCGGGGCCUUGUGCUAACUCGCUGGAUUGUAUAUCUAGGCUUUAGGUGGUACUGUUGUUUUAUGUUUGUUGUCCUUUAAAUGGGUUUGAACUUUGAACUACCUGUAGUUAAUUAAUUUUCCCGUUCAAAAAAAAAAAGUUACGCAGUGUCAUUUUAUUAGAAUCAAGGGCAUCAACAGUUUUCAGAAAGGCAAUCCCCUAACAGAUGAGUCUGUUUAUUUUAUCUUGUUGAGACACUAUUGUUUUAUAUUUCUUUACCUGUACUUCACUCCUCCUAGGUCCUAACUAAAUUCAUCAAAAUAAAACAAAUGAACAAAUAGCACAUACCAUUUCCCAUAGCCAGUGGAUCUUGUAUGACAACAAAAGCUAAUGGAUAUAUUACCUGCUCCGACAAAUGUAAAGAAUCAACAUUUAAAUCAUCUGCUUCAUUCAGGUUUCUCACCAAGUCACCAUCUUCACUAUCAGAAUUUGUAUCACUCUCCACCUCGCCUUCAAUAAACUGCAGAUAAAUUUGAAGAUAUUUAAGGUAAAAUGUUUCACAAUCAAUGCAUUAUAACUAAGAAAAGGCAGAAAAACCACCAUACCCUUUGAAUAUCUUCCUCAUCUUUUUUACCAAAGCCACUAGCAGCAAGUUCCUUAUCUAGAAAACCAGCACUGCUGUCUAUUGAAGAAAAACAGAGUUUUCCAGCUUCCUCUCUCCCUUCAUUAGAAUUGUCGUUAUCAUCUAUGCUUUCUUGAAAAGUCAUAUUGAACCUAAAACAGAAAAGAGGGACAAAUUAUCAAGACAACUGGUUGCGCAGCCAAAGACAAACCCAAAAUCUUUCGAUAAGUUAAGCAAAAGAUAAAUUAAAGAUUCAAUCAAAAUAAGAGAUGCAAUAUACUAAUAGUGUGUAUAGUAGUAGUACGUACUAAAAGUGAAUGACAAAAUAAAAAUCAACACUUCAAGUAAAAUAUCAGUUAAAAAACCAAACUUAUAACCAUCAGAGAUACCAAAUAGAAAAUUAGGAUAAAAUCAAGUAGCAUGAAAAAGGCAAGGAAACAAGAGUAUGCUCCUAUCAAAGAUCUUAUCAUGCAAAACAAGUGUUACAAAUAUUUGUAUCAAAUUGUAUCAAUGAGUGAAAAAACACUUCUUUUUUUAUUUCUAGAAAAUAUCACAGGACACAAAUUAAGGGAUAAGACACAGGACCAAAAUAAAAAAAUUGAUUGCUAAACAAAGGGGAGAACUGUUUGAGUUAUCUGGGAAAGAGGAGAUGGAGGAAAAAAGGGAAUUAUGAAUAUUUAUUUAUAUUUAUAAGAUAAAAAAAAUACACCUAAAAUAUAUCGACUGAAUUAAUAAAAAUGUAAAUAAGAGUAUAGUCCGAAAAUAAUUUAACAAUAAACAUUAAAAUAAUUUUAAAAUGUCAACAUAUAAUCCUAUAUUCCUAUGUCUAUCCUUAAUGCAGAACAAACAUUAGACGGCACAGAAGGUAUGUAUGCAUAUUAAACAUUAAGUGGAAAAUUGUCGUAACUCAACUGCUAGGUAUGUAAGGCCUUAACAUUACUUAACUAACAUUACUUUACUCUCCCAUUCCUCUCAAACCAAGCAGUGAAAUUCACAAACACCAACACAUAAUGUCAAAAUAACUACAAACCUCUUUCUGAAAAACUUAAAGAUACAUUCAACAUCACGAUCAAAGUACCUGAAACAAGGAAAGAUUAUAAGUUAAGGCCUAACGAAAAUAUAUUAGUUGAAAAUAUAAUAUUGUGUUAGGUAUUUGUGCUUAAUAUAACAAAAUGACAUACUAGUUAGAUAUGAUCGAAUGCAUGUGUAAAACUAUUUUAUACUGACAGUGCCAGUACAUACUACGUACCAAUUAAACUCAAUAAAAAGUUUAUUGACAUAUUUGAACUAAAAAAAUUUCGUCGACAUCAUAUCUUAAAUUUCUGUGGACAAUAUUUAAAAUUCAAACAAAAGAUAGAAAAUGAGGUUCAUUUCAGAAUUGUCACGAGAAAAAAAAAAAGUUAGCGUUCAUACAAGCAUGAAAUCAAAGGAGAAAAAACAGAAUUUGAAGGGACAUAAUACCAUGCAAGGAAGAAGCUCUUACAUCUUUGCAUUACGGUGCGACACAGACACCAUUUGUGGAAAAUCAAUCACAGUAAUUUUUUCUUCAUCGUCAAUCUACAGGAAACGGAGUCAAGAUUGUAAGCCAGAGGCAAAAGCCACAAAAAAUGACAUGUAACGAAAAAACUUUAGUGUUGUAUCUAAUGAUAAUGCUGACAAGUGCACACAGGUUAUUAAAGCAUACCAUGAUGUUAAAUUCAUUGAAAUCACAAUGAAUGAGACCAUGUUCUGCCAGCCGAAUAAUUAUACCAAUAAUUGUCUCAAAAACUGUCUCUGGGUUUUGUAACUGCUUCACCUGAACGCUGCAUUUGCAGAACCAAGCAUACAACAAAUUCAAGCAAUUGUUCACCAAAACCAGUGUUAAACAUGUGGAAUGGAGUAGUGGUACAAACUACAAAGUCCAAACCAAAAAGCAAGCUUAAGAACAAAAGACUGUUAAAAUAUAUGAAAACAUCCCAUAAUAUUUAACUCUGUCCUUAGAGUAAUUCAAAAUAUCUAUAAAUCUCUUAGGGUUGAUAAUGUUUCAUUAGAUUUUAGAUUAUAUUUCACAAUUUAAUUAGGAUUAGUAAUUAUCAUGAUUAGUUGUAUUUAAUUAAGAUUAAGAGUUGAGUAAGGCUUAGUGGUUAGUCUUUCAAAUCAAACUAUAACCACAAUCCGAAAUCUAUAUUAUUUCUCAUCUUCAUUCCUUAUCUAAAAACCAACAAUAGAGAGGACGGUAAAAGUUAGCAAAGAUAGUUGUGUUAACUACUACAACUAGUUCUUAAAAGCAAAGAUGACUUUCAAUUUUAAAAUUGUGGUAUUAUUAUCCCUUCUAACACACACUUAUGAUUAUUCCCAAAAUUAAAGCCGAAAAAAAAAAAAAAAAAUACUUAAUCAAUUCACUUUCUCCAAUCAUCAUCUCAUCUCAUCACUCAGACUCUAUUUCAUUUCUACUAAAAUAGGAACCCUAGCCGUUAACCACGCCUAUGACCUAGCACAACGUUCCUCAUCACCAAUGAGAUCAUUCAUUUGUUGGUUAGUUUUAUCAUGUUUAUGCCUGCAAACUUUUUAAAAUAUAUCGUUUUCUAUGCCUUUGUAAUAAUGAGUAAGGUUAGUUAUAAAAAGUUGUUUGAAAAAUAGAUAACAUGAAAAAACAACAUAUUAAAUACAACGUUCCAUGAAAUAUUUUAGUAUGACGUAUGUUUUAUGCAUGAAAUACAAAUUUGUGAGAAUAAGAAUUUUUUACAUUGUAUUUUCAAAUAAACCAAUCAACCGAACCAAACCGAUUUGUUUCGUUCGGUUACUUUUUUAAAAAAGAGUGAAAACCAAACCAAACCGAUGAAGAUUUCAUCGGAUUGGACAGUUUUUUGACUGAAAACCGAUCCAAACCGAACCGUUACACCCCUACUAAUCCAACACAACAAUCCUAAAGGAUUGAAGUUGCGAAGAGUUAAAAAUCCUUUACAUUUUAGCCACAAUUGUGGUUGGAGACUGCGAUUCAAAACUAUAUACAUGUGACUUCAUUGCAACUUAGAUUGAUUGAUGUUUCGUGCUUAAUCCGUGUUUUUUUUUUUUUUUGUUCUGAAUUGGGAGGAGAUUCUGAAGAAGCUGUCAGCCUUGAAUGGAAUGAUACGUGUGUGUAAGCCUUACUUUUCGGCGUGCUUGUGGCAAAGGAUAUGAGGUUAUAAGAUUUGCAAACAACUGUUACUACAAGUCGUUAUAGAUGGAUUAUAGUGUCUGAUUCCCUUAUAUGUACCAUUUGGUUUUUAUUCACUUUUAUGAAACCACAAUUUACUACAUGCGACUUCGCAACUAAACCACGUGCAUCCAAUGCUUUAUGACGAUGAUAGUCAUUAAAUAACUACACUGCUUAAGAAAUGGUAGUUAUUCUACACGAACAAGAUAUAAAAGCGAGGGAUCGCCUCACGGUCAGAUCUCAAGCAUAUCCCGGUACUAAUGUAAACACCAAUUCAUAGACCACACAUCAAAUAUUAUACAAUUUUGACAGUCACAAAACAAAUACCAUCCCUAAGAGUACUUAAUCUUGUUUGGUAAGUCGGGAGAUACAUGUGGCGCGAAAGUGACUUUUAUGUUUGAAACAAAUACCAUCCCCUAAAUGACUUUUAUGUUUGAAACAAAUCGAAAGAAGGGCACUUACAGAGGAUAACCUUGGACAAGCGACAUGAUUACACAAUGUCGAUUAUGUUCCACAGCCUCUGGAACAGGAAAGCCAUGUGUUUGCAAAGCCUGCUCAAGCGAAGAACAUGUCACUAGAAAAUCAAGUAAAAAAGUAACAAUUCAAGUACAUAACCAGGGAGAGUAAAAGCACCUUCAUGAAAGCAAAUUCUUUAAGUGCAGCAAGGCGAGAUAAAUAGAGCCAAUUAUAACUACUACGAUGUUUUAAGUAGUCACGCUUGGAUUUAACAGCUCUAAAAGAAACUCUACCAAGCCUAUGUAACUUCAUAGCCAUAAUUUUUCCAUCUUCAUCAGCAACCUCGAAUAUAUCUAGCAAAUCAAUCACAAAUAGCACAAUCAAUUAGGAGAGUAUAAUUGAAAUGACACAACGCUGACACAUCCGGUAAGGUUCGUGUCAGGAAACGUCUUCCAUCAGAAGUGUUGGUGCUACUUACCAGAUUCUUUUCCAACACCGAUUUGGCGACCAACAGAGACAAAGACACCUUUAUUGACCAUAGUUUUGAUGGCAAGAAAAUCAUAACCAAGGUAGGUAAGGCGGAAGCCAUCGUAUUUAGUAGAGUCAUGAUGCAACAGCUUGUGUUUAAGCAAGUUUUUCAGAACCUUGUAGGUGCCACCAUGUUUGAGACGAGCAAUUCGGUCGAUGAGUUCAGCAGGGACAAUUUCGUGGUUUCUCAUGCCCAAUUCAACGGCGGUGAGAACCCUAAAAUCAUCUUUAGAGAGGUAUCUCAAAACAUCUACGUCAAGCUUCAUUUUCGAAUUUUAUCGUAGUUAUCAGACUCUCACUCUCUGCUGAUUCCGAUAUGUGAAAAUUGCAGCGGACGACGGAGAAUGGAGCGGUGGUGUAAGUCGUCGGACGGCGGGGACUGGACUUUCACAAUUUGCAUUCCAGUUUUGUGUGCGAGUGUAAUAGCUUUCGUGAAUCGGGUUAAGUUUCGUGAAUCGGGCGGGUAUUGGAUUUAGGGUUUAUCAUUAACCUAAUAAAAAAAUUUACCAAAAAAAAAAAGUCUCGAUAAAAAAAUACACUUUUUGUUUUUGCUCUUUACUCUUCACAGAUAGCACAAUCAAGUAGGAGAGUAUAAUUGAGAUAAAUUUUUAGUCCUCUAAUUCUAAAAUCAGCUUUUUAAUUUUUUUUUUAAGAAAUUAAAAUGGAUUAUAUUAAACUUCCCAAGCACAAGGAAUCCUAAGGGAUCACCAAAAAUUUACAAAAGCGUAACAACAUAAACAUAGUACAAAGAAUGAAAAAAUAAGCACCAAAAUCAACAUAUGCCCAUACACAGUAGAGGACUAAGCCACUACCUAUGGUAAUCAAAGGACAAGUUAGGGAACUUUGCCUUUAACCACCAAAACGAGAGAAGCUUAACAUUGUCAAUAAGCUGUAAAGUGGAGGCCGGUUUAUCUGAAAACAAUAUGCUACUUUUGUCCUUCCAAAUAACCCAAAUGCAAGUGCACCAAUUCAUUACAAGCCAAACACGGUGAGAUUUGGAAAUUCCAACAAUAUGAGCAAAUUGUUGAACAUGCAAGUUCAAAUCAUAGGAACAAACUAACAAUUCCUAACCAACGGUAAACAAUGCACCAAGGAGCUCUAAAAAAGGAACAAUCCAAGAAUAAGUGACUCGCCGUUUCCAGCUGACCACAACCUGACACACACAUUUGAUCACCAACAAAUAUAAUGCGACGGUGAAACAAAUUAUCUUUUGUCGGAACACGAUCACGAAGAAGACGCCACAUGAACAAGGAUACCUUCAACGGAAUGUGCCUCUACCAAAUAAUAUCAGGCGCAAUUACAUUGAGAGAAGGACCAACACUAAUGAGGAGAGUGUAUGCACCUCUCGUUGUAUACCCCGCAAAAGGAGGACCAACACUAAUGAGGAGAGUGUAUGCACCUCUCGUAGCAUACCCCGCAAAAGGAUUUGGUGACCAAACCCAUCUGUCAGAACACUAAACCUGCAAAGACACAUCAGAGAGUAAUAACUGACACUAUACUAAAAGUUCUUCCUCCCACACCAUGAGGCUCUUCCUCCACCUCCAUGCUCCACCAUCGGCCCCCACUUCAACCUAUUCAUAUUUGACACCAACGCCUAUUUGUCAAUUGACAACUUAAAUAGACGACGGUACCGGACACUAAGAGCUUCACCCCCCACUCAUUUGUCUGUCAAAAAAUAAGUGUUUGUGUCAUCCCCCACCCCUUCGACACAACCUAUCCUCAAACCAUCCCACACCAAGGCCCCCCAUCCUCCCUAAUGCGGGCCAUUUGCCGCCAUCAAUCCGAUUCAGAAAUCCCUCCCUCUCUAAGUCGACCGCCCUCCACCCCAUACCCAAUGGCCAACACUCGAAACCACAAACCACCUCUAUCUGUCACCAACCUCCAACACCGUCUACCAAAUAGAGAAAUGUUAAACUCCCUAAUUUUCGUUACAUUUUUUUACAAUAUGUGGAAUUGUUUUGGUCCCCUCCAUUUUUUAUGGUAUGUUAGUGAUGAGUUGGAUAUAAAUAAAUUCAUUUUUUUAAGAAUAAAUAAAUUCAUAUAGUUAGUUAAUAUUCGAGUAAAUAGUCAAUUUUCCCCUUGAAAUUGUAGGUUUCGUCAAUUACCCCCCUGAAAUUAACAAAACUUCAAUUACCCCCCUGAAAUUGCAUAACGUUAAUCAAUUUACCCCCUCCGUCAAAUUUUUCUGUUAACUGUUUACGGUUAUGAUCAAAUACCCCCCUGAAAUUUUGCACUUAUGUGCAAAAUGGCCCCUAAACUUGAAAAUUUAUAUUUUUUUUAUCCUAGAUUCAAAAGAUAUUAAAGGCAAACAAUUAACAAUUAUUAAUCAUAUAAAUCUUUAUGGAAUGUAUGUUUAUGUAGCUAUUGGUCAUAUAAAUCUUUAUGGAAGGUAUGUUACUCUCAUGUGUUUGAAAUAUAUACAUAUAUAGAAGAAUUUUUCUUACGCAAGUUGGUAAUUAUGUUAGAGUAUGCAGUCAUAAGUACACAAGUCUUUGAAAAUUGUGUGUCCAUAUAGAAAAUUCAUAGGUUAAUAUCUGCAGAAGGAAGAAGAAACAAGGCUUAAGUUUGUGAAUUUGCAAUUUAAUUAAUGAUAUAAUUUUUAUAAUGCAGGAAAUGCCACAUCUAUUAGCUGCAACAUGUUAAAUAGAUUAUGUCAUAUACCUUCUGGAUGAAGCCGGUAGAUCACAUUGUACUACAAAGUUAUGUGAUAGAUAUCAAUUUUCUGCUGCUAUGACAUUCUUGUCUUGGUAUAAUUCAUCAGCUUGAUAUCUUUUUAAUAUUUAGUUUAUAGUUUUACCUUCUUUGUAAAAAAAUUAUCUUGCUCCUUGUUGAUAAGUAUGAAAUAUGAAUGAAAAGACUGCACAUGACAAAACCAUGAUUUCUUUCGCAUAUAUUCAUUCAUUUCCUUGUGAAUAGAAUUUUUAUGACAAUAGGUACAAUAUACUACUUGAAGAACUAAAUGUAUGAUUUUUGGUAAGAAAAAAAAAAUCUAAAUUUUUAAGUUUAGGGAGCAUUUUUCACAUAAGUGCAAAAUUUCAGGGGGUAUUUGAUCAUAACCGUAAACAGUUAACAAAAAAAUUUGACGGAAGGGUAAAUUGAUUAAUGUUGUGCAAUUUCAGGGGGGUAAUUGAAAUUUUGUUAAUUUCAGAAAGGUAAUUGAGAAAACUUACAAUUUCAAGGGGAAAUUGACUAUUUACUCGUUAAUAUUCAUGUUGUAAUGAAGUUAUUUAACUCUAUUAAUUAAAAAUAAAAAAAAUAAAAAAAAUUCAGAUUUGGGUCCUCUUCUAGUCUACACCUUAAACAAGCCAUAUCCUUCAAAGCACCUCUUCCCUGUGCAUUUGAAGCCACCUCAGAAAAACAACAUUCCAUCUUCAUACACUACUUAGGAAAUUUCUCAAACUCACAUACAUCUUGAGUAAGUAAUGAAAUUGUGCAGAAAAAGGUGAACAUAAGAAAAAUGGAAGAAGAAUAUUAACUGGAUCUGUAAACAAUACAUCACUCACGAUCUAUGCGCCGCCAAUGAUUUAGGAUCUGUAAACAUAAUGAAUGAGGUUUUUAAUUGGAAAAAAAAGAGUUCGACGGUUAAACAUGAAAAAGGGGCAUUCCGAGAAUUGAACUCGGGACCUCUCGCACCCUAAGCGAGAAUCAUACCACUAGACCAAAUGCCCAUUGAUGACGAAUGAGUUAAUACAAAAUAUAUAAACCCUAAUCUAAUUUUAAUGUUUACUUAUUUUUGUAACUCAAAUGUUAAAUUUUAAACGCAAAAUUGUCAAACCUAUCAUUGGUACCAGCACCUUAAAAAAAAUCUUUAGUCGUAUUGUAGAAAUCAUUAUGUUCUAGUUAAAAGAUUAUGUUAAAAUAUAAUUUUGAUCUAUUGAAUACUUUUCCGGUCUAUAACUUAUAAAUUAGAGAUUGCUAACUUAAAUCAAUUUAAUUGGUCAAAAAAAAAACUUAAAUCAAUUUAAAAAUAUUAAGGUCUAACUUAAUAAGUGUAUGUCUUUUUAUUUUGACAAAAAACUCCACUUACUCCCAUUCAAAUCAAGAUAAGAAAAACACCAAGUGACGACCCUUGCAAUGCAAGCACCAUAACAUGUGUUACUUAUCCUUAAAAAAAAAUGUGUUACUCAUACACCACACUAUGUGUACAUCGUGCACGUUGCUACUUGUCAUCACAUGCAACAUUCUAUUUUAUCAAAUGUAUGUUGACCACGUGACAAUGACUAGACCCCACAAUUCACUCAAAACCUUGAUCUUGUAACCUCAAAUUUUUAAGUUAGAACACCUCACUUCACUCCACUCCACUCCAAACCUUGACAUUGUAACCUCAAAGGCCAAAGUUUAAAAUCUACUUGAAACAAUUGUAAUAUGACUAUCAAUGCCACUAUUAUUAAUAAAAUUCUCCCUUUCUCAUUUUUUUUUUAAAUACUCCAAGCCUUGAAUAAUGUACAUCAAUAUGCAGCCACAACGAGUUCACUAAUCACUACUACAUUGUGUGUUUAUUUGCGUAGAUUCUCAAUUACAUGAAAAUUUAAAUCAACCAUUGCUAGGUUCUCUAUGGAGGGCAAAUACAGUGCUCUUUCCUACAUCAAAUGAAAGAUACUAAAUAAAUUGAAAUUGAUUGUGAUUUUAUUAAUCAACACAGCAUGUAAGUAGCAUGUAAUUAUUUUGGGUGUGUUUGUUUCAAGUUUACCAAAUUUAUUUCUAAGACUAAUAUUUCUUAGAACAUAAAUAUGAGAAUUUUAUUUCAAGGUAUUUAGAAAAAAGAUGUUUGCUUAAUAUUAUAAUAUUUUUGGGAACCAUAAAAAUAGGAAUUAUAAUAGGAAAUUACUCAUGAAUUUAUUUCCAUCUCUAUCAGAACUUUAUUCCCACCCCUUUUCUUUGGGAAUUUUUUUAUAUUUCCAGAAAUAUUUUAUACUAGGAAUAAAAUUUAGUAAACUUGUAACAAACAUAAGCAUGUAUAUUCCCAUCGUUUUAUUCUUAGGAAUCUACGGAUAUAAUAACUUGAAGCAAACGCACCCUAUGUCUACGAUUUCCUUCGUUAUAUUUUUCAUUCAGUAAUGAGAUAGAGAAGUCAGUGUUCUCUCUUCUCUGUCUCAAUAUCACAUCUAACAUUCAAUUGGGAGGAUUUUAAACAUAAAUUAAAAAAGUUAUUUCAAAGUGAGCUUCUACCAUUUGAUUUCAUCCAAUAAAGAAUAACACACAUGAUAUAUUACAGACAAGAACAGUAUAAGGCGUUGUUAAUUUGUAAUCUUUUUUUGGUAGUGAAAAAAAAAAAUGGUAUAUAGAAUUUGUAAUUAACCCAACUGAAAGUGAUUCAAGCAUAAAUUCCAACAACUUUUCUAUAUAAUUAUACAUAUAGAAUUGGAUGCAGCAUGCAAUUGCUAUCACCUUAUCCAAUCUUAUCGUUAAAUAUGCCCUAAUUGGUAUAAUUUGUUGAAAAAAGAAAAGAAGCCUCAUCAAUUGGUAUAUGUCAAUAUUUAUCCUUAGCAUUUGUCAAAAUAAAAAAAAUUAUCAGCAAAGAGGACAUAUACUUUAUACUUCCAUUAAAAAUUAUACCCAAAUAUUUUACUAAAAAAUUAGACUUGAAGAUGUUUAGGUGAAAUGAAAUGAUGAUACAGGACGUACAGUAUUCUUUUAUAGACAAGAGCCAGUUUGUUUAGGAUUUUAAAAAACACAUUUUUGAUGUUUUAGUUGUGUGUAAUCCUUUUUCAAAAAUCAUUUUGUUAGAAAUUGAUUUUAAUGUUAAAAAUGAAAUUAACUAUUUUGAUUAGAAACAAUUUUUAAUAGAAGAGGAGAAGAAUAUGAUUUUUCGUGUCUAUGUUUUUUUCAAUCAUAUAUUAAUGAAAAGCUAUUCUUUUUGGCGCACCACGAAAAACAAUUUUAACAUGCAUAAUUGUUCAGCUUCAAUGUUUUUCCAACUAUAUAACUUACGCUUUUCUUUAAAAUCUGUAGAGAAUAAUCUUCAAAUUAUUUAUAUUGAUAUUUUUUUAAGAAUCUUAAACAAAAAGGCUAUAAAAUUAAAUAAGUUUUUUUUUUUUUUCUUGAAAAAAUUAAACGAGAUAGCUUCACGUUAAAGGAAACAAUUGAGAUUCUCCAUUAACUUAACUUUUUUCAUCUAUAUAAUGAGGGGCUCAGUUAGCAACUAACAUCGCAAAACCAAUAAGCAUAUAUACAACUAUAUAUCGAGAGAGAUAAUAUCAUAUAAUAUGGCUGGUUUAUUAAGGAAUAUCUUUGGUUUGAACGACGGUGGAAACAAUGGAACGAUUGAUGCCUUUAACAACAAGGGUGGCAAACAAGAUUUCACUGAGGCUGAAUUCAAAACUGGUGCAAAAGUUACCAAGGGUUACACUACUCAUCGUAACAAUGGAACCAAAAAUGCUUUCAACAACUCAAAUGGAGGAACUCAGAAAUUUGGAAAGGCCAAGUUCGACACUGGGGCACAUAUUGGAAAUUAAACCCUUAGGAGCUUCUCAAACAUAUAUACAACAGUCAACAUACAUAAAUAUAUGUAUGUGUAUGGCUAGUAACUAUAAAAUAAAGUGUUUUAAUUUCUGUGUGUAUACGGUGUACUAUAUGCUUGAUGUAUUAAAUAUGAAAUAAUAAUGAAACUGGUAAUGUUUGGUGUAUCAUGUCUUAUCUUGAAAUUUAGUCCCUCCUUUUGGAGGUGCGUAUAUUAUCAAUUAUCAAUAUUGUUUUUGAGAAAAAUAAUUUUAUGAAUAGAAAGAGAAAAAAAAAAGUAGAAAAACAUUGGAGACAAAGAUCAAAACUUAAAAUCAAACAUUUUUUUAACAACAAGAUAAUUUUAAUUAUAAAAGAUGGAAACAAGUACAAAAGUGGUAUUAAACUCAUAUAAAGAAAGAAAUACAAGAAGUAGUUCUCCAUUCUAAGGAGACAUGACCUAAACUCAACACAAGGAGGGUUCGUCUUAGGUGGUGGAUUUUAAGAUAUAUUUUUAGGACAAAAAUAUAUAUUAAUUUCAAAAUUAUUUUAUACAACCAAUGUCUUAUCAUUAGAAAUGCAUUUAUUCCUUAAUUUAAAAAUACAUAUUUUUAUACCGUCGGUGCAUUCCUAAUAAAAAAACCAAAAUUAACUAAAUGAUUGAGUUUAAAUGGUUAAUGAACUUUUACUAGGAUCAAUAGUUCAAGAAAAUCGAGUUCGAUUCCUAAUAAAAAUAAUUCUUGACAAGGCUCUACUGACGUCUUAACUAAACUCUGAAUUACUACUAGGUCUCUUCUCCUAACAAUGGAAGGGUUAAAAAAAAAAACAUAAAUAUACAUUCAUCUUUUAUUUUGCUUGAUAAAAGAGAAUUAUAGAACUAAAAGUGCUUUUAUCCCCCUCAAAAAAAAAAAAAAAAACUUCUUAUAUUCCUUAAUUUAAAAAUAAUGUAAAAAUUAAUUGAGAAAUUCGUUGGUGUAGCAAAAAAUAGGUCUAUUUUUUUGUUUUUUUGAGGGACAAAAAAUAGUUCUAUGUUAACCCAUCAUUCACACAUUUCAGACAGGUGUGGUUGCAGGGUUGAUAGUUGAGACGCACCAAUGGCGAAAAAAGCUAAAGCUUCUAACUCUCUCAAGAACGCUUCUUCUUCUUCGGCCUCCACCUCCGGGUACCCUUUCACUUUCUCUACUCUCCUUUUCGUUCACAAUUUAUGACAUGUGUAUAAAUUGUUUUCUGCUUAUUUUCACAAGCAGAAAACAAAUUGAUUUUAUUUUAUUUUCAUAAGCUCUUCAGGAUAAAUUGAUUUUUAGACCUAUAGGGAUAUUAAUAGAGUGAUAUGAUUGUAAAAAUUAGAAGAUUCAGCGACUUCAUUAUAGUAAAAAAUUAUUGGAAGACCUAAAUUGCGCACUGGUCAUAAUAGAAGGAACCAACAAAGCAGUUAAGCGUUGAGGAAAGAAGUGUAAUUAAAAUAUUUAAAAGUUGUGUUGGAUUAUGUUAUUGAUUUUUAUGUGUUGCCUUUAGUCUUGUACCCAAAAUUGAAUAAAAUCAUGGCGGCAUUAUGACUUUCAACUGUGUCUAUGAUUUAUUACAUUUAAGUAUAUGCCAAAAUAGUUUCCUUAACUAAACACAAUGCUGCAUUGAGUUUUUCAGGAAACUAGUGUUAGCAAUUAAAUCGAAUGAGGGAAUGAAGAGAUCGUUGCGGCAGACUAAGUCAAGAGACAUAACCAAAGCCGUGCAAAAAAAGAACAAGCAAAAGAUUGAUGCUAAAAAGCCGAAGAAACCCCCCACUGCUUUCUUCUACUUCUUGUAAAACUUCUUUUAUUCCUCCUUGUUCUUUAUUUAUGAUGUUUAAUUCUUAUUUUUAAUGUGUUAGUAUAAACUACUCUUUGCAUUUUCCAUUUGUUCUAAAUUUUUAUGGAAUAUAUUAUUAAUUUAAUAAGAGUUUAGCUGCAUUAAGGUUUAUUUGUCUGUAUAUAUGAAAAAGUAGCACCACAAUUACUGGUUCAUUACUAGAAUGAACAAGUAUAGUUAAUGUUCUUACUGAUCUGUGUGUUUCCUUUGGAGUUAUACUACCGCUUAAGUUGAAGGGGUUCUGUUGUAUUUUACGGAUUUUGACUUGGAGGAAUGGUGCAGAGAAGGUAAUCAUUUGUUGAUUAAAAAUUAGCAUUAUCCCCUCAAGUUCAAGAGUUGAGACAACCACUCAUCUUCACACAUGUUUAUCAUUAGUCAUUUUAAAACAAUUUUCUUCUGAUAGUUUCCUUUCCUUGUUUCUACUUUGUCUUAAUGUCCUCUGUUCAUUCAUACUACUAUUUACAGUAUAUUUGGCAUUGUGGUAAUUAAUCUAGCACAGUGACUGUGUGUAACAAACAAUUGCUUCUUUUUUAUAUGGAAAAUAUUACAAUGCUUCAAAAUUACUGUGUUUACUGGACAUUCUUUUUCAUUCUGAAGGGAGGAUUUUCGGAAAGAGUUUAAAGAUCAGAAUCCAGAUGUUAAGUCAAUGCGUGAUGUAUGUAUAGAAUCCGUCAUAUUAAUAUUUCGUCUAAUUUAUUUUAUACUUUUAAUUUCCCAUGAAGCAACAUUGCUUUACAAUUGAUCGUUUAGAAUUUUCAAAAUUAUACAAACAACACAGAUGUCUAACAUCCAUUUUAAAAAUUGCUAGUUAUUUUAUGUUUUUGAGACUGAAAAUAUCAUCAUCAUCAUCAUCAUUGUUUAUCAUCAUCAUGCAAAGUAAUAUUUUUCUGUUUUGUUUUCCUCCUUUCCGUGUUCAUACAGAUUGGCAAGGCAUGUGGAGAGAAGUGGAAAACAAUGACUUUUGAGGUUAGUUUCUUUGUUCUUCUCCCUUGCAUAUUUAACCUGAAUUGUGUUAUUAUGGUUGUGAUGUUUGACUGCUGAAAACUGAGUGAAUAAUAAAUUAAGUUUCAAAAAUUGGCUCAGAGAAUUUUGUCAGUUGUGAUGUUUGAGUUUGACGGCUAAAAACUGAGUGAAUCAUAAAUUAUGUUUCAAAAAUUGACUCAGGGAAUUUUGUCAAAACUGUUUAGGUUUUUAACGUGGCUGAAUGUUUGAACUUGAUUGCCAUGUCUCGAUCAUGACUUGUUCAAAUAUCAAUGAAUUAAAUUUUGAACAAAACUCUUGAUGAACAAUUGGAAAGUUGGAAUUCAUUUCGACAAGCAGAACUGAAGAUCACUUUGGAAUUUCUAGGUUAUGUACAAUUUUACAAUUCAGCUACUGUAAUGCAAAAGUUGCAGAACUAUCUCCUCUGGUUGGAAUUCCAGGCUGGCAUGAUCAUCUGUUUUUUGACUCAUUUAGGGACAGUGUUUUUUUCUUCGUUUUUUAUGUUUUAUUGUUGAUGUUGAUAGCAUUAACAAGAGUACCUUUGUAGGUUUGUCGUACUUGCAUUAACUGCACAAAAUGUUGAUUCAGUCAUUUCAUCAAACCUUAUAGCACCCAGUUUACGUGUCUUUAUAAAAAAUUAAAGAAAAGGUUUUCAAAACAGUUUUCUAAAAUACCAUCCAUUGUGGAAACUUACCUGGGACUAAGGCACGUGAAGCCCUGCUGCUAUCGAGAAGAAGCUUCUGCUUGUGCUAACCGUGCUACUAUUUAUUCCAAAUCAAUGUAGAACUAGUUUUUCAAGUUCGUUUCCUGUUUAAAUUCCUGACAAUGGAGUGUCAAGUAUCCAUAUAUUAUGUUGAAUUUGAUCUGUGCAAAAAGGAAACACCACUUUGGUUGAGCUCUAUUUAACAAAAAAUGUAUCUGACAGGAGAAAGUUCAAUACUAUGAUAUAGCAACAGAGAAACGUGCAGAAUUUGAUAGAGCAACGACAGAGUAUAACAAGAAAAUGGUAACCUAUCUGUCAUAUUCGUGGCUAGUGAACUGACUCUUAUUUGGCAUGUUACUAAAUAUACAAUUUGUUUUCUGAUGCUUUGCAGGAAAGCGGCGAAUAUGAAGAAACCGAUGAGGAGUCAGAGUAUGACGAGUAAAACCAUCGGUUUAUUCAUUUUCUUAUUUACAAGGCUUCACCUAUGUUAAUUGAAACUACUCGAGGACCUUAAGUUGUAUAUUCAAUUGUAGUCAGCUCUGGUUGUCCUUGUGAAUAGUUAUCAUUUUUCUAUGUUAGUUUUUUUUAGUGAAGUACCUAGUUAGUUAGAUGCUUAAAAAGGCAGUUUUGGGCAUAUAUAUUAAGUAAACUGAAUAGAAGGUAUUCCUUUUACCAAACUUGGAAUCAGGGUCUUCAACAAAAAGUAAAAAUCUUUCACUCUCAUCAAUACAUGUAUGUGCAAAAAUAGUUCAUUGCUUUAUAAUGAAGUUAUUAAGCUACAUAAAAGAUUUUUUUGAAACUGCGAAGACAAAUAAUGAACAGCACAGUAAGUUGGGGGAGUAGAAACAUUAUUUACCCUAAAAUUUACAUAGAAGAUAUUCUCACUAAAUAAAAAGUGUGUUUUACUAUGUUUUCAAAGUAUGCCGGAAAAGAGUGAAUUUCACAUGAAUUUUAUGAUACUGUAAUUAAAAGUAUACUGAAAAUGUGUUACUAGUAUUCCUCUUGUCAUUAUCGUUUAACAGACAUACUUAGUUAAUUACUGCUUAUUAGUUCCACUGCGGCCUAAGUUUUCAACAUGAAUGUCAGAUGUUCUCAUUGGGAAAAAAAAGUAACAGGUUACAUGAAUCUAUGAGGACUUUUCAAAGCAGCAAACAAGGCACCUUUUGAUGGCAUCUUUGAAUCUAUGAGGACUUUUGAUGAUGUCUGAUUUUAAAAUCAUUUGGUGAACGCUUAGUGUUUUUUUUUGGGUAGAACGUAAAUGUUUAGUGUAACAAAGCUUCAUACAUGCACUACUUUGUCAAAAGAAUAACAUGCACAAUAUCACUCAACUGACCAGCUCCAUUCAUUAAGAAGCAAAACCCCCAAAUAGCUCAUUAAUCAUUUCACUUUGACAGUGUAAUUUCAACACCCAUACAAGAACACAAACUACAAGUAAAACAGAAGUCUAAAAUAGAAAAGGAGGAAAAAAGAUGGAUCCUAGCAGUUCUUAUUUUUAAGGAAGGAUCCAGAUUUUCUUCAAACGUUUUAUUCACUACCUAAACCACCUUAAGCUAUUUCUUCCAUAUAUUGAACUACUGGAAAUGAGUUUUGACUUCAUGUGUAGUGUGUAUCGGAAGGGAUGUCUUCAAUGAAUCAGCAAUGCUUCUAACUUCAGCAAUCAUAGCGACCACGUCAUUUAGUUUGUUAACUGCGGAGCCCACACCCUGUGAUUUAGAAAUACACCGAACCGAAGUCAAUGAUCAAUAACUCGCCGCCAGAAAGGUAUAGUAAGUUUAUCAUUAUGAUUUCUAAUUUACAGUAAAAAAAUCGUUGGGAAGAAAUCCUUACCACACCAGAAGCUCCGGCAGUGAUAGCCAUAGGUGCUGUGACAGCACUUAGCCCGGAUGAACACAUGACAGGUAUCUUAACAGCUCGUGAUAUAGAAUAUGCAGCUGCUAAAGUUGGUGUUGCCUACAAUAAUCACUGAUUAGAAUUUUGAUAAUUUAAGGAAGGGUUUGUCAAAUGCAAUCAUUAUCUAGCAAUUAAAAGGAUUCUCUCAUGAUGUCAAAUUGUGUCUAUCUUAACCCAACAGAAUCACGUGUCUAUCAUGUUAAAUAUUUUUAAAACACUUAACAUGAUUUACUAUAUAAUGAUAAUGCUGGUUGGAUGUUUUAAACUAUGUAGCAUUGAGUUUUAGAUUGAAGGCGUGUCAGGUGUAUGACAUGUGACACUGACACGACAUCGACACAUGAGUUUACAUUUCAAUCAUUUCUAUUUUCUCAAACUAUUUUCAGCAUCUACGUGCAAGUAUCACAUCUGGUGUCGCUGUCUAUGUCACUAUGUUAGUACUUCGUAGGUUUUAAACCAUUUUGAAAAUUACCACAAUCAUUGUUGUGAUGCAUUUUGCAUUUGCAGUAAUGAAAAUGUAGGCAAAUAGGAAAAGACACAGGCAAAUCAAAGACAUCUUCAUGUUUACCUUCUCAAUCAAACCAAGAACACCAGACUUUGUAGGAUUGGAACAUUUUCCUCCCUCAGUUUGAAUAAUAUCCACACCUUCUAGUUCAAGUGAUUCUGCAAGCUUGACCUGUCAAAGUUUAAGAUUUUUUGUUUAUUUAUAGUACUAUUUAAAUACCAAUAGUAUCAGAAUGAUUUUGCACUUUGGAAGUAUAAAUGCUGUAUGUAACCUGAUCGGGAAGGCUUAGUGUGUGAGGAACAGUGACAGACAAAACCACAGAUGGAAGUAUCCUCCUUGUCUCUUUUGUUAGACUCAGAAUCUGCACAGAAGGAUAAAUAGAUCAUGAAAAUACAAGAAAACUAAGUGUGAGUUUCUGUUGAUGACUGUGUUAUUUAAAAUCAGUAACAAUAUGCUAACAUUCAAUACAAAUAUAAAUUAAGAGUUAAUUUAUAUACACCUUUAAUUUAUGUACACCUUUAGUCAAUCAAUCAUAAUUGUUUAAUCAUUAAAAAAGCUUGACUUUCAUUAUACCUAGCUUAAAUAAAAGUCAUGCAAAUGAUGGUUGGUUGAUAAUGUAAAACAUUUUACACUGACAGUACAUCAAAAUUAUUCUCUACAUAUCAUUGUCCUUUUGUUCCGUGAAUUUUAGUGACUACCAUACACAUUCAUGAUUGAAUACUGAAAAUCACUCUUUACCUGCUCUGGAGUAAAAAUCACUCCCUUCUCAUAAAAUGAAUCAUAAUUUCCAAUCUCAACCUGCCAAUGCCAUAUAAUAUUAAGAACAAAUCUUGUAAGGAUGAAUUUUAAAUGUUUAUGGUUAUCCCAUCUUUUGACUAGAAUAUGAACUUGGAACUGAUACUAGAAAUGGAAUUAGACAAAAGGUCAAACCAUUAGUGCUCCUGCUUCAACUGCAGCUGGAAAUGUUGCAGGAUCUACAGAAGAAACACAAACCUGCAACAGCGAUGAAUCAUAAAUUGUUGCCUCUUUUAAGAGUAUUGUAAAUGUACAUUGAAAUUAGAAUCAAUAUGCAUGUUCAAUACCAACUUUAUAAAUGAUUAAGAUAUCCUCUGAUUAUAGUAAAUUUUGUAGAUGCAAAGGCAUUUUUCAUUUCCUCUCUGCUUAAGUCUGGAAACCAUAUAAACGAGAGUGUUAAAGACAUUCAUUAGAAAAGCAUGAAUAUACCGGACAAGAAGUUAGGCUGAUAGCUAGCUUCACCAACUCCGGGUCACAUGCUAUAUCGACGUGAGUUGCUCCUCCCUGCAAGCACGACAUUGACAAGAAAAGACUCAUUUACAGUUCACAGUUGUAUGUUAGUUUGUAAUGUGAAAUACUUUUAAGAAAAAUAAAAGAAACCAUCAGAGAACAUCAGUUAAAAUUUGGUCAAAGACUUAUUAAAAUAUCAUGAAGAUUCAGGAGGAGUCCCAAACAGAAGAUGAUUCCAAAUGUCAAUUCAUAUCAUAUCAGUUAUCACCUAUCAGCUAUGCCUCUUAGGAAGAGAAAAGGAGACUUUAGGAUAUUCCUGAUUGAAAUUUGCUUCUAGAUAUUUUCUACAUUUUUCCAAAUUUAAAGCACUUCAAGAUUUUUGAAUUGAGUCAUUGACAACUCUAAAUAAUUCUAGAUUUAACUAAUUUCAAAUCAUAUAUAUCACUCAGUUCUUUUAAGCUAUCUGCUUUCAGAUACAAAAAAAUAAAUAAAUUACAUAGAUACUAAAUCUUAUUUUUUAGUUGUCAAAUACUAGAGCACUAAUCAUCGGAGCUGAGAAUAAACAAAAGUAAUGUAGAAUGAGUGAAGUGAAGAACCUUUUCUGCGGCAGUGACAACUGAGGCAACAUUGUCUUUAUCAAAAUUCUGCAAGCCUGUGAUAAUCUUCAAAAGAAGCCAAAUAUUUAUCAACAUGCACAUUACAACAUUUAUGGCAAAAGAAAAUAAAUGAAAAAUGAGAUAGAAAUGGGUUUUGCAUGGUUUACUUAACACCUUGAGAGCUGUUCUUUCGCGAAAAUCCUUUAGGACAGAUUCUUUGGUUGAUGAAAGUAAUGCUCUAGUAGUAAAACUGGUUUUUCUUUUCAAUGUUAGUAGACAUGGCUUUGAGGCUGCACCUAAUAAAGGGUUAUAGUUAUGAUUUGGCUUUAGAGAUGAGAUUGAAGAAGGAGAAGAAAGUGUUAGACAUGUUAAGGAAUGCAUGUUUGUGUAUUAAUUGCAGUUAUGAGUAGAAAGCAAGAAGAAGAGUUGGAUUGAGAAAUACUGUGUGUUGUUGUCUGUCUAUACAAGAAGAGAAGGAAAAUAACAGAUAAGAUAUGUGGCAGCUUUGAACUGUCCUGUUCUUGAGACAGAUAUUUUGUCUGCCUUUGAAGGGUUAAUACUAAGGAUGAAAAUAUUUACAGCACCCCCUAGUGUUGAUGAAUUAGAGGAGUCUAAACUCGUUUGUUUUAGAUUAAAAUAAAAUUGAUCAUGUUCCUUAAGUACAACUCAAUUAAUAGUUGCAAAGAUAUUUGAUGUGUUCAAUCGUGAAUUCAAACUCACAAUUUCUCUCUUCAGCACACUUAAGAUGUAUGAUUUGUUUCAUUUUUUUUCUUCUUCUAGUAAUAAGAUGUAUGACUUUUAGGGAUAAUCUAUUUAACAAAAAGUAAAAUAAAAGUGAUUAUAAAAUCUCAAUUUUUAAAAAUAAAAUAUUUUCCUUCAAAAAAAAAUUUAUAGUACUCCCUCCGUCUCUAAAUUAUAGUCGUUUAAGGUUUGUGCACGAUUAUUAAGGAAAUGAUUAAUUCUGUUGAUUUAAAUGGUAAAAUUAAUAUCAUUUACUAAAAUACCCUUAUUAAUUGUAGUUAGUGGUGUAGUUAAGUUGGAUGAAAUUCAAUAAAUAAAGGUAUAAUAAUGGAAAAAAAGUAAUAAAUGUUGCAUUGCUAUUCUAAAGUGACAAUUAUUUUGAGAAAAAGAAAAAAUGGUAAAAAAACAAUUAUUGUGAGAAGGAGGGAGUAAUAUCUAUUAGAAUUUGAGCUCGGUCUAACUAAACUCUUACAAAACCGAUUUGUAAGGUCAUGAUUUCUCCCACUUCGGAUUAUAUUUCAUUUAGUGUGAAACUCGUCAUACAUCCCCUCACACCAGACACCGUGACGAGUGUGACUUGAGUGGUGGUCCACGAGAAAUUAUACAUGUUUUAUUUAUACACUAUAAGAAAAAAAAUUAAAUAUAAAAUUAAUUUAUAUAAUUAAAUAUAUACUACCUCCGUCCCUAAUUAUAGGGCCACUUUGAAAAAAAUAACGAGAAUUAAGAUAAUGAAUAUUUGUAAUUAUUAUUGUUUUUACAAUUUUAUCCUUUAAGAGAGAGGGUUGGUUUAUGUUUUCAACAUGUUAUUUAUUACUGAUUGAAGAAAAAGAUGUAUAAUAAAUAGGGGCAUGUAUGUAAAGAAAUAAUUAAUGGAAAUAACAAAUGAGUCUUAUAAAAAGAGAUAAAAAAGGUCUUAUAAUUAAGGACGGAGAUAACAUAAACAAAAAUCAAAUUUCUAUGAAAACACGAUAGUGACUACAUCUUUGAACAAGAAUAGUGUCGUCUUCAGUAAGAUCUACUAAUGACCAAUAGUUGGUAUUAUGAUUGUUGUUUUACCCUCUGUAAUAGCAGUAAGCAUCCAGACUUUUCAUCAUUACCCAAUUGUGUGACAAUUAAAGAGGAUGGUUAUUAGUUACAUAUCGCUUUAAUUUUGGAAUUAUAAGAACUGCUACAUUCACGUAAUUAAUCAGAAAGAAGAAUAAAUUAAAUCAACCCAUUUUAUUUAGUUUUGCACCCCUCAAGACAUAUGUACACACGCAUAAAAAUGUAUAGGAUACCCCCAGGCCCCAACUAGUAAUAACUUUGUUCACAAAGACCCCAGCUCCAUCGAUGAAUGAUAUUUAGUUUUUUUAAGUCAAUAAUAUGGGUCCCACUUAUGGGAGUCAAACAAUUACUUAUGUUAGUUUCAUGUAUUUUAGUUUUGUCCAGUGCGUAAGUAAGUUGGUUUUGCCGUAAGGACGGAAAAGGUUGUUUUUCACUAUUUAAUUUAAUUAAUAAAUCUUAUUUAAUCCAAUGAUAAGAUUUAUUGAUUCAAUAGUAAAAACGAACUUGUGUAUAAUGCAAAACCUAUCUCACUUGUGCACCAUAAAAUAAAGUUGUACUUGGUUAUAUUAUGUGAUUUGGUUUCUACUUUGAAGUUUUUACUAUUUUUGUUAUUACAUAUGUUUACUAUAAACAUCAAAUUAAGAUUAUGUAUGAUUAAGUAUCUCCAUUAAACGCAUAUGCCACGUCAAACAAUGAAACAAUUUUACCAGUACACGCAAUAAAUUGUAUAUGCAUUAUAGUAAGAGCAAAUAGAUCCAUUAAAUAGCAAUUGAUAAACCACAUUCCACUAAUAAACAUAGUGCAUUUGAGACAUUGAUGAUAAAAUUGUGUCAAUUCAUAUUAACCGCUUCAAAUGAAUCCAUAUUCCAUAUACAAUUUUACAAGUUUAUAUCUUCUAGAAAAAUUAAAAUUGAACGUUUAAUUUAGAAAUGGAGAGAGUGGGAGAUCUAUGAUGAGUUGGAGAUAUCCAAAAUCAUGGUGUCUGAAACGAAGAGAAAAGGUAGGCCGUAUAAAUGAAAUUUAUUAAGAAUCUACUAAACGGUACAUUCAUGCAUUGGUUUUGCUGUUAUCAUAGCUUACUGUGCUGCUUGUAGAAACUUUAUUGCAGAUUUUUAUACAGGAGAUUUCGUUGCAACUGUAUUGCACGGUUUGUGAUAGUUUUUGUGGCUAGAGAGUAUAUAUAGUUUGUGCUGUGUAGGCUUGGUAACACAGAAUUUUGCCAUUUUGCAUUGUUCGAGUGCAGUUUGCGUUAUCAUCCUAUGCUUGAAAUUGUUGUUCUGCAUUUUGAGCUCCAAUUGGCCUCAUUGAAGUCUCAAGGGUGACUUAGGCAACAAGAGGUCUGGUUGAUAACAAGAUCAAAUAAUAAACUAUACCAAUGGAUCAACAAUGUUGAGGAAAAGCUUGAAAUAUGAGGUUUGUGUGAUUCGCAUAUUUUUGAAAAUAUUAGCUUGAAAUAUGAAAGAAAAAUGAUAUAAUGCUAUGAAAUACAGUCCUUAAGACUAGUAAGUUUUGAGAUCAUUGGGCUAUGCCUAAUGAUGCAAGAGACUUACAGAAUCUGCUAAUAGUUUCUUUAGAAAGACACUCAAGCAAGCAAACCCAAUGUGAUUCACAAAUUAGCAUUAAUCUUUCUGUGGAUAUUGCCAUUAAAAAAAAUCUUUCAAUGGAUUUUUUUUUUUUUUUAAUCUUGAAGCAUUAAUCUUUUCAAACAAAAAUGUUUACAAUGAACUCACUUGGGACCCUUAAAUAUAUAUGAUUAAUAUAUCCAAACAUAGGAACUGAAAAUACUAAAGUGGUUUUGAAUGAACAUAAUUGAAAUUACAAAAGCUAAAAAGCUUUGAUUACAGGUUAUGCCAUGCCAGGAAUCUGACCCAUAAACAGUAAAAAAAGUUGAUAUAUUAUAUAAAUUUUAAACUAGAAAGUAAUUCCUUUCUUUAAGGGAAAAUGAAGAGAUACCAUUAAUUAGUUAACCCAUCAAAUUUUAAACUGAUUGCUUCUGUACUGUUAAAGUACAAUCAUACAAAGGAUUAUGGGGAUGAACACAAGUUUAAUGAGAGGAAAAGGUCAACAUUGAAUUUGUUUUACUUUCAUAAUACACUUAUUUGUCAACUAGUUAAUGAUUUAUCAUUUUUAUUGUGCAUCACAGGAUUGUCAACUUCCCAUGUGUUGAGUUUGGUAAUGGAUAAACUGUACAAGCAAUUUGUUGAGAAAGAUAUCAGAGAUUUUGAAGCAUUCCAUGUUGCUAUUCUUGAUACCUUCAUGUAAGCAUGAGCUUCCAAUGAAAAAUUCUUGCCUCUGAAUGUUUAGGAAAAGAAGAUAAUUGAAAAUAAUAUUUAAUAGGAAGGUUAUGAUUAAGACUUAUGAAUUAUGAUAAUAUGCUAAUUUGAUUGAAUCCAUAACCAAUAGUUAUAAUUGAGAAAGUAUUUUUAAUUGAUUUUUUUGACAAAGAUAUAAUGUCAAUUGAGUGGUGAGGGAGACUUUAGGAACUGAUUCAACAUUGAAAAAAAAAUAGAUUUUAAAUUUUGCACAGAUUCAAUUUAUUUUAACAUCUAAUCACACCUAUAGAAACACCGGCCCGUGACAACAUUACAUUUAUUAGUUCGAGUUUAUUUUGACUCAGAUAUCUCAAGCAAGCUCUCGGUAAAUGAAGAAAAACAUGGUUAUGAGGAGAGAUUCCACUGAAGGUGGUCAGUCUGGAUCUACGAUAUAGAUUAGUCAUCAUCAAAGACGGUGAAUACAUGACACCUAUAACAUAGUUAGAAAAAACCACAAUGAAGCAUGAUAAAGCGUAGCUUGCACUCUCACAAUUUGGUUUCACAUUAUCACCAUAACGAAGAGUUAUACUUAUAUAAUUAAAUUUUAUGCAGCUCUAUCAACAUGGCUGUACCAGGGAAGCAUUAUUAUGCCCCAUCCUAUAAGGAUGUAAAGGUUUGUAAUUUUCUCGUACAAUUUGUAGUCAAUUGCUCGUAUCUUGUGAAGUUUCUUAUACAUUUAAGGUAAUAGUUUAAUCUUCAUUCAGUAACAGUUCAGAAACUUUUACAUUUUGUGAGAGUUAACUUAAAAUUAGAUUUCUGCAGAAUCGUGGCACGAUUGCUGGGCAUCGUGGCACGAUUGGAGGUUUCAAGUUUGAGGCAAAGCACUGGAAAAAUCGUGGCACGAUGGGGUCGCAUCGUGGCACGAUGGUGCGUUGGCGGCGAAAAACAGAAACAUAUUUUUGAGUGCAGAUUUGUUCCAAAUUUUAAGCGAUACUUUUACUAUAAAUAUAGACCUUGUAUCAGAGCAAACUUUGAGAGGGAGAUAGAGGGGGCUGAAACAAUGGUUUAAAAAGGCAACAACAAAACUAGGGUUUGUAUAGAGUUUGUCUCUUCGGAACAAACACUAGGGUUUGUGGGUUGAUUCACCUUGGGAAACACUAUUAGGAUUGAGUCUCUUGGUUACGGGAAGAGGCUGGGACUUUGGGUAGAAUUAGGCUGGAGACUUAUUCUUGUAACCCAUUGAUUUCUCUUUGUAACGAUACUCAUCAUAUAGUGGAUCGGAGGGCUGCUCUCUCCCCCAUACUAGGUCAAUUUGGACCGAACUGGGUCAACAAAUUCUUUUGAGUUCUUCUCUUCUUUUUGUUCUUCUCGCCGUUGUUUUCUACUUUUGGCUUGUAUUUAAUUGUUCCAUACAAUUUGUUUUAGUUGCUUGAUUAUCCCUUGCUCCACACAUCAAGUUGUUAUUGGUGUGUUUUUCGAUUGAAUUCACAACACAUUUUAUUUCAAUUUAAGUUAAAAUUUAAACUACGUAUAGUGUAAAAUAUGUUUACACCUAAAAAAAACCAAUUAUCUUUGAUAUUUAAAUUUUACCUUUUCACUCACCUUUUUUACUUCAAGUUUCUAUAUAAGAAGGGAGACUCGAGAAUCCCACUAGGUGAGAAGUCUAAGAAGGGUAGAUGUGCUGACUUGAUUAGCCUUGAAAGCAAGAAAUUGUUUUCAAGACUUCUGUUCGAACCUUUAGUCUGUUGCACCGGUUUUCUGAGGUAUGGUUCUUUUUGGAUCUUAUGUCUCAAUUCAAAAUCAAUGUGGGACUUUCUGUUGUUCCGGAGUAGUGGCCCCCCACUUUUCCAUAGACGGCUAUUUUGCCCUCGAGUCCAUUGCAACGCUUUUCUGAGGUUGGUCCGCUUUGUGUCUUAUGACUAAGCCCUCACAGUUUUGUCCUUAGAGGAGUGUUUGUCUUUAUAAACUACUCUUAUUCUAAAUUCUCAAACAAUGUGAGUCUUUUUGCUAUAACCAAUCACUCACAUAUUUUUGCAUCAUGCAGGAAAUUUUCGAACAAUGGAAAGAAGCUAAUGAGGAAGCCAAAGAGAAGAUGUUUGCAGACUUCAUGAAUAAGAAUGUGAAUCUCAACAAAGUAGAUGAAUCUAUGAUAAUCGCUGGAAUAGUGGCACCACCAGCAGCCAUAGUGGCUAAAAGAACAGGACAAACAACAUUUCCUCAGCUAAAAUUUAUGAAUGUCAUUCCUGAUGUUAUCUUUGUUCCCUCAGCUACAGUUUUGGCUCUCAUUGCUGUCAAAAUUUUAAGGUUAAUGUUCAUAGCAAACACCGCAUCAAAGGGUGCAACAAGGUCACUUGUUAAUCAUGUAAUGGAGCCCUCAAGUGUGGAUAACAUUCAUCCAUUUGCAGCUGAAACUGCAUCAGAUCAUUCACAACAAGACAUGCCAAAAACUGCAUCAGAUUCAAAUGCACAACAAGAGAUAAUAAAAACUGCAUCAGAUGCACAUCAACUCACGCCUAAGGGAAAUUAUUGUGCUUUGUGUAAAAAAGUCCAUGACUAACCGUUAGAGACAUACAUGAACCUGUUUGUGUAUAUAUGCUAUUUUAUGUUUCAAUCUACUACCAAAGAAGUAAAUGGUAGCCGUAAGACCGGCCUUUUUAUCAUCAUUGCCAGUUGUGUUGUGUGUGGAAAUGAAAAUGAAAAAUAUAGACUGGUGCCUCUCGUUAGGGGUGUGCAUGGUUUAAAACCAAACCAAAUUUAUGGCAGUUUGGUUUCUAAAUACCGUUUUCAUAAAAACCAACUUUUUUCUAAAACUGAUUCAGGUUAGCCAACAAGGAUGUAUGAUAUCAUAGUCGCAGAAAUGAAAUGUCAUUUUAUUAGUAACCAAAUGUUAUUUUCUAUUCUCCCUCCAAACCAAAACUUCACCUUUCAUCAGAAAUGCAAACGAUCGCCGUUCUUUUGCAUCGUUUACCUUAAUUAGUUUCUCUACUGGUCCUACCCAUGUCUUCGUGUUGUCGUGCCCUCGUAUCCCCAUCAGCUUUUGUCAUUCAAAUUAAGGGAAAUGACCAAUCUAUAAGUAACGGAAGAAAAGUUAAGGGCUUCUCAUCAUGCUUUUCUAUAUUAUAGGGGGAUAUCAAUGUUUUGGUAAAGCAAUUGAAUAUCAAACAAAUUUCAAUGAAAAUGAAUUGCUGUACUCCUGUUAUAUAUCUUGUUAGUAUUGAACAUGAAAUUGAUAAGGAUGAACCAUUUUUGAAUAUAUAGCUUGAUAAGGAUAAAAUAAAAAUAAAAAAUAAAAAAAUCACGAUGAAGUGAAUCAUAAUCAUGCUUUCAUCCUUCUAUAAAUAACAACAUAUCCUGAUCAAUCCCAUUUCUUAGCAAGACAAGAUGUUAAUGCCGUUCCGACUGCGAGUCUCCCUAGUUUCAGAAGAAACUGAAUUCACAAAUAUAAUUCACUUAAUAUCAUAUAAGAUGCUUUGAUGAUCACUCACAACUAUAUAUGCUUUCCAAUGUAACAUUAUCCAAAAGUACUUGACAAUAUAUAUAACAUCAUCACAAAAAUAUUUUUAGCAGCCGAAAGGUUUUAAACAACGGUCGCGUUCAAGGUCCAGGUCAUGUAUAUGAUUUCACCAUUUCGGCUGUUACAGAUAUUGUAUUAUAGAUUGCGGUUGUCGCGCUGUGAAUUAAUCACAACAUUGCACAACUUUUAAACAAUGAUAGGAAUGUAAAUAACUUAACCUAGAGAUAGAUUUGGAGUUCUAAACUAGAUAAGGAAAUAACAUUAUGUAAUUUAUAAUCAAGUAUGUAGUAAAAAUAUGAUUUUCAUCUAUCUUAAUUGAAAAGAUAUUCAGAUUUGGUGUCUAUUGUCAUGAACGACAUUCUUUUGCGGCCGUAAUGGUGUUUCGUCGCGGCUGUAACAGCGUUUCGUCUUGAUUUUUGUUCACUCUGUGAAAACGGUAACCGGUAACGUCGGCUACCUAUACUUUUUGUCGCCGCCUUUUUCUCGGUAAUGGACCAUUUUUUAAAACCUCUAAGACUAGUAUCAACGAUAUAGUAGAGCAAACUAAAUGUGAUUCACAAAUCAGCAUUAAUCUUUCGGUGGAUAUCGCCAUUAAAAAAGAUCUUUCAAUAAUUUUAUUUUUUUUAAUCUUGAAGCAUUAAUCUUUCAAACAAAAAUGUUUGCAAUGAACACUCACUUGGACAAUGUUGUCUUGAGUAAGAUCUACUAAUGUCAAUGGUUGGAAUGAUUGUAGAUAUUGGUUGGUUAAUAUGAUAAUUGUCAUGUGUUUUAUAUCACAUAAUGGAUAUUUUGUUGCUUCACAUAACAAAUGUUAAACUCUUUCAAUGGAAAAUAUCAUUUUCAAGUUUGUCAUAUAUCAAGAAUUGUCCUCGUUGUUACAGUCUAGUAGUUUUGUAUGAAGACAUUUUAUAUCGUGUUUCCACCAUAUGGCCAUUAGGUAGGGCACUUAUCUAAUAAAAUAAAAUUACUUUGAAUUAUGUUGGGAGUGAGAGAAGGUAAUAAUAUAAUUCAUCCAAAACUCAUCCUCUUUGAUUCAAAAAAUUUGAUGAUCAACUAAUUUUCUUUAGUUUUGCACCCUUAAAUAUAUGUGAUUAAUACAAACUUAGGAUAAGAAACUAGAAAUACUAAAGCAGUUUUGAAUGAACAUAUAAUUGAAAUUACAAAAGCUAAAAAGCAUUGAUUGCAUUGAGUAGGAAGUUAGAAAAAUAGUACAUUACCCUUACAUUAUAUAUGAGAGAGAGAGAGAAAGGUGAAAAUCAGAAGCUGCAACCACAACAAAGGUAAAAGAAGCAGAGGGUGAGAACAAGAACAACAGCCUCAAAGGCAGAGACAACCUUAAAAACAAUAUCUUCCAUGAAUGAAACCGGCGAAGUAAGUCUGUUCCACCUGAAUCCUGAUGAAGAUUGCCACAAAAACUUCAACCUCAAUGUUUCCUUCUUCAGCCUCUUCAACAACGAUCUUUUCUUCUCAACCAUUGACAUUCCGUUUUUCUCUUUGAUUAUUUAAAUCGAUUUUGCGCGUUGUGGGACUUUAUAUUGUAUUGAGGAGAAAAGGAAGCUUCCCCGUUACUACUCUUUUUCGAUGGGAGAAAGAAAAAGUGAAAGUAGGGAAUAUAGUUGACAAACAAAUGUUUCCUUAACAGGGCAAAUGUUCACAAGUUCUUUUUCUAACUUCUGUUUAAAAAUUGCGUGUUUAUGAUUAAGAUUUAAGACUAUUACAAAUGCUUAUCUUGUAUUAUUAAGAUACAAUUUCUUUUUAUAGUUUUUUUAAGAUACUUGUUAACACGAUUUUAUUAAUAAUAAUACUCAUUUUCUAUCCCGUAAGUUUAUGUCAGUUGAUAGAGAUAUUGCAUAUUAUACGUAGAAGUCGGAGUUCGAACCUCGAAUACCUCACUCCUUCAUAUUUGAAUGCGUGAGCUCUAACCACUAGCUUAUUUGACCCAAAAAAAUUAAAAUACUCAUUUUCCCUAAAAAAAAAAAAAAAACUCCUUUUACAAUAACACGAUAUACAUUUAUCUUAGUUAAAAAAAAAGAGCAAAAUAUACAGUUUAGUUAUAGAAAACAAGUAUUGCCUUCAUCUCUAAGUAUAAGAUUUUUUUUUUUUUUUUGCAAACUUUGUUGUCCCUUUUUCUUAGACUUUCUUCGAAUAUCAAGGUGUAUUAAUUAACUUUUCGCAAAAAUACCCAGGGCGUGUUUGUUUCAAGUUUACCAAAUUUAAUUUUAGAAAUAACAUUCCUUGGAAUAUAAAGAUGAGAAUUUAAUUCCAAGGUAUUUAGAAAAAAUAUGUUUGGUUAACUUUUUUUUUUUUUGAGAGAAUGUUUGGGUAACUUUAUAAUAUUCUUAGAAACCAUAAAAAUAGGAAUUAUAAUAGGUAACUACAUAUGAAUUUAUUACCAUCUCCAUGAGAACUUUAUUCCCACCCUUUUCCUUGGGAAAUUUUUUAUAUUCCCGGAAACAUUUUAUACAUGGAAUAAAAUUUAGUAAACUUAUUACAAACAUAGACAUGUAUAUUUCUAUCAUUUUAUUCCCGAAUCAACAAAUAUAACUUUAGACAAACACACCAGGUGAUGAUCAAAAGAAGAGAAAUAAAAUAUCACUCGUUUUCCUAGCUCUCUUAGCAAUUGAAGAAUAUAUAGUUUUACAUAAAGAAUCUAUAUUAUUGAUUAAUUUAAUGCAAAAAAAUAAUUCAAAAAGAGAUUUUGUUAUUAGUAAGCAAGUACAAAUUAGUUUGAGUUUCUUUUUAAUGAAAAAUAUCUAAAAUUUCAUCUCUAAAUUAAUAAAUAUUAAAAUAAAUUUUAUUUGUAUAUAAUUUGUUGCAAACGGACCCUAUUUAUUUACUAAAAAAAGUCAAUAUAUUUUUUUCUAAUGAAAUGACCUGCCCUUAAGUCAGUCAUCGCUUAGUACAAGAAAAUAAUAAGUCAUUUUUUAUUCAUAUGUAAAAAUUUUAAAGCUAAAUAAAUAAUUGAGAUGAAGGCUGAAUGGAAUUGAAAGAAUUUUUUUAAGGACUUUUUUAAGAGAGUCGAUUGUCAAGUUCUAAGUGUGUGACGUGAGUUCGUAUGCGCGUCAUGUGUGAGAGGUUAAGAUCCUCUCCAUUUAUAACUUUUUAGACUUCUAAUUCUAGACACCUUUUAGGGUUUUUUUUUCUCUAGCUUUUUAGUUGAAGACAUUUCUAUCAUAAACCUUAUAUAGGAAUUGGAUUGGAAACAUGUUCCAUCCAAUAAGAAAAGAGAAGAUUCGAGGAAUUCUUUCUUCAAAAAAAAAAAAAAGAUUCGAGGAAUUCUAAAUCGAAAGAAAUGCUAGGGUCAUAUGAAAAUCUGGUUAGCCAAAAAGAAUGAAGAAGCAACAAGAGCAGUUGUCAUCCUAGAGAUGCGAGACAUUCCAUGCAUGAUUAUGAAAAGUUUGACAACUUAAGAGGACGUGUCUUUUGGGUUCCAACAUGUGUAUCCAGUCUCAUUUGAUAUCAAGAAUUUAGUCCUUACCUCUUUAAGGAACAACCAUGUGUAUCGUGAAGUAAACUUUUAUACACAUAGGUUUGCUAAUAUGAGGAUAACAAGUGGAGAUGGUUUGAUUAUUUAUGAUGUUUGUCCUUAUCUAUCGGACAGUUUUUCCUUGCUGAUGUUGCUAAAGUUAUCUCUUUUGGUCAAGAUGAUCCUAAAGUUUUAACUAUGUGUUUAAUUGCUUAAUAAUUUUCUUUUUCCUAGACGUAUACUCUUUCUUAUUCAAAAAAAAAAAAAAAAAAACUCCAAUAAAUAUAUUUUUUUUUUUGUCUAAGUAACAUAGUGGCUAGAUUCACACACAUUAUGUAUGAAGAAAUGGAGAAUUUGGGGUUCGAAUCCUGACCUCUGCACAAAUUAUCCUUGAUAGCUACCAACUGAGCUACACUUACAUGACAUAAAUAAUAAAGUUAACUCAGUAAAAUUAUUCUAUGUAUAUUCUUAAGUCAUUUAUUGGUAAUUUUUAUUUUUGGUCUAGUAACUUUAUUGGUAAUUUUAAUUAAUGUAAGAAAAACCUCAAACUACACUAUGAUAAAUGAGGGAGUACUAUUUUUUUUUUUUGAAAAGGAAUGAGGGAGUACUAAAUUAUUUAUUGUCUUUUUUAAAUGAUAAAUAUUAGUAUAUUAGUUUUAAAGAUUAGUUGAACUUUUGACCAUCCGAGGAUCAAAAUCUAACAAUUACGAUGCAUGAGGGUCAAAAUGAAAUUCAUCCUAGCAAAUAGGCUCUAAAAUAGCACAAUGGAUGCUAAUUCAAAAGGCAUACAACAUUUUCUUUUAAUAAUUGUAUGAUAUUACCUCUAUUAUCUUUUUGGUAAAUAUGUUAAUUGUAUUUUUAAAUCAUAUCUUUGUGAGCUUAGCUCAGUUGGUAAGGAUAAUGCAUAAUAUAUGCAAGGUAUGAGGUUCGAAUCCCAAACACCACAAAAAAAAUCAUGUUCUAAAAUAUUAAACGAUGUAGGAGAAAGUCAGUAUUCAAGGUUGUUAUAUUUAUUGAUGUUGUAUUUUCAAAAAAUAAAAUAAAAAACGUUAAAAAUUUAUAAAAUGAGCGAUGUUAUAUGUGAGACCUGUUUAAGCAUCUAAAAUGAAGAGUUCCAUUGUAAAUACUCUAACCCUCCUCAUAUUUUCUUAAACACUUUGGAUAUUUUGUUCUAAUCUUAAAAAUUGCGCCCAUGAUAAAACGAAUAGUUGUUGGGCCUUAAAAAUUAAUUCAAAAUAUUAUGAGUAUUACUUUUUCCAUCCUAUGUCAUUCUCACGUACCCUGCGUUUUUGAUCAAAAUGUCCUUGAAGUUUUCGAAUUUCAUAAUCUGAAUAGGUGUUUUCCUUUGUUAUAGGGUGAAAAAAUGAGUUGCGGAUUUUUUCAAAUUUUGUAAUCCGGAAACAUAAAAAAAUAGGGCACGUUACAUGAUUUUUUCGGAUUACAUAAUCCGAACACCCCCUAAACACUACUCCCUCCGUUUCAAAAUACAUGUCCAAGUCAACCACUUCACAUAUGCCAAUGCAUAAUUUUGACUGUUAAUAUCUUUAAUUUUCUAAAGUAAAAAAUUAUAAAAAUUUAAUAUUUUGAAAAUAUUUGUCGACACAAAUCAAACAACAUCUUACAUGCUAAUAUUUGUAUUUAUAUAUUAGUUAAAAAGUAUGGUCAAAGUAAGUCAAGUGAAUAGUGCACAUUGCAAAAAUUGGACAUGUAUUUUGAAACGGAGGGAGUAUUUUUCAAGGGAAAAACAGUUCAAAUUAUAUAAUCUGAACUGUAUCAGCACAAAUUUUAAACAUGUUUGUAACAUUGGAUAGUCAUUUUAGGUAAAAAAAAUCAUGUUUGUUCUUAGUCAAAAAUCGGGUUUUCGAGCUACUUGAUCGGAGUGCUCUAAAACUUCCCCAAAAAAUUAGAAAAAUUCAAGGACCAUGACUCACGUAGAAGGGACUUCUUACAGGACUCCGCCCUUCAAAAUCCAAAAUUUCAUCGUUUAGACCAUUUUUCAUAUUCUCAUAAAAAUCCGAAAAAAAAUUCAUUAGUUUUAUUUGAUUUUUAUAUUUUUAUGAUUUUAUUUGAAGGGUUUUUAGCAUUUUUUUACUUAGUUUUUUUUGUUGAUUUUAAAAGGAAAACUCAAAACUGUUGAAAUGUAAGAGAGUCUGAUGGCUGCUUAUACAUAAGAAUUGUCCUGAUUUUAGAAUCCGAAUUGUGAAACAUGAAUUCGGAUUAUAAAAUCUGAACUGCACAAGGGUAUUUUUGAAAAAUUUACAAGGUGCAGGAGAAGGCCAUAGUGUAAGAAAAGUAAUACUCAAAUAUUAUUAUUUCACAAAAUGAAGCACCAAAAAUUAAAAUUUUGGGCCCUAAAAAAAUCUAGGCUUAAUACAUCCUCCUGUCCUUUAACUUAUUUUAUUUUCUCAGUUUGGUCCCUUAACUAUUAAGUGUGUCAAUUUGGUCCCAUAAAUCUUAUGUCGUUUACUAUUUCGGUCCUCUCCGUUAGUAUUUUAAUGUUUAGAUUUUUUAAUAUGAUUUCAACCGUUUGAUUGCAGGUCCAUUGUAUACAACACUGACCCAUCAACACCUAAUCUUUUUUGUUCUUCUUCAUCUUCUUCAAAAUACAUAAAAAAAUGGAGAAAAAAAAAACCCAGAAAAAACCUUAAAUAACUUUAUAUCCAAAUAAAGAAAAUCAAUUUACCACCCACCUCCACCCUUUCAUUUCUCUCAUAUAUGCAACGACUUAUUUUUAUUGCAUUCUAAAGUUAAAAAAAAAAAAAAAAUCAUUAAUAUCAUAUAUGGAGAGAAAAACGCAGAAAAAUGCUGCUCAAACCUAGAAAGAGAUGAAAAAAAAAAAAAAAAAAAAAAACCUUAAACAUCUUGCUGCUCAAACCCAGUUUCAAUUAUCUAAAUGCUUUUUUCAUCUGGAACCCAAAAUCAAACCCUUAAACAUUAUAUUGCAGAAAAAUGAUAUUGUGAGAAAUAAUAAUUUUGAAUUCUGAGAAAUCAAGAAAUGGAUCUGAGAAAUUGUGAGAAAUGGGAAUUUCAAAUUCUAAAAACGCAACUCAGUGAUGAUGAAAUUAAUGGCGAAAUUGAUAGAAGAAAACGCAGGUCACAACAAACACGACAGCAAAAUCGUGACGGAGGGAGGUCGAAAUCGCGAAUCCAAACGAGAAGAGGAAUGAAAUUGAGAAAUCAAAUUGAUGAUGAAUGAAGGUCGAAAUCGAACAUGAAGAAUGGAGUUGAAACCCUAAAAUCUCAUUCUCCCCCUUUCUCUAUCGUGUUAUGUCUUAAUCUCUUUUCUUUUCUCUUUAAUUUCUCAGUCAUGUUCUCUCUUUUCUUUUCUUUUUAAUUUCAAAUUAAACAAAAAUUUUAAUAAUAAUACUAAUAAUAUUAUAAUAAUAGUUUUAAUUUCUAAUAAUAAUGAUUAUAUGUUGUUGGGCUAAUUUUGAUGAAUAUAAACAUAAUUUCAGUUUUUAAUUUUGGAUUUUUUGUUUGAAGAUAGUAGAUUGUGAUAUGAAGAUGAAGAAGAAUAUUUAGGAACAAGGAUGUUGAUGAUGAUAGAUGAAGAUGACGAUGAUUGUGUGAUUAUUAAAUAAUAGGUUUAAUUAGUAUUUUUGGGAUUUUCUGGAGUUUAUUGAUGAAGUUGUUGUUGAAGAUGACGAGGGAAGAAGAAGAUGAAUGGAUUAACUUAGGUGUUAGUGGUUCAUAGUAAAGUACAAUAGACCCUACAUGAUUUAACAGCUAUUUUUUAAAGAAAAAAUCAAAUGGUUAAAAUAAAAAAAUUUAGUAAGGCAUAUGGUGGACCACCUAUAAAUAUGGUUCAUCUUAAACGUUUAAUGUUAAAAACUAACGGAGAUGACUAAAACAGUAAACGGCAGAAGACUUAUGAGACCAAAUUGACACACUUAAUAAUUAAGGAAUUAAACUGAGAAAAUAAAAUAAGUUAAGUAACCGUGGGAUAUAUUAAACCAAAAAUCUAUAAUUUGUUGCUGGACCCUAUGUUGUUUGUUUGCUUGCAUAAGCCGAUAGACAACCCUAACCCUCCUCUUUAAAUACGAUCCUAUCUCUUCCUCAGUUUAUACCAAGAACAAAGUUUGUGAAUCAUGGGUCGUAAAAAAAUAGAGAUAGAAUUAGUGGAUAACAAGAAGGCUAGGAAUGUCACAUUUUCAAAGAGAAGAAGUGGUCUUUUUAAGAAAGCAAGUGAUUUAUCAAUUCUUUGUAAUGCUAGAGUUGGUAUAGUUGGAUUUACCCCUGGUGGUAAACCAUUUGCUUUUGGUUCUCCAACUUUCGAAGCUGUGACUAAUGUGUACCUUCAUGGAGAAGAAGGUGAAUCAUCAAGAAAAAAUGUUAAGCCUUCUCGAAACCAAAACAUCAACAAGCUCAACAAAGAACUGAGUGAUUUGACCGAAGAGUUGGAGGAAGUUGACAAAGGUAAAGCCUCUAUGGUACCUACUGAUCUUGACUUAGAAGAACUUCUAAAAGUGAAGACAUCACUGAAAGAUCUCCAUGGUAACAUUGAGGCAGCAUCAUCUUUGCUUCUCCUUGCAAAGAACCCUGUACACAUCAUUGAUUUAGAUUGAAAAAGAAAGGGAAAAUCCAAUGUUAUGGAAACUAAUUAUUAAUUGGAGAUUGUUUGUUGUUCAAUUUUAUAAAUCUACAGUGAAUAACUGGAAUUUGUUUUUCUUCCGUCUAAAAUUUAGGAAUUUGACAUCAUCAGUCCUAAUAAAAAUAUAAUGAAAUCAUCUUUCGAUAAUAAUUUUAUCUCUCUCUUCUUCUUCUUUUUCAGUUUUAGUUCAUAAUAAUUUUAUCUCUCUCUUCUUUUUCUUUUCCCAGUUUUAGUCCUGUAAUCAUAAAAGGUGAUAUGUAUUUGGUCUGAAUUCCGACUAAAUUCAUUUGACCAUUUACACAUAUUUAGGACAAAGUGAGUAAACUUUUAUUAUUUAAAAGUUGUAACAAACAAUUUGAAAGUUAUUUACAUGUAGUUGAUCGAACGAAUGGAAAGAAAUUUAUACGCCUUAAAUAAGUGGUUAGAGGUUUGACAACUUCCUCCUGUGUAUGGAGAAAAAUCAUUGAGCACAAAAAACUUUUCUUGUGUUCCCGGCAUAACUUUUUAGGGAGAAAGAUUAUCUUGCUAAAUUUUAGUUGUUCAAAUAACGUUACUUUAUUAUUAUUUUAAGAUGUGACAACAAACAAUUUAAAAGUUAAUGAGAUGUAGUUGAAGGAACUAAUGAUAAGGAAUUCAAGCACCUUAAAAAAUGGUCAAUUUUUUUUAAGUAAAAACUAGUUAAAGUUUUGACUACUCUCUCGUGUAUCAAAAAAUCAUGGAAACUUGUCUUGUAUUCUCAACAUUGUUUUUUGGGAAAAAAAAAUCAUCGUUUUUUUUUCUUUCCCUUUUUCUUCGUAUUAACUCUAUAUGAUCUUAAAUAAAAUAAAAAGUAAUAUGCAUUUGGUCUAAGUUCCGACCAAAAACAUUUGAAUAAUCCUUCCUAUCCAUUUACAUCAGUUUCAAAGUAUCCAUAGUUUUUUUUUUUUUUUUGGUUUAAAAGUAUCCAUUAGCUUUACUUCAUGUAAGUUUACUAAAACACAGUUAAUGAUUUUAUUAAAAUCAAUCGGUUACAUUUGUUAGUUUAUAUCUUAUUGUUAUGCAUGCUAUAAGAAAGAAAUCACUAACCACUUAUGCAUCUUCUCCCACAUUGUGACUCCAUUUUCAAUUUGUGACAAUUUAUGUUAAACCAAAAACUAUUCCUGUAUUGUGAAUUACUUUAGCCGUUCAAAUUUAAUUGUUUGCACGUGCAUUAGCUUUGUUGUACACCCGUGCUAGUUUCUUAACAUAUGUAGUUGAUUCUUGCUUCUCAUGAUUAUUAUAAUGUUCAAACUUAUAGUGAGUACAUUGUUAUCAUGAAUAAUGUUAUUUUGAUAACUUUUCGGUUGUCAUAAAAUGUAUACUAUUUGAUUUUUAUUUACCUUUUUCUUUCUCCUCAAAUCACAUCAAUAGUUGUUUAAAUAUCAACACUCUAAUAUUAUUUUAAGAAGUCGUAAUCCACUUGAGUUAGUCUGGUGAUAUUGGUUUGAGAUAUGGGAGUGUACUCCAUCUUAAAGUUUUAAGUUCGAUACUUUCCAGUAUCAAUUUGGAUGGGUUAGUUUAAUUUCUUAAAAAACAGUUUGAAAGCUAGUGACAUAUAGCUGAUGAAAAGAAUGACGAGGAAUUCAGACACCUUAAAAAAGUAGUUAGAGGUUUGAAUACUACCCCUCAUGAGUAUGGAGAAAAAUCAUCAAGCAUAUAGCUGAUGGAAAGAAUGGUGAGGAAUUUAGACACCUUAAAUAAGUAGUUAGAGGUUUGAAUAUACACUACCCCUCCUGAGUAUGGAGAAAAAUCAUCAAGCGGGGAAAACUUGUCUUGUGUCCACAACAUAAUUUUUGGCAUAUCACAUGACAUUCUCAUCAUUUAGGUAAGAGUGAUGUGUUGUUAGAUAUCAUUCACAAUUUAUAAUUUUAUACAAGUGAUUCGAUAUUAUUACCAAUGUUACGAAAACCCACAAAGUCGCACACAUAAAGACUGAUGGAUAGGAGAUUGAAUAAAAUAUUGUGUGUGGUUAUUUUUUCUUAAUAAAAUGUAAGAAAUAAUAAAAUAAAUUUAAUAAGGUUAAAAACAGAAGUAAAUGUAAAAAAAAAUAUAAGUUAUAAACGUUACUUGAAUUAGCAUCUUAGAAAAAACUACAUGUUGGUGAAAAAAACUUUUUACCAAACAAGCAUCAUUAUAUCAAAACAAGCUCAUAAUUAGUUGAAUAAAUUAUAACUCAGCUUAUUUGUGUUACCAACAUAACAACGAAAAUAUUGUAACAUAAAUACAAUUGAUUUGGUUAGUUGGUUAUGAGUUCCAUCGUAAAUAUUUAUCUGCAAUGAAUUCCAUAUGUAGGAAUUAACAUAUAUUUCCUUCUCUUUUUCUUAUUUUGGCUAAAUUCAAUCUAUUAAUGACAGAUCACAGUGAAGUGAAUCUACAAUGUAGCAUUCAUACGAGCCAUAAUCAUGCAACCCACUUAACAUACUCUUUAGCCCACAUUGAUAUUGAUGGUUGGUAUGAUUAAUCUUGCGUCAUUAAUCUUUCAAACAGAAAUGUUUACAAGGAACUCACUUGAGACAAUGUUGUCUUCAGUAAGAUCUGCUAAUAAUGGUUGGUAUGAUUGUGGAUUACACUUUUUGCUUCAAUUCUUGUUGUGAUAGCAAAUGCAAUUGUAGGUGUUGUUUGGUGGGUAUGAUAAUUGUCAUGUGUUUUAUUUGACAUAAUGGAUAUUUUGUUGCUUCACAUGACAAAUGUUAAAACUCUUUCAAGGUAAAGUAUCAUUUUCAAGUUUGUUAUAUAUAUCAAGAAUUGUCCUUGUUGUGAAGACGUUUUAUAUCGUGCUUCCACCGUGUGGCCAUUAGGCCACUUAUCUAAUAAUGUAAAUUACUUUGAAUUAUGUUGGCUAGGGCAAGGGAAUAAUUCAUCCAAAACCUAUCCUCUUUGAUUCAAGACUUUUCAUGAUCAACCAAUUUUCUUUAGUUUUGCACCCUUAAAUAUAUACAAACUUAGGAUAAGAAACUAGAAAUAAAUACUAAAUCGGUUUUGAAUGAAAUGAACAUAAUUGAAAUUACAAAACCUGUGAUUGCAUUGAAUAGGAGGAAGUUAGAAAAAUGGUACAAAUUGUAGAUAAAUCAGAAGCUGCAACCACAACAAAGGUAAAAGAAGCAGAGGGUGAGAACAAGAACAACAGCCUCAAAGGCAGAGACAACCUUAAAAACAACAUCUUCCAUGAAUGAAACAGGCAAAGUAAGUGUGUUCCACUUGAAUGAUGAUGAUUUCCACAAAAACUUCAACCUCAAUGCUUCCUUCUUCAGUCUCUUCAACAACGAUCUUUUCUUCCCAACAAUUGACAUUACGUUUUUUCCUUUGAUUAAUUACUCAAAUAAUCAACUUUGCUUUGUGUUUGCAACUAAGAGAUGGGUUGGGGUUUAUAUUAAGGAGAAAAGGAAGGUUCCACGUUGGCUUUUCUUAGUACUCAAGGUUUUUUUAAUGGGAUAGAGAAAAAGAAAAUUAGGAAUAUAGUUGAAAAACAAGUGUUUUAUUUAUGAAUAAUAAAUAAUCCUCAUAAUAUGGUCAUGUUUGGUGGUUUGAACUUGAUGGAGAAGUUUUAAACAUUGAAGUAGUGGGAUUGAUUGGGAUAGAGAGAGAGUCAAGUCGUGCGUGACGUGAGUUGAGUAUACGCGUCUUAUGAAAUGGGAAAUUUAGUAGUAUGUGCCAACUGGAUGGAUUUCAGUAUCUACUCGUGUCUGGUAAGUAAGACCCCUUCCUUCUAGUUUUCUAUAAAUUCAAAAAAAUGCUAAUAAUUGUUGUGUAUUGAUCAAGAUGUAUGGUUCACAAAAGAAGCUAGAAUUCAUCUUUAAAAAGAUGAAUUUUUAACUAAUAGAUUAUUUGACAAAAAAAAAAAACAGUUUUUUUCAAUGUAAAACUUUAACUUUUAUUUUCUUUAACUAGUAUAUCGUAUCACCAGUUAACCUCCCUAAGAACUCAAAAUUAAAAUUAACAUUCCUUUUUUUUUAUGUUAACAUUCUUUUCUCUAACUGAACCAAAAAAACUACUAAAAAUAAACGUUAUUCAUCGAUUAAAUUUGGUAGAGUAAAUUGAUAACAAAUAAAUUCAAAGCCACUAAAAAAUAAAAUAAAACAAAAUCACAACAUAGAGGUUAAUAAAUAUGACUAUAUUCAAGUGUGCAGAAUACUUAUGUCUCCACCUAUAAUGUUGAGAAUGUCAAAGUCAAUAAUUUGAUUUGCACCGUAUCAAAAUCAAUCUUUCAAUUUAAAUAAAAUGAGCAUUGCAUCAAGAUCGAAAAAGAAGGGAAAAAAAAACAGCACUAAAACAAGAAACCUUAAAAAGCAACUAAGGUGAAAAAAUCACAACAAAUAUACAUGAAAAUCACUUAUUUAACUAAAAGAUAAAGAAGAAAACAAUUUUAAAGGAUUGUUCAUGUGAAAGUUGAGCUUAAACCACCUCUCUCCGAACUCAUUAUAUUUCUUCACGUACGUAACGUAAUACGAAUCGUUUGAGUUAUCUUGCAGGAGUCUGUUACUUGUGAGUUUUCUCUUCAAGGGUCUUAUAAUAUUUUUACGGGGUUAUAGGGUGGCAACCUGCCAUGCCACCAAAUCUUUUUCGUUUGUUUUCAGUGUUCGCCUCUUUUGGAGGAUAAAGUUUAGUUCUGCUCCAGAAAAUGGUUCUUCAGAAAGUCUUAUAUGAUUUCUCAUGUAACCAUGUUCCUUGCAUGAAUGAGUAGUAUAGCCUUCCUUUUGUUUUAGGCAGAUAGGGUGUGGAUUCUCCUUCAUUUUUUGCUCAGUGUUCUUUAAUCUCAUGUUUGAUCUCUUCUCUUGUUUUGUUUAUGUGUAUUUUCUUAUUUGCCUCCUGCAGAGGUUUUCUAAUGUUUUAUAUUUGGUUUUUCUGUAUUGAAUCGACCAUUACACUUCGCUUGUUGUCGUUAGGGGUGUAUCCACCAUAUGGCAUGGUGUGGCUUAGCCGCACCAGAAUUUUACAAAAAAAAUUGCAAUUUCUUAUUUAGCGACCGCAAUUUUGAUCUCUAAAUUAUAAAAAAUCGGUCGCUAAUGUCGUUAAACAUAUUAGCGACCAAUUUUUAUACUUUAGUAACCCGAUUUUUAAAGAUCGAAAUUUCGGUCACUAAUUUAGUCAUUAAACAUUAAAUUAUAGUGACCGAAAUUUCGGUCUUCAAAAUAUAAAAUAUUAAAAAUCGAUUGUAUUUCGGUCGCUAUUUGUUUAGCCACAUUGUUGAUGCAUUUUUGGAUCCGUUCCUUGUUUGUCAUAUAUUACAUUUGUUAUUUAAAAAAAUAUAUAUGUAUUAGGAAAAAUGAGUUUAUAUAUAGAAUGUCUAAGUAAUGUAGAAUUUUGAGUAAUGAUCUAGACUUGCCACCCCAGACAACUUUGAAUGGAUCUAAUGGAUUAGUGGUGGAGAAUUGUGUUUGAGAAACCGUUAAAAAGCUACUACAACUUUAUAUUUUUUUCCUUAAUAGUAACCAAAACAUGAUGGUAUAGGGACCAGUUCCAGCAAGUUUUUAUAAACACUUUCAGAUGGUAUUUUUAAAGACAACAUUAAUUACAGAAUUCAAAGAUGUUUUUAUCAUGUGAUGAAAUUUACAAAGACUCGAUGUUGUUUCAACAACAUUAUUUGUGGCUUGUCCUAUAGAAGCCAAUAGCAAAAGUAUUUCCUCCAAUAUGAAAAUUUAUAAGCCGAAGGUUAUUGAAUUGUGCAUUGUGGAACCUGCCAUUCAAUUGAGUUUGUUUUGUUAUAUAUAUAUAUAUAUAUAUAUAUAUGGGUUUGCUAGGAUACACCUACUAGUUUUUAUGUUGGAGUGUUUUAGUAAAAAUAUAACUAAAAAGUUGUUAAAUACACCUUAAGGUGAAUGUUGUUAAAACACACCUUCUAAAAAAGUUUUUAUGUUGGAGUGUUUUAGCAAAGAUAUAACUGAAAAGUUGUUAAAUACACCUUAAGGUGAAUGUUGUUAAAACACACAUUUUAAAAAAUAAGUGGGUGUAUGUUAGCAACUCCUAUAGGCAUUUGCUAGAACACACCCAUUUAUUUUUUAGAAUGUGUGUUUUAGCAAGUUAUAACUAAAAAGUAGUUAAAUGCAACUUAAGGUGUAGCUUGCUAAAACACUCCCACAUAAAAACUCGUGGGUGUGUUCUAGCAAAUCAUAUAUAUAUAUAUAUACAAUGAUUCAAAAUAAGUGUGGGGGGAGCCUAAUAAAGUGUCUUGAGUCGUAGUGUUUUCAAACUCCCUUGAACUUUAUUCUUUUGUUCUGUUUUAUUGUGAAAGGCAUGGUUAAGUAGCUUGUUUUUAUUGAAAAAUAUCAUGACAUAAAUUUUUUAUUGUCUCCUCUUAAUUGGUUAUUUCUUGUAUAUGAAAGUAAACUCUUGUGUUUUAAGUUUUUCUGAUAUACCCACAUCUUGUUUUAAAGUGAAUAAAUUCUCCAAUGAGAAAUGCACAAGUUGCUUCCCUUGAGUAAAUGUAUGGAUAUGUAUUUUAAGGAAAUGCGUUCUAAUAUUAGUGGUACGCUGACCUUUAAAAAUUCUCAAAGUAAAAGUAGUAUAAGUUAGUAUAAGGGAGUCUAUAAAAAGCCAAAUAGCCAAAUUGAUUUCAAGGUCGCAUCAUUGGAUCUAGAUUGGGGAAGAGGGUAGGCCCUCCGACUUCCUACGUGAAGGUGAUGUUAUCUUGAGAAACUUUAAAAAGCGUCAUUGAAUCUAGAUUGGGGAAGGGGGUAGGCCCUCUGACUUCCUACGUGAAGAUGAUGUAUUAAGGGGCACCAUUGAAUCUAGAUUGGGGAAGGGGGUAGGCCCUCCGACUUCCUACGUGAAGAUGUUGUUUCCUUAAAUAAAGUACCCAAAAAUGUGUAAAUAGAAAAGAUCAAAAGAUCACAAAUACUCCCAUCUCUCUUAUAUGAUAUGAAGAAAGAAUUUUUCUUGGUUGGUUUAGCACUAGGAUUAGAAUAUGUUUCCUCAUAAUAUCUAUCUUAUACAAGAGCAAGAAUAGGGUUGGAUUACACACACACUCACUUGAAACUUGAUUGUUGGCUUGAAUAAGGUUUACAAGAAAUGCUUGAGUUUGUGAUUAGUGUACGCUUGAAAUUAAAGCCCUUGAGGAGACAUGUGUUUUAAUUAAAUUGUCAUAUGAUAAUAUUAUUUAUGCCUUUUGCUUGAGGACAAGCAAAGAUUCAAGUGUGGGGGAGUUUGAUGAGUCAUUUAUUAUCUAUUUUAAUAUGUUAUUUAGUUUCGUUUUAAUUAGAUUUAAGUUUAUUUUAUAUUUAUAUUGUUUCCUUUUUGAAUUAUUUUACUUUAAUUGUCACUUAUGCUAGAAGCCAUCCAUGAAAGUGUCUUAGCAACCACACCUUAAGGUGUGAUUUUCACUUUUUAGUUAUAACUUUGCUAAAAGACACCUUCAUAAAAAUUAGUUGGUGUCUUUUAACAAAUGUUAAUAGAAUAACUUGCUAAAAGACACUUUCAUAAAAGGUGUCUUCUAGCAAAACAUAUAUAUAUAUAUAUAUUGGAUUGCUUACGGUAUAAAUUGUGUCUCGAUAUUUCGUUCUAGCUUUAAGAAAAAUUUGCCACCAGAACAAUUAAUGAACCAACUUUUAAAGAUUAUCUUUUGGAUCACUUUUUCUUUCAAUUAGACUUACAAUUUUUGUAUAAAUUGUUCUGGUAAAUUACAACUGUGCUAACUUUGGUUAGGUCUAUAUUUUCUGAUGAUUAAUUGAAACAAUUUGUCGACCUCUUUUUUAGGAUUAGUUUAUAUUAAAAUAUAAAAGGUUAAGUUAUAAGUUUAAACAUAGGACAGUUUAUGUAUAUAGUUUGAGAUGAGUUGAUUGAAACAUUAUGUCGUCAAAGUGAUCUCUUUUGUGGAAAUUAAUUUAUUUUGAAAUAUAAAAUGUUGUGUGAUUGUAACUUAUGUGAAUAACUAAUCGGUCUCAAGGAAGGUUGUUAUUUUAAGAAAUGCAAGUCCACAUGUGGUAAUAAACGUGUGAUAUAAUUAUUCGAUCUUACAAAUGAAUAAAUGAAUUGGUCCAAAGGAAAAUGUAUUGUUUACGUGUUCUUAUUAUUAGUGUUUGGUUACUAGUUACUACCCCAAUGUAUCACUAAAAAGUUAAUUUUUUAUCUAAAGAUAAAAUGUUAAUGGAUUCUUGAUAUCUUGUAAUGGGAUUUUUUUUAAUUCGAAUUUAGUAUUACUUCUAUUUUAAGAAGUGCAAUAUUUAUGCAGUAAAUGAUAUACUUUGUGAGAAAGAAUGAGAAAAACAAAAGAUUGAUCUUUUGAAGAUGAAGAUUGAUGAUAGUCGUGGCGGAGGGGAGCUCAAAAUUGAAGAACUCACUUAUGACAAAGCUAGAAAAGUGAAAGCAUCCAUAUUGAAACUCCAAAAGAUAUUUUAUAAAUCAUGUUGUUUAUCUCUUAAAUGAUUGCGCAUAAUGCAAACCCUAUCUCAUUUGUGCAUCAUAAAUUAAGUUUGUUUUUGGUUAUAUUAUGUGUUAUUACAUUCAUUUAAAUACCUCCAUCAAACACAUUCUUCACAUCAAACAAUGAAACCAUUUUAUGAGUACACACGGUACAAUAUAUAUGCAUUGCCAUAAGAGCAAAUAGUUACAUUAAAUAGCAAUUGAUAAACUACAUUCCACUAAUAAACAUAGUGCAUUUGAGGUGUAUAACUCAAUUAUUUAGAGCUCCUUGGAUCAUGUGUUGAAGUGUUGAUGAUAAAAUUGUGUCAUUUCUUUAUGAACAAAUUAAUGAUAUAAAUUUAAUGAAUGACAAUUUCAUGAAUAAAAGUGAAAAAUAUGAUAUGAUUGUAACGCAACCACUUUUAGUGUCAAUUCAUAUCAAUCGCUUCACAUGAAUUCAUAUACAAUUUUAAAAGUGUUUAUCUUUUAAAAAAUUUGUAAUUGAGGGUUUAGAUAUGGAGAGAGUAGGAUAUUUAUGAUGAGUAAAAGAUAUCCAAAACCAUGGUGUAUGAACCGAAGAGAAAAGCUAGGCCAGUUUAAUGAAAUUUAAUGAGAAUCUAAAUUUUGAAUAAAUGUGGAAAGAAUGAUGACGAUUGAGUGAGGGUGUUUCGAAGAAGUGAGACAUUAGCCACAAAGAAGAGGGAAAAGUUUUCAUAGUAGUGUGAGUGAAAGGGAGAGAGUUAACAAAGAAAUUUAACGGUUAGUGUUAAGUUUAAAACUAAUGAAAAUAUUUUUAAUUUUAUUAUUUAAGAAAAACUCAAUGGAGGUUAGGGUAGUUUGCCCUUUUUCUUUCAUUUAAUCUAUGUUUAGCUUAUAAAACAAAAAUUACACUUUGGAUAUAAAUGUAGCCAUGUUUAGUUUUCAUAUUUCAAUGCAAAUUAAUAGUAUAAAUAAGGGGUGUAUUUAAAAAAAAUGCAACUUAAAAAUGGUAAAGAAUAUGAUAUUUUAGAACAAACAAAUCUUCUAAAAUUGUUUUACAAUUAAGGAGAUGGAGAUCAUUCAAAAAUUAGACAUAUGGAUUCGUUUUUUUUAUACAUUAAAAUAAAAAUGAUCGUCUACAAAUAAGCUUAUUUACAGUUUUUGUCUUCUUAUUUUAAUUUUUUACAAAAUCGGUUCCUCUAUUUUAAAAUCUCCUAAUUGUGGUCGUUCAUUCGAUUGAUUUCUGCACUAAAAAUUGAAAUGUGAUAGAUUUAAAAUGACGUGUAAGACUAUAAUAUGAUAAUGUAGAAUGAUGUAAAUGAAUUAAUUAUUUAUAUGUUAUAAAUUAAAUUACCAAACAAAUAAUUUUUAAGUUGAAACUAAAGCUUCUAGGUGGUCUGCAUGCAAUUUCAAGAUUGUGUAUCAUUUUACUUCAUCAUAUUGUAUGUUAUAUCAUUUAAAAAACACACUACAUCACUAUUUUUUAAGUCAAAAAAUGUGAGGGGAAAGACCGAAACUGAGUGAGUUAAAAGUGAGGGAACCAAAGUCAAAAAUAGUUUAAAUGUAUCCAUGAUUUUGCUUAUGUAUCGGUUAAUUAAAUUGAUCUAGUUGGAUAGUUUAUGUUGUAUGGUAUUUUCUUAUAGUUGACCUUUUAUAUAUUGAUGCAUGUUGGUAAUAUGAGAUGCAUUUUAAAAAAAUACAUCUAAUAAUUUGUAGAUAGUUUUAUAUUAUGCACAAACUAACCUUAUAAAAAGGUCUUAAACAUAUGGAUUCCACUAUUUAAUACAUUAAAAAAAAUAUGAACGUGAAAUAAAACAAUUAAAAUGUAUUAUUUAGAUUUUUGUUUCAAAAAAAAUGUAUUAUUUAGAUUUUAUAUAUAAACUAUUAUUAUUAUUAUUAUUAUUAUUAUUAUUAUUAUUAUUAUUAUUAUUAUUAUUAUUAUUAUUAUUAUUAUUAUUAUUAUUAUUAUUAUUAUUAUUAUUAUUAUUAUUAUUAUUAUUAUUAUUAUUAUUAUUAUUAUUAUUAUUAUUAUUAUUAUUAUUAUUAUUAUUAUUAUUAUUAUUAUUAUUAUUAUUAUUAUUAUUAUUAUUAUUAUUACUACAACUACUUCUAUUAGAGGUACUUGUUUAAAAAAACUAUAUAUUAUUAGAGGUACUAAUGGAUAUUUUACAAUUGUCUCGUAUGAGAUUUGAAUCAUGUCAUAAAAAAAGUUGAUUUGUGUUUUUCUAUAUUAGAAAAUUUAUUUGUUUAAAAUUGUCUCUCGUCUACUACAUUAAUUAAAAUCGAAUAUUUUGAAAAGAAAAAAGAAACUAAAAGUAACAUCUCUUUUUAAUAAAAAAUUAACUUUUUUUUAUUCUUAGUCAAAACUUCUUUUUCUUUUUUGUUAAAUUUUUGAAAAGAAUAAUAAUAAUAUAUAUAAUAAGUGAAUCUGUGGUGAUCAAUGUGAUGAUUUAUAUAGAAAUUUGAAAUUAACUUUAUACAUUUUCAUUAAAAAAAUGUCAAAAGAUAAAAAGAAAAAGAACAUAAAAUUUGAUUUACUUUAUGAAUUAUAUCAUUAAACUACUAUUUAUUUUUUGUAUAUAUAUUAACUCCACAAGCCAUACAAACAUCGCUGCAUAGCUUCUUCCUAUCUCUUCUCUUUGUACUAUCUUCACUAGAUCUGAGGAUAAUUAAUAUGGCAAGAGAAAAUCAAAAGGGCAAUUUGAAAAAAAAUUGUGAAUAAUAUAUCUGCACUAAACGAUAUACUUUGUAAGAUAGAACAAGAAAAACAAAAGGUUGAGAUUUUGCAGAAGAAGAUUGAUAGUCGUGGUGGGGAGCUCAAAUUUGAAGAACUCAGCUAUGAAGAAGCUAAAAAAGUGAGAGGAUCCCUAUUGGAACUUCAAAAGAUGUUCAAUGAUAAAAUCUCAAUCAGAAGAGAGAAUGCUUCACAGGAUAAGAGACUUCUUAUUAGUUAUAUAUGUUAUAAACUUUAUAUAGUACUAGUAGGAUGUCAAAUGAUUUAAUUCUCGUUUGUUGUUCUAUUUUUUUUAUGAGUAGAAAUCAAACUGGAUUGGUAUCCCAAGGUAUAAAAUACGCAAAUACAUUGUGUAUUAAUUGAUUACUUCCGUUAGACUAAAAUGGAUGUUUAUUUUAAGUGAAAGUUGUAAAGAGAUAUGAUAUACAUACUAUGUGUAAAGAGAUAUGUUUAUUUUAAUGGAAAACAUAUCUCACUUGUGCACCAUUAAAUAAAUUUGUAUUUGGUUAUAUUAUGUGAUUUGGUUUUUAGUUUUAAGUUUUUACUAUUUUUGUUAUUACUUGCUUACCAUAAACAUCAAAUUAAGAUUAUGUAUGAUUAAGAACCUCCAUCAAACGCACAUAGUUGUGCAAAGACGAUAAAAUCAAAACAAAUAGAGUUGUGCAAAGAUGAUGAAAUCACAAAAGCAAACGAAAUAAGAUUGAAAAUAUGUGAAAAUCGCUUAUUUAACUAAAAUAAAUAAAGAAAAACAAUUCGUGAUGAGUGAUUUUUGGUCAGAAUUGAUCCUAAAUCACCUCUCUUCAGUAGAUCAAGAAGAAGAAAAGUGGUGACGGCAAGGGUUUGGGAAGGAGAAAAGACAGAGUAUUGGUGUUGAUUUUGUAUUUUGCAUUAAGUCAUUUUUUGGUAAUCGUAAUCUAGUUCAUGUAAAAAAAAAACAGUAGACUGUCAACACUAUUUUGGGAUCAAUGCAUUAUGUGUGAAUAUUAGAGUUUAGUGUUAAUAGGAUCACUAUGUUGAUGAUCAACACUACUUUGGAGCUGAGACAUUAUAUACAUAUGAAAACUAGAGUUUAGUGUUAAUCUAUUCACUAUGUCGGCAGUCAACACUAUUUUGAAGCUGAGGCAGUGUGGUUUCUUGCGAAGCAUAUAAUUUCUCUGAGUUCGAGGCAUUGGAGAGAAAUUGAGGACCGACAAAGAAUAAUAGUAUGAUUGAUGAUCAAUAGAAAUGAGGGAAUUCCCUCCAAAAAAAAAAAUGAGGGAGUAAUAAUUUUUUAUGGGAAAUGUUAAUGAAUGCUCUUGAGGUAUUGGUUAAAGUGUUAAAAUUAGUAAUUUGUAUUAAAAAAAUGCUGCACAUGGAUUUUCUAACAGGGGUUUGCAAGUGGAGUGUGUUUUAUCAUUUAUGAUGAUUGUCUUGACGAGACAAUUUUAAAUUUAAUUGAACUUUUGGCGCUCCGAGUACCGUGAUUGUGUAAUUUUUAACCAUAAUUUUUUUUAUCGAUAUAUGUCUCUUAUAUUUUUUCCAUAGUAAUUUAGUGAUGCCCCUCACAAUUUUCUCCAAAGUUUAUGAUAAGUUGACGUGACACCAAACUUUCAUAGUCACUGUAUCAUUCAUUUGCUUUCAAAUUGAAAAUAAAUAAAAAAAACACCAAAAAUCAACUUGUACAUGUGAGAACAAAUGAAAUAUCUAAUUAGAGUUUUAACGUUUAUAUUUUUGUUAGUUUUAAAGAAAAGUUGCACUAAUUGUGAGAGUUGAGUGUCACAUUAAUAAAAACAUGCAACCUAAACCGAGAUUUAAUGGAAAUUAAAGCAGGGGAAUAGGAAAUCACAAGGUGGAAAACAUAGCUCAAAACAAGUUUGGGGGCGGGGAGGGGGUGGUCAUAAUCUACCGAUUGCGAUACAUUAGGGUUAAAAGAAAAAUUAAGCCAAAUUUUUAUGUUGUGUGUGGUGAUAGAUUCGUUGAUUUCUUUAUCACUUUAUCCUUUAACUCUUUCACCCUAACCACUAAGUCAAACUUAUUUAAUUGGCUUGAUUUCAUGGUAUGGUAUAAUAACUUCACCCUAUAUUAUAAUAUGACAUUUUUAAAUAUUAAUGAGUUAUUUAUUUUUUAUUUUUUAUAAUAUACACCCUUAAAAAUUGUAAUACCAUUUCAACUCUUGUAAGUAAAUUAAGGACGUAUUUGUAACAAAUUAUAAAAAAAAUAUUAAAAAUUUGAUACUCAGUGGUUUAGAGAUUAGAAAAAAGAAGUUGAUUUUUGUUUGUUCACCAAAAGAAGAAUAAGCUUUAAAAGAAAUCAAUAGGAGCUAUUCAAAACAACUUUUCAAGUUUUUUAAUUAUUUUUAGAUUCACGUUUUUUUAAGAAUUUAUCACAAAUCUAUUAAACCAUUUAAAGUGGUUUUUAUUAGAAAAACUAAUCUUUUUUUAAAAAAAUAUAUAUAUAACAAGCGGGCUUUAAAAUGAAGCAAUGGAUGUCCUGUGAACAUAGUUCAGUUGAUAGGACAAUGCAUUAUUAUAUGUAGGAGUCGGAGUUCGAACCCCAGACACCCCACUUAUUCACCUUAUAAGGUGAAUUCUAACAACUAAGCUACCUGACCAAAAAAAAAAAAUUAAGCAAUGAAUGAAAAUUCAGAUUUUUUUGAAAAUUAAGGAAUUAAAGUGUAAGUAAUAGAAAUAGCUUCAGAUUUUUUUUUUUAAAACUCUAUAUUCUUUUAACUUUAAAUUAUUUUUUUUAAAGUUGAAACAAACACACCCUUAAUCACUUCAAUAAAUUUAGAUGUAAUUACAGUUUUGGUCCUUUUAUUUUUACCAUUUUGUGAAAUUGGUCUAACUAUUUUAAUGUUUGAUGAUUUGUGCAUUUUUUUGUAAAUGCACAGUAUUAGCUGUCUUUCUAAAUCAUAUUCUAAAAUCUUAAGUGAUAUAGCAAAAAAGCCAAUAUUCAGGGAUGUUAUGAUUAUGGAUGUUGUAUGUUUUCAUAAAAAACAACUAAGUAAUUACUCCAUUCGUUCCUUUUUAAGUGUCGUUUUAAAAUUUUAACACAAAAAUAGCGAAGUAUAUUUUUGCAAACUUUUUUCCUAUUAUACCCUCAUUUUAAUCCACUAAUAAUUUCCUAUUUUUUGCACACACUUUAUCUUUCCAAUAAAUUUAAUAUGUAACAAACAAUUGUGAGUUACUACUCUAUUUCUCUAACAAAUUCCGAUUUCUUUGUGCGCUUUAUCUUUCUCUCAUAACAAACAAUUUCCAAUUUUCUAAAUAUUGUGCAUAUCUCUUGAAAUUUUUAACAAGUACUACUCAUGUUAUUUAUAGAAUUUUAACUCUUCAUGGAACUAUUAUCAUCGGUAACAAAAUUUUGUUUAAAUUUGAAGAUACAAAUUUUGUUUUAAAACAAAACAAACAAACUUUCUUUAAAAAAAACUUUAGUUUUUCAAAUAUAUAGCACUAAUUAGUUUUAUUGAAAAAUAUAAGAAUAAUUGAUAAAGGGUAUAAUUGAUAAAUUAUACCUUUAAAAUACCAAAACGACAGUUAAAUAGGAACGAAAAAUUCACCCUAAAACGACACUUAAAAAAAAAACGGAGGGAGUACUAACUUUUCAUAAAAAACAACUAAGCAAUCACUAACUUUUCCAUACUAUAUUCCGUUGUUUAGGUUGAAAAAGCCAAUUAUAUAAACAUUUAAUUACUUCAAUAGAAUGCAUGAAAUUAUUUUUUGGCUCUCUCUUCCCCUUAUCUCUUGUGAGCCGUCACCAAAAUCCUAAUUUUUUAUCCUUCAUCCACCAAAGAGACCCGAAAUCACCCCUCUAACUCGUUUUUCUAUUUCUCUUUUAUUAAAAUAAGUGAUUUUCACAUCUAUUUUAUUUUUUUCUUUUGUGAUUUCGUCGUCUUAGUGCGACGUUGUUUUGUUCGUCGUCUUUGUCCGACGUUGUUUGUCUUUCUUGUUUCGUUCAGGUAUUUGUUCAAUUCAGAUUACUAGAUCAGCUUCGAUCCAGUGCAGAUAAAAUCAAUGACUUUGGAGUCGUCAACGUUGCAGAUCCGGGACAUGGGUAUUCCGGAGACUUAAAUAUAGUCAUAUGUGUAGGCUUUAGUACUUUGUCAUUUUAUGCUAUUAACAUGGAUGAUGUGAGUUUGUUUACAGAUUCAUCCUUUUUAUUUUUGGCAAAUUUUCAUUAUAUCGAUGUACUCUAUCAAUUUGAAUGAAUGAAUAUCGUUUAUUUUUGUAAAAAAUAAAAAUAAAAAUUAUUUCAAUAUAUUUAAUCUUAAUUGCAGUUUUGAUCCUCCUAUUUCCAUCAUUUUGUGGAAUCGGUCUUCCUAUUUUAAAAUUUGACAGUUUUGGUCCCUCCACCAAAUGUUUGGUCUAAAAUAUGGUAAUAUAACAUGUUUUAAAUAAAAUUUUUAAGAUUUUUUUCUUACAAUUUCAUUGAUGUUGAUCUUUUAAAAAAAUGAAUUAUAACAGGUGAGCUCUAUAAUAACACAAUAGAUGGUAAUUCUAAAAGUAUAAACAGUUUUUUUUGUAAAUGCACAGUAUUAGCUGUCUUUCUAAAAUUUUACGUGAUAUAGAAAAAAAAGCCAAUGUUUAGGGAUGUUAUGAUUAUGGAUGUUGUAUGUUUUCAUAAAAAACAACUAAGCAAUUACUAACUUUUCAUAAAAAAAAAACAACUAAGUAAUUACUAACUUUUCCAUACUAUAUUCCGUUGUUUAGGUUGAAAAAGCUAAUUAUAUAAACAUUUAAUUACUUUGAUAGAUUUAAGCUUAAUUGCAGUUUUGAUCCCCUUAUUUCUACUAUUUUAUGGAAUUGGUCUUCCUACAAAUAUAUAGUUAUUUCACCUUUUAAGGAAAAAAUGUAUCAUCCUCUUCUAUAAAUACGGUCAUCUAUUCCUCAAUUUCUACAAAGAAAUAAAAUUGUGAAUCAUGGGUCGUAAAAAGAUAGAGAUGGAACUUGUGGAGAACAGGAGUGCUAGGUAUGUCACAUUUUCAAAAAGAAAGAGUGGUAUAUUUAAGAAGGCAAGUGAGUUGUCAAUUCUUUGUAAUGCUAGAGUUGGUAUAGUUGGAUUUACCCCAAGUGGUAAUCCAUUUGCUUUUGGUUCUCCAAAUUUCCAAGCUGUGGCUGAACAAUACCUUCAUGGAGGACAAGAAUUAGAAGCUGGAUCAUCAAGGCAAAUUGUUACACUCUCUGAAAAUCCAAAUAUCAAAUUGAUGAACAAAGAAUUGAGUGGUUUAACCGAAGAGCUGAAGAAGGUGGAGGAAGUUAAGAAAGGUAAAGCCCCUAUUGCACUUUCUGAUCUUAACUUAAAAGAACUUCUAAAAGUGAAGUCUUCGCUGAAAGAGCUUCAUGGUGACAUCGAUGCAUCAUCUUCUUUGCUUCUUCUUUCAAAGAAGCCUAUACGCAUCAUUGAUUUGGUUUGUAAAAGAAUGGGAAAAUCCAAUAUUGUGAAAACUAGUUACUAGUUGGGGAUUUUGUGGUGUUCAAUUUUAUAAAUAUAUCGUGAAUAAUUUGAAUUUGUUUUUCUUUGUUUUAUAUUUUGGAAUUUGACAUCUUCAAUCCGAGUAAAAAUCUAAUGAAAUCAAUUUUCCAUUAUAAUUUUUUUUUUCUUCUCUUUCAUGGUCUUAAACAUAAACAAAAAGACAUGGGGGAGUAUAUUAUUUUUCCUUUACAACAUCGCCUCUUGUAUUAAUGCAUUUGUUUUUUGGUAUGCACAUUGCUAUCCAUGUUUUUUCACAACUUGUGUAAUAAUUUGAUGAUGUUUGACUAACUUUAUGGUUCACGAUCGAUAUAGGUUUUGCAAUGUGCUUAAAUUUUAUCAAACAUCAAAUUGUGAGGUUUUAGUGAACUUAUGAUGCAUCGCCUAUAUAUGAUUUCACUAUCUCCUUCUUAACCUCCACUUCACCACACCUCAUCUCUAAUCUCUCCCCCGUUUUCAUUUCACCUACAUCUUUAUGGCUAUUAACUCCACCAUAGUCAAUGUGAAAACUUUCAUAUCUCUUUGAUCUCAAAAUCUCACCAUAAUUGGACUUCAAUCAUCCCAUCAACGAAGCUCCAACGAAAAUUAAUUGUUGUAAACAAGGACAAACAUUAGAUUAUGGAUUCAGAAUGUAAAUGCUUUUAGGCCUAAAUAAAUAAAUGUUUACUAAUAAGUGAAAACAAUACAGUAGAUUUAGGUACCUCGACGAUAUGGUCCAAGUUCCAUUACUCAUGGACAAGGAUUGAUCCUUAAAGGAAUUUACCAGAGUUCUUUGGUACUUAUAGCUCUUCUAUUUUUUUACAGUAUUUUUUUUUCAACGAUUUAAGUGCGUUAAACCUUUGGGAACAAGAGUGCUAUUUAUUUCAACAAAAAUUGUUAUUUAUGUCUUUUUUAUAAAGAAAGUAACUCAAAAUCACAUCCUUAUUAAUAACAUUAACAACACAAAACAGUAUUACCUCAAAAAACUGAGAAUAAGCAACAACAUUAGCUUAUCUCGUAGUAAACUCUGUAACUGAGUUUGGACAUAAAUGUUUAAGACUUCAAAUAGAAUCACUGAAAAUAAAACCAAAAUAAGAUAAAUUCUUGGAAAGAUUGUUGAAAUUAUCUACUACUAUAGCAUCAAGCUCAAAAAUGUCUCCAUCCAAGCCCAUUUAUGAUACUCAUUUGAUGGCUCUCAAAAGAUCAUAUGUUUCAUCUUCUUUCAUUGACAACAUAGGAGAGUUUGUAGUUUUAGCUUUGACAAACAACUCACAGUGAUCCUUGAUGCACGUACCAAUACCCACCUUGUUGUAUAGAAAAGAUGCAUCAGCAUCAUAGAGAAUGGUUGUUUUGACACAAUAGUAAAAUAACCAAUUGAAUAUCUCAAAAAAAUUCUCAUAGUAAAAUACAUUGUUUCUAAACAUUGUAAGAUCAAUAAAUCAUCAUUAUGCAUGACAUGCCACCUUUGCAAUGUGAAAAUUAUAAAAUGUUUUAAGGCUCAUACCACCUUUCUUUUCCUUACGUAAUAUCUCUCAUCUAAUCCAAUGGAUUCUACCACUCCUUGUUUGCUAUCCCAACAAAAACUUACUAGUCAUGCAUUCAAUGUGCUCAUAAACUCAUAUGAAGUAGAAAACAACUCAUAACUUACGUAUGAAGUGCUUGAACCAUUACACUACAAUGUAAUAAUCAAAUGGGGUUGUUAUAUUUUUAAGUUUCAUUUUCAUCUUACUGUAAAACAGAAUGCUAGGUUUACGCUUUAGAUCUUACCUCAAUGAUUGUUUUUAUCCAAAAGAUUUAAACAAGAAUUUAUGUCAACAUAAAAAUUGUUGAUAAAUAUCUAGAUUUCAUAUAAGAUAUAUACGUGAAAGAAAUUUGAUAGUAUAGUUCCAUAAAUAUUGCAUAAAAAGAAUAUUAUAAGAUAAUUUUUCAUGUGAAGGUUUUAUUACCUAUCGUGGAUAUUUUUAAGUUUAUUUCAAAUGAACGGAUGAUAGAUAAUAAUGUAUACUCGAGUUUGGAAUAAUGUCAUUAAUAUUGAGACAUGUGCAUGUAAUGAGAGUUGGCAAAUAUGAAACAACUCUAAGUUUUCUUGAGGUAGACUAAUGGCUAGAUUCAUACACAUUAUGUUUGGAGAAGUGGGAAAUUUGGAGUUUGAACCUCGGCUCCUGCACACAUAGUAGCUAUCAACUCGGUUACACUUAUGGAACAAAAAACAACUCUAAGUUUAAUACACGUAAAAGAUGUAUUCAAAUAUCUAAAAAAAAAUUUGUAAUAUUGAACGAUACAAUGACUUUUAUAGAUGGUUUGCGCGCGCAUAUGUGUGCAUAUCCAAAUUAAUGCAAGUGUUUUCAUUAAAUGUUAAAAGCACAACAUAGUUAUAUUUCUUCCCCUAAAAAAUGAUAUUUCUUGACAACUUCACAUCACAAAAACAUCUAAAAUAUAUAAGAGAAACAUUCUUCAAUAAUAAGGGAGGAUGCAACAUAUGUUGCUCAAAAAAUUAGUGUUUGUAAUUGAUAGCUAAUUUUGAAAAUUGUACAUAAUUGGUACAAGUAAUUGUAUAAUGACGAGUUAAAUGGGGUAAUCUUGAGGUUUGGGAAGUAUUAUGAAACAAAACAAUGCAAUCAUAAAAGUCUUGUUUUAUGUAUGUGUAUUUUGUAAUAAUGAGUCUUGUAUAAUAGAAUUUAUCUCUAAUGCGGGAUGUUGAUGACUUCAAGUCAAAUCAAUGUUUAAUAUGAUGCUCAAGUCAACACACAUCUCAUUGAAGAACAUUUAGAGUUUAAGGAUUGCAGUAGUACAAGUGAUAUAUGUAACGCCCUCUCUAAUUAUUUGAAUAUUUUUAAUGAGUUUAGAAUACAUUUAUAUGAUUUGUAUUAUUUAUAUGAUUUAUUUUGAUGAGUGAUAUUUUGUUAUGAUAUAUGUUGGUAUUUAUUAGUAUAACAUAUAUGUGUUAUUUGAUUUAAAAAUAUAAAUGUUAUUUAUUAUAGAAAUACAUAUGAUUUGUUGCAGAAAUAAAUGUGAUUUGUUAUAGAAAUAAAUGUUAUUUGUUGUAGAAAUACACAUGAUUUGUUAUAGAAAUAAAUGUUAUUUGGUGUAGAAAUACACAUGAUUUGUUGUAGAAAUAUAUGUUANNNNNNNNNNNNNNNNNNNNNNNNNNNNNNNNNNNNNNNNNNNNNNNNNNNNNNNNNNNNNNNNNNNNNNNNNNNNNNNNNNNNNNNNNNNNNNNNNNNNNNNNNNNNNNNNNNNNNNNNNNNNNNNNNNNNNNNNNNNNNNNNNNNNNNNNNNNNNNNNNNNNNNNNNNNNNNNNNNNNNNNNNNNNNNNNNNNNNNNNNNNNNNNNNNNNNNNNNNNNNNNNNNNNNNNNNNNNNNNNNNNNNNNNNNNNNNNNNNNNNNNNNNNNNNNNNNNNNNNNNNNNNNNNNNNNNNNNNNNNNNNNNNNNNNNNNNNNNNNNNNNNNNNNNNNNNNNNNNNNNNNNNNNNNNNNNNNNNNNNNNNNNNNNNNNNNNNNNNNNNNNNNNNNNNNNNNNNNNNNNNNNNNNNNNNNNNNNNNNNNNNNNNNNNNNNNNNNNNNNNNNNNNNNNNNNNNNNNNNNNNNNNNNNNNNNNNNNNNNNNNNNNNNNNNNNNNNNNNNNNNNNNNNNNNNNNNNNNNNNNNNNNNNNNNNNNNNNNNNNNNNNNNNNNNNNNNNNNNNNNNNNNNNNNNNNNNNNNNNNNNNNNNNNNNNNNNNNNNNNNNNNNNNNNNNNNNNNNNNNNNNNNNNNNNNNNNNNNNNNNNNNNNNNNNNNNNNNNNNNNNNNNNNNNNNNNNNNNNNNNNNNNNNNNNNNNNNNNNNNNNNNNNNNNNNNNNNNNNNNNNNNNNNNNNNNNNNNNNNNNNNNNNNNNNNNNNNNNNNNNNNNNNNNNNNNNNNNNNNNNNNNNNNNNNNNNNNNNNNNNNNNNNNNNNNNNNNNNNNNNNNNNNNNNNNNNNNNNNNNNNNNNNNNNNNNNNNNNNNNNNNNNNNNNNNNNNNNNNNNNNNNNNNNNNNNNNNNNNNNNNNNNNNNNNNNNNNNNNNNNNNNNNNNNNNNNNNNNNNNNNNNNNNNNNNNNNNNNNNNNNNNNNNNNNNNNNNNNNNNNNNNNNNNNNNNNNNNNNNNNNNNNNNNNNNNNNNNNNNNNNNNNNNNNNNNNNNNNNNNNNNNNNNNNNNNNNNNNNNNNNNNNNNNNNNNNNNNNNNNNNNNNNNNNNNNNNNNNNNNNNNNNNNNNNNNNNNNNNNNNNNNNNNNNNNNNNNNNNNNNNNNNNNNNNNNNNNNNNNNNNNNNNNNNNNNNNNNNNNNNNNNNNNNNNNNNNNNNNNNNNNNNNNNNNNNNNNNNNNNNNNNNNNNNNNNNNNNNNNNNNNNNNNNNNNNNNNNNNNNNNNNNNNNNNNNNNNNNNNNNNNNNNNNNNNNNNNNNNNNNNNNNNNNNNNNNNNNNNNNNNNNNNNNNNNNNNNNNNNNNNNNNNNNNNNNNNNNNNNNNNNNNNNNNNNNNNNNNNNNNNNNNNNNNNNNNNNNNNNNNNNNNNNNNNNNNNNNNNNNNNNNNNNNNNNNNNNNNNNNNNNNNNNNNNNNNNNNNNNNNNNNNNNNNNNNNNNNNNNNNNNNNNNNNNNNNNNNNNNNNNNNNNNNNNNNNNNNNNNNNNNNNNNNNNNNNNNNNNNNNNNNNNNNNNNNNNNNNNNNNNNNNNNNNNNNNNNNNNNNNNNNNNNNNNNNNNNNNNNNNNNNNNNNNNNNNNNNNNNNNNNNNNNNNNNNNNNNNNNNNNNNNNNNNNNNNNNNNNNNNNNNNNNNNNNNNNNNNNNNNNNNNNNNNNNNNNNNNNNNNNNNNNNNNNNNNNNNNNNNNNNNNNNNNNNNNNNNNNNNNNNNNNNNNNNNNNNNNNNNNNNNNNNNNNNNNNNNNNNNNNNNNNNNNNNNNNNNNNNNNNNNNNNNNNNNNNNNNNNNNNNNNNNNNNNNNNNNNNNNNNNNNNNNNNNNNNNNNNNNNNNNNNNNNNNNNNNNNNNNNNNNNNNNNNNNNNNNNNNNNNNNNNNNNNNNNNNNNNNNNNNNNNNNNNNNNNNNNNNNNNNNNNNNNNNNNNNNNNNNNNNNNNNNNNNNNNNNNNNNNNNNNNNNNNNNNNNNNNNNNNNNNNNNNNNNNNNNNNNNNNNNNNNNNNNNNNNNNNNNNNNNNNNNNNNNNNNNNNNNNNNNNNNNNNNNNNNNNNNNNNNNNNNNNNNNNNNNNNNNNNNNNNNNNNNNNNNNNNNNNNNNNNNNNNNNNNNNNNNNNNNNNNNNNNNNNNNNNNNNNNNNNNNNNNNNNNNNNNNNNNNNNNNNNNNNNNNNNNNNNNNNNNNNNNNNNNNNNNNNNNNNNNNNNNNNNNNNNNNNNNNNNNNNNNNNNNNNNNNNNNNNNNNNNNNNNNNNNNNNNNNNNNNNNNNNNNNNNNNNNNNNNNNNNNNNNNNNNNNNNNNNNNNNNNNNNNNNNNNNNNNNNNNNNNNNNNNNNNNNNNNNNNNNNNNNNNNNNNNNNNNNNNNNNNNNNNNNNNNNNNNNNNNNNNNNNNNNNNNNNNNNNNNNNNNNNNNNNNNNNNNNNNNNNNNNNNNNNNNNNNNNNNNNNNNNNNNNNNNNNNNNNNNNNNNNNNNNNNNNNNNNNNNNNNNNNNNNNNNNNNNNNNNNNNNNNNNNNNNNNNNNNNNNNNNNNNNNNNNNNNNNNNNNNNNNNNNNNNNNNNNNNNNNNNNNNNNNNNNNNNNNNNNNNNNNNNNNNNNNNNNNNNNNNNNNNNNNNNNNNNNNNNNNNNNNNNNNNNNNNNNNNNNNNNNNNNNNNNNNNNNNNNNNNNNNNNNNNNNNNNNNNNNNNNNNNNNNNNNNNNNNNNNNNNNNNNNNNNNNNNNNNNNNNNNNNNNNNNNNNNNNNNNNNNNNNNNNNNNNNNNNNNNNNNNNNNNNNNNNNNNNNNNNNNNNNNNNNNNNNNNNNNNNNNNNNNNNNNNNNNNNNNNNNNNNNNNNNNNNNNNNNNNNNNNNNNNNNNNNNNNNNNNNNNNNNNNNNNNNNNNNNNNNNNNNNNNNNNNNNNNNNNNNNNNNNNNNNNNNNNNNNNNNNNNNNNNNNNNNNNNNNNNNNNNNNNNNNNNNNNNNNNNNNNNNNNNNNNNNNNNNNNNNNNNNNNNNNNNNNNNNNNNNNNNNNNNNNNNNNNNNNNNNNNNNNNNNNNNNNNNNNNNNNNNNNNNNNNNNNNNNNNNNNNNNNNNNNNNNNNNNNNNNNNNNNNNNNNNNNNNNNNNNNNNNNNNNNNNNNNNNNNNNNNNNNNNNNNNNNNNNNNNNNNNNNNNNNNNNNNNNNNNNNNNNNNNNNNNNNNNNNNNNNNNNNNNNNNNNNNNNNNNNNNNNNNNNNNNNNNNNNNNNNNNNNNNNNNNNNNNNNNNNNNNNNNNNNNNNNNNNNNNNNNNNNNNNNNNNNNNNNNNNNNNNNNNNNNNNNNNNNNNNNNNNNNNNNNNUAUUGAAGAAAUUCCGCUGCGAAGUAUUAAAGAUUUUGUUAUUGAAUUUUAAAGGAUAAAUAGUUAUUUAUUCAGUUUAUGAUUUUAAGAAAAGAAGUGUGACAUUCCGUUUUUGUGAAUUACUCUGAUUAAAUAAAUGAAAUUUUCACGUUGGGAAAACGGGGUGUUACAAUAUAGGUUGAAAUUUGUUACCAUUAUAGUAUUUGAUUUAAACAUAACUCAACUUUAUAAUCUGACUCAGGGGAGAUGGUUGUCCCCACUUUUAACUAUUAUUAAUUGUAACAUAUCACUAUUUUAUAUGAAAUGUUGAUGAUACAUAUAUGAGUUAUUAUGUGUUGUGUUACCAUCGUUCGUGUACUUCUACGAGAAAGGUCGACUAUUUUGCAUACUAUUUAACUAACAUUUCUUUUUAAAAUCCAUUUUUUUAUCGAGUAUGAGCCCCAGACCUUGCAUAUAUUAUGCAUUAUUCUUAUCAACAACUUAGUUAAAUUCAUAGGGGACUUUGUAAAUCCAUUGGCACCGGAUUUCUUUGUUGGAUACUCUUCCCUUAUCUAUCUUUUAUCUCAUAUAUGCAUAAUAUAUCAACAUGUGUAAUAUGAAUGUUCCUAUGCAACCAUAAAUCAAUAUGAUUAGAUAAAUAUUUUUGCAUAUUUAAAAAUUAAUAAGAAAUGGAAGAACACUAUAAAGGUGAUAGCUAUAAGUGAAUUUCAUCUUCUACCAUAACAACAAGUCAUAAAGAAUAGCAAAUAAAAAAUAGAUUUUAUGGAUAAAAUGUUCACGCUAUAAAUAGUGUAUAGUCAAUAGACAUUGUUAAAUUAAAAUUUGUUUAAAUUUAUGCUUAAACUUAUAACUUUUUUUAAUGAAAACAUUAUAUGAAACUUUCUUAUAAAAAAUUAGAUUCUUUUAACAUGUAAUGAAUUAAAUAUGAAUUUGUCUAAACGAAAAAAAUUUAAGAUGAAAGUAAUGAAAAUUUGGACCUAAAAAAUAAAUUUUGAACUAUUUUUUUCGGGAAAACUUUGUAAAAUGUUUUAAAUAAAUAUGUAAAAAAUUCUUCAAAAAUUUAAAAGUUGAAGCAUAAUUAAACACAUUUUAAAUUUAUAACGACUAAAAGUAUGUGAUAAAAAAAUUAUAGGAAUUAAAACAUGUCACCUUUUUUUCGAAAGAAUGUCACUUUUUUAUGAAGACUAUGACUAUAUUAUAGAGAUCAAAAACUUAUUUAACCCUAAUCAUAAUUUUUUUAAAGCAAUAGUCGUAAUGCAAUUGAAUUAACAAUAAAAUACUCAAUGGGUCUUUCAAAAAAAAUUAAUGGGAAAUUUUUUAUACAAUCACUCACGUCACCACCGUAAUAAUCAAUGAUCAAAAAAUUGUACACCAGCGGGAUGGAGUUAUUGUAUUAAGCAUAUUUUUUUGUUUAGGUUUUAGUUUAGGCUUAAACAGCUAAAUAAAUUAUUUAAUCAUACAAUAAAAAAAAAUACUUAUAAUAUUAAAUAAAUAUAUAUGUGGGGUUGCGGGGCUGGGCAGUAUAGUACCCUUACCCGUACCCAUACCCAUUUAAAUUCGUGGGUAUUACCCGGACCCUUCCCCAGACUUAUGAUAGUGGGGUUUUACCCUACCCAUUAUGGAUAUUUUAUGGGUAUCCAUUGGGCCUGGGUCAAAUUAUCAUCCCUACUCAUCCAAGUUUGCUGAUUACUCACCACGUUGAUAAUAUCCUUCUUGCCUUGGUAAAAACUCUUCACAAAAAAUAAAACUUUCUCACAACUGUACAUCAAAAGUGCUAUGAUGAAUUUGAUGAUUCUUCAUGGUCUAUAACUCAAACAAACCCUAACAAAAUGAAGGAAUAAAAUCAUAAGAGACUUUAAGGAAUUGAAAUGAAAUUUAAAGCAUGUAGAUUGCGAUCCACCUAGAUACUAAGAACAAUAUCUACAUCAAGUAAUUACGGACAAUGACGUCUAAAAAAAAUAGAUUUUUAGUAAAGUGGUCAAUCUUCACUUUUUGAAAGAUAAUAAGCUUGAAUUAUGAUUAAAUUAGGCCUCAAUAGAUGACUACGGUUUCACAAAAACGAACCUCAAAAUUGCACAUUUUUUUUAAUAAACAAAAAUGAAUUAUAUUAACAAUAUCAUAAAGUCUUUAGUAGCGCAAGGUAUGCCGAGAAGAACUUCAAAAGCUUACAACCAAACAAUAGUAAUCAAAGGAAACGAAAAUAAGUUAGUUGAUGCCCAUAUAAGCAAAAUAGCUCGACCACCACAUAUGAAAGUUUGAACCAAAAUUGACAUUAUAAGUUUUCAGCCACAAAAAAAAAAUGUAACUUGACUUUUUCUAACAGUUGAUGAAUUGUAUUCUCCUUAUUCUUGAAAACUCUAUUAUUUCGCUCAUUCCACAAAACUGAAACACAACAUAACCAAAUAAUCUACAUGAAAGAACGACGUGUUUGCGUGCCACCAAGGAGUAAAAAAAAAAACAAAACAAGAUGAUCCAUAAGAGAGUACGGAUCGGCUGAUGAGAUGCCCAUCCAAGAUCUGACCAAGCUCCACGGAGGGGCAAAGACAAAAUAGAAACAAAUGGUGACCUGUCUCUAAGCCUCUGCAAUCAGUCACACAUAACUGAGAGUCAUGAGAAAUAAUGUCAUGCGCCGCGAAAUUAUCUUUAGUCGGUAACUUGUUUCGAAAAGUCUUUAAACCAAAAUAGAAACUUUCAGGAAAACUUAUUUGUGCCAAUAGAUAUGAAGUAGUUGCAACCCCCAUUCCCCCUCCUCAAACCACCAUNNNNNNNNNNNNNNNNNNNNNNNNNNNNNNNNNNNNNNNNCCCCCCCAACACCUACACAAAUUCUCACUACCUCCUGCCACCACAAAGAACCACUUCGGCCCUCAACCACCAACUUCUACACCUCCUCACCAUAACGAACUACCAACACCCUGUACAACAAACCUCCUCAAAAUUGCACAAUUAAAUUCAAAAUGAAAUACACACCAAUUCUCUCUCAUUAAUAAGUUACUUUAAACAAUAAUAAUCACUUACUUGUUUACGAGAUAAUCAAUUGAAAUAUUUGUAAAAUUAUAACCUCAAGAUCGUUGGAUAGUUUAGGAAGAAAAAAAACACAUCAACACAUUGAAUGUGUUCUAUCCUCAUUUGACUCAUCUUAGCCCUUGGAAGAAGUUUUCGCACCACAUGGAUCUAGUAUUCGAGGCAAACUCUCUUUGUUGUGUACACUAUUUUCAUUAUGGUUGCUCUUCAAGCAAUCCUUUUUGCCUUCUUGUUCGCUACCAUGUCACAAUUUUAAUGUUUCUUCCGAUGUUGCCAUUUUUCUAAAUAUUAUUUCACUAAUUUUUGUUGUCCUGAUAAAAGAUGCAACUACACUAUGUACAUGGUUGGUAUCAUGUGGGUUGGACAAUUUGAUUUUCCAAACUAACCGCAAUAUCAAACAUGUACUAUCUUUCAUAGAAGUUUUUUUUUAUAAACAAAAUAGCAAUGUUCAUUAUAAAUUCAUACAUACAUGAAUGAAUGUGUUGGUGUUCGAACUCUGAUUACAAUGUCGGAUAAAGAAUUGUUCCACAAAAAAUCUAACUCAUAUUCUCUCAAACGAUAGUAUUAUCAAUUUUGUAUUAUCUAAAAUUUGCCCUUCAUAAAUGUGACAAUAGAAAAUGAAAAUAUAUUAUAUAUGAUUGACCAUCUACGAUACAAGUUUAAUCUACAAUUUCCUCAAUUCAUUUUUUUAACACUAAAAAAAACUCAUAGUUUUUUUUUUUUAUCUUAUUGGACACCACAUUAACAUAAAAUUAUUGUCAAAUUAUCCAUUGACGAGAACCACAUAUUUUAAAUGUGUGUAAACGGCGAAUGAGUUAGAACUCUAGAUAUCAAAUAUGCAAAAUUCAUUCAAUUUUUUAUCACAUGUAAUUACAACUUACAAGACAUAAAAAUCUUUUUUAUACCAACAAAAAGAACAUAAAAUUCAUUCACCGAGAUGAUUAAAAUGGAAUUAACCAAUUGACUUUAACAGUAUACAAUUUGACAGAAACAGUUACGUUUCAAAGGUAAGAAAAACGUGUGCUAAUGAUAAUCAUAAGAAAAGUAAACAAAACCCAAUAAUUCAUAUCAUUAUCAUAUGAUAUCAUUAUCAUAUGAGAAAUAAUAAAAUUAAAUUCUAAAAACGAAAUCAGAAAGGAAGAGAAAAGAAAAUGCGUCUUAUUUUCUCCACACAAAAACGACCAUAAUUCUUUGCUGGCACAAUCGUUCCCAUUGUUAUCACAAAAUCACAACAGAUUCAUUUCUGUUUUUCCCAUUUUACCCCUCUUCACAAUAUCCUCUUGCGAUGUUUCAUGUGGCGGUGUUGGUAAAUCUCUCUCUUACAUGCACUCGCAUAUAGAUAUAUCAAUAUAUAUAAGAUCGAUCUCUCUCUUCUCUGUGAAUUCAACAAAACCUCUUUCUUCUUCUUCCAUUUUCUUCUACUUUCCUUCAACAACCUUCAGCCAUGGCGGGAUUCGGUGGGGGCCACUGUUUCCCGUAUCCACUCUUCGCUGUCAUCAUUGUCCUUGCUAUUGUUCACGCGAUUCUUGCUUCCAUUGCAACUAUUCAGGUUAUUUUUUCAGCAUUUUCGUUUAUUUUUUUAGAUUAUUUGAUCAAUUUAGGUUUUGAUUUUUAGUAUGAUGGUGGAUAGUUGGAUAAGGAAUUUGAGAUAAGAAAAUGUGUUGAAUUUUACUGAAUGGAUUGAGAUUAUUAGAACUGCAUUUUGUGAAUUUUUUAUUGUUUUGUGAUGAUUGUGAAAUUCAAUUAGGCUAUGUUUAUGUGAUGUUUCUUCAAUGGCCUAAAGAGUUUGAUAAAGUAUACAAUUGGAACUAUUUUUUUAGUAAAAUGUAAUUUUUGAUUAAUAUUUGAUUGAAGACUUAUAUAAACUCUAUGGGAAGAGUGUGUUAUGUUGAAUUAAUAGUGGUUUGUGUUGGUAUGGGGAAAUUGUGAAGUUAGGUUUGGUUUUUAGGGUUAAUUAACCCAAUCUUGAUUUCACUUAUCUACUUGAACUUGAUUAUGAUUCAGUUUAAGAAUGAAGUGAUUGGGAUGGUAUUUCAUUAACAUUGACUUCGAGAAACUGAGAUUUGAGCUCUUUAUGCUGUAGUGUACUGUGAGUUCUUAUUGUACUCAAUGUUGGUUUUUUGUUUUUGGGUACCCCAGUCGCUGAGGAUUCACUUGAGAAGUUUACAGCUUGGUUGGACUCGUCAAAAAGUAAGUGCAUUUUCCGAGCUACUAUGUUUCAGAUUGCUACUAUGACUUGAUAUUUUGUGAAUGGAUGAACUUGUUUAGUUUUUAAAUGUAAUAAUAAUAAGUGAUAAGUGAAAUGUGACUGGCCACUAUUUGCCAAUCGAUGCUCUAGUUUCACACUGCAUAUAGUUGUGCUGUUGGAAUUAUGUCUUCACUAUACCAAUUAUCGAAAUUUGAGAGCCUUUCCAACUCAACAUUCAUUUUGAAUUCCGGAUAGAAAUAAAUGGUCUUGUGUGUUUAUAGUAAAGGCUGGUAGAGUAUGCUUUUGUUGCUAUUUAAGUAACUAGCAAUUUGUUACUUUUUAGAUGGCAACAUCUGCCACCCUUAUCUUUUCUCCUCUUGCUACCUAUCCUCUCUAAUUUUUGCUGGUGGUGUGGGGAUGUUACAUGUUUGUGUGUGUAUCUUACAUGAUCAAUGAAUGCAUCAAAUUCUAGUCUCAAUGUAGUGUCCACAUGUCUAUAAAAAGUAAUUUCAAUGCUGGCAUUACAAAAAAGAAAGGAUAGACAUGUGAUGGAAUAUCGUAAUGUAGUUGCAAUUUGUAUAUUGGACAUAGGUAUACGGUACUUCUAUUACUUAUUCUUUGAGCUUUUAUGAGUAUAUAAUUUUUCUAUUGGAAUGUAGCUUUAUUGUCACUCACCACUCUAGGUUUUUACUUGCUAUUAGACCAGCUUCUGUUAAAUAUAUUAGCUUCUCACGAAAUUUAAAUAUAUGGAAUGCAGGUGUUUCAUCUAUUGAUUGGCUCUUCUAACUGGGGUUAGUUGUAUUUACCUUUAAUGCUCAAGUCUCUUUUAAAUGUCAAGUGGUCAGCACGUUGCACACUAUAUUUUAGGCCCCGGUUACUGAUUUUUUUUUAUCAUUUCUUAUUUUUAAUGGUUAGACUGAGCCUUUUAUUAUUGCAUAUUUUGCAACAAUAUAUGAGGCCAUCCUGAAGAAAUGGCUGUGUUCAUUAGAGAUCUCCAUUUCUCGUGACAAAUGGAGAGGAUCUCUACUAAUCAACGUUGAAGUUUUAUUUUACAAAAGUACUUUGAUAGUUGGACCUGAUUUUUCUAAGUAUCUUCUUUUUUUUACACCUUCAUUCUAUUCCAUUUUCUUUUACAUUAGUAUCUUGUAAGAAAUGGCUAGAGAUCUCAGAUUUCUCUGCCAGAUAUCCACUGGGGUUAUAUCACGUCUUAUACUUGCAUAAGUUUUGAGAGGUACAUCGGAUAUGGUUGAUAACUCACAUAAUUGAAAUCAUGUUAUUUCAUAUUAAUGAUAUAUUCUUUAAGUGAUAUAAUUGCACUUGUAUUAGUUAAUCUCAUCCCGCCAACUUGAGAUGUGGAAAAUAUCCUGCGGAACUCACCCAUCUCUUCCUUGUGUAAACUUUGCAUUUUGGUAUUAUGGACGCAAUGACCAGUGCUGCCAUUUCCCUUCUUCCAUACAUGCUUCAAAGGUUGCUAAUAUGAUCAUUCAAAACUCACCGCAUUAUUUGCACUACCUAACUCACACUUGCCAUUAUCAUCACUACCUAAACCAUUGGCUUUCAAACCCAUCAUCCUCACCUCACCCCAUUCAUUAAUAUUUUUGUGUCACUCGUAGAAUUUGGGUUGGGCCUAACACAACCCUUACGAAACCGGCCUGUAAGGUGAUUAUGUCUCUCAUUUAUAAACUCAUUUUCAGAUCAGAUCUCAUCAAAUAUGGGACUCCUAACACACUUUACACAUUCAUGAUUGAAUAUCUAGAGCAUGACUUGAAUGGCCCAAUAACAGAUGACCAACCAUAUCUUAGAUAAGCUCUGAUGUCAUCUAUGAACUUUCCUACACCUAUAGGCCCCAAUUCUCUCUCUCACAAAUGACAAGUUUGAUCUCCCUCCUAAUCUAUUCUCUUAUUUAAAGGCUACGGGCUUUGUUUCUUGUAUUUAUCACAGCCAAACUAAGCAACUAACUAGGAAACACCUAGCAUAUCUCUUUCUCAUGUUUUUUCGUCCUAGUCCUAAACUUGGCAAGUCUGACGUUCUUUUGGCAAUCUGAUGCUUCUAUGUCAGAUAUCAUGUGUAGCUUGCCUGCUUAUCAAUUUCUUUUAUGUAGAAACGAUGAUCUUUAAUAACUACUUGAUACAAAUAGUGUCCAAUGUGUGAAUUUGUGAAAUGGUUCUAUUUUAGUUACUCACAAAAUACAUCAGCAAUAGUUAACAUUGCCCGUCCUCCUCGUUUUCUCUUCAUUUCAUCUUAACUGUUCGAUUUCAAAUUUCAGGUUACUCCAUUUAUUUGGCAUUGAUACUUCUUGCUGCUUGCAAGGGAUGGACAUAUUGGUCACACUCUUGUGGUUUUAUCUUUAUGGGUAUGCCUCUGUUCAGUAUUAACUAGACACCGGUGAUAAGCUUUUAUUGUUGGUUAAAAUAUUUAAACUGUUGAAAAUUGUUUUGCAGCACUCCCCAAAGUACUUUUUUUUGCAGCAUUUCUUCUUCUUUUAUCCUUCUGGUAUGUGAAUUUACUUGUUGUUAAGAUAUUUAUUUAAUUUUUACUGACUCGCAGUGUUUGCUACAAAAAAUUUACUUAUAGCAAGUACUAACAAUCGCUCUUUAGCCUUGAGAAAUCUCUCCUGCCAUCUCUUUCUUAUUUAUUUGUAUGUUCUUCACUUUUGAUUCAUUUCCCUUCUUACACCUGUAGUGGUGAAUUGUUGUUUACUGUAUGCCAGCAAAAUUUAAUUCAAGCUGCUUUAUAUAUAUCACAAACAAGCGGAGGGGUUGGGUAGCUCAACUGGUUUGAGCUAAGGGUUAAGAAGUUGGAGGCUCUGGGUUCAAAUCCGGACGAAUAAGUAAAUAUUAUCUAACAAUUAAUUACUAAAAUUUGCCUUUCAAAAUAUAUAUAUGUGUGUGUGUGUGUGUGUGUGUGUCUGACUUUUUUGAAAAUGAAAUGUGCAUAAAUAUGCACGCUGACAGUUAGGUUUGGUUUUCUGAGUUGUCAAGAAAACAAACAUUGUUUUGUUUUGGCGUUUUGAGACUUUGAGGUAGUAUUGUGAUUUAAUUCAAUUCGCAGGCAUUUCUUGUUUUAAACCAUUUCUAUUGUGUUGACUAUUUUUGUUAAAUGGUCGAACUGGACUCUUGAAUCAGGUCUUUAAAUAUAAACUUGAUUUAACUAGUAUAAGAUGACAUGUAUAUCCUCCAAAGUAGAAAUUGUAUGUUAGACUCCCAGAAAAUAAAUAUCGUGGAAGAAUUUUUUUUUAUUUACGUAUUACAUUGAUUGGUAUUGCAAAAUAAAACACCAAUAUUAAAUUUUCAAUUUUUAUUAUUUCCCUUUCUCUUUUUUACAAAGUCAUGUUAGGAUAAUGAUCUUUAGCUACAGAAUGAAUCACAACCAGAGAAUGACCGAAUGACAUUAAUGAUGCUAAAACUUUAUUAUAUAUUUUGGUGGGUGCAUAGGUGUGGUCUUGAUAUUGAUUUUUUAAAACGAAAAUGAAAAGUAUUGGUGAUGAAAACAAAUUUAGGAUUUUGUAGCAAUGAUUGAAACAUUAGAGGAGAGCAAACUUUUAUGCAAAAGUUAAAAAUUGUGAAAAUUCAAGGCGGUCAAGGAGGUGUGUUUUGGUGAUGGGGGUAUGUCUGUUGGAAGCUUGGUCCCCAUUUCACCCCACUGUUGCAUGUAUACUUGACCAUCUAACUCUACAGGUCAUCCACUCGCAUUAACAUGAUAAUGGAGUGCUUUAUUGAAUGAGAAUUGAGCAGCACCUAUAAUGAUGUAUAUCUAAUAUAAUUUUAGGCUAUUGUAUUGCUAAAUACUAACUACUUUCUAUGUUGCACUUGGGUCCCUUUUCCAGGGUUGACCUAUGCCAUCAGCCAGACGAUGACGAUGACUAUGAAGGAAGUUUCUCUGAGGAACCUUUGCUGGGAAAGACUUCAAAUGAAUUGAUUUUAACGAACAGGGAUAGACAUAGAAAGUGUUUUCCUAUUCGCUUUUCUCGUCUUGGAUAUCGUCAAAAGAUUGUGACUUUGGUAUGAGAAACAAAAAGUGCUUAUUCUCAUGUAGCUCUUAUUUUUGUCUUAUCACUCUAUCCUUAAUUUUGACGGUCAUAUAUAAAUUUCACAAGUAUUUCCUUCAAAUAUAAUGACUUGGAUAUGAUUCACCAGGUUAUGUUGCUACUUUUCAUCACCAUUGUGGCAUUUGCUGUAAUAAUCUGGAUUGGGCUUGGAAAGAAUCCCAUUGACUCUGAAGUGGCAGCUCGGGUAUGGUAACUGUAACUUGACUUUGUUUUGUGUAAUACAUAAUGCAUUAAAAAAAAGACUUAGAUCUAAAUGACUUGCUGGGAUUUUAGUUUAUGAUGGAAUGCAAUGGCAUUGAUUGACUCAUGUAGUCAUACUCAUCUAAUGGAAAAAGUUCUGGUAGUGGUUGUUAUUUUUGUGAUCUAUGAUGCCAUACACCACUAUGACUUUCUUGGUAGUGGUUGUUAAUUCUCCUUAUUCUAUAUCCUUAACGGGGCCUAAUGCAAUUCAUCAAAACCAGCUUGUAAGGUGACAGAGAACUUAGUCUAAUAACAGAAAUAGGAUAGUCUCUAAUACCAUCUUAGAAUUUGGCUUAGGGUCUAACUCAAUCCCACAAAACCAACUUGUAAGGUGAAGACUGUCCAAGCCUUAUAAGCAUUGCUUAGGCAAAUAUCUCUAGUCGAUGGGGGACUUCAACAUGUUUGUAUUUGAUUGGGCCAAAAUAUUUUUGUGAAUAUUUUCUAGAAGGAAAAAAUUCAACACAACAAAACAAUCAGAGAUGAUUAAAAAGUGUUUUGAGGAAAGAAGAUUCUCCUUAAAAUGUAAUAAGAAAAAUAGAAAAUAAACAGGAGAUAUCAAAGGAUCAAUGAGACAUAGUUACCUAAUCUCCUAAAUAUCUGCCAGAGAAACCUUUGUAAAAUGGUUAUCUACCCUGUGUAACUGACACUUGUUUCUUUCGGAAGUCUAGCUGGCUUUGAAUAGAAAUGUUGGGGGGAACUUCUAACUUUCUUAUCGAAAAAGAGUCGGAAGAACUAUGGUAUAUGUUGUUUGGAUGAGGAUGGAUUCAUAUGAUAAGCUUAGAUGCCAUAGUUCUAAUGAACCGUGGAUGUUUUCUCAGUCUUUGAACAAUCCUUUCAAUCAUGUUUUGGUGACGAAAGAUCUCAUGCAGGUGUACUUGGAUAUUUCUGCUAUUGGAAUGCUUCUCUUAGGCGGCGCACUGGCAUGUUAUGGUAAGCAACUAUUAUUCUAGUUGUUUUCCAUUUUAAGUUAAGUAGGUUUGAAGUUGAUUAUCUUCUCUUGCUUGAAGGGAUGUACUAAUUUGUAUAUCUGUGUCCUCGUGAGCUUAGCUCAGUUGGCAUGGACAAUGCAUAAUAUAUGCAAGGUCCAGGGUUCGAACCCCAGCCACCACCAAAAAAAUAAUUUGUAUAUCUGUGUAAAAUGCAUCAGCAUCAAUCAAUUUAUGAACCUGCAUUUAUUUGGCUGGUUAUCUUGAUGGAACGGUUAUGUUGUUAAAUCAGAUUUUUUUUUUUUUUUUUAUAUUCUACAUGACACAUGUACUUCAUGUCUUUUACCAUUUGUGUGAUAAGAGAACUCAAACUCUGCUGUUAUAAUUUGAUUAACUUGCUGCUUAUCAAAACAAAAAUAUGAGACAAAGUUGUAGUGAUAAAAAAAAAUAAAAAAAACCUUACUUAUGGUAGGGUACACUGAGCCGGUACUCUGUUCUUAACAAAAGAAAUGUUUAUUCUCUAUAAUAAUAACAAUAAUUUUAGGGUAAUGUUGGGUGAGCAACGUGAUACCGAAUUCAAACAUAAUAUAGGCCCUAUUUUUCUGGAAAGUCAAUCAUAAAUAAAAUCGUAGAAUACCAACAUUACCUUGGUCCGAGUGGAACUGGGUUCUGAUCCUUAAACAAGUUCUCAGGUUUGAGCCAUAGUGAUGGAAAAGAACGUGGUUGGGAAGGAAGACUCUCCUAAAGGUGGUCCAGCCAUGUUCCCCCGAGGGAGAUUGGUUAUUGGCAAAGUUUGUUGAUACUUCACACCAAUAACAUAAUUAGCAAAAAGAAGUCAAUAAUUUGUAUUGUUGAAAUGUUAAUGACUAUUGAGUACUGAGUCGUGAGAUGCCUGUUUUUGUAGACAUAGUUUCUCAUAGUAAUUUUUGUGUAUGUUCCUUUGUAGGAAUCCUAUUAUGCUUGAAGAUGAGCAAAGUGAGAGCUGAGAAACCUUCGUCUGAAAUGGGAAAGGUACGAAAUUUCUGUUUCCUCUGGUGUGCAUAAUAUUUUUAUAGAUUAUUGAAAGCAUUCCAUUUUAUCAGGUUGCAGGUUUAACAAUAGUCUCUGUACUAUGCUUCACGUCAAGUUCCUGCAUAGAACUUUUUACGGACAUUCCUGUAUGUAUAAGUUAAAUGUUUGCAAGAGUUUUUUAUCCUUGAUAAAAGUGCUAAAAUUUCCUCAACUAGCCUUCACGCUAUUAUUUUAUUAUUGCAGAUGAUGUUUCACUGGCAUCAGCAGCGUAUGAAUGAUGUAUAUGCCUCUCUUCUGCUGAUUUUGUAUUUUUUUGUGGGUAUGUGCUGUUAUAAGAUAGUUAUCGCCUCAUACUUGUUGAUGGAAUCUUUUAUUCUUUCCUUUUACGAAAGUAAUGACAGUCUUUGAAAACAUUGUACCUGGCCUGCUGCCUAUAAUACUUUGUUUAUGUUUUCCAUUCAAUUAUAGAUUGAUUGCUUUUUGAAAUGGUUUCUUCUCCUUUAAUUCUGAACCUGACGCUGUUUCCAGGUUCAUCAAUACCUUCAGCAGUAGUGCUGUGGGUAAUGAGAGAAUUACCGCCAGCAGAAGCUGCUGAUGUAGUAGAGGAAUCAAGUACAAUCGCUUUUGUUGCUAAUAGUUCAGUUGCUGCUCAUCAUCCUCGGAGCUGGACUACAGCUACAAGCAUGCAAAAUCAGGUCCCUAUAGUACACAUCUUGUCUUUGGUUAAAUUAUCUUUGCAGUAUUCAGUUGAUUCUGAAAUAUUUUUCCUUAUCUUGUCCUUCAUCAGUAGAAAAAUAAUUUUUUACAUGGAUUGCUCUUGACGGUUGAGGCUUUAAGAUUCAAAUUCAUAUUGUUUCUGACGAGUGUCAUCACACAAGUCACAAGGUGAAGUUGAAUGUCGAUCGAGCAUAUACAGAAAUAGUACAUAUAUGCAGAAUAUUAUGUUGUCAAUAAUUUUCUUAAAAUAACUUUGUUUAGUGAACUGGCUAGCACGGUACAUUUUUUAUUGUGUAUUAGUUUCCUUCAUCUUACAAUAGUUAUGCUUUUGUCCUGCCUCAAUAGUUUUUAAUCAUGGAUUUAUUUUCUUUUGUAUUUUGUUGUCAUGUUUUGUGGUUUUGUUGCACAUUAACCUAAUUGUAUAGUGACAUAACUGCUGUCAUUUUUGCAGACGUCAAGAGCUAGUCCUAUAUAAUCUUUCCAUGUAAAUCUUCUUGUUCCGCUGGAAUUUGGGCACAGCAUAUUGGAGUUUCUUCGGAACAUGUUGAACCUUAGAGCAAAGAUGAGAGAAAAUGAUGAUGGUGGAUGCAAGUACUAAAAGGCCUUGUGAUUUCCAAUCCUAAUGUACUUGCUUUUUAAAUCUAACUAACUGUAUAUAGCAGCGAUUUGAUAUAUGAAAUUUCUUUUCGUGCUAUACAAGUUUUGGGAUGCAAUGUUGGUUUGGAAUCUCUCGGUUCAAAUAACACUUGCCUGAUGUGAAUAUAAAUGUUGCCAAGCGAGCAUGUUAUUCCAACCUGCUUGUAAACUGAAUCAAUAUCACAGUUUUGACAAGGAUCUUUUUACUAGCUUCUACCCUUAUGGUAAUGGUAUGACUUGCUUUAUAUUUAAAAAAUAAAUAAAAAUCAAAUCGAAAACAUCUCAAACCAAGGGUCUUUUUAUAUUAGAUUUUUUAAAAAAAUACAUCCGAUAAUAUAGAGAUAUUUUUUAGAGAUUUUAAGAAGUAUGAACUAUUUUGUUUGUUUACCAUGGUAACAUUAAUUUUUUGAAAGGUAUACAUACUUAUUGAUUUCCAAUCAAAUGUGUUCAAAACAUGUUCUCAUUUUGAGCGGUUUUUAUAUUAUUAUUUUUGUAGAUUUUCAUUUUUUUGAAGUCGUAAAAGAAGGGUUAUACUUGGAAAGUUAUACUUUUUCUAAUAAAGAUGUUUUGUUUAAAGAAACUGUACGAAAUAUACCCACAAAUCUUAUAUUUUACAACACGUUGUAUAACAGGUCUAUUCAAUAAAAUCUUUAUAUUCAACUUUUGGAUUUGAUAAAUUCCAUCGAACCUGCAGAAUAAACGUGAGAAAAUGCAAUUGGUGAAGCUGAUAAUUAGGUUAUCAGUUGAUAAUUAGGUUAUCAGUUUCAUUGUCAAUUAUAUCAUGAUUUAACUUUUAAGGGUUGAUUCGUUUGUUUCCGGAUGAAAGAAGAAAAAGGAAAAAAAGAUACCGAUUUUUUUGUGUGCAUAUUCCAGUGCACCAAUGGUUAUGUAACGAGAUGAAACUUGAAACACCGUGGGGCCUAAACCAGUAUAAAGUUAGAAGUCACUGAAAAAAACAAAAGGUUCAAUAGUGCGCCACUAAAUGCAGUAUUGGGAGCCAGUGGUACGAAAAUGCACAUUCAAUGCAUACACGACAGUGAUCUGUGUUAAUUGAAACAACUUUUGUACAUUUCAAUGAAGGUUGACCACAACAGUAAUAAAGAAAAUCUACACAACAGAGAUUUGAGCGAGCUUUGUACAUAAAGCAUGCAAAAUAAAUCUGUCUUCUUUCUAGAAAAUAACACUUACAUGGCACUUGACUGCAUCAUGCAAAUACGGAUCCAAGGUACAAGAAGUACCGGAAAAAAACAUGUAUGAAACCACAUGGGAGAAAUUAUCAGUCCAAUAAAUUGAUAGUACAUUACAUACAUGGCAUAGCAACAUGCAUAAUAGACAUUAUUUUCAGAAAGAGCCUUCAGUCAAUCCCCACAAUUCAUACAGAAAGUAAAUAAACAAGCAUAAGUAAAAAAUCACUAGCUAGAAGUACAAUUAUUUCAGAAUUCUCUUACAUGACCAGAAUAAGUAAAAUGUCAGUCAUUAUUAAUUUGCAAGGCAUCUUCCCUCCAACGGUUACGAGGAAGGUGCGCAGGGCCGGAAAGUAGUCGGCAACGAUAGAGUUCCAACUGCAGCAGCAACAUAUAUGUAUCGUCCGACAUUUUCACGGUCCAACUCCGAAUUGCUCGACUUCAACCUUGAGAGACUUGAGGUAUUUUACAGCUUCGUCCAAAACGGUAACGGUAUCCAUUUGGUUGCCUCCACCAGGCACGAUAUUUCUCAAUAUUUUCACCAUCCUCUUCAUCUCUAGGUGUUGUUUCUUUUCACUGAUGCAGUAACCCUUUGUCCCUGACGAGUUAUGUGCGGAUGAUAACAACCUCUUCUUCCUUGAUUUCGUGCAGUAACUGGAGCAAGUAUCAGACGUACUAUCAUCUUUUUCAUGAGUCCUUGCAGUGCUGACUUCUUCUUCAUCAUAGUCUUCUAGUUCAUCCGAGUCUAGGCUCAACAAUGCAUCAAUGUCCUUAGAGUCCUCUACAAAAGAAGAUGACAAUUCCGUUUCCAUUUGAUUAAUUUUAUCCUUCUCGAAAUCUUGAUUGCAAGUAGCAUGACUGUUGAAGCCAGGACUGUUAAACUUGUAGGUCGUUGCAGGAUGGAACAAAAUCCGGUUUUGUUGAUCUGUUUGAUCAAAGACGAUGAAAUUCUUAGGGCAAACCUCAGAGGGCUGCAAGUUAAACCUUUCAAAGGGUGUUAUCUGCCUCGCACUUGGAGGUAAAACUGCAUCAAAGGUAGAAGCAUGUGAAAGAUUCAUAUAAGUACCAAAGGCAGAACCAUGUGGAGCAUUCAUGUAAGUACCGAAAGCAGAAGCAUGUGGAGCAUUCAUACAAGUACCAAUGGCUUCAUCUGCCAGAGGAUGUACUGCCUUUCCUGAGAGAAAAUACUCGUGAGUCUGCAUUAAAUAUCUGGUCACUCUCACUAAACUAAGCGCAAGCAAUGCUGAUUUGGCCUAUGCAACUGGAAAUUAUUUUGUACUAGAGCUGGAUGGAUGCUCCUACAGGGAUGUAACAACUAAACAGCAGGUACUAAGCUAAUUCCAAUUCCAUCUAACAAAUAAUGGCAACUUUUACAAAUUAAAAUUUCGUCUUUUCCAACAGCCUUCUAAUGAAGAAUUUCAAUACAAGGCAAUCUCUCCCCAAACCCAAAUCAAUGUUACUUGAAGCUAGACUACGUAACAGGCUUAAGCAACUGACGAAAAUAUUCAGCCUGCAUAAGAAAACAAAGUGGUAAAUAAUGUAGCAGUAAUAGAACAAGAAAAAUGCAAAAACUAUUUCACAACUAAUAGAGACAAUUAGUAAAUUUAGAGAUGUUGAUGUUCAAUACUACAAUUCUAUACCGUGCCAUUCAUAAAGUGUGUAUGUUCAAAAAGUUACCGGUAACCUUCAAAGCAUGUUGCUUUAAAAAGCCAUUAGCCAUAACAAUAUAAUGCAGCUCAAUCUUCAAUAUUUUUUACAAACUAAAAUAUAGAUAGAUCCACUUUUUGAGAAAUAUUUUUAGAAACUGAGAUAUAGACAGAUCCUCCUUUUGAGAAUAAUUUUAUGUCAUAUGAACUAAUAAUUGUACAGAUUCUAAUAUCUACCAGGCAAAAUUGGAGGAAUGAUGCAAAAUUCCAUUUAAUUUUCAAAUUCCGUAUCCAAAACCAUGGCAAUCCAUAAAAGGGGAGAAAUAUUUACCUGGCAAACCAACAUCAAUUGACUGUAUGCAAUAACUCCAACACUCAUUUUAAUGUACCCAACUUUGGCAAUGAACAUUCUCAACCUUAACAGCAGUUUUGAUAAUGAAAAAUAAAAAACACUGAUUAGAGGAUUUCCUCUACAGCCUAAUCACCUGCAGCAGCAAGACAGGAUAAAAUGAUCAUCAAAUCAGAAGAAAUAAGAAUCAAUGUACAACAUGAAAUAGUAAAACAUGAUACGAACAUACGAUAUUCAAAAUAAAGUAUGAAACUAAGGAAGCUGUAGUCGGUGUAUUGUUUCUAUCUACGGCACUUAUGUCAUGAGCUAUAUGACAUUCCCAAUCAAGCCAAAACAAUACUUCAUAACUUCUACUUUCCACGGCAAGUAGUAGAAAAAGUUGUAAAUAUGAUUCUAUAAACUAUAGCAGCAGGUCAAGAGAACAAAAUAUUUUACCUCAGCUAAUUAAAUUACAGAAUCACGCGAAAAAACACCACCAAGCAAACACAAUUACUCUUGAAAAGGGAAAACCACGGCAUCUUGAUUUAUCUCAAUUCCAGAAUAUCUUUAAUGACAAACCCAAAACUCUGACCUGAAAGUGUCAAAAUUAAGAUUCUAUUAAAUGCAAAAUCAACUAUAAAUAACAGAAAACUAAUAGAAGUAAAAGACCACCUCACUCCAAUCUAGCUCUAAAAUCAUAACCAAAUCCAAAACAAAUAAAUGAAGUGACAAAACAUAAAAGAACAGUUAUUAUACGAGUUCGAAAUUAAUAAAGCAUUUACAUACCUAACAUAUAAAAAUCCUAAACCUAAUCUCAAGAACAGAAUCCAAUAUUCAACUUUCAUACCCAUUAACUUAAAUGAAUUUUUACAGUCAAAUAUAGCAUAAAGUUCCAAACUUAACAUCAAAACCAUACACAGUACCAAAUCAAUUAAUGAAUUCAAAAAUAGAAAUAAAAAAAAUAGUAAUCAGCGAAAAAAAACUCAAUAUACGUAUAAAUCUAUGUUGUUGAACCAUAAAUAGAAACUUUUUAACUGAAAUCAAACAAAACCCAAAAAAAAAUUGAAUUUCAAAAAUCAAAAUUGAUGGAUUUAAAGGAGUGAAAUUGGAGAGAAAAGCAAGACCUAGGAUUAGUGAGGAAGAGGAAAAGGGUGUGAAAGGAAAUUGAAGAUGGAUCAGAGAAGAAGGGUUUGAGUGUUGAGAUGAAAAUGUUAAGAAGAUGAAAUUUUUGCGGAGAAGAGUUUUGAGAUUGGGAGCAUUUUCAAGAUAUGAAGGCGUGAUGGGAUGGGUCAAACAUGGAUGAUCUCAGCCGUUGGAUUAGAUCGACAUUGUUCUUGGAAAUGCACUUCCGUUUAUCGCGGGUAUGAUAGUGACCGUUCGAUUAGAGCACGCGUGAAGAGGGAUGGGUACCCGUGAGGUUGACAAAUGCUCGAUUAAAAUAAGGAAAAUGUUAACAAUUGCUCUAAGGGCGUUGUUUAAACAUCUAAUUAUAACAAAUUUUGCAUUGAAAAUUGUACGAUAUUAACUUUAAUAAGUGUUUGACUUAUAUUCUCAAUACAUAAUUUCAAAUUGCAAACACAUAUGCUAUGUGCAUACAAGUAGGUAGUGUUAAAUACGGUCUUUUUUUAUAGCUUCUAUCUGACACUCGCUUUUUAAUUGGUUGAAGUAAAUGUGAAUGUAUUACUUCUAACCACGCCUUAUCAAAGAUAGAAGAGAAUUGCUAUUGCAUAAUGUCUGUCACAAGUAAAAUAUGUUUUUGCUCCCUAGGAAUUUGAAACUAGCUGCAGUUAACUGUCGAGGAAAACCUCGGUAAUUAACUGCCGAGGAAAACAAUUAUGCAGUCAGUGGGUUCUGCAUAAUUCUAAAGCAUUUCCAAGCCAUUUUUCGGUCAGUUUUUACCUGUAAUUAAACCAGAGCAUUUUCAAAGGCAAUAUAAAUCAUACAACAUUGAAACUCGGUCAUAAACAAGAAAAAUAUAAUAUCUUUUACAAUUGUCCAUAAUUAAAUUAAACCGACAUUUGAUUCAAAUUACACAAAAGUUUGAAAUUCAUCAAAAUGUUACAAAGUGUCCAUAAUUAAACAACUCAUUACACAUGAUUAUAUUAAAUCCCUACUUACAUUCAUCACAAUUGCAUAUGCAACAAACAUACAUAUAUAAUAUAUUAUUUUCCACCAUAUUCUGAAACAUAAAUCCAACGUCGCUAUCGUCUUUAAUAAGCCAAGGCAUAUAGCUUGCCGUUUUCCAUGCGCAUUCAUCUCUAUCUUCUCCUAGGUAUAUGCAUGACAUUUGACCAAACAAGUGACGUGUAUAUUGAUUUUCAUCAAGAUGCUCAAAAUAAGUGUUAAGUUGUGCCUUCAAAUCAUCAAGAGAGUCUGUCGGCGUUAUCAUAACCUUAAUUGUCUUUUUAAAAGCGGAGUACCUAACACGGCCUUCAAUUUUUGCAACCUCAUACAUGUUUCACUUGACAAAAGCUUUAAGAAAAGAAUCAUAGAUCAGAACAAAAUUAAAUGAAAUGUAAUAACGAAUAAAUCAAAUGCGUAAACAUUAAUAACAAAUAAAUAAGUAUUGCAUUAGUUUCACCACAUAAAAGUUAUAUUAUCAUAUAUAUCAAUAUAAAUUACAUAAUGUUAAUUAUAUAUUGGCCACAAAAAAUUGGCGUUACAAUUUCGACCCCAAAAUAUACUUCGGUGUAAUUUCUACAAAAAAAAAAGACUAACAACGACAAAAAAAUCACUCAUCAAAGACCAAGUGAUUGGGGAAGAUCAAGUGAAUUAGAAUCUUCCUCAUCUUUCGCAAUAACUUCAAAUUGUUGCUUUUUUUUUUUGGAGUGUCCAACAAAAUAGGCGUCGCUUUGUUUGACUCCUUUUGUGGUUUCGGCAGUUUGUUUUCACUUUCAAUAGCCAUGAGCUUUCGGAACAACUCAUGUUGAUCCAAAUACUCAUCUUCCCAAGUCACUGCAUCUUCUUUCUUGUGAUUGUGCCACUCUGUAGAUGAUGGAGAUAGUGGACAACCAUUUUUCAAAUAAAUAAGCACGAAAUGAUUCGGAAUUGCCCCAGGGCACAAGAUGGGAGUUUUUUGCUUACCCAGCGGUGGUGGCCCUCUUAUUGGGAAAAAAAAUUCCGAGUUUCCAACUUCAAGAUUUGUCAACACGAUCACACACCUUUUGUAAUAAUUAGCAACAAUGUGUCCCAUGUCCGGAAAAGUCAACCACUCAACAACAAGAUGUGCACAACUUUUUGUAUUUGCGGGAGGAUGUAAGUCAUUUAAAAUGUAGUUAUAACGAUCCUCACCCGCAAAUACUUCAACAUAAUCAUCUCUAUGAUCUUUCAACUCUUGAAUAAGAAGUGUACGAAUCAUGAUAUGAUUUUAUUCGGUCAAGCCCAUGAACGCGGCUAUAGCCCGGAAUCCACAAUGUCCAUCGCCAAUAACAUCCACCAUUUUUUCAAUAAAUGGAAGCAUGUAGCGUGACAUAUAAUCAAUAGGCCUCAUAACCAGGAUAGUCUUAGGCUUUGGAUACCGAAAAGGUGGUGAAAGUGGGUUAAGUGAUGUUUUACCAAGACGAACAUCUUUUUUUUCUUUUAUAUGAUGAUGUUGUUGGUGAUGGUGACGGUUGACUAUCCGGAUUUUGGGAAUCAACAACCUCCCACGAAGAAGGGAUCCGACUAGUCAUGUAAUUUUUCCUUUAGACCUUGCAAUGUCCACUUUUUUCUUAGCUCCCUUGGUUGGUACUUUUCGUGGUGGUGGAGACAUCAUGGUGGUUUCAGAAAAUGUCAACUGCCGCAAACCCUCUUUGACUUCAAGCUUCAUUUGGAAAAGGAGUUUCUUAAUAUGUUCUACAAUAGCCUUCAACUCAACCUUGACACAAAAACCAACUUCGUUACUUUCUUCGCCCAUACGUAACCUAUGUCAAUGGUGGAGUAACUCAUCCAAUAAAAUUGGCUUCUCUUCAAGGAGUUAUGCACAUGGUAGCCCGUAAGAUGUCCUUUGAACAAUGUUAUUUUCUAUGCACAAUGUUUCCCUACAACGUGUCUCUUCCAAAGCACUGUUGUCCAAAGCAUAUCUAGACACAUGACCACCUAAGUCGGAGUACAAAAUGACAUCUUUGAAUCUAUGCUCCAACACGGUAACGCUCUGACCAAAGGUUGUUUGUAUCGCAGUGAACUGAAGCAACAACAUGUCAUGUAUUUUCUCCCAAAAAGUACCCAAAUCACCCACACUAUUGUCCAAAUAUUUCUUCAAUAAAGCAUGAGCCGAUUCGACCAUGUUGCUGGUCCUGCAACCAAGAUGCAACACAUGGUCUGUCCAUGCCCUCACUAUUUUCUCCUUCACUUCAUUCAAGGUGGUCAUGGCAUAAUUUUUGAAAAGUGAGAAAUCACUACAUGAAUUUUGGAACUCCACUGAUGCAUUUGCAUAUAACUCUUGAGUGGGCAAUUCGACCAUAGCUUUUCAUGCCCUCAUUAUCUUCUUCACAACAUCGCGAGGUUUCACCUCUUUCCCAUCCCUUUUUCCCAAAGGAUAUUUAAAAUCUAAGACGCACCUUUGUUUAACAUUUGCUUGCACAUGAAAAUAACAAUUCAUUGUAUAACUUUUGGGGAAAAUAUUUUCAACCGCUUUCAUCAAAGACAUAUCCCUGUCGGUCACAAUCACCUUAGGCAUAUUCAUUUUUGACGUAAGAAGUUUACGCAAUAUUUUUAAAACCCAAACAAAGUUUUCCUCUUUCUCAUGUGUCACAAAUCCAAACCCAACCGAAUAUGUCAAAUCGGUCGAAGUGACUCCAACUACCUCAAACAUUAGCAUCUUGUACAUGUUGGUUUUGUAGGUGGAGUCCAUAACCAAAACCGUUGGAAAAUUGUUAAACAACUUAACGAAUGUUGGAUGAGCCCAAAAGAUAUCUUCGAUUGUAGUACUUUCACUUUGUGUUCUUGAGUAAUAAGUAUAGUUGUGCUCCUCCAACUUCGAGAUUAGAUAUUGCAACGACUUCUUGUCACCUCUAUUUGCCUUCCGUAUUUGUUGACGUUCAUUGUACACUUGCUUCACAUUUGUCAUGCAGUGUGGUCUUUUGUCCUUCAAAUGUAUCAAAAUAUUUUUUGGAAGCAUCUUGCUCUUGGUCAAGUCACGUGCAAUCUUCUUGUCGUCCUCCUUUAAGAAUGGUUGUGAACUCCAUUAAGAAUGUUCAAUCCCCAUUCCUUUGUUUGCUUACUUUGAUAUCCACUAAUCAUGAACAAGCACCCACAUUUUCUUGAGCCCGUUCUCGCAUGCUUCGGUUUUUUUUUUUUUUCCGGCACUUUGUGAGCUUCACUCGUUUCACACACUAGGCGGAAUAUUGGAUUGAUCAAGCUUGAUCUUUGUGUAACAAUUGUAAAUCCCGCCUUAUUUGCUUGACGACGUGCCCACUCAAGCAAUUCUUCUUUAUCUUUCGACUUAACGUCGUCUGAAAAAAACCUAGCCGUGUCAACUUCGUGGGCUUGAAGUGGGAGGACAUCGGAGUCAACAUAUUUUGAAGCUCCAUUAAUGUUUGGUUUCGCUUCAACCUUAGGCGGUUUGACAUCUCUGAAAAAUUCGACAAAAUUUGGUUUUGUCUCUCCUGGAACAUCUUCUGCGUUCUCUACCAUUACUAUAAUUAAACAACACAAAAAUAUGAAUUAACAACUAACUAAUGCAUAAACAUCAAUGCCAUAAUGAAUUAAAACCAAAAAAAAAAAAAAACAAAAGAUUUUUUUUUUGAAUUUCGUUGUGAAAAUUUUUCACAAGUAUUCCUCGGUACCUUACUACCGAGGUUUUCCUCGGCAGUACACUACCGAUGUUUUCCUCGGCAGUAAGCUACAAAGGAUUCCCAUGACAGAGUUCUACGCAAACUGACGUAAAAACCCAUAACAAAGCCAAAAAAUGAACGAAUUAAAAUGCUCAAUACCUGUUUUUUUACGUCAAAAGUGUGCUAAUACCUCUUAUGCUUGAUGCUUGAAUGAUUUUGGAUCAAGAUUUGAUGAACAAAAUAUUGGAUUUGGGGAUUGGAUGGAAGUGGUAUGGAAGUUGAUGAUGAAAAUAGUGUGUAGGGGGAGGUGACUGUUUCAUCUGAUGAAACAUAAUUAUCGUCAGUUAACUACCGAGGUUUUCCUUGACAGUUAACUGCAGCCGGUUUCGAAUUCCUCGUCAUUUAACUGUCGAGGAAGCAAAAUCAUAUUUUACUCAUGUACCUCAACCUUAUGAAAUGUGUCAACAACAAUUCUCAAAUUAGAAAGGGACAAAUUGGACUGUAAAUUUGUUAUUCUAUUAAUGUCUUUAUUAGUAUGACUAGACGAAAGCAAAUCAAAAUUAAAGCCACCAAAGGGUUUCUUUUUUUCAAGCCCCAAAAUCAAAUUACAAUGAUCGUUUCCUAUAAUACACUUUUUGCAACACAACUUGUAAGUAAAUUGAACACUGAGCAUUGCUUAGUAGCUUUCAUCUUCAGGCGCUUUCAAAUUCCCGUUGUUUGCCUAACAAGUAGCUGUAAUGAUAGUUUCAAAAAUCGGAUCUUUGAUCGAUUUGGAAAGGGUACUGAGUCAUUGGGUCAUUGGUUGAAUCACUGAGUCAUUGGUCGAACCGCAUGACUGAAUUAGAUUGAAUCGAAUGGCUCGGUUAUAUGACUCGGUUUAUAUAAAAAAAAUCUUUAUGUUAAAUUAGACUGAACCGAAUGACUUUCAACUAAAAAAAAUUAAUUUUUUUUACACUUAAUAGAAGCAAAUUUUUAUGAGAUAAAAACAAUUUGAUAGCUGUCCUUUGAAUUUAGGUGCAUAAAUUUUUUAUGAGAUACUAUAAUACAUCUUCAAAUAAAUAUUAAAUAAAAGCAAAAGAGUGCUAAAAAAUAGUAGUAAUCAAGUAAAAAAAUGUUUAUUAAAAUAUCUGAAAUGUCCGACAAUAAUAUUUAAAUGAUUCCUUCAAAAGGAAAAAAAUAUUUAGAUGUGCUUGGUUUCUUAAAAAAAAAAAAAAACAGUGUGCUUGGUUCCCCUAAAAAAAAGCUGUUUAGUCAUUAUAUAUAAACUAGAACAUUUACCCGUACCACCGCACGGAUCAUUAGUAGUUUAUAAGGUAUAAAAAUGCAAAAUUAUCCAUUACAAAGAAAAUAAAACAGUACACGAAAAAACAGUUAGUAAUAUCUUUAGACCAUCCCUUGAUGUAACGUGUGAUACUGCAACAUAUAACUGCCCAUGUGUAAAGACAGGUUCUGGAAGAUAGAUACCGAAUUGCUUAAGGGAUUGCCCUUGGCUUUUGUGUAUGGUCAUUGCAAAACAUACAAAUAUAGGAAACUGCUUACGCUGAAAUUUGAAAAGAAUUCUUGUAUCAGACGGCGUCAGCGAUAAUCUUGGUAUAUAUACCUUCUCCUCAAUAUUGCUACCAGAUAUAACCCCGCCUUCAAGAAUAUAUAUUCCCAUCUUUGUAAGAAUUAACCGAGUUCCAUUACAAAUGUCUGCUGUAAUAUCCAAAUUUCUCAACAACAUAAUAGGAACUCCAACUUUCAAACAUAUUUUGUGAUUUGGAAGACCGGAAGAAUUAAUAGAGUUAAAAAAUUCUGGUGUGUGUACAUCAUCCAGCCUAUUGAACUAUUGACCCUCCAGAUGCGUGAAACAUGAACAUUGAGCUUGAUCUUUACUCUUCCAGCAACAAUAGCAGAAACAAGAGUGAAAAUUGGAGCCAUUAGCUACUUUCGGUGUGAUGUAAAUUAUGAGAGGAUAGUACUUCAUCCGUUUCUAAAUAUAAGUAAAAAUGACUUUUUAGGCAUUUUCCAAUAACCUUGUUUUUUGGGUGUGGCAGACAACACAUUUAAUGUUGGUGGGAACUGGCCUUCCAAAUACAUUUUACAGUUUGUAAGGCAUAUACAUAAAAAAAAAUAAAAAAAAUACAUUCAUAAUUCGUUACUGGCAUUAAGAAGGCAUGCAAAGAUUAACCAAAUAAAAAAUUGAAUAGUCAUGCAACAUUUUAAAAAAAAAAAACAAACACUAAUUAGGCCAAAACACAAUCAUGCUUGAGUUAGAAUUAUCAUUAGAAUUAUCACUGACACAUAGAAAUGAGACACUGCAAAAGGUAAUGAAGAUUUGUCUGUAUGCAUUAGACCAUAUGUAACUUAAAAAAUACUUGCAAGGUUCACACCACAACACGUAAAAGUUAUGCAAUCAUUUUAAAUUGCCCCUACCUCCUACAUAAACCAUAGAAACCCAAGAACCAACAGGGACGUUGAAAAAGUCCUUGAGGGGGUGCCAACCUGUUGUGAGGUAAAUCCGACCAUUGUUUCUCUCAACCAAAACCUCAAAUUCGUUGUAGUUACGGUCCACCAACAUAGCAUAUCGACCAAGUUCAUCCCCAAAGUCAUGACCAAAAAGGGUUGGCAAUACAACCAUCCCGUGAAAACCAAAAGAUAAAAAAUCAGCAAUUAAACCAAUGUAUUUCGUGGAUAUGAUAAAACGUAUAUACAGACACAUCAUUACUUACGUAUUCAACAUCAAGAUCAACGGCAUAGGUUCGGUAUUUGAUUCUAAGAUCAUUGACGAUCUUCUCCAGCUCAGUCGUUGGAUUUGGAUUCAAAUCCUCUGGAUUACGAAAACAUGAACGUAUAUAAGUAUCAGGAACAAAAAGUUGAAUAUUGUACAAGAAUAAAUCAAAAUGGAUUGCACAUACCAGGGCAUGGAGUAGUGAAAGCAAAAUAUGAAUAUCAGCCAUAGCCAUUGCAAAACGUAACUGAUGGGGACUUGAAAGGAUGAGAAUUGAACAGAGUGAAUGGAAUAUAUAUAUACUAUCAGAAAAAUCAUAUGUCAUAAAAGCACCUAGCCUUGGUACAACACAUUUGCAUGGAAAACAAAAGCCUACUUAAUUUGACGGCAGAAGUUGGAAAGCAUAUACACAGUGCAUAUUGUAACGUAAUGCAAGGAGGGAAAAUUUGAAAUUUCUGUGUGUUGUGACGCGAGCCUUGUAUAAUCAAGAUUAGUUGUAGGGCUGAGAAAAUAAUGGCGCACUAAUAGUUAGAUCCAAUGGCUAAUACUGAUUGGCGCCUAAAAUAAGUAGAAUUAGGGUUUUAAGUGUUAAUUGGAGUGUUAACUAGGAUUAUAAAUAAGUUAGAUUAGAUUAGAUUAUAAGCAGCAAUCUAUAAACAAAAGAGGUUCAUGCUGUAGUGUAGUGGAUAAGUGAUUGCAUUCCCAUCUGCUGGACGCGGGUUCAACACCCAGUGCUACCAUUUUUUGGUAAAAUUAAUAUAACUAAUUUCUGCUUCACAUUAAACCGGUCCAGUUUGUCAAACCUGCCGGUUCACCGGUCUUCCCCGAGUUUGGCCGAGUCACACCGUUUUAGGCCGGUUUGAUUACAUGACCGAUCCGUUUAGCAACUCGAACAGGUCACCCCACUGGUUUUCGGUCGGAUCGGUUCAACCAGCCGAUCCGGUUCAGUUUUCAAAACUAUGACUGCAAUAGAUAAACCUUUGAAAUCCCAAUCAUACAUCCAAAACCACAUGUAUUCACUAAAUUGGACGUAGCAUCAUGAAGAAGGGCGGGGCAUUUAGAAGUAGGCUUUGGAAUAUUAUUUUGUUCCGCAUGAUCUAGGUUUGAACAGUCUGAGUUCGUAACAAGGCCUUUUCUCUCAGCUUGAUAUUUUCAAGAUACUUUAGAGUCAUGGAAACUUAUUGCAUAGCAGGUAUGUAAUUUUCUCAAAACACAUUAUUUCAAGCAUAUCAUAUGUUUUAGAUGAUAACUAAAAUGGCGCCUAGGGCUCGAGGAGAAGCAGGUAAAAAAGCAUCUUCGGCCCAACUAGAAAAUGAAUAGAAUUGUGUGUGUAUUUGAUUUAUAAGGGAGAAGCAAACCAUGCUUGUUUAGUCAAUAUCAAUUUAUAAAAGAGUGAUAUAGGGUUUUCGUAUGUUCAUUGCAUCUGGAACAAAGAAUAGAAAAACUGAUCCCAUUAGAACCAAUGUUUGCUCUAGUAAAAAUUGAAUCAGAUUUCUCCAAACCAACAAAGAGAAGUGUUACAGUGAUGGAAAUUGGUAUGAAAUCAUAUUGUACCAGCUAAUUUAAAGGCAUUGAGGUCAUAAAUUUCGUGCAAACCAGUAGACAUGAGGCUUAAAUGCAAAUAAUUGCUCAAAUGUAUUUGAAUCCAAAAAACUUAUUCGACGAAUUUCUAAUCAACAUGUUGGUAUGGCUGUAACAACUAUUACAUGCACCCAUGAUUAAAUGAUAUGUCUUUUGUAAUUUUCCUUUUUUCUCUGAGCUAUGGUGACGGUUUCUAGUUAUUUGGCAACAAUUUUGAGGCGUUACAUUUUGAAUUUCGACUGUAUUUGCAUCGAAGAAGCUUUCCACUAUCAUAAAUGGGUUAUUGACCAUCAAGACUUCAUCAAAUAUAUUCGGCUAAAAUAUGGUUUUAGUCUCUAGAAAUAUAUCUCGUUUUGAUUGUAGUUCCUAUAUUUUUUUUUUUUAGAAAAAGGUCCCUGCAAAAUAUGGAGGGACUAUUUUAAAAAUCAAAAAAAUUUACAAGGACUUUUUUAAAAAACAAAAUAUUUUGCACACAUAGUUUUACUCUUAAGUAAUCAUCAAAGGACUAAAAGAACUAUACUUGAUUUUCUCACCUGGAAAUUGCAACAUAGCAUGUCGUUGAAAAAUAAUUUUGGCAUUGUUAGACUGCAUUGGAUCUACGCUUUUGAUGAAAGUGCUGGUCUAGUUGAAUAGUGUAAGUCUAACAUUGUCUUGGUAUUGUCGUGUUUGAUAUUAUCUGUAUAUUCGUUUGUAAGAAUUAGCUGUUUUAAUUUAUUUAUUUUUUUUCAAAAAAAGUAGAAGGCGAAUGCAGACUGAGUUACUUAGCGACCAAUUUGGUUUUAUAAUCCGUCGUAUUCGGUCAUAAAUUUGGUCUCUAAACUCAGGCACUAAAUCAGUUGCUAAGUAGUCUCUAACUAAUGUAGUGACUGAUUUUCUUAUCUUAGUGGCCGAAAAUUCAAUCUCUAGCCGAAGUUUCUUGUUUUUGGGGAUAACAUGAAGAAAAAAAAGUUGAGAAAUAAUUUGGUGUGGCUAUGCCUAACACUAGUUCCGUCCAUGAUCGUGACAUGAUCAUUGCCAGUAUGCGCCCAAUUUGUAUACAAUUUUUUCUUUGAAUGUUGUAUGAGUGUUUUGACUUUUUUUUUUGUGUUACAAGGCUAAUCAAAACAAAAAGGAAAAGAUAAGGAAAAAAAAAACAACAACAACUAAACUCUAGAAAAGUAAGUUCGAGCCGCAUCAAACUUGAGGAAAUGCAGCAAGUCAUCUGAAGGAGAAGCAUGAAGUAAGAAAUCUAUAUUCGAAGAGGCUCCUAAUUUCGAUUUGGUAUUCGGGGAAGCACGCGUUGUUUUUGCUCCUAAUUUAUUUUUGUCUUACUUUACCUUUCAACCUUCAUCGAACAUUUGCAACUUUUGAUCUUUAAGUUUUUUUUUUUGUUUUUCUUAAUGUUUUAAUCUUUAUUGAACAUUUGUUCAUUCAUAAGGUUAUCCGGGUAGCAAUGAAAGGGUUGAAAUGUAGUCUCCGUAAACUUAGUUUAGUUGGUAAGGACAAUGCAUAAUGUAUGCAAUGUCCGGAGUUCGAACCGCGGACACCACCAAAAAAGAAAAGGUUGAAAUGUGAAGAUCGUGAAAAAAGAAGAGUCUUUAUUGAAAUUUACGAAUUUUUAGAUUGAGGAUGGAUGAAUGUUGAAUUUUUUAAACUUUUAUGAUUUUGAACUCUAGCAUUUGAUCGAACUUUGAUUUAAGUCUUUAAGAUUAUUUUUUUCUUUAUUUCGUUCCAUUAAUUUAGUUUAGUAAAAAAUAUUGAGGUAAAAAAAUUAGAUUUCUAUAUCAUAAAAAAAACCCACAAACAAUAGUCGCGAGACAAUAUUUCAUACUACUCAAUGCCUCUUAUGCGAUUAAGCUCCAAGAGAACAAAAAUACUAAGGAAUCAAAUUUACAAUGGUUAUUUUUUUCUUUCUUUCUAUUUUACGAGGAUUAUUUUUAUUUCCCGCGUAUAUUGCAAAAACUAUUUAAACAACAGAUAAUGUUAAGCAUACCCUUAAACACCGGUUAACCCCAUAAAUUUUUAGUAAAACAUUUACUUAGUAAAAAACAACAACUUAUAUUUUCAAAACAAAAUUCUAUUUAUACACUCCUUCACCAAUGUUAGUUGAAGCACUUAUUAUCAACAUUCUUAAACAAUGAAUCUUGUUAACUUAUGUCCUUAUGGUACAUGUUAAAAUUUCAUAAAAAGUAAGUAUUUAUUGAAAAACAUUAAAUUUUAAUCCUAUAAGAAAUAAAUUGAUACAAUUUACAAUGCAUAAUUUCCAUCUUUAAAACUUUAAUAUGUGUCCUAAGGCACAAGUUAACAUUUCCCUUAAACAAUUAACCGUACUUAAUUUUAAUGUUUUUCUUUUCUUUAUUAUAUUUUUUGACAAAUUUUUUCAUUUCUUUGGAAAAACAGUAAUUUCUAGAGAGUAGUUCACCUAUGAAUCACCUAAUUAGAGGGACGACAUGUCAAAAUUGCCGCUCAAUUUAUGGAUCCCGGAAUUUCCAAUGUAAGAAAACAUAGUUUUUAUCAUUUCAUUCCCUUGUUGUCAAAAUAAAUAAACCAUUAAAUACCAAAGUUUCAUCACAAAUUAUCAAACACACUCUUUUUUGUUACUUCCUCAUCACACCAUUUAGCUUCGUUCUCUCCGUCAUUUCAACAAACACAAUGCAAUCACUUCAGCAUCAACUACCCUUCACUCUUCGCCCUUCACCACUCGAACCACUUCGCAAAAAACCCUCCAAUGCGGCCACCACCGCCGCCAGAACCCCAAAGAGACUCUCCGUCGUCUCUUCCUCCGUCACCACCGCCGCUCCUCAAAGAGAGAAGGAUCCCAAGAAGCGUGUCGUGAUCACUGGCAUGGGUGGCGUCACUGUACAUGGCAACGAUGUCGACAUUUUCUACGAAAAGCUUCUCGCCGGUGAUAGUGGGAUCACAUUGAUUGAUAGGUUUGAUGCUUCCAAAUUCCCUACUCGGUUCGCUGGUCAGAUCCGUGGGUUUAGCUCCGAGGGUUACAUCGACGGGAAGAAUGACCGGAGGCAGGAUGAUUGUCUCCGGUACUGCAAUGUCGCCGGGAAGAAAGCACUUGAAGAUGCUGGUCUCGGUGCCGAAAAUCUUGAUAAGGUUUAACACUCUUUCACACUUUUUCACUUAGAUCUGCAUUUGCUGUAUCUGAAUUGAGCUGAACCGAACCCUAAUUGGAUUUUGAAUUGUUUGAUAUAUUGUAGAUUGAUAAAGAACGUGCUGGUGUUUUGGUUGGGUCAGGAAUGGGUGGUUUAACGGUGUUUUCUGAUGGAGUUAAGAAUCUGAUUGAAAAGGGACAUAGAAAGAUAUCACCUUUUUUUAUUCCCUAUGCUAUUACCAAUAUGGCUUCAGCUUUACUUGGGAUUGAUUUAGGUUUCAGAGGUCCAAAUUAUUCUAUUUCAACUGCUUGUGCUACUUCAAAUUAUUGCUUUGUUGCUGCUGCCAAUCACAUUCGUAGGGGUGAAGCUGAUUUGAUGAUUGCGGGUGGUACUGAAGCUGCUAUUAUUCCUAUUGGUUUGGGGGGUUUUGUUGCUUGCAGGGCACUUUCUCAGAGAAAUGAUGACCCUAAAACGGCUUCUAGGCCUUGGGAUAAAGACCGUGAUGGAUUUGUUAUGGGUGAAGGUGCUGGAGUUUUGGUAAGGAUUCGUUUUGUGUUUUCCUUUAUGUUUUGUUAUUGUUCUUUUGGAUGUUGGUUACCUUAAUUAACGUUUGUGAAAUUCAAUUGCAAUUGUUAUGCUUAGUUUUUAAGAAGUAUUUGUAAGACUAUUAUUAGCUUUGUAACAACACUAUCUUUUCCUUUGUACAUGAUCCGUAAAAGAAUAACUCUAAAUCUUGUUUCAUGAAGUGUCUAUAAAGUGGCUAUGUUGUGUGUCCUGUUGUGUGUCUAUAAAGUGUUUUUUAUUUUAAAGAGAGUACUGUAAUUUAACAGGUGAUGGAAAGCCUGGAACAUGCCAUGAAGCGAGGUGCGCCUAUCAUUGCUGAAUACUUGGGAGGUGCUGUAAACUGUGAUGCUUAUCAUAUGACUGAUCCAAGAUCUGAUGGGCUUGGCGUGUCUUCAUGCAUCCAGAGCAGUCUUGUAGAUGCCGGUGUGUCACCCGAGGAGGUAUUGUUUUACUCCUUUUACUACGCUUUUGUUGUUAACUUUAUCUGUUUAAUUAAUUGUUGUUCUCGUCUCCUAUUUAAUUCACUGUUUUUCUCCUUCAGCAUGUUUUUCCUUUCCAGCUUACUCUACUUUUCUGUUUGCUUGUAUUCAUAGUAGGUGUGUGUUUUCAACAUCUUUUGGUACACAGUACUAUAGGGGAUGUCAUGUAUGAAUAAUAGUAAAAAACUCUUGUAAAGCUGCUGCUAUGUAGUUAUGAUUUCAAGCAGGUCUACAAAAAUUUAUAGCAUAUUGAGUUCUGGAUAAAUAGACGUGAAGAAGUUGCAUUUUUUUUUUUAUAGAUAUACAAUUCCAUAAAUUAGGAUGCAAAUGAAGUUUAAAACUCAUGUAUGUAAGGCUGUCCGCACACACGGUGGGGGUUGUGGGAUGGGGAAGCACUAUGGUGUUAGCAUUUAGUCGCAUGAUAAAUCCGGAAAAAAUUUAAAAAAAAAAAAGGCAAAAAAAAUCUGCAUAGUGAGAGCAUUAUUGAAGGUAAAAACUAAGGGCUCUAAAAAAUCUUGGCUUGACUAACUGUAUUUUAUUUUAGUAAUUUGUGUUCAUUUUUUCUCUUGCAUCUCAGCUUACUGGUACGGAUACCAGUACCGGGAUCCUAUAUUAUGUUUGCAAGAAGUCGGGAGUUAGAAAUCCUGUGUGAUUAGAAUAUAUUAAAAACAUCAAACGGAUGCAAGGGGCCAAGUUGAUGCCUCCUCUGCAAAUAAUAAGUUUAUACCCAGUUACCCGUUCAUUCAUCAGGUCAAAUAGAGGGCUUAAGCUGCUAACAUAAAUAAGUGUAAAGACAAUUUGUUAGGCCAUUGCUGCACCUGCAUGUUGAUUUGUCGAUUCUAGAAGUUAGCCUUAAUGUCUGCUAAAUAUUUUAAUUUAUAUUCCGUUACUGAUUAAUGCAUGCCAUAAAUUAGCAAAAUGAAAGCGUGUCAUUUGCUUCUUUUUAGGUCAAUUACAUAAAUGCACAUGCAACUUCCACUCUUGUUGGUGACUUGGCAGAGAUCAAUGCUAUCAAAAAGGUUUUCAAGAACCCAUCUGGCAUCAAAAUUAAUGCCACCAAGGUAUUAUCGUGUCAUUGGCUUUUAUUUGACAGCCAAAGCUUUCUGUUUCAUAGAUCAUCGCAGGUUAUUUUUGAUUCAUUCCCUGGCCAUUAACUGAUGCAUAUGUUUUUCUUGUAAUACCAGUCUAUGAUAGGGCACUGCCUUGGCGCAGCUGGGGGUUUGGAAGCUAUUGCCACAAUAAAAGCCAUAACAACAGGAUGGCUGCAUCCAUCAAUCAAUCAAUUCGUAUGUUACUUAAUUCUUGGUUUUUCAUGAUUAGGAUCUUUGUGUCUUUGUUAGAAUCAACUGAGAGAAUGGGCUUUCAUUAUUGGUAGAUAAAUUGUUGCUAGCUCUGUCACAUUUUGUCUGCCACUCUUUGAAUACUGGCUUGGUUCAAAUUAACUUUCAUUUUAGAAUAUCAGUAAAAUGUUAAUUUUUUUUCCCAUUCGAUAUAACCUUAUUUAUUGGCAGUUGACACCUCAACCUGUUAUUUACGUUUUAUUGAACUCUUGCUACAAUAAUACAUUUUAGUCAAAACAAAGAUUUUACCUCCGCAAGAACUAUAAUUAAUCAUUUCUUUACUGUGUGGCCAUUAUCUUAAAUGACAAAUAAAACAAGAAAAUCGGAGUAUUCAUCAAUGUCAGUAUUUUAACUGUCUUUUUACUCGUGUUUUUUUUUUUUGUUUUUUUGUGCUGAUAUAUGGACUAUCAUGUUAUUAUUGAGAAGUCAAGUCGUGUUGUUUUUGUGGGGUGGACAAGAGGUGUUUGGGGUUUCAUUUACAAUUAUAUGGUUAUCUAUUGAAAUACUAGUUUGAACAUAUCAUAUCCUUUUAUUGGCCCCCUAUCCUGCCUUUCAGAACCAUAUGUAAUCAUUUUGUUUGCCUUGGUCUCUGGGUGCAGAAUCCAGAACCUGCAGUUGAUUUUGAUACGGUGGCAAAUGUCAAGCAGCAGCAUGAAAUCAAUGUUGGUAAGAUUCUAAAUAAUUCAACGACCAGUGCGUUUCUCAUUUCAUGUGAUAAGGACCAUAAUUUGGACUGGUAACUAACUGGCCUUUUUUAUCUUCCAGGCAUUUCAAAUUCAUUUGGAUUUGGUGGACACAACUCUGUCGUGGCUUUUUCCGCUUUCAGACCCUGAUUGCCAAGCUUGCCUGCUCUUCUUCAUGUAGAACAACUACAACCCAUGUCAUAGAGAUUCGACAACGUUUUACGUUGGCUAUUGAGGCCUAACACAAGCCUCUUCUUUCAUUUGGGCUUGGAACCGGCUAUGCAUAGCAAGGCUCUUCAUGUAGAACAUGGAAUCUAAAUUAAUUAAAAUUUUGUUCUCUGUGCAUCGUUGAGUCUAUUUAUUGAGUCCAUCCAUAAUAUUUAAAAGCUGUAGUCCUGUAAUUGUUCAUUUUAUGCUAAUUUUGAACAGAUAGUUAGCUCCAAAGAUUGUUUUGCUGUAGAACUUUUUAAAUGUAGCACGGAGAUUUCAUUGUUUGGUAGGGAGACUUGCGGAUAGAAAAUGCCAAAAGAGCUUAUUUGAGCAUUCUUCCUUAUUGUUAAGUAAAGAUAUUUAAUAACAAGCAUGUAUUUAUGGUACUUAUUGUUAUUGAAUCUUUGUUGGUUAUAUUUGAAUCAGUUCAUAGCUUUUUAGAUACAUGAUACAUUUAGCUUGUUAAGAAUGGUUUCGUCUUUUGCCAUUUUCAGUAUAACUUUGUAGUUCCUGAAAACCAGUUAUAGGCAUAUAUAGAAUCUCGGAAUAAGCAUGUGUAGUUUAGUUUAUUUUUUGGUUGCACGCUGUUUUCAGUUAUCUGUUUUAUGGUUAGAUUAUUCUCAGAAAUAUAGAGUAAUAUGCUGUUGGUCUUUCUGCUAUUUAACAUAUUCUCAGAGAAAUGCAGAGUAAUAUAGUUAGUCUUUCUGCUAUUUAACAGAGCAAGAAAUGCCUAUAAAUGAUAUCCUUCGGUCUUGAAUUCAAAUUAUAAGUCAUUUUGGCCAUUUUAUACAAAUUAAAUAAUAUAAUUAAUUUUGUAUACGAAAGAGAAUUUAUGACUUAUUUUACAAAAUUAUUUUUCAUUAAUGUUUUUUGAAAAGAUAAAUUAAACAAUUGAAAGAAGAUAAAAGUAAUAAAUAAUUAAUGGAUAAUAGAAAAAGUAAUAUUCAAGAUCAUCCACGACAUAACACUCUAAAUUGGGUGUUUAAAUUGAAUUCAUAUGUCCACAUCAUUCAUUUUACUGUAAUAUUUAAUAAGCACCAAUUUUCUCCAACGUUAGAAGAAAUUAUUAAAUAGGUCCCAUAAAUUUUUUUAUAUCAUUACAUUUCAACAAAAUUUAUUUAUUUUAUUAAGAUUUAUUAAAUGUGGCCCAUGAAAAAUGAAGAGAGAGAACGUGCUUCCAUAACCACCUUUCUCCAUAACCACCCAUAUAUUAUACUUCAUAAUGGGGGUGUCUAUUUAAUGUGGUGCUAAAUAGGUGAAGCACCCACCAUUAUAGAUGGUCUUAAUUGGUAUCGUAAAGUGACUUAUAAUUUAAGAUAUUUUUCCUAUAAUUACUUAUAAUUUGUGAAGGAUGCAUUGAUGUACAAGUAUAACUUAUAUAGAAGAAACGUUACUUGAUAGUUUAUUAUUCUUUGAACAAAUGUUCAUUGAUAGUUGAAUAAUAAGAAUCACUAGAGACAGGGAUAAAAGUAGCUAAGAAAAUAAUAAAUUUACAUAUCUUUUUAUGCGCAAGAAUUUUUCAAUUCUGCAAAACUGUUUUUUUAAAAGGAAUCCUUCAAAAUUGUUCAAAUUCCAUAAAACAAAACUUAAAAUAAUUUUCUCUCAAUGUAGGCGGUUAGUUUGCCUUCUUAAACAAUUUUUUCUCUCUCUCAAGACUUAAAAUAAUUUGAUGCGGUAAUAACUUUAUAUCCUGUCGCCUGAACAAAGCUUUAUAUCUUUUUUUUUUUCUUUUUUGAAGUAAACAAAGCUUUAUAUCUUUUGUUUUGUAUUUUGAAUUUUUUUGUAUGAACAGAUAAAAGGGUGUUCUUUCAUUAAGUGUCAUUGAAAGACUAAGGAAAAUGCUAAAAAAUGUCUCAUGAGCAUUGGCUAAGCAUACAUAACAAAUAAAUUUUAAUAAUUAAUUAAUAAGUAAAUAGAACAAUAGAUGCAUCUUCAAGGGAUAUUUGUUUAGCUUAGAAAUCUUGUUGCACCAAUGUACCGCCAUUCUUCAACUUGUUUACUAGUAUACUAAAUACUAAUAUAUUUAUUUCAUCUUUAUGCAAUUUUUUAAGGAAUCUUUUAUACAAAACUGAAAGGCAAGCGUGCAAUAAACUAUGCCGUUAAAUUUUUUUAGAUGGAAAAAUCAAUUCUUUUAAAUACAAUGUUCAUAAAUAUCGAUCACGCUAUAAAUAAGUUAUAUUAAAAAAAAAUAGAAUAGAAUAUAAAUAUUUUUAUAUUUGUUUUCUCUAUUGUAUUUUUUUUCAACAUUGACAAGAGUGUAUCAAACAAAUAUAAUACGAUCGUGAAUAAAAGGAUGAAUUGACUCAUGUUACAUAGAUUUAUUUUUACUUCAUCAAAUAGUAAUGGAUUCGUUGUAUUUAAUUUGUAUCAAACAAGAAGUUUUUUCAUUAGGUUUACAUAUUCUUCUUCUUCUUCUUCAGAAAAGAAAAACUAUAAGGUUUACAUAGUAUUUCGAAGGAUUUUAUUUAUCUUUAUAUCAAAUAUUUGUUUAAUAGAAUUAUAAAUCGGUUUUAAGAAAGAGUUAAGCGUUGAAGGUCUAGUGUAAAAAAAUAACGCACAAACUUUUAUAGUAACUACUUUUUUUUUUUUACGGAAGCAUCAAUUACAUUACAUACAUCAAAUCAAAUAGUAUUUGGUCAAGAAAAUCAAAUCCAUAGUAUAGUAUAAAAAUAAACAAAGAAAAGCGUGAAGCAUAAGCUGGACCGGUCGAACCGAACCAAAUCAUACUCCAUUUCCCGCCACAACGUGAGCUCAUUUCCCGCCAAAACAAUGCCCUAUCUCUAAAAAAACACUCAAACCGCAACAUUUCUCUUUCUUCCUCCAUCGCCCCUCUCUCUCCCUCUCAGAAACCUCCGAAAAUGGAUUUGAGCGAAGAAGUUCGUCAAGCUCACAAGCGAGAAUUCGUUGAUUUCUUAGAUCAAGAUGUAACUUAAUUCCUCACUUCUCCCUAAUUUUCACUUUUUACCCUUUUCUUCAUUUCUAACAUUUUCAUUUUUUUUGUUGAAUCAGAUCGGAAAAAGCAUUUACAUGGAUGAAAUCAAAGCUCUAAUCAACCACAAACGCCGCCGCUUAAUCGUCAACAUCUCUGAUCUCCACAACUUCCGCGACUUAGGAAACAGGUUCUUAACCGCUUUUACCUUUACUGUUUCCACUGUAGAAUUCGAUUUUGUUUAAAUUCUAAGAGAUUUUUGCGUUUUUCAGGAUUUUGAGAAAUCCGAGUGAGUAUAUGCAAUCAUUCUGUGAUGCGGUGACCGAAACUGUUCGUGGUAGUGAUCCAAAGUAUUUGAAGGAAGGGGAACAAGUGCUUGUUGGAUUUGAAGGUCCUUUUGUUUCUCGCCGAGUUACGCCUAGGGAUCUUCUUUCUGAAUUUAUAGGUUCUAUGGUUUGUGUUGAGGGCAUUAUCACUAAAUGUAAGUUAAACUGUUUUUCGCUUUAGUUAGUAUGAUUCAUGAGAAAUUGGCGUUAUAAUAAUUGAGUUUUAAUUCCUAGGGUUUCUCUUGAACUUGUCUGUAUGAUCAAAUGUUUUUUCUUUUUAUAUAUGAUUACUCCUUGAUUAGCCACUAUUUGGAUAAACAACUUAUGUUGUAGCAUACAUGCGCUUAUGAAUAAGCUAUUUCUAUAACACAAGAUAAGAUAAAGUCAAACUGCUUUUGUUAAACCUAUUAUCCUGGAGAGCUUAUAGGAAAAAAAAUCUGAACGCAGCUUAUGAAUUAGUUCUUCCAAACAGUGUUGCUAGCUAGUGCUUAUGCCAGUAGAUAUGCUCAAAUAAGCCAAUCCAAACAGGCUAUAGCUUUGGGAAUUUUUAUUUUCUGUGCUAAUUGCUGUUUACUGUGAAGUUGGUGGGAUGUGUGGGUUCUUAUGUUUAAGGGUUUAUACUUUACCUUUUAUUUUGGUCAUUGGUCAAUGAUCUGGAAGUGGAACUCUAUUUUUAACUAAUGUUCAGCUUCAUACGUUUUGAAACAGCUUCAAUUUUAAUUACAAUAUAUAAUACAACUGAAUAAUAAUCUUAGUUUAUCCAAAUCCUAAUUACAGAACAUUACAGACAAAAGCAUUUAACUUCAGUUUUUUAUAGAAGAUCUUUCAAUCUUUUUUUAGUUUUUUUUUUUUAAUUUCCCAAAUUUAAAUUAUCAAAUAUAAAAACGUAAUAAACAUGUUAUGCAGGUAUAGGUAAGGUUGAGUGAUAAAGUGCCUAUAAUCUUAAUCAUUUCCACCAAAUUUGGUCUGUAAUUAUUGCUUAUGUUUGUAUCCAGACUUACUUGGUGGGUAAAUUUACCUGUUUAUUUGAUUCUUUUGGGUAUCCAUUGAGUUUUAGGAAAUGAUAAAUAUUUUAAUGUGUCCUUGGGUGGCAUGUUAUGCAUUAUGCUAGAGGAUAGUGGUAAUGUAAAAGUCGUUUUCCAGUUAUAAAGCAUCUAAUCUCUUUUACAAGCUGCAAUUGGUGUUAUCUUUUGGUAGUUUCUUUUCACAUUUUCUCUUGUUUCUGUUUCAUACAGAUUAUAAGUUCAUCCAUGCUGGAAUCUAACUUGUUAAUUUCACUCAUAGGCUCUCUCGUAAGGCCAAAGGUUGUUAAAAGUGUUCAUUUCUGCCCCACCACUGGAAGCUUCACAAGCCGUGAUUAUCGCGACAUUACAUCUAAUUUGGGUUUGCCCACUGGAUCUGUUUAUCCCACAAGGGUAAUCACAAGAUCCUUCAUUUCUAGCAUUAUUUUUAUUACAAAAGGAUUAAAUUUACCGACUAAAUGUUUAUUGUAGGAUGAAAGUGGCAACUUGCUUGUGACCGAGUAUGGAAUGUGCAAAUACAAGGAUCAUCAAACCUUGUCCAUGCAGGAAGUUCCUGAAAAUUCUGCACCUGGUCAGCUCCCAAGAACAGUGGAUAUCAUAGCAGAGGAUGACCUCGUUGAUUCUUGCAAGCCUGGAGAUCGUGUAGCUAUUGUUGGGAUAUAUAAGGCUCUUCCAGGAAAAAGCAAAGGCAGUGUGAAUGGUGUAUUCAGGUAGCUUCAGAAAAUAUACUGAGUAAUUCCCUUGCUCUUGCUUUAUUGAACAGAAACUUGAUUGAUUGCUGUGGAUGCAGGACUGUGCUCAUAGCGAACAAUGUAUCUCUUCUCAACAAAGAGGCUAAUGCUCCAAUCUACAGCCCUGAAGACCUUAAAAACAUAAAAAAGAUAGCUGAAAGAGAUGAUACAUUUGAUCUUCUUGGUAAUUCACUUGCACCUUCUAUACAUGGCCAUUCUUGGAUAAAGAAAGCAGUGAUUUUAUUGAUGCUUGGUGGAGUGGAGAAGAACCUAAAGAAUGGAACUCAUUUGAGAGGGUUAGUGCUUUCCCCAUAUAUCAUUAUAUCCCUUAGUUUUUUUGGAAGAUGGUAUUAUUGCAGUCCAACACAUUCUUGAAAUUUAUCUCUCUUAAUAUUGUUUACAAAAGUUGUAAUACUGGUGUGCCUUCUUCUUUUAGUGACAUUAAUAUGAUGAUGGUUGGUGAUCCCUCUGUUGCUAAGUCUCAACUCUUGAGAGCAAUUAUGAAUAUUGCUCCCUUGGCCAUAUCAACUACUGGCCGGGGUUCUUCUGGGGUUGGUUUGACAGCAGCAGUUACUUCAGAUCAAGAAACAGGUAAACAUUCUUCAAGGACAAUACAUAAUUCUCUUAUGACUUUUGCCAUCUAAAGAAAAAUUAUAAUUUCUUUUUGUCAGGAGAAAGAAGGUUAGAAGCUGGGGCAAUGGUUCUUGCUGACAGAGGUGUUGUCUGCAUUGAUGAAUUUGACAAAAUGAAUGAUCAAGAUCGUGUAGCUAUACACGAAGUUAUGGAGCAGCAGACCGUAACUAUCGCUAAAGCUGGGAUCCAUGCCUCACUUAAUGCUCGUUGCAGUGUGGUGGCAGCUGCAAAUCCCAUAUAUGGAACUGUAAGUGGCAUUCUGCUAUUUGCAGUUCUGUAUUAACAACAAAAGUUACUAAUAUUCUACUGUACCUUUAACUCUUCCAAACUUGACUUUGUGGCUUUUUUCGUUUGAUUCUACAGUAUGAUCGUUCACUGACUCCAACUAAAAAUAUUGGACUACCGGACUCUUUACUUUCUCGAUUUGAUCUGUUGUUUAUUGUGUUGGACCAAAUGGAUCCUGAUAUUGAUCGCCAAAUAUCAGAGCACGUUCUGCGUAUGCAUCGAUUUCGUUCUGCCAUUGAUGGAGGUAGAUAAGCAGUUUUGAAAAAAUGCUAUGAACCUGCAUACACUAGAGAAUUCAAAUUAAGAUACGUAUCAAUGCAGGUGAGGCGGCACAUGAUGGGAGCGCAAGAUAUGGAAGAGAAGAGGAAGCUGAUACUGAAUCAUCUGUCUUUGUCAAAUAUAACAGAAUGCUACAUGGAAAGAAAACAGACAGAGGUCGCAAACGCGAUACACUUACGAUUAAGUUCCUGAAAAAGUAUAUCCAUUAUGCUAAGCAUAGGAUUCAACCUGACCUGACCGACGAGGUGAUAUUACUAAUAGAAUUAUCAUUCUUUUCUUGAUUAAUAGUGAAUUCCCUCAUAUAUUACAAUUUAUCUGUUUUAAGGAACUUUUGGGUCUGCUGUCUUUUUGCUAUUGCCACAUCUGAAUGGCUAUUGUGAAGUCUGACUUUUUCCGAUGAUUUUUAUGCUCUUGUUCCAAUCCCUUAUAUCAAUUAAAUUUUUCCACAGGCAUCUGAGCAGAUUGCUGCAGCAUACGCUGAGCUCAGGAAUGCAAAGUCAAAUGCGAAGGUUGGCAUCAUGAGUGCAAUUAGCCUGAAACAUAUCAAUAGUUCUACAUAUUGGUUUUGUAUUGAUAUCCUGCUGGCUUUGUGCAGACUGGAGGAACACUUCCAAUAACUGCCAGAACUUUAGAAACUAUAAUACGUCUCUCUACUGCUCAUGCUAAAUUGAAGUUGAGCAGAAAGGUACUGUAUUUGGUUCCACCUUUUAGAUAUUCGUAACAUACUAAUAUCAUGAGUCGUGAGAUGCAUGUUCAUUUUGACAACAAACGUAGUAUGUCCAGAGGCCAUUUCAAAUUAAUUUUUCAGUCUUUCUUUAGUUACACUUGGACAUUUGGAUACCCUUCCAAAGUUUCCUUAUGGGGCUCAACGUUUUGCAGCCCAAAAGUGGUUUAAUCACUUUCGGUGUUUAGCUGGUCGAUUUUGGAGUAAACAUGUCAAUGUUGUCAUAACUUUCAUCCAAAAGUAAUAGUUGUAUUACCGCCAAAUGCCAUAAAAUUACUUUUAGGCAAACGUUUGAAAACACAACUCACUCUUGCAAAAUUAAUUCUUCUAAAAUACUUGAAAGUAAAUUACAUCAAUUGCUCAAAUAUGCAUUUGGCACCCUCAUUGGCUACAUUUUUUCUUGUUACAAUUGUUACUCGCUCUUCUUAUUAAGUUGAACCUUGUUGUACUUUUACAACUUGUGAUUGUGUUCAGCAUACGUGGUGAUUGAAUCCCCAUUUGUCCUUCCAGGUUUCAAAGUCUGAUGUUGAUGCUGCGUUGAAGAUUCUGAAUUUUGCAAUAUAUCAUAAAGAACUGACAGAAAUGGAUGAGCGUGAAGAAGAGAGGGAAAGGGAACUGGAGAGGAAGCGUAGGGCUGACGGUGAAAAUGAUGGUCCUGACCGUGGUUCUAAAAGUAAAAGAAAGUAAGUGAAAAUUAGUUUAUGCUAUCUUUGGGGAAGUUAAAAAUGUUACAAGUGUCUUUAUAUCUUAAUUUUUACCAUAGGUUCAUUUAUUUCCCAUACCAGAAACUAAAUUAACAUCAUUUACAAUAGUUCAUAACGACUUUGAUACAUUGAUACCAUGUUAAUGGUGACAUUUUUGUUGUCCUGAUUUCUUAAAUUUAUUUAGCCAUUAUUGAACUCUGCCUGUUUUUCUUUUCACUAGCUCAACAUCAGAUGCCAUGGAAGUAGACGAUACCUCAGAAGCCCAACCUGCUGUUGGUCUCACUCCUGAAAGGUCUUUCAACUGCCAAUCUUUAGCCUCUUAUAACUUUGUUUUCUUAUAUCGAAAUCUCAACUCUACCUGUUUCGGAUGUAAACUGUUUUCCAUUGACAUGCAGAAUCGAAGCAUUCAAUUCCCUAUUUGGUCAGCAUAUGCGUUCCAACCGUUUGGAUCAAAUACCUAUUGCAGACAUAGAGGAUGUAAUCAAUAGAGGGGCAGGUUCCACUUACAGCUCUGCAGAUGUAUUGCUCCUGUUAGAGGUACAUCUUUUGAGGCUUUCUCUAAUUUAUUCCAUCCGUAUUCACUACACGUAUCCAGGAAUAGUAUUUUAAAUAGGCACACACACACACACACACACUCUCUCUCUCUCUCUCUCUCUCUCUCCCUCCCUCUCUCUCUCUCUCGAAGCAAGGCGCUAUCAUAAUGUCUGGUUGUACAGUUUCGCCCCCUUUUUUUUUUCCUUCAGUUUCUCUCUUUAGCACUGUCUUUAUAAUUAUAAAUGUGUCGCCAUGUUCCAGCCACAAACUCCAAUUACAUUGUCUUGUCUUUUUUGAAAUUUCAGAAGUUGCAAGAAGACAAUAGAUUAAUGAUAGCUGAUGGAAUAGUGCAUAUGGUAUCAUAAUUGCAAGAUCAAUAUCUCAACAAAGAUUCUGGGAGGUAUGCAAUUGUUAUUCAACUUUUAUUUUCUUUGUGGAGAUGUAUCAUGUAUAGUUCAUUUGUUGGGUACAUCGAUUACAUCUCUAUGAGAAAUGAUGAAGGAAUGAGUUGUUUUUGAUAGGCUGCAUUACAAACUAAACGUAUAUUUCAGGGAGCAGGUUUUGCUGCUAGGGUGUAAGCAGUCUACAUUGGUGGGAGACUUGACAAAGAUUUUCAAUUUUCAGAGUUAAUUUGUUUACAUACUGCCAGAGAGCUAUCUGCUAAUACCUCAACAAGGACAUAACCAAUGCAAUGCUGUUGGCAUAUUUAUAACUGAAUUAUUUGGGUCAUAAGGAACUUUGCAAUCCCCUCUCAAAAGUUCUUAGUUGUGUAUAAUUGACACUCCCCGUCUUUAUCGAUUUCAGUGCUGCUUACCGCCAACUUUUCAUGUGUACUGUAAACAAUGCUUCUAGAAUUGAACCUUUUCGUUGGGUAUGUUUUAUGAAAUGAACCUAUAUGUUUCCCUCAUCUGUGCGGUUGCACAAUUUUCUUGCCGCAUACUAGUUCAGUUGGAGGAUCGUCCUAUGUGUUGAAGGUUGCAGUUUUUUUCUCAGACAAAAAUUUGGGGUCCAUCAUAUAUAAAGAAAAGAUGGGAUUGCCAACAAUGAACGAUGCAUAUUUUUAAUCAAUGAAAUAAGUGUUGAUAAUGUGGGUUUGUCCACCCUACCCACCCAGUCUCUUACUAGACCAAAAUAGGAUAGCGCGGAUCAGUUAUUUUUUUUUUAAAGAAAUGAGUUUCACAUGGCAUUGACAAUUUGUUUCAGAUGAUUUUAGGCUUAAAUAUUGCACUCGUCUCUGUAAAUAUGGCCCGUUUAAGUUUUGGUCCUUGUAAAAUAAAAAUUCAGAAAUCAGUCUUUGCAAAAAAAAUCUGUCUUUUAAAAAUAUCCCUGGGUCCAUUUAAGUCAUGACAAGUCACCAAAAUGCCUACGUGGCGCACGCUGAUUGAACAUAUUUUGUAGUUUUUGGUCUCUGCAAAAUAUUUUGUUUUUUAAAAAGUUUUCUGCAAAAUUUUUUGUUUUUGAAAAUAGUCCCUCCAGGGACUAUUUUCAAAAACAACGUUUAACUCUGGUCAUUGAAUAAGUGAGACUUUGAUGAAUAACUAUUUUCUUUUUUUCUUUCGGUUAUUCUUUUAUCCUUACCUAGUCUAUUAAUAACAAAAUGGAUUUUUCCAAUGUAUAAAAUAAAAAUUCCAAUGGCUUUUGCUGCUAUAACCUUCCCAACCACGAUUUUUUUUUCUAAGUAUUUAACCUCUUAAUAAGAAAUUCUAUUGAUACUAGGUAUUCAAAAAAGCAUAGUUAAUUUAAUAGAAAUAGACAAAGAAAUGGUGGGUUCCAUCGUUUCUAUGAUUACUUGUUAAACGGUAAGGUCCUCUCUAUACACCGGAGCCCCUUCUUUCAUUGAAUCCUCAUUCAAUCAAUGUUAUUGUGAACUUAGGGACUAUUUUCAAAAACAAAAAAUUUUGAGGGACUAUUUUCAAAAGCAAAAACAAUUUUUUUUUUACAGGGACGAAAACUUAAACGGGUCAUAUUUGCAGGGACGAGUGCAAUAUUUAAGCCAUUAUUUUAAUAUAAGAUUAUACUAGAAAGAAAAUAAUCACUAUUUAGGAUUCUAUGUUUAUUCAUUUUGAAAAUUUCGUUUGUGUUUUAAUCUUUAAAUCUACUCAUUCUCAUUGUGUUUUUGCGUGAUCCGAGUUCGAAUUUGGCUUUAAAACGAAAAUGGAUGUUGAAAAAUGGGUUUUUAAAAAGGGUGAGUUUGGUUUUUCGGUACGGCAGCCGCCUUUGGCCGGCGACCACCGUGCCGGAAUUAUUAUGUGUGGCCGGAAGAGAUGAAGACUCAUAUGAGUUUUUCGUUUUUUUUUCCAUAAUAUUGAAAAUUGUAGAGAGAGAGGGAGAUCUUUAUGUUUUUUAGUGAGAGAAAUGUUUGAAGCAAAUGAAGUUUGAUUUAAUGUAUUUUGAGAAGCCUAGGAUUAUUACACGUGUACAUUAGAUCUGAUGGUUGUGAAGCGUUUAUGCACGGUGCAUAAUUCCUUAUGCACCAUAACUUUUGACAACAACAGCAUGCAUCACAACAAACAAGGGAUAUAGACAAAAAAUGGGGAUGUUGUUGAAAUGAUCCAUGCUCAUUUGCUUGAGGAUGUAACUCAUCAGGAAAGAAAAACUUAACUGUCGAAUUUUUUUACCAUAAUAGUAUGUAGUAUUAACCAUGUUUCUGAACUCUCAAAAACUAACCUUGUACAGGAGGUUAGCUGGUUAAGAGGAGGUAGCCGAUAAAACUAAUCAAAACUUGCUGCUCCAUUUUCUUCCAAUCUUAACCGGAAGUUGUUUGAAAUAAAGUUAAAAAUACAGUUCACCAAAGAAUAAAAAUGGUUAAAAAUUGCUUGUGACAAGAAAAGAGAGGAGAAAUUUAAAAUUGUCGGUAAUAAAUUAUAAUACUAUUCUUUAUGGGUGCGUUUGAUUUGCUAAAAAAUGAAGGACAUGACAGAACAACUCUAGUUGUCCAGUGUUUGAUUUGUAAAACUGUUUCAGGUACAGGAUAAACUGGAGGCAAGGGACAUGACAAAAACUCAUAUUUUUGUCCCUCACCAAACCACAGCACAACUUUUUGUCUAACGUACAAGUUGUCUAAAAUAUCAAAAUAGCAUUUUGUCCCUCAAAAAUAGUAUAAAACAAAAAAUUACUCAACGCCAUAAAAAAUUUGUCCUGUGCUGUUCUGCCUUGUGCUGUUCUAUCUUGCACUGUUCUGUCUAGUACUUACUGUUUUGCAAACGAAACACACCCUAUAUAUUGUAUUGUACCCCAUAAAAUAUCUAUACAUUGGUGUUUUAGUUUUUGGAGGAAAUAUAACAUCGAGGUAAAGAGUACAAAUAAAUUUACUAAUUAAAAAAAGUACAAUACGAGCAAGUUAGAAACCAACUCUCACCAUUUUUAUUUUGUAAGAAAAAAACUCUCACCAUCUUUAUAUAGAUGGAUUUUCUUACCAUUAUCAAGAAAAUCACACAUAUGUAUUUGAUGCAUCUCCUUCAUGAAGUUUUACUCUCAUCGGAUUAGAUCUAUUGAAGUUCUGAAAUCAAACAUAAUUACCAUGAGGUUAAUUAUUGUGUUGAUAAAUUGACCAUGGUGAGAGUUUAUAUUGACAAACUUAUAUAAUCCUCCUCCUCCUUUAAAGCUUCUUUUGAACGAUGAUAGUAAGUAAAUAAAUAGCUUUCCCUCCUUACCAUCGUUCAUUAAUGAAAAAAUAGUAACUUGUAUGUUCUACCUUCUAUAUAUAAAUAAAUUUGUUUGAGAAGCAUUAACAAGCAUUCGAUUAAAGACUCCGUGGCCCAAUGGAUAAGGCGCUGGUCUACGGAACCAGAGAUUCUGGGUUCGAUCCCCAGCGGAGUCGUUUUAUAUUUUUGAAAUUACGUUAAUAUAUUAUAUAAAAUAUGCAACAAAAAACACUCUGCAUAGAAUGGCCGAGAGGUCUAAGGCGCCAGUCUUAAGAACUGGUCCUCGUGAGAGGGCGUGGGUUCAAAACCCACUUCUGACAUUUUUAUUUUUUUACUUCCAUCACAGCAUAUAUUUUGAUUCUCUAUUUCACAUACCAGAUAAUCAUUGUUAUGGUUCUAGUACUUCUAGAAUAAAUUAUGAUGUUGCAUGUCUUUAUUAUCAUAUCUUUUGUUUGCAUUGUGGUGAAGAAGCUCAUACACCUGUGGAUUGUGAAACUGUUACUAGAUGGAUGAAAAAGAAGAACUCUGAUUUUCAGAUUACUACUACUACUACUAGGAUUAUUGCAAACACAAAACCAUGUCCUAAAUGCAAGAUACAUAUUGAGAAAAACAACGAGAUAUACAAAUGCUUUGUUUCUCCCUCCACAUUUAAUCUCAUUCAAAUUCAAUCAGUAUUUUCAACAAUCCUCAGGCAACUGCAUUAUGCAUUAUGUCCGUACAUUAUUCAUGGAUACACUUGAAGACAAGGCCAAAAAGGCAAAGUCAUAACUAAAAAAUUGAUUGAAAACACACCGGCACAUGAAAAUCUCUAGCAUUUCUCUUAGGAUAAAUAGCAGAGAACAAAGUGUAUACCAAUACAAAGGUACCAAUGAUCUCAACACCUAAUCCAACACCAGUACUAUACCCGUCAUCUUGGAGAAAAUUAGCUAACAUGCCUUAACCUAAGCCUAAAGUGAGUAAAUAACAUUCUUUUGGCAGUACUUAACCUUUCACAUUACAACCCAACAAAAAAGAAAAUAGUUGAAAGACUUCAGAAGCCACUAAUUUCAAAACCAUAUAAAAAGUAGUAUUAUCUAAAAACAGCUUAUGCUAUACUUCAUCUCACAUAAAACACCAAGAAGUAGUUGUUGGAUUACCUAAAAAUAAAAUUUAAUAUCCACACUAGAACUUUAGAGAUUCAUACACCAAAACACACCUCCGACCAACCAAAAAAUCAAGCACUUACUCUAUGUUAUAGAAAGCAUAACUUAAAAAUAAAAACAAAGGGUUGCUACUUAUGAAAAAAUAAAAGCAGAAGCUAUACUUUGAUUAUGCAGAACCAUACCAAAUUAUAGAAGUUCUGCAUUAUGCUAAACCAAACCAAAUUAUAUCGAUAAACAGGAUAUACUGAAUGUACUAGGAUAGUAUUGAGGAAUCGCCACUAAUAACAUACCUAAUUAAACAUAACUGAUUAAAUUAAUUAACAUAACUGCCCCUAAUAAUAUAAUAAUUACCACUAGUAACAUUAUAACAGCCUAAUAGUAUUUACCAUAAAGGUCUAACAAAAAUCAAGCCAUUAGAAUGAAGGAUCUAUACAUCCAUUUCAUAUUUUACCAUUUCAGUUAUAUUUUUUCAAAGCCAGCAACUUCUGCUCUUGCAAUGUGGACAGGGGGGUUGUGAAAGAGUUGUGCAUGUGCAUGUGCUUAAUCAACAGUUGCAUAUAUACUAGUAAGCAUUAAACAUGUAUCCGGGAAUUUAUAUUACAAACAAGUACAAGUAUCAAGAAUUUCUUCAUGUUUUAAAGAACUAGUAAAAUAUGUACAACAUUAAAAGUGUUAAUUCAGUCCAUUUGGAAAAUACAAAAUUUAUAUACAUCAGUAGACAGUUUUUUUCUUCAUGUCACUCCAUUAGGAGAAUAAAAAUUUAGCUGAUGUUAAAUCAAAGGGUUGCGAUUUUGUGGUAGGAGAUGGAGGGGAUUAAGAGCAUUGAAGUUCAAAUUUUACAUGCUUAGUGACAUGCACGAUUACUUUCAGAAAAUUAUUACAAAAUCAUGUUUUAACUCUCAGAAACGGUAAAAUUUCAUAAAAUAUCGCAUGGUUGCAAGACUAACCAUAAUCUAAUACGAUAGAACAACAUAGAAUUUGUGUCUCACAGACUGGUUCUUAUCAAAUGCAUGAAACAGAUUGGAUAUGAAAGACUUCAUACCCCUUAUAAAUUCACUCAAUUAGGAAAACAACCAGUCACAAGAAAAGUUCGAUUUCCUUUUUACUCUAAACACUUUGACAUUGCAAAAAUAUUUGACAUCUACGAAUCAAUAGCAUUAAACAGACCCCAAAAAAUGCUAUGAUAUUUUUACCGACAAAGCAGUGAAACAACUGAUAAACCAGCUCUAAAGAGAGUGAAAUGGAAGGGGAUGAGAGAUGAUGAAUGCCAAAAGAAAAUUGAGAAAAAUGGCAUUGUUGACACAGGGUCUGUUUGGUAAAGCCAUCAAACGAGCUUAUAGCUUAUAAGCUCGUUUGAUCAAAAAGCUCAAGUACGCACUUAACAUAAGGGUUUUAGCAGUAAAAGGCCUUAUAAACCAUCCAACAACUAUGAAAAUUCUUAUGAGACAUUAUAUCCAAUUAAUUUGUUUCAAGCAAGCCUUUACCAGUUAGCACUUAACCAUAUAAAACAAUCAACAACUGGAAAAAAAGCGAGGUAUGCAACAAAGAAAAUAUUCAAGCUGACAACAUAACCUUUAUCCCUCAUUAAUUUCAUCAGUCAUUGAAAUCCUCUUUGUUUUGACAAACAAACAUUGUUCAAUACUUUAUGCCUACAUAGACAUCGAAUGUUAUAUUUUGACAGAACCUAGAUUUCAUUCAAGUUUCAAGCAAUCAAUUAAAACUCAAAAUAUAUCAUAGCUUUACAUUUUACCAGUAUUCAUAUAAUCGAAAGGAGAAUUUGAUUACACGGAUUUGUUAUUUUUUCACUGAGCAAAGUUAUAUAAUAUAACUCCCAAAAAAAUUCAUACAUAAAAAACCACUACAGGUUCUUAAAAAAACAUGGUGUAUACGUCAUUAUCAAUAUAAUCAAAUAAAAUUUUACAUGCUGUAGAGCCCCCCCUUAUGUAUGAAUAUAAUUUCACUAACACUUGGUCCUUUUCAAGGCAGUUUCUCUGAAUUUUCAUGGUCUCUAGUACCUUUGAAUGGUGCAUAAUAUAUUCUGCAAAAUCGAACUCAUGUUUUGUGCCUUUGUAACCUCUAAUGCAACAUGUUCUGAGCUGUGAUGAAAGACAUUUUGGAACAGUGGGAGGAUGCUUCCAAAAAUUGUAACAAAUUAUUUCCUUCCUUCGCAUUAUCCUGUAAACAGUUCGCAUAAUUUUUGUUUUUAGAAAAUAAAAUACGUGAAAUUAGAAUUGAAAAAGAAAGCAAAUCCUAAACAUCAAAACCUGAAUGAUAAGAUGUUGAAGUUUGGGGAAAUGUGGAAGUAUUCCUAACAACGACGUGCAUUCAAAUCUUUUUGGUUGAAGCGAGAAGAUUGACCGCAUUUGAAGGUAAAAGAAUGGAUUGAAAUCUUUUUAUCUAGCAACGAGAACAUGGUUAAGAAAACAAAUUUGUGAAAGCUGUUGAAGUCUUGAAAGAGGGCGAGGACUGAGAGCCACACCGAUUUCCAUCUCUUUGAGAGGAAGCUUGUGAUGAAAGCAAGAUUGGUUGGGAGAAAAGAGAGAAUGUGACAGAGUAUCGAAUCAGGCAAGUCGCUAAUUCUAUCUGCAGUGGGAAGGCGACAUCAUCUCCAACAGGGAAUGCAACAAGCCUUGGUUUAUAUGACUUGUAUUUAAAAUUAUCGAAUCAAUUUAUAAAUAAAUGACAACAAAAUAUUUUGAAUAAAAAGGUGAAAUCUUCUUUCUCAAAAUUACAAACAACAAUUUUUAUGAAAUUUUAAUUAAAAUUAUAGGUAUAGAUAAUUAAUAUUUUGCACUUUCAUAUUGUAAUGUAUCUUUUUCAAUGUUACAAACAAUAUAACAAAUAUAAUAUCUUUCAAAAAUAAAUAUAACAAAUAUAAUACAAAUUCUUAUCUUUUUUAAUAACAUUAAUAAAACAACAGUUUUAUAAUCAAAUUUGUUUAAAGGUAUAAUUGGAAAGAGAAAAAGUCUGCAAAAAAUAACAUAUUUUUUUUUCAUAUAUAGUAUAGAUUUAAAUUAUUACGUUAAUUUUGAAUUUAAAAUAGUCUAAAUGUGAAAUUUAUUUUUAAUUAUAAAUUUCAAAUUUAUUUUAAAUCUAUUUUGAACAUAAAAAUAAAAUGUACUUUAAUAUAUAUUGAAUAUAAAUGUGAAAUGUAUUUUAAAUUUCCUAAAAAAAAGAUUUCAUUUAUUUUUGUGAAAUGUAUUAUGAAUAUCAAGACCAUGUAUUGCAAAUAUUGAAUUAUUUUUGUGAUAAAUCAUUUUUUUCUAUUGGAAACGUUUUUAAUCUUUAUUUUGAGUAUAAUAAUUUAUAAAAUAACAAAUUUUGUCUCCCAUAAAAAAAAUUGUCUGGAAAUUUCAUUUAUAUUGUAUCGAUAUCAACAUUAAAAAAAUAUAUAUUAAGUUAAAAAAAACAUUAAAAUACCAUAUAUAUAUAUAUAUAUAGUUUAAUUUUCUCAAUAAAUAAAUAAAUAUAUACUUUAAUUUUCGUACAUACGGCUAAAUGUUUUACACUGUCAAGUAUCAACAUAUCACUACUUUUGUCAAGAAAAAAAAAUACCACUAAUAUUAAUAUUUAUAACUUUAAAUGCUGUUAUUAUUUAAGAUUUGGCUAAGGUAAAUCUAACAAUGGAACGAGUGACCUCAAAGUCAUUGGCAUAAAAGCAUACCAUGUCAUGGAUGCACCUAGUAGACACACCUAAUCAGGACAUGUGAUCUAAUCUGUGAAACCCGGAUACGAGAUACGAUACGGAUACGAUACUGCACCGAUACGUCGAUACGGAAAAAUUUCAAAAAUCAAGAUACGAUACGGCUGUGAUACGUUAAUAAAAAAAAAUUAUAUAAUUAAAUGUAUUAUAUAAUUAUAAUCAUUUUUUUAUUAUGCAAGUAUAUUGACAAACACAAGAAACCAGGCUCGUAACACAUUAAUAUAAAUAUAAUAUUGACGAUUAAGAGAGUGGUAAUUACAUACGCAAUAUAUACCAAAAAGAGCACCAGAUACAUCAAUGCUACACUAUAUCCAAAAGGAACUUGUUAGUGCUAUACUAUAUCGAUCCAAAAAAGAAUCCCUAUAUCCAAAAAAAGAACACAUCAUUACUAAGAGUUAACACUAACAAGUAACUAACGUUUAUAAUGUUUUUGUUCUUAUUUUUUACACAAAAAAAACAGAAAUCAAAAUAAUAUAAAAAAAACACAAGUAUCCGUGCGUAUCGGGAUGUAUCGGAUAAUUAUUUUUUAAAAAAAUAAAAUUUAAUAUUUGGAUACUCUCCGGAUACGUAUCGGGCAGGUAUCGGUGCAGGAUACGCAGGGGAUACAGUACGUCAUCCAUUUUGAAGUAUCGGGGCUUCAGAGGAUCUAAUCAAUAAUGUUUGAACGAUUGUAAUGGUACGAGUCCCAAAUACCCUCAAGUUUGCAGUCUUUUCUUGCACUUUGAAAAGAAUUGAUUUAUUGUGUUUUUGCAAUUUUCAAGAAGCCAAGUCAAAACUUGGGAAAAAACGGCUGAGAUGUUUGUAGCUUGUUCAAUAUGAGUCAAAUAACUCAAAAGUGUACAAUAUGCUUGGUUGGACUAAGACAUAGACAAGAUGAAUCUGUGAGUGCUUUCGUAGGUUGUUUUAAUGACAAAAUGUCCCCAAUUAAAGACUUGAUUUUGUCUUGAGCGCCCCAUGCAUUGGUAUCAUGACUCAAAAUAGGACCAUUUUCUGAUUCAUUGGCAAGGUGACCCUCAAAGACCCUUUACACGUUGCACAAGUGGGAAGCAGGCUACUUCCCCAUGGAAGAUAUAACAUUGAGAAAAAUACAAAGCCUCCAUCACAAACAAUGGCCAACGUCAAGAUAGGAUAAGGAUGAGAAACAUGAAUACAUACCCAUUUUCUCCGCUCAGUGAUAGACCUCGAAAUUUUUUUCUAGAUGCCUAUGAUUCCAACCUUAUGAAUCUAUCCCACCAAAGUUAGAUCAAAUCUAGGGCUAGCAAUGAACCGAGUUAACUCAAAUAUGGUUCGAAGUUCGACUCGACAAUUAACUUGUUGAAUUUGGUUCAUGAACCAAAUGAGCUGAAAAUUAAGUUUGUUAAUUAAAUGAGUUGAACUUGAGUUAUAUAUAAUUUGACUCGUUUGGUUCAUAAAUUAAGUCGAUAAUAUGUUAGAGAAAAAAUAAAAGCUAAUUAUAAUAGUGUAACACAUAAUGUUGAUACAAUGGCAGUCUUAUAGUUCAAGCUUUUAAAUUAUAAUAGUCCCACAUCGGGGAUUAGUAAACAAUAGAGAGGAGUUGUGUCUAUAUAACGGAAGCGCAUCACUUCAUUGGAGUAAUUUUCUGAUGGCGAGCACUACAACAUAUAUAAAGUGUAACUACAAUUCUCCCUUAGUAAUAUUUAUUUCUGAGGGACCUUAGUAUUAUUAUUUUGUUUUUCUGGUACAUAUUAAUCUUCCAUAUGGAUAUGAUUUACCAUGUACUAAUCUGAUAGAGGUACAACGUUUUGGUACUCAUAGUUUUAUUUUAGUUUAAUCUUUGCCUUUUAAAAAAAUAAAUUGAAAGGCCAAAGGUGUAGUUUUUUUGAAAAAUAAAAGACAUUUAAAUUGUAUGAUUUGAGCCUAAUGAGUUGAGUUGUUCGUGAAUUUUAAAUGAGCCGAACUCGAUUCGAGUUUCAAGCCGAUCUAAUUCUUAUCGGGUCGAGUCGAACUCAGACGAGUUCGAUUCGACUAGACUCAUUUCCUACCUUAAUCAAACCUAAAGAAUAUCACACGCUAUAUUGUGAAUACCAUAUGAUACAUGGUCAUUGCACUAAUGAAUAUAUCUACCCAAGACGAGGGACAUCUACAAAAGUUCGCAGAUAUGAAGGAACCCCCUCAAGACGAGGAGCGACAUCAAAUUCAAAGAAGAAUUUCGAGAACAUUUGAACCUCGUAGAAUGUCCAGGGUCCUAGAUAAAAGACACAAUUCAGAGAAACGCAAAAGUGAUUUAGUGCCCAUUGCAAUCAGACAAUCCCUAAGAAGAUGUAAUAUUGACUCAAUAACAUCACCACAAUGAGAAAAAAAAAAAAAAAAAAAAAAAAAAAAAAAAAAA